AUGCUAAGUAUGGACUAUUUUGGAUAAUGACUAUAUGUAUGUUGACAGAUCAUGUGAUGCUAGUGGUAUAUGUGCAUGAUGACAUAUUAUGAAUUAACAUAUUGUGGAUUAUGCUAAAUAGAAAAACAUACUUGGUGACAUAUUGCCAUAUUAUGGAACAUAGUAGAUGAAAAUGUAUGCAUGUUGAUAUACCUUGAGAUAUGAGUUGAUAUAUAUGCAUGUUGAUGUAUUGUGGACUAUGUUAAAUAACAUAUGCAUGUUGAAUUUGGGUCUAUACCUCUUGGAUGGUUAGAAAACUCGACGUUGGAAAACAAUAACGUAUGAACUAUGAUAUGUGACGUGGACAAUCUAUAUAUAUUAGAUCGAGUGGCAUAUGAUUAGUGUAGUGGAAAUACUUAUGGCAUGUUGAACAUUUAGAAAACAAGUGUGGCAUGAGUCCAAGAAUAUAGUAGUAUAUAUGACACAAGUGAUAGUAAAGAAUGCAAAGAAAAGAAUGAUGGAAAUAUUAUGACAUUUCAACCCUAGAGUUAGGGUCAUUUGAGCAUAGUCUUCCUAAAGUUAGAAAAUAGAUUGAACUUGACAUCCUCAAGAUUUUAGAUUUGAUCAUUGAUCAUACUCACCUUUAGUCCUUGCUCGAGGUUGUGGUAGCUCCCCCUCGGGCGAUAUGCUCCGGAGUCGACAUCACUGAGUGUAGCGAGUAUCUCCCCAGAGGACGGUCCCAUCGAGUGUAGCGAAUAUCUCCCCAAUUAUUGGGAUUUUGAGUUGGUGAGUUUGUUGAGGGCGAAACCUUCGGGUUAGCCAAGAGAUUGGGUAACAAGCACAUGAGCUGUAGCAAUAUCCGAGUUGAGUGGACUUAAGGCUGAGGUGCAAGUGAGACGUCCUUUGCCUCGAGCCUGGCUUUACGCGGUACUCCGCGAAUGAUUGAUUCGAGACCGAGUCGGGUGGAUAGUUGAUAAAGGUAAAUGAGACCCUAUGAUCAGAAUUGUAAUUGUUAUGAGUUUAAAAUAGAGAAAUAACUUCGAGGUCAAUUGAAUGAGCUAUGAAUAACAGGAUUAAAGUAGUAUCGAUUGAACUACUAAUUGGUUGCAUAAAUCGCAUGAUUUUCAUAUUGCAUGGUUGUGAGGUAUGACAUGUAUUUCAAUUAUCGCAUAUAUAUAUGUAUCUGUUGGAUAUUUGUUGGACUAACAUGUUGUAGUGCCUCUAUUGGACCUAUUGGUCGAGCUUUUCCCUUGGGUCGCCGUACCCACUGGGAACCAUGGAGUUGGUUCUCACCCCACGUUAUUUUGGGGUAUUACAGGUUCACACGUGAGCAGCGCAGCGGCGCGAGGCGAGGGCGUAGCUCCAUAGUUAGCGCCCUACCACCGAGACCAGAGAUAGCGGUACCCCGAGUCAGCCUAGCUAGGGGUGUAGAAGAAAAGAAAAGGAAAGAAUAAACAAUAUUGUAAUAAUUUUGAUUGUAUUUGGAAGUUAAAUGUAAAAUGUAAUAGUGAUGUAAAGUAUGUCUAGUGAAUGUGAAUGCUUGUAAUAACAAGUAGAUUAUGUUUUUGAUACUUCCUUAUACAAUCUUUAAUUGAAAUGUGUUCCUGGUUGGAACUUUGUACAUUGUAUUGAUUGCGACGCCUUGAAUGUACAGGGGAGACUCUGUCCGCGAUACAGGGGAUACCCUGUCCGUUCGGCGGUUUGUCGGCGUGCCGCGACCUGGCCAAAUAGGCGGGCGGUCGCGCAGCGUGACAGAUAAGAUAGUAUCAGAGCAUAAAAAGAAUAUAAAAAUAAUAAUAGAAAUGGUUUAGUUGGACCUAGGAGACCCUAGGACAGUAAACCAUAGGAGAUUAAGGCUCGUGAGAGACGAGGAUUUGUGACUUUUGGCGAAAGGUUAAUUGAUUGGGUUGUGUCGUAAACCUCUAAAACGGAUGUUAGAGGUAGAUUCAAGGUGUGGUUUAUUCUCAAUCGAUGGUAUUCGUGUUGGGCGCGCACAACAUGAAACCGAGUGAUCAGAAUAGACGCCCUUGCAUGACUUUCGCCCGAUUUGAAUCGGUAUUAAGUGUCUCGUGUUCGACCUAGAAGGUUGAGGAUUAAUAGAGUUGUCGCAUUUUAGGAAACGACAGCACUGCGUAGGCGAUCUUUGUUUAGAUCGGCGCGGGAUGGGCCAAGUGGUGUCCCUGGGCAAUUUGAGACGAGCGGAGACUUGAGACUUCGCGAGCGAUUGGCCACUCUCGUGUGUGUAGCGGGGUAAUGAGCCGAAUUAGUGCAGUGUCAGCUGAAGGCUGCCAUAUGCCGGGAGGAGCGAGUUAAGAGACUCCAAGAGUUGGGGGAUUAGUAGUGAUCGCACCAGUUCCGGCUCGUUAAGUACUGCCGGGAGUCGCGACGAAGGUGUGGUGGACAGGCGUCAAGUGGAAUCGACUGCCUGGUCUCCCUCCUGUGGUUUGGGAUGAGUUUCAGGGAUCGGUAUUCUCUGUUUACUCUCCUGAUGAUGGAAAAGAAAGCUUCAGGAAAGGUUCUCGAAGCUACGGCAGGUAGACCGCGCCGUGAGGGAAUACGAGCGGAAAUUCUCCCGUGUCGUGAAUUGCAUCCCGUACAUAGUGCGGGAUAAUGAGAACAAAACUCUUUUUAGGAGGGGAGAAUGUAACGUACCGAAAUUUCGGUAAAUAAACAUCAAACUUUAGUAAAAUUGACCAAAGUACGUUGAGAGAAAUAGUUGGAUAAAGUUCAAUUGAUAUUCCGACGAUGUUGGAAGGAUAAGAAUUGGGCUCUAAAAGAGUUAGAAUGGUUUUAGCAUCGAUCGGUGCGAGUUGGAGUCGAAAACAAGCUAAAACUACAUUCUGGAGGAAAGUGUACCGAUACAUGUUGAUGGUUGUACCGGUACAGCAAGCGGCCCGAGAAGAGCAUUGCUCUCGGGUUUGAGUUUUUGCAGAAGUGUACCGGUACACUCCUGGUUUGUACCGGUACCUUUUGGUAAAAUCCGAGGAGGUUGCUCUCGGGUUUGCCUCUGCACAGCUUUUUACCGGUACAAAAGCCCGUGUACCGGUACACAAUGGGUCUGACAGUAGGUUGAGAUCUGCUGCAAAUGAAAAACGUUGGGGGGUUUAAAUGCAGUUGUGGCGGUUUGUAUAAACCCCACACCCCUUCUUUCCUUGUUCACAGCAAGGAGUACCCCUUCAACUCCAUGUUCUUUCUUCUCUCACUCUCCAGGAGCUUUUCUAAAGAGGAGGAUUAGAGAAGCUUUGAGGAUUAGGCCUUGUGGAUAGAACAAGGCAGUGCAAUUGUGCGAGGGGAGCGUGAGUCCAAUUGCAAGGAAAAGAAAAAUAGAACUGCCAACGAGUGGAUUCGAUGGUCCGUCAAGUUCUCAAGUGAGUGCAAUGUGUUCGCGCUCGUGAAUCCGAGUUCCGGGGACCUACUGUGUUCGGUCCUUAGUGAGAUGUGUCGUUUGUGGAUGUUUUCGUUACCCACAGUAUUGCGAGCUGUGAGAGGGCAAGUGCUACAGGUGUGGCCAACCGGGCUGUGCGCGGGACGAGUGUCUGCAAGGUGACAGCCGGGGCCUGACACUGGCGACAGUCUAUUUCUCUCUAGGAUGGCCUGCAAGUGUGCCAUUUGCGGCAUGUCGGGAAAGAGGGCGUUGAGGACAAUGCAACCUAAAGGUUCGCGGCGAGCGCUAAGUGGCUGUAGAUACACGACCCAGGUUGAGGACCCUGCUGCUGACGACGUCGUUGCAGGUAUGAGUUAUUGAUGCAAAUGUAUGUUUUGCAUGAUGUGAAGUUGAUGCAUUGCAUGCAAUGGUUAUGUGGUUAAUUACUAUUGCNNNNNNNNNNNNNNNNNNNNNNNNNNNNNNNNNNNNNNNNNNNNNNNNNNNNNNNNNNNNNNNNNNNNNNNNNNNNNNNNNNNNNNNNNNNNNNNNNNNNNNNNNNNNNNNNNNNNNNNNNNNNNNNNNNNNNNNNNNNNNNNNNNNNNNNNNNNNNNNNNNNNNNNNNNNNNNNNNNNNNNNNNNNNNNNNNNNNNNNNNNNNNNNNNNNNNNNNNNNNNNNNNNNNNNNNNNNNNNNNNNNNNNNNNNNNNNNNNNNNNNNNNNNNNNNNNNNNNNNNNNNNNNNNNNNNNNNNNNNNNNNNNNNNNNNNNNNNNNNNNNNNNNNNNNNNNNNNNNNNNNNNNNNNNNNNNNNNNNNNNNNNNNNNNNNNNNNNNNNNNNNNNNNNNNNNNNNNNNNNNNNNNNNNNNNNNNNNNNNNNNNNNNNNNNNNNNNNNNNNNNNNNNNNNNNNNNNNNNNNNNNNNNNNNNNNNNNNNNNNNNNNNNNNNNNNNNNNNNNNNNNNNNNNNNNNNNNNNNNNNNNNNNNNNNNNNNNNNNNNNNNNNNNNNNNNNNNNNNNNNNNNNNNNNNNNNNNNNNNNNNNNNNNNNNNNNNNNNNNNNNNNNNNNNNNNNNNNNNNNNNNNNNNNNNNNNNNNNNNNNNNNNNNNNNNNNNNNNNNNNNNNNNNNNNNNNNNNNNNNNNNNNNNNNNNNNNNNNNNNNNNNNNNNNNNNNNNNNNNNNNNNNNNNNNNNNNNNNNNNNNNNNNNNNNNNNNNNNNNNNNNNNNNNNNNNNNNNNNNNNNNNNNNNNNNNNNNNNNNNNNNNNNNNNNNNNNNNNNNNNNNNNNNNNNNNNNNNNNNNNNNNNNNNNNNNNNNNNNNNNNNNNNNNNNNNNNNNNNNNNNNNNNNNNNNNNNNNNNNNNNNNNNNNNNNNNNNNNNNNNNNNNNNNNNNNNNNNNNNNNNNNNNNNNNNNNNNNNNNNNNNNNNNNNNNNNNNNNNNNNNNNNNNNNNNNNNNNNNNNNNNNNNNNNNNNNNNNNNNNNNNNNNNNNNNNNNNNNNNNNNNNNNNNNNNNNNNNNNNNNNNNNNNNNNNNNNNNNNNNNNNNNNNNNNNNNUCUCUCUCUCUCUCUCUAUCUAUAUAUAUAUAUAUAUAUAUAUAUAUAUAUAUAUAUAUAUAUAUAUAUAUAUAUAACUAGGCUGGUAUACUAUCGGUAGCACGGAGGCCUCCGUGCUACCAAGUUGUUUUCAAUGAUAUAGCUUCCAAAUUGAUGAUCGGCUCCGUUAGACUUGAUUUACACUAUUGAAAGUAUUUGAAAACAAAAUUUCAUAAUUUUUCGAUAUCAUUUACCUAUCAAACGAGUAAUCUAAAACUGGUCGAAAAUAAAAAUCUCAUAAAAAAUAAUGAUAAAAAACUUAAAUUUAAGGUCAGAGGUAUUAAUCUUACUAUAAAUAGUGAAAAAAAAAAUUUAUAAAAAUUUCAUCAGAUUUGAAUUGUACUAUAAAUAGUGAAAAAAAAUUUCUAAAAAAAUUUCAUCAGAUUUGAAUUGUUUUAUACCGUUAAAUUCGCAAACACAUCAUAUCGACCAUUAAAAUUGUCAAUUUUGAGACCUUUUUGCAGUAUCUCUGGUGUUUGGUUGCCCGUGAGAUUUCAGUAUCUGAGGCUUGUCGACACAUCUAGAGAGUGUCGGGACAAGUCGGAGACGUUUUGGCGCGAAAUGGACGUAAAACGGACUUGACGCGAGGCAAGAGUGGAGUUCUAACAUUGAAAUUCGCAAAGUGCAGGUUUUCAGCUGGAUUUUUGAGUAGGUGAGGGGCCUUUUGGUCAUUUAGGUGUUGAUAACCCCAACCUUAUCCCUAGCCACUAUAUAUCUUGUAGAGAGCUCAGAGAAGAGUUUUGUUUGCCAUUCUCUCUCUCUCCCUCUAGUUCUUGGACGUGCUCGUGGUGGAGGACUCGGCUCGAGCUCGAGAGGUUGUCGAUGUUGAUCCGGAGGGUCGUUCGAGCGUGCGGGCGUCGCGGUUGCAUCGUUGGGAGGCCUGGCGAGCGCAUGGUUUCCUCUCCUUUCGACUUCUCGUCGUAGUUGGACUAGCAUGUCGAGGUGGGUUGAAGUUUACCAAAAUCGUCGUAAUACCUACUAAGUUCCUAUAUCGUCAACAUGUUUUGUUGGUUUCAUUUCCUUGCUAGUACUCGAAUUCAUGGAUUAGAGAUAAAAAUUGAAUUUGGAGUUAAUCUAGUAGUAUAAUUUUAUAUGUUGAAUUUGGAAUUGACUUAGGAGAAAACAUAUAAAUCCUACACUGUCAUUUAUAAAAAAUACCAGAUUUAGCUUUAGGAGCUGUGGUUCUUUUGUAUAGUCGCUGUUAGUAUGCGAUGGAUGCCCAGAUUAGUGUCGGAUGAGGUUACGCUUGUGCUGGGAUGCCGAGUUUAUUUUUACAGUAGUGUGUAGACUAUUUNAGUAUUUCGGAUGUCGUUCCGAUGGGUCUAACAGCGAAAGUGAUUCACUGUUGGCGGAACAGUUGGUUAGUAACCAAGUACAAGCACGUAGACCUAGUAGUACCUCAAUGUGAGGUAGGAGGGUCGUGCUUGUGUAGUCGGCGUACGUAGGCAAGGAUUGCCUAACACAGGACUUAGUGUGGAACGCUAUAGAAGCGUAUGAUGUUCGGGUAUAGUUACUCGUGGAGUGCGGGUUUAGUUCAGUUAAGAGAGUGUAUUGGCAGUAGCACUUGAGCGUUGCUAGGUGUGAAGCGUACCAUGGAUCACUCGUGGGACGGGUGACUUGCAUUAGGUGCAUAGUAGCCGGUAGUGGUACUUGUGGCUCGGUAGAGCGUGUCAUGCGAUUGAUGGUAUACCGAGAGUACGAGUGUGACCCAACCCGGGGAUCUGUAACGGUUUGGGAUCUUAGUUGAUCCUGGUUGGAGUGUGUGCGAAUUCCCAAGUGAGAAUUUCGCCCGAUCAUGAUUGGGUCUGCAUUCGCGAGCGAGAGACGCUGCGUAUUGAGACAGGUUUAGGCGGUAGGCCUACGUAGGAUUGGUGGCCUUUGGUCCACCUGUGGGGACCGAAGAGAGCGAUUUGGUAGAUUGCCUUAUCGAGGAAUUUGACUCGAAUUCACGAACGAAGUGCUCGUGUGAGCUAGUUGCGGAAAUAGUUUGAUGUUAAUCGUGGCAUGUGGUAUCAGAAGAUGAAGUGCUCUUGGUGAGACCUUGAGCGAGUAGUAAGCCACGUGGACUUGGAGGAUUGGAAUUGGGGAUAUGCUAAAGUAGGCCAUCUUAUGUUAAAGUUGAGGGUCAGUGCGAAUUUAGAGCACUCGCGACGGAGCGAUGCACCGGUGAUAUUGCUUUUAAGCAAUGUCGGUGAUCGAAUCGGAGUAUAUUCCCUGAAGGGAAGGCUAGUGCAAAGAAGAGUUCUUUGUGUACCGAAUGGUGAGUGGUGUUGGAGCGCGUAGAGUCGUCAAGCAUCGACUUGCGCUGCCACUAUGACUUGCAAGACCCGUGAUGCACUUUUGUAUCACACCUUGCAAAUGUGUUUAGGAUUGAACCCACGUCCUUCAGUAUGAGCCGCUUCUGGAACCACGAUAGUGUGAAAUUGCUCUAGAGUAGGAGAAUGAGUCGGUACCCUCAAUUGCUCGCGGAGCUGAAUUGAGGCGUGGUUUGAAUUUCGCGGAUGAAAUUCUUUUAAGGGGUGGAGAAUGUAACAUACCAGAUUUUGGUAUAUAAAUAAAAAAUAAAUAAAAUUAGUGUGAGAAACUAUUUGUAUCGGAUUUAUAGAAGUAAAACAUAAGUCAUAAGUGACUUGUGCUGAAAUCGGAAUGAAAACAGAAGAUCUAAAAUUUUCUGUUGGAAACGGGACAGAUAAAUUAGCAGAAAAUGCACAGUCUCAGAAAAUUAUGAAAAUUGGAGGAUAAGUCAGAAAUAUUUUUAUGAGGCUAGAUUUAAAGUUUCAUAUUUUUCUGACACCCGUAGAGUGAGAAAUAAAAUCCGACAGCUAUCUGAUAAAGAGUACAGUUCGGUACAGUUUUCGGUGACCAAAUGGGAUCGAAACUGAAAACUUAAAAUAUAUUCUUACUCAGUACGUUAAACUGAGCCUGCCUGUCAAAUUUGAGCUNNNNNNNNNNNNNNNNNNNNNNNNNNNNNNNNNNNNNNNNNNNNNNNNNNNNNNNNNNNNNNNNNNNNNNNNNNNNNNNNNNNNNNNNNNNNNNNNNNNNNNNNNNNNNNNNNNNNNNNNNNNNNNNNNNNNNNNNNNNNNNNNNNNNNNNNNNNNNNNNNNNNNNNNNNNNNNNNNNNNNNNNNNNNNNNNNNNNNNNNNNNNNNNNNNNNNNNNNNNNNNNNNNNNNNNNNNNNNNNNNNNNNNNNNNNNNNNNNNNNNNNNNNNNNNNNNNNNNNNNNNNNNNNNNNNNNNNNNNNNNNNNNNNNNNNNNNNNNNNNNNNNNNNNNNNNNNNNNNNNNNNNNNNNNNNNNNNNNNNNNNNNNNNNNNNNNNAGAGAGGAGGUGAGCGGCACCUCGACCCGGCUUGACCCAUCUCUCCGCGAACCACUGCCGAACGGCCUCCAUCACGAUACGAAAAUUAAAGUCUUCGUUAAUGUGCCACGGUGCUGUCAAAUCCAUUUUCAUGGUUUCCGAGAUUCCUCGGCCAUCCAGGCGGAAUAACGAAGCCUAAACGUACCUUUCUUUAAUAACUCGCAACGGCUCGACAAUCGACGAACGCGACUUCGCCAACAGCGCGUUCGUUUACCUAGCAAUAUAGGUUUACAUAGGGUCAUUUAGAUCAAACCCAUUACACUUUAUAAAACCCGCAAAAUUGGAGCCCUAACAUGCUACUAUUUGCCAAUAAAGCUUCAAAGAUUGAUUCAGUGAUUCAGACAGAUUAGCAUGUAGAUAUCAUAUAGAGAGUCCUUUAAAUCCAUUCUAGAGCAUAUAAUUAAAGCUCUAAGGUUCUUAACCAUUUUUAAAACAUUCCUAUCUGUACACUAUCUCCAAUUAACUUUCAAUUAAAAGGAUUCAAUAUGCUAAUGCACACAUUAAGGCUAUAGAACACUAAACAUUAAGGAGUUAAGGCAAAAUCCUAAAAGCUUCCUGCAAUGAUGAAGCCCGGCGAGAAACACGCCGCUCCACAGGGCGCACGGAAAGCUCAAUGCCGUCGCUCCUAACGCGUUCGCAAGCAUCUUCUCCACCAACACGCGGACGGCGACCUCGACUCCCAAUUUAGGAGAGAUAAUAGAGAGAUGUAGAGAGAAUCUCUAGAGAAGACGAAGGGAGGGUUCCCUCCCAUCGCCAUGCGCCGCAGGUCGUGUGUGUGGUGGUGUGUGGCGACUGAAGGAGAAGUAAGAAGAGUCAACACGUCCCUCUUGUUAGUCAACACCACAACACUGAGUUCACUCGCCGCGCAGAGCUGUUUACAGUUCGGCAUAUAGUUGAGGCGCGCUUCCUGAAUUCCGUUGACGCUAUAUGUUGACAUAUCAUGUGAUGCUAGUGGUAUAUGUGCAUGAUGACAUAUUAUGAAUUAACAUAUUGUGGAUUAUGUUAAAUAGAAAAACAUACUUGAUGACAUAUUGCCAUAUUGUGGAACAUAGUAGAUGGAAAUGUAUGCAUGUUGAUAUACCUUGAGAUAUGAGUUGAUAUAUAUGCAUGUUGAUAUAUUGUGGACUAUGUUAAAUAACAUAUGCAUGUUGAAUUUGGGUCUAUACCUCUUGGAUGGUUAGAAAACUCGACGUUGGAAAACAAUGACGUAUGAACUAUGAUAUGUGACGUGGACAAUCUAUAUAUAUUAGAUCGAGUGGCAUAUGAUUAGUAUAGUGGAAACACUUAUGGCAUGUUGAACACUUAGAAAACAAAUGUGGCAUGAGUCUAAGAAUAUAGUAGUAUAUAUGACACAAGUGAUAGUAAAGAAUGCAAAAAAAGAAUGAUUGAAAUAUUAUGACAUUUCAACCCUAGAGUUAGGGUCAUUUGAGCAUAGUCUUCCUAAAGUUAGGAAAUAGAUUGAACUUGACAUUCUCAAGAUUUUGGAUUUGAUCAUUGAUCAUACUCACCUUUAGUCCUUGCUCGAGGUUGUGGUAGCUCCUCCUCGGGCGAUGUGCUCCGGAGUCGACAUCACUGAGUGUAGCGAGUAUCUCCCCAUAGGACGGUCCCAUCGGGUGUAGCGAGUAUCUCCCCGAUUAUUGGGAUUUUGAGUUGGUGAGUUUGUUGAGGGCGAAACUUUCGGGUUAGCCAAGAGAUUGGGUAACAAGCACAUGAGUUGUAGCAAUAUCCGAGUUGAGUGAACUUAAGGCUGAGGUGCAAGUGAGACGUCAUUCGCCUCGAGCCUGGCUUUACGCGGUACUCCGCGAAUGAUUGACUCGAGACCGAGUCUGGUGGAUAGUUUAUAAAGGUAAAUGAGACCCUAUGAUCAAAAUUGUAAUUGUUAUGAGUUUAAAAUAGAGAAAUAACUUCGAGGUCAAUUGAAUGAGCUAUAAAUAACAGGAUUAAAGUAGUAUCGAUUGAACUACUAAUUGGUUGCAUAAAUUGCAUGAUUUUCAUAUUGCAUGGUUGUGAGGCAUGACAUGUAUUUCAAUUAUCGCAUAUAUAUAUGUAUCUGUUGGAUAUUUGUUGGACUAACAUGUUGCAGUGCCUCCCUUGGACCUAUUGGUCGAGCUUUUCCCUUGGGUCGCCGUACCCACUGGGAACCAUGGAGUUGGUUCUCACCCCACGUUGUUUUGGGGUAUUACAGAUUCACACGUGAGCGACGCAGCGGCGCGAGGCAAGGGCGUAGCUUCAUAGUUAGCGCCCUACCACCAAGACCAGAGAUAGCGGUACACCGAGUCAGCCUAGCUAGGGGUGUAGAAGAAAAGAAAAGGAAAGAAUAAACAAUGUUGUAAUAAUUUUGAUUGUAUUUGGAAGUUAAAUAUAAAAUGUAAUAGUAAUGUAAAGUAUGUCUAGUGAAUGUGAAUGCUUGUAAUAACAAGUAGAUUAUGUUUUUGAUACUUCCUUAUACAAUCUUUGAUUGAAACGUGUUCCUGGUUGGAACUUUGUACAUUGUAUUGAUUGCGACGCCUUGAAUGUACAGGGGAGACUCUGUCCGCGGUACAGGGGAAACCCUGUCCGUUCGGCGAUCUGUCGGCGGCGCCGCGACCCGGCCAAAUAGGCAGGCGAUCGCGGGGCGUGACAAUUACAUCAACGGUUCUGAUCAUCGAUUCGCGAUCUCUAUCAUCAAAAACAAUUUGAUAGGACGAAGGUCCCUAUCCUGAUAAAGGAUAGCAAUUGGAUUUUAUAUAUAUAUAUAUAUAUAUAUAUAUAUAUAUAUAUAUAUAUAUAUAUAUAUAUAUAGAAAAAUAAUUGAUUACCCUAAAAGUUUAUACCUUAUAUCUAAUACUUUUUUAGUAAUUUAAGCUGUAAUCAGUUUUUUAUAUAAUAUUAGAGUAGGAGAUUUUCAAAUUCAAAUUUUAUAAAAUGACCGUCAAAUAAAUUUAGCGACAAAUAUAAAGAUUUGAUUUUUAAUAUCCCUCAGUUGCUUGUGCCAGUCACUUACAUAAAUUAAGUUGACUCAUUAAAUUGUUUCCUUAACUUUUCCAAUUGAAUCGUACAUACAUAGUGGACCACAACUAGAGAAAUUAAUAUUCGAAAUAUAUAUAUAGUUAAUUUCUUGGGCAAAAGCAAUGAUAUUUAACUCCAAAUUUACAAUUAAUUAAAAGAAAAAAUUUAAAAAUAUUCAAAAAGGUGUUCAUGAAAUUCAGAGAGGGGCUCCACAAAUUCACAUGCACUCAUUAAGCCAUUAUCCCAAUCAAAAAUAAUUUGUAAACAAAUACAUUAAUGCUUAUUUUAUAUUACAGCAAAUAAUAAUGCCCUUGGGUACUGUUACAUUUGUAGCAUGCAAUAUUAAAAAUAAAACAUAUAAUAAAUGCUUAUUAUUCUAACUAAUGGUGAUUAUUUUUUAUCAUAAGGUGAUCAUUGCUCUUUUAUUUUCUCUCUUUUAGCAUGGUGUAUAGAUAAAAUUUUUAAUUAAGUUGGGAUAAUAAUAAUAAUAAUAAUAAUAAUAUGAAAUAUCGUAAAAUUUUCAUGCUCUUAGCUAUUUGGGAUUGAAUAUAUCGAUCUAAUAGAUCUGGAACCGAUCGAAUAUAAUAAUAGUUUUAACAUUCUUGCUGACGUAUUUAGUAAAAAAUCAAAGAUACCAAAUAGAGUCGAUUUUGAUUUAUCAUAUUUAUAUUUGUGUAGAUUCCACCCAAAAAUAGGAAACUUGAAUAAGGAAUUAUUAUAAUGAUUCAUUUUUCAAUAAUAGAUUAACAUAAAUUUGUAACUGUCAUACAAUAAUUAAUACUUCAAAAUCAAAAUUGUUACAUAUGAAUUAUUUCAUAGAGAAAUUUUGUAUUUAUCUCUAAACAUAAUAAUCAGUACCUAAACAACUACAAGAAAUUGUUAAAAGAGUCUAGGGUGUUUAAUAAACAAAAAAGAGUGUAAAUUAAGGUCUCUAUUGGUGUUUUGUGGGGACAAGGAGGGAAGUGUCAGGUGAGGAAAUUAAACUUUGGUGGGUAUUUAUUUAUCUCUUNCUGUUAGUAUGCGAUGGAUGCCCAGAUUAGUGUCGGAUGAGGUUACGCUUGUGCUGGGAUGCCGAGUUUAUUUUUACAGUAGUGUGUAGACUAUUUCGGACUGUCAGGUGCCGUCGCGGUUGACAUUGGACCCAAAUUUCUGUAUUUGCAUCAGAUUGUGCCAAGGGCACGUGAGCUUUGGUUGUUAGACCAGUUAGACCCAUUUGCUUUGAUUAUAGCCUGUGAGUGCCUGAUUGAGCUCAGCAGAGACACGCUUGCAAACUCAAUUGGGUAGCGCCCACGAGUGCCACUCCGGAGUCGGGCUUUGUGCGUUUGCGUUGAUGUCGUAGUGUCCGGGUUGGACUUGCUCUCCACCGACAAUCCAGCGUGGUGGUUGUUGGUGUAGCUUCGACAGGCGGGAUAGGUCCGUUCACAGUCCCCAGUGAGUUUGGGUCAGAGAUUGCAUUUUUGUUAUAUCUACAGAUAGCCAGUGUUGGUUAGCGAUAGUAUAGUGGCAUAUAGCUGUAAGGUUUCCAGCUUUCCUUACUAUCUUUUACGCACUUUUCUGUAGACCUAGUGGGUGAACCGUUGAGGUUGGUGACAGUACCCACUGAGUAGUACUUCUUUUUGCAGUAGUUCUCACACCCAGUUGUUGACCCUUUUUGCAGAGCCUUUGUCCGCGGCUGCUGCUGACGCUGUUUCUGAUCAUGGAAAGGGAGUCACGAGCUAGAUCCCUUCCCUGGUUACUGUGCUAGAGGAGUACCUUCCAUAGGUAGUUUUGGGGCAUUUUGUACAUAUGGUCUUGUUGUCUGUGUACUCGCUAGAGUGAGUGGUGUAGUAGAUAUUUUGCAUGUACCGGAACCCCUCGAGGUUUUAUAUAUAUGUGUUCAGUUUAGCAGCUCUAUACUACUGGUUGUAGUUUUGUAUGAUUACAGGUACAGCUAUCGCUUCGUAUACAGGAAAAAUUUCUAUGUAUACGGCGGGUCUGUUGGAGUGCCCGAGGAAACGUAUAAUCCGGGGCGUGACACUUUUGAUCAAUAGCCAAAUAAUGUCGAAAAAUUAUGAAAUUUAGUUUUCAAAUACUUUUAAUAAUGUAGAUCAAGUCUAAUGGAGCUGAGCGUCGAUUUGAAAGCUGCAUUAUUGAAAAUAACUUGGUAGCACGGAGACCUCCGAGCUAUACCAAUAGUAUACUAGCCUAGUUCUCUCUCUCUCCCUCCCCCCCUCCCCUCUAAUAUAUAUAUAUAUAUAUAUAUAUAUAUAGGCUAAUGCUACUAUCCUAUUAAUAGGAUAGGAGCACUUGUCCUAUCAAGUUGUUCUUGAUAAUCGAAAUUCCGAAUCGAUGAUCGAAGCCGUUGAAGUUAAUCUAGAGUAUUUGAAAUAUCUAGAAACUAAAUUUCAUAAAUUUUGAUAAUGGUUUACAUGGUGAUCAAAGUGUCGUAAAAUCGACAAUUUUUUACGGCCUAUAUGAGCCGUUUGCUUGUUUAACGAUGUAGAGCAAUCUAAAUUGCUUGAAUUUUUGAUAGAAAAUUCUUUAUACUAUUUAGAUAAUGUUUGAUAACUCUGAUUACGAACUGAGAAAGUCUAACCUCUAUUUUAAGAAGGUUAUUCAUUUAUGACCGUUCAUUUUUCAACUCUUAAGAUGAACUUGAUAAUAAUUUUUAAAAUAAUACAAAUUGGUUUAAACAUUUCUAAUUAGUGUAGAUCAACUUCAACCGGUGUCCGAUGUAUCAAUUUGAAGUAUCGAUCUUCAAAUCGACUUUGAUAGGCAAGGGUCCCAAUCCUAUUAAUAGGAAUAGUAGCUGGACUCCUUAUUAUAUAUAUAUAUUAUAUAUAUAAUAUAUAUAAUAUAUAUAUUAUAUAUAUAGAGUGAGUUCUACUAUGCUAUCGGAUAGCACGGAGCCUUCCGUGCCUUCCAGGCUCGUUUUAUGAUGUGCGACUUUCGAAUCGUCGAUCGGCUCCGUUAAACUGAUCUAGAGUAUUUUGAAGUACCUAGAAAAUAAAUUUAUGAUUUUAGAUAUCAUUUGCCUAUGAACGAAGGGGCUCAAAAUUCAACUGACUGAAAAUAAAAAAUCGGUACAAAUAAAUAAUAUGACAUUAAAAUUUUAAAUCACAAGAUAUUGAUCUUGUUUUAUUAUAGUAUAAAGGAUAUUUUCUAUCAAAAAUUUCGCGCGUGAUUUGGAUAUUUCUACACCUGUUAACUUGCAAACGGCUCACUACGGCCAAUUUGAAAUUUGUUGAUUUGCAGCCCCUUGGCUUCAUAGGAAAUUGAUAUCGUAAAUCAUUAAAUUUUAUUUUCUAGGUACUUCAAAUUACUUUAGAUCAAGUUUACGGAGUCUUCGAAUCGACUGAUUCGAAAGUCGCACAUCGGAAAACGAUAGCUGGAAGCACGGAAGGCUCGGUGCUUUCCCUUCCCAAGAUAGCAUAAGUAGCCUUUCACUAUAUUUAUUAUAUAUAUUAUAUAUAUAUAUAUAUAUUAUAAUAUAUACUAUAUAUAUAUUAUGCUUAGUGAGGCCCCUUUAGUUCUAUAUAUAUAUAUAUUAUAUAUAUAUAUAUUAUAUAUAUAUAUAGAAUUAUGGCUACUAUACUAUCAGAGCCAGAGCGCUCCCGUUGCUACCCGAGUUGUUUUUCGAUGUGUGGCUUCUAACAUCGACGAUCGGCUCGUUUGGACUUAUCUACACUAUGAAAAAGUUAUUAGAACUAAUUUCAUAUUUUUCGAUAUUAUUUAUCUUUAUCAACAAGUAGUUUAAAAUUGAACGGCUGAAAAUAAAAAUCUCAUGAAAAUAAUGAUAAAGAGCGGGGGUUUUUAAAUUCAUAUGAUCAGAUAUAUUUGAUCUUUACUUAAAUAGUGAAAAGAAUUUUCUAUUUUAAAAUUUUUCAGUCGCAUUUGAUUAGUUUUUACACGUAUAAAUACUCACCAAACACACCACAUCGACCAUUAAAAUUGUCAAUUUUGAGAAUCAUUUUUGAUCACUAGUCAAAUGAUGUCGAAAAAUCUGAAAUUUAGGUUUCAAAUACUUGUCAAUAGUGUAGAUUCAAGUCUAACGGAGCGAUCGUCGAUUUGGAAGACGCCAUCAUCGAAAAACAACUUGUGCACGGAAGUGCUCCGUUGUACGAUAGAAAUAGUAGCCGGACUCUAUAAUAUAUAUAUAUAUAUAUAUAUAUAUAUAUAUAUAUUUAGAGAGAGAGAGAGAGAGAGAGCGGGAGAGAGAGAGAGAGAAGAGCUCCGACUACUAUUUAUCGUUAGUCCAAGCCCUUGGUACUAUUAGAUUUCUACCAGUUAGAUUCUGCCCCUUUGGAUCAUUUUCACCCGUUAGAUUAUUUUAUAUUAAACCAACCACGACUGAACCAGAGGGGACCACUAUAUCCUAACCGCACAUGCUUAUUCCAAACGGCGGAAAAUCAAUAGUACUCAAAGCUAGGUACUAUGAUAGUAUAGUAAGCAUAAUUCUAUAUAUAUAUAUAUAUAUAAUAUUAUACUAAUAUAUAUAUAUAUAUAUAUAGUGAUAAUAUGAUGAGAGAGAGAGCAGAGAUGGAGAGAGAAGAAUGAGAGAGAGAUGAGCGGCGCGCGAUAGGCUGGAAUACUAUUAUAGCAAAAAUUCUUUUUGCUAUCGAAGUUAACCCUGAAGAGAAUAUAUGGUAGGAGAUAGUCCAGGGAGAGCCCAGGAGUGGUCCCCAGUAUCAUAUUAUCAAUUGUUAAAUUGAUGAAAAAAUUGUCCAAAGGCUAAAAAACUUUAAUAGCAAAAAGCUGAAUGUAUUAGCCCAAACUCUCCUUACUCUCUCUCUCUCUCUUCUCUCUCUCUUCUCUUCUCUUAUAUAUUAUAUAUAUAUAUAUUAUAAUAUAGUGCGUGAUGCCUGGAAGAUGGAGCGGCUCCGUGUUCUAAGUCGUUUUGAUGUUGAGGAGACGACGCACGAUUGAUCUAGGAGUAUGUUAGUAUCUAGAAAAAAAUUUUUGUGAUUUUUAUAUUCAUUGCCUAUGACGAAUGAAAUUCACAUAAACCAAUCUCCUAUUUGUGUCCCCGAUUGCGCUGAGCAGUUGCGGCACCACGGGCUAGUAUGAUACAUGACGCGCCUAGCGAUAAAGACGACUACAGCAAAAUAAGAGAGGUACGACACAGCAAGGGUGGCGCAUUGCAAGACACGUAUGGUAUGUUGGAUGGAAAAAGAGUGAUAAGAUGGACACCACAAGUAACGUUAACCAUACGAAUCCUAGGGAAAUCUCGGUCAUAGCCCGUUAAAUAUAAUUCUCAAGACAGCGAUUUAUAAUUCUUUGUCGUAUGGGUGGUAGCAGCUCGAGAGAUUGACCUUGACAUGAAGUUUCUUGAACAACUUGCCACAAAAUAGACUAAAAUGAAAAAUCGGGUCUUUAUCGUUACAAUACUUCUGUAGAUAACCCUAGCAACAAUAAAUGUUUGCAUACGACCAAAAUGCUUAGCUAUUAUUAUUACUUAGUGUUAAGUUUUUAUAUAUCAAUAAUUACCCCCCCUAUUGGGAUGGGGACAGACUUCCCUCGAAGACGAGUCUCGUAGAACACACACACAGCCAAGAUACCUACCGAUGUGCAGAUCGUCUCUCGAGCUGUCAUCGAGAAGGUCACCUUCUAUACAGACGGAUAGCUAAUCCGCUUAUCUUUAGACCUGGAUCAGUGAGACUCGCACAUUUCUCGGCUGGUAAUUGCUGAUACCAAAUGUAAAACCCGUACGCAAAAUAAGGAACAACAUCGACCCAAAAUACUUAUAGCCAGUUAUUAGAUUACUAGUGCCUUAAGUCUCUUAUAUAGCCAAUCAUUCCCAUUCCUAUCAUGUAGAAUUAUGGGUGUGACACGCAUCGGAGUUGUAGAUUUGUUCAUAAAUUCUUCGGAGCAUAGAAGAAGCAGUGUUAGGGUGGAAAUGCUAUGAAAUUAAGGUAUUGCUCAACCUAUCCCACGACUAUGUUACCUCCUUCUGGUAAAGACACUGCUCAAUCCUUCGAUAAAUUCAUGAAAAUUCCAUCCAAUGUAUUCAGGUAUGGUAGGGGUUGUAGAAAGACCCGCCGGUUCUGCUGUUUUUCAUACUUUAUUUGCGAUAACCGGGCAUUCUCGAAUAAUUGAUCAACAGUUAUUUGUUUAAUUCUCUCAGUUAGAAGUAAAUCCUUAACACUCCUGGUUUGUUGGCUUCCGAACGGACGUGACCCUAAGCCGUGGAAAUGGAUCUCAGUGUCACGAGUAUGCAACUGUAACCGGAGGUCAUUACCCAACUACUAGUUUCCUUUUCUCUUAGUUUGGUUCUGAGCAUAUGGUGUAGUGCGGCCCAAGAUUUUGGAUCUUGUUGCUUGCUGCUAUAAUGGUUUUAACUGUUAUUCUGACUUCCAACUGGAUUGAAUUUGAUCCAACAUAUCGGUUCCCAUACUGAAAUUGUUGCAAGGUAGGUGAUCUAGAUAAGGGCAAUCAGGCGACCACAUUGUUGUUCAUUUUAUUAUUUACUAUUUCUAAAUACAACCCAUUAGCUUAGAAAGCCAUUUGCUGGCUGGGGUAGAUAUUUUUUGUCUAUAAGAAUUUUAAACUUUGAUGAUCAGUCUUAUUCUUAAAAUGCGUCCAACUAGGAUAUGGUUCCAUUUUUUGUUUACCGCAUUACUAUUGCUAACAUUUCUCAUCGUUUAAGCUAACAGCAAUCGAAUUUGUUGGGGAUAAUGGCUUGCUUCAAAUGCAAUUGGUUUGGCCUUUUUGUUACGAAAACUCCACUACCCCUACUUCCUGGAUGCCAUUGUUCGACAAAUAAAUUCCGGUUGCAAUAAUUAGGUAGUGCAAUGCUUGGGCGGUAGAAGAUUUGCCACUUUUAGUGUUUGAAGCUUUAGAUACGCUUUACAUCAGUCCAUUUUAAAACCCAUUAUUUUGGCUAAAUAAUCAUGCAAGGGCUUGCUUAUUUUCCCAAAAUAUUUUAAACAAAGUGUCUAUAAUAACUGCUUAUAUCCCAAGAACACCGCAAUUCUUAUUAUGAAGAUUGGGAGUUCCAUUGCAGAAUAGCUAUCGAUUUUCUUUGUCUCCCAUGCGCUUUCCUAAAUGAAGAUCAGGCGAAGUUACUGCCAAAUGUGAUUUCUCCCUCCCACGCUUCGCAGGAUUAGGUAUGUGCUAGAUAUCAAAAAGUAGUGCGAAGAUGUUGAAGAUGUUCUCUGCCUUUAUUGUAGAUGAGAAUAUCAUCAAAAAAAUACCAGAUAAAUGCCUUAGAUAGUUAAUAAAGUUCAUACUCUGAAACGUAGACACACUGCCACUCGCGUGUGUCCACAAGCGGCAUCACACGCAAUUCGUUUAGUGACCUCAUCUGUGUGCGAUAAUGUUGUCUUAGCAAUGUCGGACCUGUGCAGUUCGGAUUUGAUUUGGUAAAUGAUCGUAAAAUCUAGUUUAGAAAGUGAGAUUGAAACCCGAGUUAACUCAAUAAUCAUCACCAAUGGUUAUUAGGAAAUUAUCCUUGAUCGAUGUUGUCGUGAGGCGCCCUGUAAUUACGCAUAGCCGCCCGACCUUUUUUUUUCUAACUUUAGCACUUUACCGGGCGACGAGUAGGGGCUAUUUGCUCAGUCUUAAUUAUUCCUGAUUUAGCAUUUUUCUGUCCAAUCUUCUCAAUUUUUCAAUUUUUUAAUAUGCAGGAGUAUCUAUAUGUUAAACGUUAACUUGGGUUCGCCCCGUCUUUUAAAGGCGAUUUGUGGUCUUGUACUCUUUUGUGGCUGGCAGACCCUACGGUUCAACGAAUAGAUCAGAAUAUUCCUCAGAAGCAAUUGAAUCUUUUCGAAACAGGUUUAUCUUAACCCUUUCCCACUCAGUUCCCGUACUUCAACUAAUUCUGUUUUGAAUAUAUCUUGGAUUAGCCAAUGUAUAGAGCAUAUGUGCGUAUGCAGAACAAGAUGUGUUUCCUUGUAUAUUUUAUGAGUUCCUCCUCCCUGUUUUUUCAUUACAACUUGUCUCUUGCGAGCUCGCGAGGCACCUUUUUGGUUUCGCUGGAAAUGGAAUUCCCAUUGCGUAGUUUGCUUGAAAUCCCACAAAAUGGCCUCUAAUUGUAUGAGCCAUUGUAUUCUUUAGCACCAUAUAACCUUCAAGGCCUCCCAGGUAGAGAGGCGACACGAAUUGACGUACUCUCACGGUAUAAUUUCUUAUUUUCCGUGGCGAGUAUAUUCAUGAUUCAGAUUAAUUAUUUAAUUAUAUAUGAUUCAGUAUGAAGACGACUUCCAAAAACGCAAGCGGAACAGUUUAGGGUACCUUUCGAUUUUAAGAGGACCUCUGUAAUGCCUGAAUAGACAUGAAUUUUGAGUAAAAGAUGGAUUUUAUAACACAAUCCAUUGUAUAGUUAGGCUUAAACCAUGGGCAUACCAGUGUACAAUGAUGUAUAUAUGAUAUAAAGAGCAAAUGAUUAGUUCAACAGACAUAAAUGGUCCAAUUGAACUUAAUUUGGAUUACACUAUAGUUUUAAAGGGUUAAUCCAAUUAGAAUUUAAAUAAUCUAGUUGUAUGUAAGAUUUAGUGGGUUUGAAUCGAUUAACUCUAAUUGUAUGUGUCAGAGUCAAUCGGUUUAGUCACCAUAUAGCAGGAAAAUUCUAUUGUAUUAGAAAGCCGAUUUGAUAUAGAUUAACUCUAAUUUAUACAUAUUAGAAGUGUAAUUAAUUUAUUGAACAUCUAAGCAAUGUAUAUUUAUAGGAGAAGAGAUCUAAGUUGAAGGAUUGGCUUAAUAAAAUAUUAGGAUUAGCCAAAAUUGAUUUAAAUUAAACUCUAAUUAUACAUAUUAGAGUCUAACUUGGUUUCUUUUGUUUGAACUCUAAGUAAAUGUAUUAGAGUCCAAUCGAUUUAAUUAUUUUUACCUUAGUCAUAUAUACUAAGAUAAAAAGACGAUUUGAUCAAUUCUAAGCAUAUAUUUAGAAUUUGAUCGAGUUUGAAUAUAGUUGUGAUUUGACUCUAGUUUUAUAUGCUAGAGAAUCGGGUUGAAAUAGUUUGUUUCUAAGGACUUGGUAUAGAGAAGAGGUUGGAUUAGGUUGUGCAUGACUUGGGUUUGAGGUUAGGUUUGGACUUUGAUUUGGUUAUUAUGGUAUAGGUUUCAUAUAUGGCUUGUCAAAUUUGGAUUGGAUUGGAAUUAAAGAUUGGGUUCAGCUUGGAUCAAUCCGAAUUAAAUAAUUGGGUUGGGUUUAUAUUUAGUCUUGGACAUGAAUUUGGGCUCAUUUGGAGAUAUAAUUAGGCUGAGUUUAUAUUUGGCCUUGGACAUGAACUUAGGCCCAUUCGGAGAUAUAAUUGGGCUGGGUUUAUAGUUGGUGUUGGACAUGAACUUGGGCCCAUUCAAAGAUAUAACUGGGCUGGGUUUAUAUUUGAUCUUGAACAUGAAUCUGGGCCGAUUCGGAGAUAUAAUUGUGCUGGGUUUCUAUUUGGUCUUGGACAUGAACUUAGGCCCAUUCGGAGAUAUAAUUGGAUUGGGUUUAUAUUUAGUCUUGGACAUGAACUUGGGCCCCUCCAGAGAUAUAAUUGGACUGGGUUUACAGUGUUAAGAUUAAGCCCGUACAGCUUAUUCAAACUUGAGAUUUCAACAGAAAAUUUCAAAGACACUUUGAAAUCACGUUUUAAAUUUGGGUUUCAAAUCCAUAGAUAAAUCCUCAUUUAGUGUGUGUGUGAGUAUAUAUAUAUAUAUAGUAUUUGAAAAGAGUUCAAAAAUUCAAGAUAAUUUAAGUUUUGAAUUUUUAAUUCAAAACAUAAUGAAUAAAUAAAUAACAAAUAUUUUCUUUCUUCCGUCUCCCAUCUUAGAGUAACAAUAAUAAUAAUUCCUCGCCUCCUUUUUGCAAUAUUUAUCAAUAUGAGCAUUAAUUAAUAUAGUCGGCAACGGCGCAGUGUUCAUGGCGAUCACCAAAUUAAAUUGAUUAUGUACAUAUAUGUCUCUCCUGUUUUUUUUUAACGACAAAAAGUUCUGAUCCUCAAUCGUCGUCGUAGAACGCAUGAAAGACUUCAAAGCAGAAUCAGACUUGAAAAUUAAGCCAAAUCCGCAAAGCACCAAAAUAAUUACUUUAUCAAUACAGGCUGNCUGGUAUGCUUCUGGAAGCAUGGAGCGCUCCGUGCUUCUAAGUCGUUUUCGAUGUUGAGACUUUUGAAUCGACGAUCAGCUCCGUUGUACUUGAUCUAGAGUAUUUUAAGUAUCUAGAAAAUAAAUUUUGUGAUUUUUUUAUAUCAUUUGCCUAGUGAUCGAAUUGUAAAUUCACAUAAACCCAAUCUCCUAUUUGUAGUUCCCUUUCCGAUCUUCCCUUGUUAGCUAGUUGUCGCAUCCUAUUCUGGGCCUUAGCUAGAUUAUCCUUUAUUACUCGUACAGCCGCCUCUCUAGCCGAUAAAGUACGAUCUACAGCUUCAAACGAUGAGUAGCCAGCCAGGUACGACACAUGCAAGGGUGGCGCUUGCCCAUAGACCACCUCGUAUGGAGUAGUUUGGAUGGAAGAGUGAUAAGAUGUGUUGUACCACCACCAUUCAGCUAACGGUAACCAUCACGACCACUCCCUAGGGAAAUCUCCGGUCAUGCACCGUAAAUAUAAUUCUCAAGACAGCGAUUUAUAACUUCUCUUUGUCCGUCCAUUUGUGGGUGGUAGGCAGUCGAGAGAUUGACCUUCACAUGAAGUUUCUUGAACAACUUGCACCAAAAUAGACUAAUGAAAAUCGGGUCUUUAUCGCUUACAAUACUUCUGUAACGACUCAACCCCCUAGCAACAAUAACUCGUUGGGCCCAAACACCGACCCAAAAUGCUUAAGCCUAGUUAUUAUUACUAGUGUCUAAGUUUCUUAUAUAUCCAAUCACAUCCUCAUUCCUAUUCGAUAUGGGAUUAUUGGGGUGUGACAGACUCCCCCCGUUAAGACCCUGACGUCCUCGUCAGUCCAAUCACACACACAGCCCAAGAUCACCAGGCGAUGUGAGACUCGUCUCGCUAGCCUUGUCAUCCAGACCCUGGCAUAGUCGGUCACCUUCUCAUACAGACUCCGGUAUAGCCUAUCACCUUAUCUUUCAGACCCUGGCUCAGCUGAGACUCGCCACACAUUUUCGGCUGGUAAUUGGCUUUGAUACCAAAUGUAACGACCCAGCCCACUAGCAACAAUAACUCGUUGGGCCCAAACAUCGACCCAAAAUACUUAAGCCCAGUUAUUAUUACUAGUGCCUAAGUCUCUUAUAUACCCAAUCAUAUCCCCAUUCCUAUCCGAUGUAGAAUUAUUGGGGUGUGACAACUUCUUGGCAAUUCGUGUAGCUUGUAGAUAUUGUUCAUAAAUUCUUGAGCAAUAGAAGAAGCAGUGUAAGGGUGGGAUAAUGCUAUGAAUUAAGCGUACUUGCUCAACCUAUCCACCACGACCAUGAUUACCUCCUUCUGGUAAGACACUGUCAAUCCUUCGAUAAAAUUCAUGAAAAUUUCCAUCCAAAUGUGUUCAGGUAUUGGUAGGGGUUGUAGAAGACCCGCCGGUGCUGCUGUUUCAUACUUAUUUUGCCGAUAAACCGGGCAUUCUCGAAUAAAUUGAUCAACAGUUUGUUUUAACUUCUUCCAGUAGAAGUAACUCCUUAACCUCCUGGUUGUUGCUUCCGAACCGGAGUGACCCCCUAAGCCGCUGGAAUGGAACUCAGUGACGAGUUGCAACUGUAACCCGGGGUCAUUGCCAACUACUAGUUUCCUUUUCCUCUUAAGUUGGUUCUGAGACUAUGUGUAGUGCGGCCAAGAUUUUGGAUCUUGUUGCUUCUGCUGUAUAAUGGUCUUUAACUUGUUAUCUGACUUCCAACUGGACUUGAUUUGAUCCAACAUAUCGGUUCCCACUACUGAAAUUGCUUGCAAGGUAGGUGAUCUAGAUAAGGCAUCGGCGACCACAUUGUCUGUUCCAUUCUUAUAUACUAUUUCAUAAUCAAACCCCAUUAGCUUAGAAAGCCAUUUUUGCUGGCUGGGAGUAGAUAUUUUUUGCUCCAUUAAGAAUUUUAAACUUUGAUGAUCAGUCCUUAUCUUAAAAUGCCGUCCAACUAGAUAUGGUCUCCAUUUUUGUACCGCAAUUACUAUUGCUAACAUUUCUCACUCGUAAGCUAACAGCAAUCGAUUUGUUGGGGAUAAUGGCUUGCUCAAAUGCAAUUGGUUGGCCUUUUUGUAGCAAACUCCACCUACCCCUACUCCGGAUGCAUUCGUCUCGACAAUAAAUUCGGUUGCAAAAUUAGGGAGUGCCAAUGCUGGGGCGGUAGAGAUUGCCACUUUUAGUUGUUGAAAAGCUUGAUAGCUUACAUCAGUCCAUUUAAACCCAUAUUUUGCUAACAUAUCAUGCAAGGGCUUGCUUAUUUUCCCAAAAUUUUUAACAAAGUGUCUAUAAUAACCUGCUAAUCCCAAGAACACCCGCAAUUCUUUUAUUGAAGAUGGAGUUGUCCAUUGCAGAAUAGCUUCGACUUUUCUUUGUCUCCAUUGCGACCCUUUCCUGGCUAAUAAUAUGACCCAGAUAUUCCAGGCGAGCUACUGCAAAUGUGCAUUUCUUCCACUUGAGGAAUAAGGUAUGUUGCCUAAGAAUAUCAAAAGUAGUCCGAAGAUGUUGAAGAUGUUCCUCUGCUCCUUUAUUGUAGAUGAGAAUAUCAUCAAAAAAUACCAGAAUAAAUCGCCUUAGAUAGGGUUUAAAAAUAAGGUUCAUCAACCCUUGAAACGUAGAAAGUGCAUUGGUGAGUCCAAAGGGCAUCACCAAGAAUUCGUAGUGACCCUCAUGUGUGCGAAAUGUUGUCUUAGCAAUGUCGGCCUCGUGCAUCCGGAUUUGAUGGUAACCUGAUCGUAAAAUCUAGUUUAGAAAAGUGAGUUGAACCCCCGAGUUCAUCCAAUAAUUCAUCCACCAAUGGUAUAGGAAAUCUAUCCUUGAUCGUGUUGUCGUUGAGGGCCCUGUAAUCUACGCAUAGCCGCCACGACCCUUUUUUUUUUUAACUAGCACUACCGGGGACGAGUAGGGGCUAUUGCUCAGUCUAAUUAUUCCCUGAUUUAGCAUUUUCUGUACCAAUCUCUCAAUUUCAAUUUUUUAAUAUGCAGGGUAUCUAUAUUGUCUAACGUUAACUGGGUUCGCCCCGUCUUUUAAAGGAAUCUUGUGGUCUUGUACUCUUUUGGGCGGCAGACCCUACGGUUCAACGAAUAGAUCAGAAUAUUCCCUCAGAAGCAAUUGAAAUCUUUUUACGAACAGGUCAUCUAACCCUUCCCACUCAGUUCCCGUUACUUCAACUAAUUCUGUUUGAAUCAUAUCUUGAGUAGCCACAUGUAUAGAGCAUAAGUGUACUGCAGAACAAGAUGUGUUUCCUUGUAUCAUUUUCAUGAGUUCCUUCCUGUUUAUCAGUUACAAACUUGUCUCCUGCGAGCCUCGAAGCACCACCUUUUGUUUCCUGAAAUGGAAUUCCAUGCGUAGUUGCUUGAAAUCCCACAAAAUAGGCCCUAAUUGUAUGAGCCAUUGUAUUCUUAGCACCAUAUCACACCCCUUCAAGGGUAGUGUCUGCGACCACGAAUGACGUACCUCUCACGGUUAAUCUUAUUUUCCGUGGGGUAAUAUUCAUGAUUCAGAUUAAUAUUUAAUUAUAUAUGAUUAUCAGGUAUUGUGGAUUCAUGACUUCCAAUAAACGCAAGCGUUUAUUGUUAAUUACCCCUUUAAAGUGUUAGGGUACCUUCGAUUAAGAGACCUCUGUAAUGCUGAAAUAGACUGAAAUUGAAUAAAAGAUGGAUUUUAUAACACAAUCCAUUGUAUAGUUACAUGGCUUAACCAGGGGCAUACCCCAGUGUACAUGAGUAUAAUAUGAUAUAAAAGAGAAAAUGAUUAGUUCAACGACAUAAUGGUCAAUUGAACUUAAUUUGGAUUACACCUAUAGUUUUAAAGGGUUAAUCCAAUUAGAUUUAACUAAAUCCUAGUUGUAUGUAUUAGGAUUUAGUUGGGUUUGAAUCGAUUAAACUCUAAUUGUAUGUGUCAGAGUCCAAUCGGAUUUGAGUCCACCAUAAGGUGCAGGAUGGCUAAAUCUAUAUGUAUUAGAAUUAGCCGAUUUGAUAUAGAUUAACUCUAAUUAUACAUAUUAGAGUCUAAUUAAUUUAAUUGAACUCUAAGCAUGUAUAUUAGAGUCCCACCAUAUUUGAGUUCACUCUAAGUUGAAGGAUGGCUAAAUACUAAAUAUAUGUAUUAGGAUUAGCCAAAAUUGAUUUAAAUUAAACUCUAAUUAUACAUAUUAGAGUCUAACUUGGUUUCAUUUGUUUGAACUCUAAGUAUAUGUAUUAGAGUCCAAUCGAUUUAAUUUGAUUAGGUGAAACCUAAUUCAUUAUUUUUACCUUAGUCAUAUAUACUAAAAUAAAAAGAUAGUUUGAUCAAUUCUAAGCAUAUAUUUAGAAUUUGAUCGAGUUUGAACAUGGUUGUGAUUGGACUAGUUUGUUUCUAAGGACUUGGAGAAGCGGUUGGAUUGAUAUAGUCCUAUAGUUAUGGCUUAGGACAAAUGUUGAUUUGAAUUUGGAUCAGGUUUUGUAUAAUUUGAAUUGGUUUAGAUUUGGAAUUUGAUUUUGAUUGACAUGAUCUGGGCUUGAGAUGUAGGUUGGCCAUUGGAUUUAGGCUUGGGUUGAGGUCAGGCCCGUAUAGUUUAGGUUUAAAAUCAAGCCUGGAUUAGAUUUAACAGGCUAUAUUUGGGUUCAGGCUCAAUGUGGGUUAGAAUAGUACAUGUCUGUCUGUUUGGGCCAAAUUUCGGCCCAUGUAGUUUGGGUUUAGCUUGGAUCAAUCCGAAUUAAAUAAUUGGGUUCGGUUUAUAUUUAGUCUUGGACAUGAACUUGGGCUCAUUCAAAGAUAUAAUUGGGCUGGAUUUAUGUUUGGCCUUGGACGUGGACUUAGGCCCAUUCAGAGAUAUAAUUGGGUUGGGUUUAUAUUUGGUGUUAGACAUGAACUUGGGCCCAUUCAAAGAUAUAAUUGGGCUGGAUUUAUAUUUGAUCUUGAACAUGAAUCUGGGCCCAUUCGAAGAUAUAAUUGUGCUGGGUUUCUAUUUGGUCUUGGACAUGAAUUGGGCCCAUUCGGAGAUAUAAUUAGACUGGGUUUACAGUGUUAAGAUUAGGCCCAUACAGCUUAUUCAAACUUGAGAUUUCAACAGAAAAUUUCAAAGACACUUUGAAAUCACGUUUUAAAUUUGGGUUUCAAAUCCAUAGAUAAAUCCUCAUUUAGUGUGUGUGUGAGUAUAUAUAUAUAUAUAGUAUUUGAAAAGAGUUCAAAAAUUCAAGAUAAUUUAAGUUUUGAAUUUUUAAUUCAAAACAUAAUGAACAAAUGAAUAAACAAAUAUUUUCUUUCUUCCGUCUCCCAUCUUAGAGUAACAAUAAUAAUAAUUCCUCGCCUCCUUUUUGCAAUAUUUAUCAAUAUGAGCAUUAAUUAAUAUAGUCGGCAACGGCGCAGUGUUCAUGGCGAUCACCAAAUUAAACUGAUUACGGACAAAUAUGUCUCCCUUUUUUUUUUUAACGACAAAAAGUUCCGAUCCUCAAUCGUCGUCGUAGAACGCAUGAAAGACUUCAAAGCAGAAUCAGACUUGGAAAUUAAGCCAAAUCCGCAAAGCACCAAAAUAAUUACUUUAUCAAUACAGGCUGCGGCUUCAUCAUAAUUAAUUGCCGAAUCCAUCAAGCACCAAAGCAAUUACUUUAUCAAUGCAAGCUACGGCUACAUCGUAAUUAAUUGCUGAAUCCGCAAAGAACCAAAGCAAUUACUUUAUCAAUACAAGCUGCAGCCACAUAUCUAUUCAUCAUAAUUAAUAUACAUCUCCUUAAUUUGCAUGCAUGUGAGGGAGCUUGUUCACGUAAUACACAUGUUAUUUCGCGCGGUAGAUGAGUGGAGACCGUUCUUCUCUUCUGCCGACCGCUAAGCGCCAAACGGAAGAUCGCCGGCUUCACGUCUUCUCCGUCAUCGUUGUCGACGCGCCGUUAAUUCCGUCAACGGCUAAGCGCCAAACGGAAGGUCGUCAGCUUCACGUCGUCUCCGUCAUGGUUGUCGAUACGCCGUUAAUUCCGCCAUGGUCGUCGAUGCGUCGUUAAUUCCGCCGACGGCUAAGCGCCAAACGGAAGGUCGUCAGCUUCACGUCAUCUCCGUCGUGGUUGUCGACGCGCCGUUAAUUCCGCCGACGGCUAAGCGUCGACGAAUGAAGCUCCAUCGUUAUUGUCGAUGCGCUGUUACUUUCGUCGAUGUCGUCGAUGCGCCGUUACUUCCGUCGACGGCUAAGCGCCAAACGGAAGGUCGUCAGCUUCACGUCGUCUCCGUCGUGGUUGUCGACGCGCCGUUAAUUCCGCCGACGGCUAAGCGCCGACGAAUGAAGCUCCACCGUUAUUGUCGAUACGCCGUUAAUUCCGCCAUGGUCGUCGAUGCGCCGUUAAUUCCGCCGACGGCUAAGCGCCGGCGAAUGAAACUCCGCCGUUGUUGCCGAUGUAGAGAUGGAUGGAGGCUAUUCUUCUCUUCCGCCGAUGGCUAAGCGCCAAACGGAGGAUCGUCGGCUUCACAUCAUCUCCGCCAUGGUUGCCGAUGAAGCUCCGCCGUUGAUGUAGGGAUGGAGGGAGGACGCGAGUAUUAUUAUUAUUAUUAUUAUUAUUUUUUGUGAGGAGGAGAAGAAAGAAAAUAUAUUUCUUCUUUUUUUUGAAUGGAUAUUUGUACCUUUUUUUUGAACGAAUCUUGUUUCUCUCUCUUUUUUUUUUUGCCAAAGUAGUUGAUCUCUCUAACAACUUUUCUAAAAAAAUCCUCCCUCUUUCAUUGUAUCUUUCCCUCUUUUAUAGACUUUUUUAGUUAGUGCAUAAGUGGGUAGUUUUUUUUUUUUAGUGGGUUAGUGGGUUAAUAGGAGAGAUUAGUGGGAAGGUGGGAAGGGUAGUUAGUUUUCCCCUUUUUUUUCUCGUAGUGGGUUUUCUUUUUUUUUUUUAUUUUAUUUUAUUUUAUUUUAUUUUAUUUUAUUUUUUUUAAGCAUGGAACUGAUCUUAACCGUCAGUUCAAAAAUUCAAAACCAUUGAGAUGCCAUAUAGAACCAAUUAAUCAUGCCCGGUUAAUUAGUGGCUCAAAACCAUUGAGAUGCCAUCAUGGCCCGGUUAAUUAGAGAUGCCAUAUAGAACCAAUUAAUCAUGCCCGGUUAAUUAGUGGCUUAAAACCAUUGAGAUGCCAUCAUGGCCCGGGUAAUUAGUCGCCCGGCUCAGUCGCACCAUCUUUUUUUUCUUUUCACCCAACCCCUUUUUUUAAAUAAAUAUAUAUAAUCGUGGGCCCACUUUUUUAUGUAAGAGAAAACAAUAAUAAUAAUAAUAUGCAGAUAUUCGGGCUUAGGUUCGGAUUCAACCUGGACUUGAAUUAGAUUUGACUUGACUAUAUUUGAAUUCAAAAUUUGAAUCUAUCACGUUCUCCUCUUUUUUCUUAUUACACUCAAACAGGUAGUAGCAGCAUGCCAAUGUCAAACUCUACUCCUUGCAUCUUCCAUUGGAACCCUUUGCACAUGGGCGAACUUGUUAGCCGGUUACUAUCUGCUACAUUUACUGUAACUGGGGGAAUAUCUUCGGUAUGACACCCCAAUUUCGACGCUAUAGCCGAAUCUAGGAAGUGUGAACUUCCUGAAUCUAUAUGGACAUGGAUUCUCCUGUUUUUUGCAGUACCAGAGAGUCACAUGGUCCUGAAAUCAAGAGGUUGUGCGUGACCUGCCAGGGAUAGAGAGAGAUUUGGGGUGAGGAGAUUAAAGCUUCAGAUUCUACAGCAGUUUCUUCCAAGCUAUCAGCCUCUGCUGGGUCCUCUUCUUCCACCAGUUCAAUCUUGUACAAUUGUUUUUUCCUGCACUGAUGUCCUGGAGAAUAUUUCUCUUCACACCAAAAACAUAACCUCUUAGCCCUUCUUUCAUCGAAAUCAGCGUUGGAGACGUUUCUCACCAGUUUCGUUGCCACUGGUCCCACUCCUAACACACUUGGCUGGUUUGUAUUUCUAAGCAUUCUUGAGGAUUCGAAGAUAUUUCAGUUGUUGGUGGCCUUUGAAGUUGGUAAUGUAGGCAAGUUCCCGGCUACUAGUUUGGCUCCUCCCUUGUAGAGCUUAUUACGACUAUCCACUGCCAGUUCUUGCAACUUGGCCAAACUUAGUGCCUUUUGUAGCGUGCGUGGUUGGAACAUCUCGCACCGGAAUCUGGAUUUCCUUUUUUAAUCCACUAAGGAAGUAGCUUAUAGCAUAUUCUUCUGUUAAUACUACUCUAUUUAACAAGGCGUCAAACUUAUCUUGAUACUCCAUGAUAGACCCAACUUGCCUCAAUUCCUUAAGCUCUGCCAUCGGAUCAUCAUACAGAUCUACUCCGAAUCGUGUGUUAACGGCAAAUACAUAUUCUUCCCAGGUGGGUGGCGAGCGAGUGAACCUAGACUUCAUGUAAACCUGAUGCCAUUGAAGAGCCCUACUUUCUAGAUAGGUCGUAGCUAAUUUUACUUUAGCAUCUUCCUCAGUUCCGUCAAUUUCAAAAAAUUGUUCACAUCUAUACACCCAUCCUUUCAAAUCCAUUCCAUUGAAUCUAGGAAACUCUACUUUAGUAAAGCGCGAAGAUAAUUGGGAUUUGAUUGGAUUGUUACUUUCUGCUCGUGGUUUUGAGGGGGCAUCGCGGCUCGUUCCACCAAACAAUGAUGCUUGCAAUCCGAUGAACAUUUGGCGUACCUCGCUCAUGUCCUUUUCUUGGCAAUCUCGGACCUCCUGAAUCGAUUGCUUUUGUCGUGUGGCCGUGUCCCUGAUCAAUUGCCGCUACACCUCCUCCAUCUUUUUGAGUUCUUGAGCCCGUGUCUCCAUAGCCUGAUUAAUUGCUGAGGAUCGAUGCUCUGAUACCAAGCUGAUGCCACCAAUUAAGGACCUGGAGUAGAGGACCUAAAGGAAUGGUCCUGGAGCUCCAACCAUGGCAGCGUGAGGACAUGGAACAACAGCAGUAGCAGAGGAAGGAGAAGAAGAGUGAGAGGGGCGGAAACUAAAUUCUAUUAUCAUUAUAACUGGUUAUAAUUACAUGACCAUUCCCUGUUUAUAGCAGGCGAUGGCAUUACUGCAAAUAAAAUGAAAAGACAACAAUGUGGCCUGGGUAGUUAAGGUUGUUAAGUUGGUUGGCUACGGACGGCUGAGAUUGACUUGGGUGCGAUCCACAACCCAAAAUGAAGUGAUUUGGCCGGCCAGAUUGAUUGCUCCCCUUUGCUCCUAAUUUGUAGGUGUGUCAAAUAGAUGGGAUCGAAGCGGCAGAGGCAGGAAUAAAGGGGAUCGAAGCGGCGACGGGGUCGAUGCGGCGUCAAUGAACGGCUUCAAUGAAACUCCGGCGAGGGCGGCGUAUGAUAGAAGCGACAAAAAACCAUGGAACCCAGCCGGUUUAUGGAAAUAAGAACCAGUUCAAAAAAAAUUGAAACGAAGAACCGGUUCAAGCAUGGAAAAGGAACCAAUUCAUUAAAGGAACAGGAAAAACCGAUAGACCGAUUCAAUAAAAAAUCGAUGAAAUAGAUGAAACACCAACAGAUGGGUCCCAUAUUCAACUAAAAUUUGCCGAACCGGUUCAAGCAUGAGAAGAGCAACAAACAAAACCAAAUUGGUUCAAGGAUGGAAAAAGAACAGGUUGAAUAAAAAAGAAAUAAAAACCAGUUCAAAGUUUAAAAAGGAACUGGUUCAAUAAAGCAUUACGAAACAUCGGUUUCCAUUUAAACCGGUUCAGAGAUACAAGGAGGAAUCAAAAAAAAGAGUAACCAAUCUAAUGUACGGAAUACCGAUUCCCACUUUUAAGCAAAUAAUAUGGGUGAAAUAAUGAACGGAACCGGAUCAAUUAUGAGAAGAGGAGCCGGUCCACGAAUCAAAAGAGAAACCGGUUAAAAAAAAACAUGAAAAUAUGGGACCCACGACGGGUCCCACAUCUACCAAAAUUAAGGCUCAUAUAACACGUGGAUAGCCAACAUGGAAAUUAAUAGAGGUUAAUAGAUAAUAGAUUUCUAUAUUUAAUACAUUGUUAUCAACGUAAAGUUAUAUAUAAUUUUAUUUGCUACUUUUUAUUAAUUAUUAGUGAAGCAUUUUGGUUAGUGACAUUUAUUGAUACGCUUUUUUAGUGCAUCAAAUUAGAAAGAUGCCAUUUGACAACAUAUGAUGAAUUUGAGGCCGGGCACGUUUGGUUCGCACUAUAAAAAAUUACUAGAAAUAAAAAAACGUCCGAAGAUUUUAUUCUUACUCAUUCUAUUAUUAAGAAUAUGGUAUUUUGGUGUUGAGUUUGAUAUUAUUUAAGAUUACGAAAAAUAUACAAUUAAUAUAUGUGUUUCGUAAAUUAAUUUCAAAUAAUACUAUCAAAAACAUUAACAUCUUUUUUGAAUAAGAUAUUAAUGAUCAAAUAAUAAUAAACAAAAUAAUUAGUUAAUAUAGUUUUUUUUCAACAAUAAUAAAGGAUUUAUUUUUAGGUAAAUUGAGAAAACUUAGCUUAGAGAGAGAGAUAGAGAAAUUUAAGUUUAAAGAAAGAGAUAGUUGAGAUUAGAAAGAGAAUUUUUUAGAUUAGAGAUAUGAAGAGAUAAAAAGAGCGGAACAGCUUAGUUUAAAAAGAGAUAUUUGAGGUUAGAGAGAACGACAAAAUUGAGAUUUUAAAGAGAGAGGGAGAGAGCAUAGGUUAGGAAGAGAGAAUAGUUAAAGAAAUUGGAAGAGAGAUAGAGUCGAGAUUAGAGAAAGUGAAAGAGUUGAUAUUUUAGAAAGAGAGGGGGGGGGGAGAGAGCUUAGAUUAUAUAGAGAAAAAAUUUUAAGUUUAGAGAGAGAAAGAUAAAGUUAGAGAGAGAUAUGAGAUUAAAGAGUAAAUAAAAAUAAUACCAACUAGCCAGUCGGUGAAGAGAAAGAAAAUGAGUGUGCCGGAUUAGACAUAUUAUGAUUAUUCUAAUUUAUUAUUAUGAGGAUAUCUACUUUUUUUUUUCAAGGACUUUAGGAUUAAACUCAUUUCGAAGGAAAUCCAACAUUAUCAACUAAACUACUUAGUGCGUUAGUCAAAUGCCAUCGUAUUCUUUUUAUUACUAUUGAAUUACUGAGAAUCUUGAAAAGAUAGCGCGAACCAUACGUAACUUCAAAGUUAUUAUUCUAAAUUUUAUUAUUUAUUUAUAUAUGAAUAUAUAAUUUCCUUCAUAGCCAUGCAUUAUUGCAUCAAUAAAAAGCAGAAAACAAAUAAAUAUAUCAUGUAUAGGUGACAGUUAUCUAAUUCCCAGGAGAAAAUCUUUUCGAAAGCGAAAUAUCAGAUGCCCAAAGAAUAUCCGCGCGCAGUUUAUCCACCCCACGAGCAUUAAUCAAUAAUCUCACCGUCCAUAAGCUUGAACAAGAAAUAAUUGCUUGGACUCUGUCUACCACAUCAUCUGUGAACCAUGCAUUUCUUAUCUAAAUCUAAUGCCUAUGCUUAAUUUCUAAAACUGUAGCUUUUUUUUUUAUUGAAAAUUGACUUUUUUAUAUAAAAAAAUUCAUUGAGUGGUUCGGUUAAGGGUCUAUUUUGUUCUGCUGUUGGAUAUGUGUUGUUUGAAUAGUAUAUUUUUUUAAUGAUACUAUUAAAAUAGGUAAUAUACUUCUAUGCCUAAAAAAAAAGUUCAAAAUAGAAAAUUUAUUUAUGCGUCUACUCUUUUUGUUUAUUUCCAAACCAAACGAUACCUAGAUGUAUAUAAAAUCUAUCUUUUGAUUGUGAGGACGCAACAUAUAAGAUCCAAACUUGGAUAUCAAAACUUGAUGUACAAGUAGAAUUGCUCUUCAAAAAGUUUGUGUUUUUAAAACAUCAUACAAAGUCCUGUUUAGUAUUGCUAUUCUUUUUAUCAAACAAAAAUUAGAUAUAAUUAAAUAUGUCAAAAUUUAAUUAUAUCUAAAUAAGUACUGAGAAAAAAAUUAUGUCAGGAAUGAGUACUGAAAAAAAAAAAAAUAUGUCAAAAAUUUAUUUCUUUUCGUAAUCAGUGCGGCAAAAUCCAUCAUCUCCUCUUGCACCCUUUCAUGUAUAAUAAAAAAAAUACCAAAUAAGGACUAUAUAUAUAUAUAUGCAUGGUUGAUCAGCUUACUAACACAAAUAACUAGUCGGGCUCUAAUCAUCGGCUUAAAAUGCUUAAACUCAGUUAUUAGUACUGGUGUCCUUCUUUCGGCUAAUGAACCGGCUCUAAUAAUAACUGUAACAAUCAAAUCCACCGGUAUCAAUUCUUCGUUAGGUACUAACCAUGGACUCAAAAUGUUUAAAUUCAAUUAUUAUUUGUGUGUCUGCCAUAUUUUUUUAUAGGGUCAAUUACAUACAGGUCCCUACAAAAAUAAUGAAUUACAGAUAUAUCCUUGUAAAGUUCAACUUUUAUAAGUUUUUCCUAUAAAAGUUUUAAUGUUUUCAGAUAUAUCCCUACUAGAAUCCAUUAGAAAAGUUUAGUCAACUGUAGAUUAAAUACUUUACCCGAGUACAUUUUUGAUAUUUUUACCCCUCUUAUAUUAUACUGUUAUAAUUUUUGAAGGGGCAUAUUUGUGAUGACAAAAUUGGAAAUAUAAACAGUUUUCUAACAGUUCUCUAACGAUAACAAACCAAAGGGACACAUCUGAAAAUAUUAUGAUUUUUACAGAAAUAACUUAUGAAAGUUAAACUUUACAGAAAUAUAUUUAUAAUUUACUAUAUUUGCGAAAACCUGUAUGCUAUUAAUCCUUUUUUAUAUUACGGAUGUGAUCGUAUCGGAGUGUCGUAACGCUGGUAAAAGUGCCAUGGCCACGGCUGAUGUGGUGGACCUGUCGGCCCAACAAAUUUUCGUGGGACCGACCGUCCCUAGAGCAAGCGGCAAAGGACUUAGUGGUUGGUACUCGAGAUUCAAGUUUGAAUUCUAAUUGAUUCACAUUUUUAGCUAAGUUUAUUUCUGAAUAGAAUAAACGAAGUGGGUAACGUGCUACCUAUCUCUAAAAAAAAAAAAAAAAAAUUUAUUGGAGACAGUUUUCAACUUUUCAACGUAUCACCAGUAAAAAAAAAAAAAAAAAACAAAAAACAAAAUUUCGUGGGAUUGUCUGUGCACCUUGGAACCAUGAGACCCACCCAGUCCGGCUCUCCGCAAACUGUCUCCGCUCGACGCUGCUGCUUUCAAGGAGAGUGUUUAGUAGUAGUGCCUAUUGCUAUUGCUAUUGCUAUUGCUAUUGCUAUUGCUAUCUGGUAUUUGGUAUUAUUAGAUCAUUCGCACCCCCACGACGUACUCGAGGGUCGGGCUCAUUGGACGGCCACGAUCUCCUCGUCUCGAGAUCGUACGGAAGCGGCGCGCUUGUCGGCUACCUCCACGCGAGUUCAGGGAAGAAAAAUGCUAGUCUCUUUCGGAAGCUUCCGAUUUUGUUGUAAUAAUAUAAUAAUUUUUUAUAUGUAUUUUUAAAAAAUUAAUUUUGAAUUUUAUUUUUUGUAAAUUUGUAUUUUUAUUUUAUAUCCGUUGUAGAAAAAAAUAAUCCACUGUGUCAUUUUUUUUUUCUUUUUUUAGCAUAAAAUAAUAUAAUAAUAUGUUUUUUGAAUAAUGCUAUCUCUAUAAUAAUCCAAAUAGAAUUGUAAGAUUACACCCCUUUUUAAAUUAUAAAUUAAACUUUUUUAUUUUCUCUAUUACUUUCAAUUUGGAUCGUUAUCUCUCAUAAGUUCAGGUGUAUAAAAGAAAGAAAAUACAUCUAGAAUUAAGUUAUUAAAAAUAUAUGCAAAAAUUAACAAGUCAGGAUGCUCACGUUAGUUGGAAAACUCUCCACCCAAGUUUUUACCCUAAACGCUGAUAGGCCAGGUGUAAAAUUUAUUUAUAUUUUAUUCAUCCAAAAAUCCACUAUUUGUUCUCUAAUCUUGUCAAAAAUAAAAAAUAAAAAAUAUAUAUAUAUAUAUAUAUAUAUAUAUAUAUAUAAAUUUAAAAAGAUUUUGUGAUCCCUAUGACGAUUACACGUAGCAUUUUCCUUUUUCGAUUGAGAAACAACGAUGGGCAGAUCCUUGUUAAAAGAAAACCGCCAUGAUGGCCUUUUUAUUGUGCCUACCAGUUUCUUCCUCUUCGUUCUUGUUUCAAGCUUCAGCGUCAUUAUCAGAAUCUCUCGAAUGUACGCAAUAAUUACAAUCCCCUUCCUGCUUCAUUUUCUCUGCUUAAUUGGUAGCAAAUUGAUACAGAGUUGGAUGAUUGCUUUCCAACUCGGUGAAUCGAAUGAAUUGAAUUUGGGGUUGUGUUCUUCUGUUUGGGAUUUGGUGCAAUCAUUUUUCUAUGUAAUCAUCAGAUUUUCUUGUUGGAAGUGUUUCCAAAUCGUCUGAAAUUAGUGAAUUCUUGUAUGUAUGUGAUUUGAUCCCAAUUGGUGGUUUAGAGGAUUCUGAGCAGGGUGAUAGAUUAUUAGAUUUUGAGCUGCUAUUUUGAAAGGUGAUUUCCUUUUUAUAUUGGUGAGUAGUUGUUCUUCUUUGGAUUUUCGAUUAUGAUCCACAUGAGUUUGUCACUGAUAUUGUCUGUUCUUCCAUGUUCACACAAGAACACACAAAAUUAUCUGCGAAUCUAGUGUUCUUGUACUAAUAAAAUCAAUUGUUGGGAAAGAACUUGCGUGAUUGCCGUGAUUAUUCAUCCCUGAUAUUGUGAUAAUUUAUUUGUUUCUAUGGAUUUUUGUGGUCAGUUUAUGUGAAGAAACAUGUCUUCUUGAAUCCAAUAUUGGGGAUAGCCAGGUAGUUCUUUCUAAUUUUUCCUUUCAAAUUUUGAAUAAAAAUUUAGACCUCAAAUUGCUCAAUCCUAUUUUCCUGUGUUUAUAACAUUGUAAUUCGUUAGUUUUGAAUGUUGUUCUGUUGAUGGACUCGAUAUAGGUAGCUUGAUAGCCAUUGUAUUUCUAUCUAUUGACAAAUAUUGUAUAUUUCUCAACCUAAUAAGGCCAUUAUUUCAUUCUAUGCUUCGCUUUUCCUGUUUCCGUAGAUAAAUUUGACAGUGCCAGAUUGCUGUUGAUGGAGUUCAAUGGUCAGAGUAACAGAGAUGGGAAAGAUAGGAAUUCAAGAGGGUAAUGAUAGGAAUUCCUCUAGUGAUGUUGAUGAGUUUGAUCCAUGGACGGCUUGGCUCUACAAGCCACGCACGGUCUCAUCGCUACUUGUCGGAGCCUGUUUUUUGAUGUGAGUUCUUGUUCUACAAUUUCAUCACUUAUUUAUGUAUAUAUUUUCUUGAUCUGAAGAUCAUAUUUUCUAUACUAAACUUCUACCAUUGCCUCAAAAGAAUGAUAGCAGAUAAUUUUAUGAGUGUAUAAACAUGUACGGAAAAGUUAUAGUACAAGCUUAUGUAGCUGGACUGUCCACAGUUGACUAACAUUUGGUACGUAUUAUCGAUACUUCCACUGUAAUGUUGUUUUUGAGGUAGCGAUGGCUUGAAUCACAUAGCAUCGGUAUUUAAACAAUUAGUGGAUAUUUGAAUGGCUAGACUGAACAUUGUUAAAACUUAAAAUGUUUGGCACCAUUAAGUAUUUCAUCCUUGGAUUAGCAGUUCAUAUACAGGUGCUUAAAGGCCCAUUUGUAACUUCCCAGGUUUUUCUUCAUAGAUGUUGACCAGUUUCAUGAUCUUGCUGGUUGGUUUUAUGAGAUUAUCAACGUUGCCUUAUUAUAUAUUUAUAUUGAUUGGUAGGGUAGCAUUUACACAGAAAAGUGUUUUCUGACUUCAUUCGGAUAUAAGGUCUAGUGCGUGACUAAUAAUUUUCGAGUUUUCUGCAAAAGAUUCUGCUCAUAUUUUAUGUUGGGCACAAGAAUCUUCAGCUAUAACUCAUUUUAUUUUGUAGUAUCAUGGGGCUUGCACUACAUAAGUUGAUUUGUUCUUGUACUAACUGAUGAUCUAACUCUUAAGCACUUCCUCUUAAUUUGAGUGAACAUGUCAAACUUUGAAAUUUUUGUGAUCUUGUUUCUGUUUCUACUGUGAUCCUUCAUGGAAUGAUCUAGGUGCAUAUUCUAGAUAAUCAUGUACUAGGAUAAUGCAUGGUUCAAUGUUGUUUGUUAAGAACAUAGAUACUUUUCUAUGGUGAAGCUGACUCCUGAAAUGGUUUACAUUAUAGUGUCAAUGGUAUGGAAUGCUUGAAUAUUUUGUACUCUGCUGCUUCUGAACAGAACUAAACUGGUUAUGAAGACUUGGGAGGUGUCAAUUGAAUAUUGUAGAUGCUUCAGAAAUCUUUACUAAUUGAUGACAGAUGUUAUUACUCGGCUAUUACCGUCCAAGAUGGUUUUCUCGAUUUUCUUCAUACGGUUUUUGAUACGAAUUGCAUGUACAAUUUUAUCUCUAUUGGAGAUACCUAAUUAACUUGCAUGUGUUGAUCAUUAUAUAUGUUUCUCAGUUGGGCUAGUGGAGCACUUAAUCCUGACAGCACUGCAUCUAAUGCUACUGUUUCAUCUGUGAGAAGGUAUGCUCAUGAGUUGAUGAAUUUUUUUUAUUUAAAGCUUUUAUCGCUUUUCAUUAGGGCAUGUUUGGUUGUACGAAAGAGGUUGAACUGAAAAAAGUCACUUUUGCAAAAGUGACUUUUACAAAAGUGAUUUUUCAGUUCAAUUGUUUGGUUGAUUAUAAAAUGAAACAUGAAAAAUUAUGGUUUUAUAAUUUUGAUUCCUUAAUUAUAUAUAAAGAGGUGAAAAUAUAAAAAAAAAAAACUUAUACUCGCAAUUAAAUUGAAAAUUUUAAAUUAUAUUUAUUUUUAGACUUUAAAAUUAUAUUUUAAAAUUUAAAAUUAAACUUAAAUUUGAGUUGAACUUAUAAUUAAAAUAUAAGACACAAAUUAAAUUUACAAUUUGAAUUUCAAUUUUAAGUUAUAACUCAUAACUAAAAUUAAAUUUUAAAAUAAAAGUUCAACAUAGAAGUUAUAAUACUUAUUCAAAUUUGAAUUCAUAAUUUGAAUUUGUAAUUUGAAUCAUAUUUUAAUUUACUCUUUGAUCUUAAAUUGUGAAUUCAAAUAUGAAUCCGCAAUUUGAAUUAAUAAUUAAAAUUAAAAUUAAAAUUUAAUUCCAACUUAACAUUUGAAUUCAUAAGUCGAAUUCAAAGUUCAAAUUGAAACUUAUUAUUGAAAUUAAAUGCAAAUAGCAAAUUUAAAUUUCAAUUUCAAUUUCAAUUUAAAAUUUAAAUAUUAAAUUCAAAUUUUGGUCAAUAAUUUGAAUUUAUAGUUGGAACAGUUUGAAUUCAAACUUCAAAUUGAAGGUCUUAGCUAAAAAUAAUUUGAUGAAAAUUUAAAUUUAAAUUCUAGAAUUCAAAUUUAUUUUUUUAAAAAAUAAAAUUUUAAAAUUUAAAUUUAAAUAUAAAGUCACAAAUUUGAAUUUACAAAUAAAAUUAAAAAUGUGAUCAUGUUAUUAAUUCAAAUUUAAGGUGAAAUUUAACUUAAAAAAUAAAUUCAAAGAUUAAAGUUAAGACCACAUAUAACCUCUUAGCUAAUCUCUCAACUUUCGGUGACUUUCGAAUUUUUUGAGCCGAAGUCAAAAAAGUGAAAUUUAGUUAUAACUUACUUUAUCUAUCCAUUUUAUAAAGUGACUUUUAUAUUCACUUUUGCAAACCAAACAACCAAUAAGAUGUCACUUUCCAAAAGUGCCUUUUUCGGUGCUUCAAUUUCAGCCAACCAAAGCCCUUGGGUUAUUACAACUCUUUCACACUUAGCUUGGUGACUUUGGUCACCUCACCAAGAGCUUUUAAUUAUUGAAACAUAAUACUGUUUCUAUCAUAUUUUGCUAUCUUGAUUUCCUUUAUUGUGCAAUGUAUUUUACCUUUCUAGUAACUGCUUCUAGUAGAAAGAGUUACGAUUUCUAACGUCUAUUUGUUUUUCUUGUUAGGGGUGUUUGGGCAAUGAUAGCAGUCUUUCUUAUUUAUUGCGUCCUUCAAGCUCCUUCAACGUGAGUGAUCAUUCCGUACACUUUCUUAAAAGUUAACCAUAUGAAAAACUUGAAUACAGGAAUGGUCAACUACACAUAAAUUAGUAUAUGUUAUUUGUAUAAUAUUGUGCUCUAGUUUUUGUGGCAUAGCAACUGUUAAUUUAUUAUGAGUUUUACUUACUUCCGUCUAUGUAAUCAUAGUAAGAGUAUUUUAUGUGGGGAAGAAAACUAAAUAUCUUCUUGUCAUCUUUGUCUAAUUAUUAUCUUAUUGAUCAGUAAUAUCAUAAUCAGACUCAACGGCUGUUACUUUGAAAGAUGAAUAACAAUCUUGUCUUCAAAAGAUGCUUAUUUCCUAAGGCCUUAUUAUUUUUUUUCUUUUUCAUGUUUGGAAUGAUCUUGGCACAUAGACUAGUAAGAACACAAUGUCACAGCAACAACAUUUAAGAAAAUUACAAGCAUGUAAUAAAUGAUCAUAAUGUGCUUUGAUGAAUUUGUCUAUCUCCAAGUGCUGCAGCAUAAAUUUCAGCAUGCUUUUUAGAAGCCAUUGAUGCUAUAAAAAUGAAGGUAUAUUAUAUUUUUACGUUCAGGUUGCUUAUUAGACCCCAUCCUGCUGUUUGGCGGUUUGUCCAUGGAAUGGCUGUUGUUUACCUUGUGGCCCUUACUUUUCUUCUUUUCCAGGUUUCGUUUUUCCCUUAUAUAGUGCUUGGUGUUGUCUCUUUUACAUAGAUAGUAACCUAUAUUAUCAAUGUCCAAAGUUUCCGUAGAGAAGUUAUGAUUAUCUUUCUAUUAGAAUUAUUUGAUACAAAUAGCCAUUUUAUCUUUUACUUUUUAGUGGUCAUCAUAGAAUUGUAUUAGUAUUUUUAUUAUCCUUAUAUCAAUUGUCGCGUUCUUUUCUUAACACGUAUUAAUCUUUGCUGUAAUUUUUUCCCCACCUUUUUUAUUGGUAAAACUUUUGAAGAUUAUCACAUAUUUUUCUUAUUUUUUUAGAAUUAUAAAAUUAAAACAACCUUAUGUGGGAAUUUUUUUUUCCCCUAAUUAUAUGUAUUUAGACUUUUUAGUUAUUCUAUACAAUAGUCUGAUAUUUGUUUUGCACUACAAUGGAAAUUAAAACUUAAUUAUUAUCAUACUUCUCAGAAUCGUGAUGAUGCUCGACAGUUCAUGAAGUACCUGCAUCCUCAUCUUGGAGUAGGUAGUACUUGCCAAGCAUUUCUGAGUUCUUGUUAACACUAAUGAAUCUUGUUGCACUUGAACAAAAAAUUAGAUAUUCACCUUUUUUCAUCUUAAUGCAGAACUACCUAAAAGAUCUUAUGGAGUUGAUUGCCGAAUUUAUGUCCCAGAAAAUCCUAAAAGCAGGUUUAUCAAUGUUUAUGUAUGAUGUCUCAGUCUAACAUUCCUCAUUGAGUAUCAAUUUUAGUAGAUUUUGCGCUCGUUUGGCACAUAGUAUUGAGUUUGAUAGGGAUAAGACGAGAGCAAUGUCGGCAGAGGGAGGGGGUUUAGUAACUCGAAGGCAUCGGGGUUCAUAGGACGAGUUCGGUCUCAUAAAAUAACGACAGUGGAUGGGAUCAUUGGAUUCUUUCAUAGAUGUUUGAAUUUAACACAAUUGGAUUUUCAAAAAUCUAAUUUUAUCCCACUAGCUCCAAUCCCUAUUUGUCGUUCUCUUGACACCUCCAACUCCUUAAUCCCUCCUUAAGCCCCAACAUCACUAUCUUGUCUUAUUCUAUCUUAUGUGCCAAAUAGGGAAUUUAGUUCCUCUAUUUUUCAUAAUUCGAAAUUUGAUAUAUUUUAGAUUUUUCUAGGAAACUUUGUUUGAUGAGUUUGUCCUUGCCCAUAUCGUGGGUUGGUGGGGAAAGGCUGUGAUGAUACGUAAUCACCCUCUCUUAUGGAUAUUGUCAAUUGGAUUUGAGUCGAUGGAGGUCAAAUUUUCACUCGGAAACUUCUUGGCUUCUCUCACUUAGUUAUCGUUACUUUUAAAUGAUUUGAUCUCUUUCUUAAGUAUAUUGUGCAUGAUCGUUUCCAGCUCACUUUUCGCCAUAUGUUGCCAAACUUUAGUGAGUGUUGGUGGGAUAGCAUUAUUUUGGAUAUUUUGAUCUGCAAUUGGUUUGGUAAGAAUCCAACUAUAGCUUAUUCAGCUUCAUUUUCGGUUUAUAGACAUACUCAUGUAAUGUGCAGUCCUUUGUUUAGCAUUAUCUCUUUUAGAAUAAACCAAAUACACCACAAGUUUUUACUCUUUUUUUUGAAAAGAAGUACAAAAUCACACCGAUACAAGCCCGUUUAAUGUGAAAAUGACACUUCAUGCUGCAACACGAGGAGUUUUUUUUUUCAAAUAUUUAAGUUUGAACUUUGGACAUUUACACACAAUCUCAACUUCACCUAGUCCACCCAAUGUUUGACAAAAACACACCCAACCUGAUUCAUAAUUCAGUUCAACGCUGGAUCCCUCACGCAAAUCGUUUUUCACCAUUCAUUUAUAGACCGAGAUACCUCUUUUGAUUAACUAUUUGUGGCUAAAUCUUUCUCAGUUGCCUUGCCCUUUGUUAUUUUUGGCUAUGUUGCCUUUCACAUAGUUGGAUUGCCUUGCUCUUUUGAAGUGUGCAUUUAAUCUUUGGUUUCCUCAAAUUUUAAUUUUGCUUGUCCUCAUUCUUCUUUGUAAAUGAUGAUAAAGAAAAGCAUAUACUGCAUGGAUAGUGCCAAACUUGAAGUGUGCAUUUAAUCUUUGGUUCCCUCAAAUUUUAAUUUUGCUUGUCCUAAUUCUUCUUUGUAAAUGAUGAUAAAGCAAAGCGUAUACUGCACGGACAGUGUUAAAAUUGUCGACAAUGUCAAGCUUACGUGUAAACAUAGAGGACUCUUGGCUAUACGCAACUCUUUGUUUACACGAGGGGCAUCAACUUUUCCAAGUCGACUUUAGUGUCUAAUAUUUUCUUAUUCUUGGGAAGUCUGCUGAUAGCAUAAAUUAUUUUUCUUUUAUUCUUUGUUUCAACUUUUUAAAUUUGUUAUCUAUUUCCAAAACCUUUUUCAACAUCAGACAGAGGAGAAGUCAACUACCCUUUUACCUAGAACAACAACAACUAAGCAUUUGGUCCUAGUUAUUUUGGGCUGUUGGCGCAAGCUAUAUGGAUCUCUUAUCGCUCCAUUUUGUUUCUUUUUUUAAACAUUUUUUGUCAAAAAAAGUAUUGUAAUAUCUCAUCUUAUCUCAGCAGUUCCUCUCGUUAAUUUUGGUUUGUGUCUUCUUCAAGUGCCACAUUUUAGCAGAAUAAAGUCCUAAUGCCUUGUGGGUUAUUUUACACAUGGCCGCAACAUCUCAAUCAGUUUUUGCACAACUUAUCCUUUAUAAGCUGUAAGCCCUUACACCUCACUUGUGUUGGAUUCGACAGUUUUCAGCCUUUUCUAGCGACGUGACACAGUUAUGUCAACAUCCUCAUCUUGGCGAGACUCAAAACUUUUGCCAAUGUUAUUUCCUUAGCAUACUCCUUCAAUUAUCUUUUAUGUAAUGUUGUUAUUGAAUUGUAGUUUUAUUGGUUCCGAGCAAUAUUUAAAUGGAUUGGGUUUCUAAUUCAGGUAUUUGGGCCGGAAUGCGUACUGUUACAUACAUCAAUGGUAAAACAUACAAAUGGGUUGGUCUAAGCUGCCAGCCAAACAUUAUCAGUAAGGUAAGCUCACAAUUUGUUAUUUUGUAUAAGUUGCUUCUGAUAAAAGGUACUAUUGAUUGAACCUGAAUUAUGACUCGGAACUGAUGACAUAGUAACAUAUUUAUCUUGAAAAAUUAAAGGAAUAACCUUCUCUGAAAAAUAAGAAAUUUUAUUCUUACCUUUAUUUGUACAUCUAAAUCAUCUAACUUCGUGAUGUCAGAUCAUGACACCAAGUGGGUAGUUGCACUUCAGCAUAUGGAAAGAAAGCUAAUUUAUAUGUAUUUACACUUAUAGCGCAAUCAACAUUUUUGUAUCUAUAUAGAAAAUAUAAUGGGCGUGAUUAGCAAUAUUGUUAAGUCUUAAAUCUUCCCUUCUUGGAACUUUUAAACAUUUUUAUCAACAUAGUAGAAAUGAAAAUUAGAGAAAUCAAUACAAGAAAUAUCUCUAGAUUAUAUAUAUUAAAGCCCUAGUCCUUAACAAGUAUACUUUUAUGUAUAUAAGAUAUUCAUAUAUCAAUCAACUAUUCACUUGUAUCAUAUCGUUUAGGCGUUUAGACUUGCAUUGUUGGAUACACGCGCAUCUAUUCACUUCACAGUUACUGACACUUUCUUUUAUCAUCAUAAUAUAACCUAUUCAGUUUUGUAUCUCAUAAUACUCUUUUUUGUAAACAUUUAAAGGUAAAAAGAUCGUUGGGCCAAUUCACACCUGCAUGGUGGGACAAAGAUGAGUGGCACCCUAUGCAGGGCCCGCUGAGGUUCUUCCAAGUUCUAUGUCUCUGUGUCGCUUUCAUGACAGUGGAACUCAACACCUUCUUCCUCAAAUUCUCUCUUUGGAUUCCCCCAAGAAAUCCCUUGGUUGUGUACAGGUUGAUUCUUUGGUGGCUAAUAGCUAUUCCAACUAUCCGCGAGUACAACUCCUACAUACAGGACAGGUUCUCUCUCUCUUUCUCACACUCACAUACACACAACUAUGUGCAAAAUGCAUUGAAAUUGUUAACUCCAAAUUCUAAUGAACGUCAAGUCUCCAGCAUGUACAUGUGAUACUCGUGUACUAUUUUCUUAGCCUUCCCACAAAAAACAACCCCUUUUUUCCUUGGAUUUUCAAACUUAGGAAAAUUCUUUCACUUUUGCCACUUGAGUCCAUAUUUCGACUUUCAGCACCCACUUUCCGUUGGAAACAACACCAUGAUGCAUAGCUUUGAAAGUUCGAUGGAUGGUUUUGAACUACGGAGAUAUUCUUUUGAAAUUGUGGAAAAAGUAAGGGGCAAUUUCAUCCUCAAAGCUGAAAGUGAGCUGAAAUUACAAAAACUUAACAACUGUUAUAUUCUUCAGUUUACUUUUUCCUUUUUUGAAAAGUGGUUUUUUUUUUCCUCCUGGUCAUUAAUAUGUUUCAAUUACAAAUUACCUCAGCAAGCCAGUAAAGGUGGGGGCAUUUUGUUGGCUUUCCCUAGCUAUAUGUAUAGUGGAGCUUCUUAUCUGCAUUAAGUUCGGACAUGGUGAGCUCUAUCUCUCAAUCAUGUUUCAAUUUGUGUAUCUUAUUGAUAUCUUUCCUUUAAUGUCGAUUAUAUAUACUUUUUAAAACAAUGACUUAACAAACAGUGUACUGACUAGGUCUGUAUCCGAAUCCAAUGCCAACAUGGUUGAUAUGUUUCUGGGGAUCUGUUGGAGUAACCCUUGUUCUCUUCCUGCUAGUUUGGUGUUGGAGAAAUCAUCGACAAAUGGCAAGAAAGAGGCUAUGAAUUCAUAACAUAACAUGUUUCUUUAUAAUUUCUUCACUUUGUUCCAUGAUAUGUUUAUUGUACAUAUGCAUUGUAAACUAUUUUGGUUAGUUCUGAAAAUUUUGCUGGAGACUUGAUUCAAGCUAAAGUUUAAAGAUCCCUUUGCAUGUUCACAAGAAGUCUGAUUUAAGCAUUAUGUUUUGUUUUCCUCUUUUUUUUUUUAUAAACACUCACUAACCAUUUUAAUUAAAAUAUCUAGUGUGUGUCGAGAGAUAUUGAAGCCUUAAUGUAGUGAGAUACUUCAAAUAUAAGUUCAUGUACAAUUAUAAACACUUUGAGAAUCUUCCUUGUCAAAUGAAAUGAGAGAUUUUGUAAGGAAACUUUUAAAAUAAUAAAUUUUGUUUAUUAAUUUUCAGUGAAUGGAUGUGAUCCAUAGUAAAUGGAUGCAACCCUUAGUGAGUGGAUGCAACUCUAAUCAAAGGGUGUUAGUGAGUGGAUGCAACUCUAAUCAAAGGGUGUGACUCUUAGAGUGAAAGGAUAUAACUUUUAGUAAAAGGAUAUGACAUGAAAAGACACAUCUUUAUAAUGUGUCUCUUCGAGUACAUAUCUGUUGGAAUUAAUUCUUACAUUCAUUGAACUUGACUCAUAAAACUAAUUGGUAGUUAUGAUCAAAUGAAAAGUCACAAUUGAAGGGCCACUUCAUGAAACACCCAUUCAUGAAUAGUCACUUUAUGAAGCACCCGUUAUGAAGCACCCGUUCAUGGUCUAUAUAAGUCCACAGCGUUAGUUGUAGAAAUAUAAGACGAAACAGUUGAAGAGUUUAAGUCUCCAUUCACAAUAAUUCCAUUCUUGUUUUCUUAUUCUAUUUCUUUUGACAACUUAAUCGAGUGAGUGUUCAAAGGCUCGACUUCGUGUGUGCAAACGCAGUUGAGGUUUGUGCUUCAUUGUAUCCUAGGAGGCUGUUCGUUGACCCGGUGCACACCAAUUUGAUUGAACGGUGGGGACGGAUUAAGCCUUAAGGAAAGUGGCAUUGCUACACGCCUUGAAGCCUUUUUAAUCUUUCUAUUUCAUACCUUUAUCACAAUCUGUUCAAACAAUCUUAAGGCUUAAAUCCGAAAAUGUCGACUGCUACUCUACGAGAGAUGGCAACAAACUUUAUGAGACUAAAAAGAUUUGAUGGCAUGGACUUCAGGCGUUGGCAGAAGAAAUUAUUUUUCCUUCUAUCGACUCUCAAAGUUGCUUAUGUCCUUACUACUCUAAGACCAGAAGAAAAUGAUGAUGAACCUAUUGCACAAACUCGUACAAGACAAAAAUGGGAUGAAGAUGACAAUAUAUGCCGAGGCAACAUUCUAAAUCUUAUGUCGGAUACACUUUUCGACGUCUAUCAAAAUGUGAAAACGGCUAAAGAACGGUGGGAAGGUCUUGAAGAAAAAUAGAAAUCCGAGGAUGCCACAAGUAAGAAGUUUCUUGUUAGCAAAUUUAAUAACUAUAAAAUGGUUGAUAGUAGAUCUCUUCUUGAUCAGUUACAUGAAAUUCAAUAUAUUCUCAAUCAAUUUACUCAACAUAAUAUGAAUAUGGAUGAAUCUAUAAUUGUGGCCUCUAUUAUCGAUAAACUUCCUCCAUCAUGGAAAGACUUUAAGAAAAGUCUUAAGCAUAAAAAUGAAGAUAUUACUUUUAAAGAUUUGGCUAAUCAUCUUCGCAUAGAAGAAGAAUAUCGUUUGCAAGAUGGCAAAAAGGAGCAAGAUGCUCAGAGUGCCAAACUGUACGCGACGGAAGAUGAGUAUAAUAAAAUCCGGCAACCCACAAAAGAAAAUCGAAAGAGAGCCGAGCAUCCGAUCAACCACAACAUAACAAAUAAGAAAAAGAAAUGUGCAUGCUUUCAUUGUAGUAAACCGGGUCACUACAAGAAAGAAUGUCGGUUCCUCAAAAGGAAAAGUGCACCGGAUUCCAAAAAGAAUUUUGUGACUAUAAUAUCCGAGGUUAACACACUCGAAGAUGACGGAGCUUGGUGGAUUGAUUCGGGUUCCACAAGGCAUGUGUGCAAGGAUAGAAGUUUAUUUAGAACUUAUGAUGCAUUGGAGGAUAGAAACGUUCUCUAUAUGGGCAAUUCUUCAACAGCACAAAUCAAAGGAAAGGGUAACAUGGAACUUGAGUUCACAUCAGGGAAAACUCUCACUCUCACCGAUGUGUAUCAUGUACCCGAAGUUAGGAAGAAUCUUGUUUCAGGAAGUCUUCUUAACAAAUUUGGGUUCAAACUUGUAUUUGAGGCCGAUAAAUUUAUUUUGUCGAAGGCUAGAAUCUUUGUAGGAAAAGGAUAUUUGUAUGAAGGCAUGUUCAAACUCAAUCUUAUUAAUAAAAUGAAUAUUUCAGCCUAUAUUAUUGACUGUUCUUCUUUAUGGCAUAAUCGUUUAGGACAUGUUAAUUAUAGAAGAUUACAUGAUAUGUCUAAGUUAGAGUUAAUUACUAAUUUUGAUAACAAAUUAGAAAAAUGUAAUACUUGCAUGCUCACUAAAAUUACUAGAUAAGUCUUUUCCUAAAUUGAUAGAUGUUCUAGUCUACUUGAAUUGGUACAUAGUGAUGUUUGUGACUUGCAUGCUUCUCCUACUAUUGGUGGAAAGAAAUAUUUUGUUACAUUUAUUGAUGAUUUUUCUAGAUAUAGUUAUGUUUAUCUUUUGCAUUCUAAAAAUGAAGCGCUAGAUAAAUUUAGAAUUUAUAAAUCUGAAGUUGAGGUGAAAUGUGAGAAAAUGGUCAAAUGCCUAAGAACAGACAGAGGAGGAGAAUAUUAUGAUCCUUCAUUUUUUGAGUCCAUUGGUAUUAUACAUGAAACCUCUGCACCUUAUACUCCACAACAAAACGGAGUUGCAGAAAGAAAAAAUAGAACAUUAAGGGAAAUGGCCAAUGCUAUGCUUUGUAACUCUGGGUUAAGUUAUGGAUUUUGGGGCGAAGCUUUAUUAACUGCUUGUCAUUUACUAAAUAGAAUCCCAACAAAAAAGAAUGAUAAAACUCCUUAUGAAUUAUUCAAGGAAAGAAAGCCAAAUUUAAAUUAUUUAAAAGUUUGGGGUUGUAGAGCUAUUGUGAGGGUUCCAAAACCGAAAAGAAAGAAACUGGGUGAAAGAGUGCAUAUUUAUUGGGUAUGCACAAUAUAGUAAAACACAGAUUUUACGUGAUUGAAUCGAAUGACUUCAUUGAGAUCAACACAGUUUUUGAAUCUAGAGAUGUUAUAUUUGAUGAAAACAUAUUUGUUUCAAUUCCUAGACCCAAAGAACUUAUUGUGGGUAAAGAACACUCCAAUGAGAAAAAUGAUGUCGCAAUUGAAACCCCAGAACUUAGAAGAAGUAAAAGAGUUAGAAUUGCUAAAAUAUUUGGACCAGAUUUUUAUACUUUUCUUGUUGAGGGUAGUAGAGAAAUGAUUACAUAAAGUUUUCAAUUUUGUUUAAACAUUGACUCAGACCCCACAACAUUUGAGGAGGCAAUGAAAUCUCCUGAUGUCGCUUUUUGGAAAGAAGCGAUAAAUGAUGAAAUGGACUCAAUUACGGCCAACCAAACAUGGAAAUUAGUUGAUCUUCCUCCUGGAUGUAACCUAUUGGGUGUAAAUGGAUUUUCAAAAAGAAAAUCAAAGUAAACGGCACCAUAGAUAAAUUCAAGGCAAGACUUGUUGCCAAAGGGUUUACACAAAAAGAAGGUAUUGAUUAUUUUGAUACUUAUGCACUUGUUGCCAGAUUAACGACUAUUAGAACUUCGGUUGCUCUUGCUUCUAUGUAUAAUUUGAUUAUUCAUCAAAUGGAUGUCAAAACUGCAUUCUUAAAUGGAGAAUUAGAUGAAGAAGUUUAUAUGGAACAGCCCGAGGGCUUUGUUGUUCCUGGACAAAAGCAUAAAGUGUGUAAACUUGUCAAGUCGUUGUGUGGGCUUAAACAAGCACGUAAACAAUGGCAUCAAAAGUUUGAUCAGAUUGUUCUUUUCAAUGGUUAUAAAAUUAAUCAAUCUGAUAAAUGUGUUUAUAGUAAAUUUUCAAAUAGUAAAGGUGUUAUUAUAUGUCUAUAUGUUGAUGACAUGUUAAUUUUUGGCACCGAUGUUCAGCAAGUAGAAAAUACUAAAAAUUUUUUAUCUUGCAAUUUUGAUAUGAAAGAUAUGGGGGAGGCUGAUAUUAUUUUGGGAAUUAAAAUUAUUCGUGAAAAUAAUGGUUUAUUUUUAACCCAGUCUCAUUAUAUCGAAAAGAUUCUUAGAAAAUUUGGUUAUUUUGAUUGUACUCCAGUAUCAACUCCUUUUGAUCCUAAUCUAAAAUUAGUUCGCAAUACUGGUAGAUCAAUUAAUCAAUUAGAAUAUUCUAAGAUUAUUGGAAGUUUGAUGUAUGCCAUGUCUUGUACUAGGCCUGAUAUUGCAUUUGCUGUUGGUAUAUUAAGUAGAUUUACUAGCAAUCCAGGUAAUGUACAUUGGCAUGCUAUUUACAGAAUUUUGAAAUAUUUGAAAAAGACAAUGGACUAUAGAAUUUUCUAUAGUGGAUAUCCAACAGUAUUGGAAGGCUAUACAGAUGCCAGUUGGAUAACAGAUCAAAAAGAUCAUGCAUCCACAAGUGGGUGGAUAUUUAUAUUAGGUGGAGGUGCGAUUUCUUGGGGUUCCAAGAAACAGACAUGUAUAGCGGACUCUACCAUGGCAGCAGAAUUUAUAGCACUAGCGUCUGCUAGUAAGGAGGCGGAAUGGAUAAGGAAUUUAUUAUAUGAAAUUCCAGUUUGGCCAAAACCAAUGCCGCCGGUAUCGCUACAUUGCGAUAGUGAAGCUACGCUCUCAAGAGCAUAUAGUCAAAUAUACAAUGGGAAGUCGAGACAUAUUGGAUUAAAACAUAGCUAUGUAAAACAACUGAUAUCAUAUGGCAUAAUUACCAUUGAUUUUGUAAGAUCAAACCAAAAUCUUGCGGAUCCGUUGACUAAGGGACUUCCAAGAGAAUUGAUAUUCAGGACAUCGAUGGGGAUGGGUCUCAAGCCCAUAUUACAAAGUCACCAAUGAUGGAAACUCGACUUAACACUUGAAACAUCAUCAAGUCUUAAGUUCAAUGAGCCAAAGUACAUCAUAUGGAGUGAUUGCAAGCACUAUAAUAUAAAAUUUCCAUCCCAAGUAAAGUGCUUGGUAUCCGUAUUGAAAAGGGAAGGUUGAACUAAUAAAGUUCUUAAUAGACCUACAGUAGUAUUUACUGAAGUGUUAAAUACGGGACACUUCUGGUAGAGUCUACCUAUAUGAAUGUGAAGUGUGGCCGCUUCUAGGAGUUAAGGGCUUGACUCUAACAGCAUUCAUGAAACAGGAUGCGGACACAAGGCCAUAAAAGUGUCAGCAAUAAAAUAGAGCACUUGAUUGAUUAUAAAUUUCUAUAUGUAAGAAAUGUCCGGUUAGUCGAAAAUAAUUGUUGGUUCAAAGCUUGUCUACCAUUCAAUUAUGACUAACUUUGAUGUGUUUUCACUAAGUGUAGAUUCAAGUUUUAAUACACCUACAUCUAUACAUACGAUUUUGUCAAGUUGUCAAAAAUUUUGAUUUUUGAUUUUUUUAUUUUGAUUUUGUUUUAUUUCGUAUUUUGAUGUAUUUUGAUGUAUUUUAAAAAUUGGUGAUGAAUUGUAAGGAAAUUUUUAAAAUAAUAUAUUUUGUUUAUUGAUUUUUAAUAAAUGGAUGCGAUCCUUAGUGAAUGGAUGCAAUCCUUAGUGAGUGGAUGCAACUCAAAUCAAAGGGUGUGACUCUUAAAGUGAAAGGAUAUGACAUGAAAAAACACAUCUUUAUAGUGUGUCUCUUCGAGUAUAUGUCCGUUGGAAUUAAUUCUUACAUUCAUUGAACUUAACUCAUAAAACUAAUUGGUAGUUAUGAUCAAAUGAAAAGUCACAAUUGAAGGGCCACUUCAUGAAACACCCGUUCAUGAAUAGUCACUUCAUGAAGCACUCGUUUGUGGUCUAUAUAAGUCCACGGCGUUGGUUGUAGAAACAUAAGACGAAACAGUUGAAGAGUUUAAGUCUCUAUUCACAAUAAUUCCAUUCUUGUUUUCUUAUUCUAUUUCUUUUGACAACUUAAUCGAGUGAGUGCUCAAAGGAUCGACUUCGUGUGUGCAAACGCAGCUGAGGUUUGUGCUUCAUUGUAUUUUGGGAGGCUGUUCGUUGACCCGGUGCACACCAAUUUGAUUGAACUAUGGGGACGGAUUAAAUCUUAAGAAAAGUGGCAUUGGUACACGCUUUGAAGUCUUUUCUAUCUUUCUACUUUAUACAUAUUUCACUAUCUGUUCAAACAGAUUUUAAUUAUAUUUCUGAUCCAUUCCUAUCUGGUUGGUCUUUUCACUGACAUGGUAGAAACGGUGAUUCAGGAAUUUGACUACUUGCGGCCUUUGUUUUGCCUCCUCUUUGCUAUUGGUAUUAACUUUUGCUAUUUGUGUUCAACGAGCCACAGCUCCAACGGAACAGAUUGGUUAGAGAUAUUUACUACACCAGGAGGAAGCUGCUUAAAGAAAGGCCUAGCAUCAGACCAAUUUCCCAGUGGUGGAGAAAUGUCCUCGAUAUCGGAGAUAUUUUCAAAUGUGGAAUUUCUCUUGUGCUAGGGAACGGUAAAUUAAUCGAUUUUUGGCCAGAUAUUUGAUGCGGGAAUGCUUCUCUACUAACCUAUUAAUUUCCCCCACUAUUUAUAGACAAGUGAUGAACAAGGAGCUGUGGGUGAGGGAUUGCAUUAAAAGUAGAGGAUUGAGAUAGGAAAAAAAAUACUUAUGGGGUUUGAACAAAGAGAUCAAGAGGAGGUAAGGCUGGAAUAGGACUUCAAAGAGAGCAUCACAAAUCUCACUGCUAACGACAGACAUAGAUGAGAUGAAAUGGAGAUGGACGGCAGGACAAGAUUUACAGUCAAUUCGCUUUAUGAAUUCUUGAGCAAACCACGAGACCUAAGAAAGGUUACCACGAGACCUAUUUAAAAGUUAAGAAUUCCUGCAAAAGUUAAAGGUCUUUAUCUAAUUGGUCUUGAAGAGAAGGAUGCUCUGAUACACCUGCUAAUUUGGGAUCAACUCAUCCUGCUGAUUGAAGUUGGGAACCUUGACACUGCACCACUCCCAGACCCUUCGCUCCUCUGUUUCUUCUCUGCCUCAAUGCAGCGGCUAGCUUAGCAUAAAUAAGAGCCGUUGGAUAUCACUUAAGUCGAUGAGUCCCAGCCGUCCAUCUCGUUAACGAUCCUAACUGCCAGGGAAGUACCCGCUCCAUUUUACUUUCAGAUAAUUACAAUUUUGCCAUCCACCUUAGCUAUAAAUAGAAUUAAGCUUGUAAUUAAGACUUGGCUUGGAAUAUUAAUAUCAUUCUCCUCUCUUCUUUUACUCCUCUUCUCUCUUCUCUUUCCCCUCCUCUUCUGCUCACUUGUAUGAUCAGAGGUACCAGAGCUCUUCCAUGAGUUCUCUACCCUGAGGUUGAUAGGUUGGUGAGUAUCAAUUUUGGUCGAGUAUCAAUUUUGGUAUCAGAGCGGUGCUCCUCGGCUGUGGGGAAAUUCUUUCGUUCAUGGAGACAAGGGCUCAAGAGCUAAAGAAGAUGGAGGAGAUGCUGCGACAGAUGAUCAAAGAGUCAGCGACGCGCCAGGAACAAUCAAUUCAGGAGCUGAGGGACUGGCAGAAUAAAGAUAUGGAAGAAGUCCGCCAAAUGUUUGUCGAAUUGCACACCUCAAUUUCACCAGGAACUGGUCAAAUUUUACCUUCAGCUGGACGAUCCGAAGGUAAUAGCUCAAAUCGAUUUCACUUUACUCCAAGAUUUACUAAGAUCGAAUUCCCGCGGUUUGAUGGAGAAGAUUUGAAAGGAUGGCUAUUCCGCUGUGAGCAAUUCUUCGAGGUUGAUGGAACCUCUGAAGAGGCAAAGGUGCGUUUAGCGGCAAUCCAUCUUGAGGGAAAGGCCCUUCAAUGGCAUCAAAUAUAUAUGAAGUCCCGAUUGACACGCUCUCAACCCACAUGGGAAGAGUAUGUAGUAUCGCUCAAUACUCGCUUUGGAGCAGAUUUGUUCGACGAUCCUAUGGCGGAACUAAAGAAUUUGAAGCAAACAGGGACGGUCAUGGAAUAUCAAGACAAAUUUGACACUCUACUAAAUAGGGUGGAGCUCUCGGAAGAAUAUGCCGUAAGCUGCUUCCUUAGUGGUUUGAAGGAAGAAAUCCAAAUACCGAUAAGAAUGUUCCAGCCUAGGACUUUACAAAGAGCUCUAAGUCUGGCCAAGUUACAGGAGCUAGCUGUGGAUGGACAGGGAAAAGUCUAUAAGGGAGGAACUAGAGCCGGAAUGAAUACUUCCUCCUUACUGUCGACUCCUAAGGGCUUUAAUAAUUCGAGCAUGUCACCCGCACCCCGGACACCUCGGAACCCAAAUCAUCAGGGAUUGCUGGGCGCUGCUCCAAUGCCAAUCAAACCUGCGAGAAACGUCUCUAAUGCAGCCUUUGAUGAGAGGCGAGCAAAAGGGCUUUGUUUUUGGUGCGAGGAGAAGUAUUCCCCAGGACACCAGUGUAAGAAGAAACAGCUAUAUAAGAUUGAGCUAUUAGAAGAAGGAUCAACAGAUAAUACCAACUCUAAUGAAGAAAGUGAAUCUAUAGGAGAGGUGGAACUUGAACCUGUGGAAUGUGCACCUCAAAUAUCGCUGCAUGCUCUAGCGGGGCAAGCUCAACUACCGGACUAUAGGACCAUGCGCCUAUGUGGAACAGUGAAGAAUCGAAGGAUACACAUUCUCAUCGACUCAGGAAGCACCCACAAUUUCCUUGAUGCUGCGGUUGCUGCCAAAUUGGGGUGUUGUGCGGAGAAUAUACCAGCUGUAAAUGUCACGGUGGCUGAUGGGAAUAAGCUGAUUAGCUCGUCUACUUGCAGGGCUUUUAAAUGGAAAAUGCAAGGCUUAGAAUUCAAGGCUAACCUCCUAUUACUACCCUUGAGGGGAUGCGACAUGGUGUUGGGGGUUCAAUGGCUUAAACAAUUGGGACCAAUCUUGUGGGACUUCAGCAAAUUACGAAUGGAAUUCCAAUUUCAGGGCCAGAAGAUUGUUUUGAGGGGAUCUUCAGGGCCCAGUUUGAAAAUAAUAGAAGGAAAGCAACUCAAGAAGAUGGUGCUGGAUGACACAGCUUUGUCUGCAGUUCACCUCUGCUCCAUUCAUGCAACACCACAGGAAGGGAAUCACAUAGCAACUUCGGAAGAUGCAGAAACGACGUGGUCGGGACUUGGCAAGGCGUAUUCUCAACAAUUGCAACUACUUCUGGAGGAGCACUCUGACUUAUUUGAAGAACCACAAGGACUCCCACCGGUUAGGCUGCACGACCACAAGAUUCCACUCAAAGAAGGAACUAACCCGAUCAAUGUAAGACCCUAUAGAUACCCUGCCUAUCAGAAGACUGAAAUUGAAAAAUUAGUGCAGGAAAUGCUAUCGCAGGGAGUGAUCAGGCCCAGCAACAGCCCCUAUUCUUCUCCGGUGGUGUUAGUAAAGAAAAAGGAUGGAUCAUGGAGACUGUGCAUAGAUUAUAGAAGCUUGAAUGAUAGUACAAUCAAAGAUAAAUUUCCGAUACCGCUUGUAGAUGAAUUGUUGGACGAAUUGAGUGGAGCUAAGUUGUUCUCAGAGCUGGAUCUGCGGUCGGGCUAUCACCAAAUCAGAAUGCAUGCGGAUGACAUCUCCAAAACUGCUUUCCGGACUCACGAGGGUCACUAUGAGUUCUUAGUGAUGCCUUUCGGGCUCACGAAUGCGCCUUCAACCUUUCAAGGAUUGAUGAACCAUAUCUUUAAACCUUACUUGAGGAGGUUCAUUUUGGUAUUUUUUGAUGACAUUCUGGUUUACAGCAAAGGAGUGGAAGAGCACCUAUGCCAUUUGAGAACUACCUUUCAAGUUUUGCGGCAACACUCAUUGUUUGUGCGACGCAAGAAGUGCAUCUUUGCUGCUGUUCAGCUGGAGUAUCUUGGUCAUGUAAUCAGCCACGAAGGAGUUUCCAUGGACAAGAAGAAAGUAGAGGCGAUUCAGGAGUGGCCGCUUCCUACUACUGCGAAGGAAUUAAGAGGGUUUUUAGGGUUGGCUGGAUAUUACCGCAGGUUCGUCAAGGACUUUGGAAAAAUCAGCAAAUCAUUACAUGAAAUGCUGGGAAAAGAGGGAUUUAAGUGGACUAACGAACGCCAUUAUGCUUUCCAACAGCUCAAGAAGGCUGUUAGUGCGGCCCCUGUACUUGCCUUACCAGAUUUCACCAUUGACUUCACCAUUGAGACGGAUGCUUCGGGGAUAGGAGUCGGGGCUGUGCUCCUGCAGAAGGGAAGACCUAUAGCAUUCAUGAGCAAACCACUAUCUCCAAGGAAUAGACAGCUUUCAACUUAUGAGCGGGAGAUGUUGGCGAUAGUAAUUGCGGUUCAAAAAUGGAGGCCUUACUUGAUCGGAAGGCAUUUCAAGAUAAAAACGGAUCACCAGAGCCUAAAGUACUUAAUGGAACAAAGAGUAUCCACGCCCAGCCAGCAAAAGUGGGUUGCAAAGUUAAUGGGGUAUGACUAUGAAUUAAUCUAUAAGAAGGGUCAAGAGAAUGUGGUUGCUGAUGCUUUAUCGAGGUCACCUACUUUGCUCGCAGUUUCAGCCAUUCACACCGAUCUACUAGAUCAAAUUAAGUGGAGUUGGAAUGUGGAUGACAAACUCAAAAAAAUCAUUCAACAAAAACAAUCAGAUAUUAACUCGUGGCCUCGUUAUACAUGGGUACAAGACCAGCUCAGAAGAAAAGGAAAGUUGGUCGUGGGUAGUGACCCAGGACUGAAGUUGCAAUUGAUUCAUAACUUCCAUGCUAGCAGCAUUGGGGGUCACUCAGGGAUGGAGGCUACUACGAGGAAGCUUAAGGGUCAAUUCUAUUGGAAGGGGCUUCGACGAGAUGUCGAACAGUUUGUUAGGGAGUGCUCGGUGUGCCAACAAAACAAAUAUGAGACAACAGCUCCGGCAGGUCUCUUACAACCCUUACCAAUACCAGAGGGUAUAUGGACUGAGAUAUCUAUGGAUUUUAUAGAAGGUCUGCCCAAUUCACAAGGCAAGGAGGUUAUUAUGGUGGUGGUCGAUAGACUGAGUAAGUAUGCCCAUUUCAUAGCUCUAUCCCAUCCUUACACGGCUUCAUCGGUGGCUCAGUUGUUUCUCGACAACAUAUAUAAGUUGCAUGGAAUGCCGAGGAGUAUAGUUAGUGAUCGUGAUACGAUCUUCGUCAGCCAAUUCUGGCAGGAAUUGUUCAAGAGGCUUCAAGUCAAGGUUAACCUCUCAACGGCUUACCACCCGCAAUCCGAUGGACAGACAGAGGUUGUUAAUCGCUGCCUUGAGAAUUAUCUUAGAUGUAUGGCAGGGGAGAGGCCUAAGGAGUGGGCAAAAUGGUUACCAUUGGCAGAGUGGUGGUAUAAUACUUCAUAUCAUUCCUCAACAAAGGCGACUCCCUAUGAGGUUGUAUACGGGCAACCACCACCCUUACACGUCCCUUACUUAGCAGGAGAUUCUUUAAUGGAAGCUGUGGAUAGAACACUAGCUGCUAGAGAAGCAGCUUUGCGAGUAAUCAAGGAAAAUUUAGCCAAGGCCCAAAAUCGGAUGCGGCAAAUUGCAAACAAGGGAAGAACUGAACGAGUGUUUCAGGUUGGAGAUUGGGUCUAUGUGAAAUUGCAGCCAUACAAGCAGCUAUCAGGUCGCAAGCAUGCCUUCCAGAAAUUAUCGCCGCGCUAUUUCGGCCCCUUUGAGGUAAUCUCUAGAGUGGGACCUGUGGCCUAUAAGCUCCAGUUACCAGAGACCACCAAGAUACACCCUACUUUCCACAUUUCUCAGCUCAAAAGGAAGAUCGGAUCUGCUCCCUCCUCUCCAACUAUACCAGCUUAUAUCAACACAGAGGGACACUUACUGGUGGAGCCGAUAGCUGCGCUCGAUCGACGGAUGGUCAAGCGACAUGGAAAGGCGGCAACGCAGCUGCUAAUUCAUUGGUCCAACCAACCUGAAGAGAACGCCACGUGGGAAUACUUCACUGACCUGCAGAGGCGUUUUCCGCACUUCGAUCCUUGGGGACAAGGAUCGUAUCGAGGAGAGGGUGCUGAUACACCUGCUAAUUUGGGAUCAACUCAUCCUGCUGAUUGAAGUUGGGAACCUUGACACUGCACCACUCCCAGACCCUUCGCUCCUCUGUUUCUUCUCCGCCUCAAUGCAGCGGCUAGCUUAGCAUAAAUAAGAGCCGUUGGAUAUCACUUAAGUCGAUGAGUCCCAGCCGUCCAUCUCGUUAACGAUCCUAACUGCCAGGGAAGUACCCGCUCCAUUUUACUUUCAGAUAAUUACAAUUUUGCCAUCCACCUUAGCUAUAAAUAGAAUUAAGCUUGUAAUUGAGACUUGGCUUGGAAUAUUAAUAUCAUUCUCCUCUCUUCUUUUACUCCUCUUCUCUCUUCUCUUUCCCCUCCUCUUCUGCUCACUUGUAUGAUNUGAUACUUCUAUUAUUCAGUUGAUUCAUUACUGCAGAAAUCAUGUUUACAUGUUGAAUACAUGCCUGUUACCGGUUAGCACUGCAUAUUUUUAUAUCAUGCACUUAUUGCUUUUCCUUACUUUCAGUACAUCAUGAGCCUAGUGGUGUAAUUCGCCGAGGCUGGCGGCUUACCCACUGGGAACUAUUGUUAAUAGUUCUCACGCCCUUUUGGUGGUUGUUUUUACAGAGCCAUCUGCAGGAGAGGCUAGGGAUCGUGGCAAGGGAGUCGCGUCUAGCUAGACUUUACUAGGAGCAUGCUAGUUGAUCACCUUGCUACUCGGGCUACGACCGAGGGUGAUGUCCCUUUGUAUAGAGAAACCACCAUUGUACCUAUCCUAUUUUUGUAUACUCGUGGUGUUUAUGUACUACUUGGAUCGUGAACUGCAGUUGUGAUACUUCUCUCCUGUCGAGAUUUUGGGAUUGUAUUUUUCUUUGUUCUUUUUCUGUUAGUAUACUGACUUGUACAUUGCUCUGAUAUCAGGAUAGGACUCUCUUUGUUUUACUUCCUAUCGACUUGCUUUCUUCGUAGACGCCUUAUAUACUGCAGGUGUAUGGCGGGUCUGUGCACGUGCCGGAUAUACUUCCGCUGGUACCCGGGCGUGACAUCUUGAAGAGAAGGAUGCUCACGGCGGAUAACUUGCAAAAGAGGGGACGGUAGGGAAACAUUAAUGUGUGUGAUGCGAGCAAAAGAACCUGAGACGACCGUUCACUUUCUUGUUAACUGUCGGUCUAUCAUAUUUGCUUUCACAAUGACUUCCGUUAUCAAAUAUCAAAGGGGGGACAUUGGGGAAGAAGAUAGUUGGAGGAUUCUGGGAGGAAUCCGUACUCAUAGGUGUAAGUGAUGUGGGUUGUGGGACCAACACUGUUGAACAUUAAUUGGGGCAGGCUAUACAGGCUAUUCAGGCUAUUCGUGAUUAAGUGAUGUGUUUUUUAUUUUAUUUUAUUCUUCUUUUUUUUUUCUUUUUCUUUUUUUUUCUUUUUUUUUGGUUGUGUGAUGGUUUGAUUUAUUUUAUGUACUUUUUUUUUUUUACCUUUUGCUUUGGUUCCUAGUCCUAACUACUUCACAUAUGUAACUAAAUUUAUUUCUUUAAUGAAUGAAGUGUUUUGCUUGCCGCCUUUCUCUCAAGAAACAAAUUUUUUUUUCUAUUGCAUCUCAACUUUUGUCACAUUUAUUAUCUGCGUGUUGGAUUCUCUUUGAUUCUGUUCCUCGUGAGUUUCUCCCAUCAGUCAUGUGAGAGAUUUAAACAUGAACAUUGUCACUCUUGAGUCAUGCUUAGGAUGACAAUUCAUGUUUCUACUUCAGUAAACUCUGAUACGAUUAUUGCAUAUACAACGGAGAGCAUGAGUUCCAGUGUGACCGCAUUGCUGUUUUUGUGAAUAUACUCUUCUCUUUAUAUGUUCGUGUUUGUGUUGGUAAAAAGCAUAUUUUAAGUUAGAAAGGACCAAUGACCGUGUUGUUAUGGAUCAAUCUUAAGUAGUGACAUUUCUAAUAAUUUUCUGAUGUAUUGCUUAGGUUCUACUUUCAGAUGCCGACGAUUUUCCUGCAGAUUUAUUACAUUAGUAGUUUGAUGAAUAUAAUUACUUUUCUAGAUCAAAGAAAAUAUUUUCAGGAUCUGUUGCAAUUGGUGGGUUCCGAUUUUCUUUUUGUUUUAAUUAUGAAAGUUGUAGUUGAGAGGUGUCUUUUCAACUUAACUUUCAAGUGUUGGAUGCGUCUCUUAACAAAGAGCAAGGAAUUAAUGUACAAAAAACGCUUUCCUGAACUUAAUUCGGUACUAACGCGAACAACCUGCUCAACUUUUAAUUUUUGCUGCUAGCAGCUUUUCUAAACUUAGCUUGAGGAGAAGGGCCAAUUGAACAUUUUUUUUAAUAUGUUUAGUGGACUAUGUACUGAAGCAAUAAAAUUCAGAGUGUUUAUUAAUUUACUCCAAAAAAGAAAACACUAUUAUAUGUUUCCCUUGUAGCAAUCAAGAGAGAGAGAGAGAGACAUGAUUCGGUUGCUAAACAUGUGGCUCUUCACUCAUAUUGCUUCCGCAGCUUCUGUUGCUAAAAGAUAUUCUUUCAAGUAGAAAAAUGCAUUUAAGAUUUUAGUUUUAACAAAUAUUUUUAGCUUUAAAAUUCUUUUAAAAAUAGUAAACAAUUCUUUCUAAAACAGUAAAGAAUAAAGAGUACAAGUUUAGAUGUAGUCUGUCAAUCGAGGCGUGCGAUGUACUGUCCUAAGAUCGAUACCAUCCCUCCGUGUGUAAAGUUCCAACAAUCACUUCUAAAGAUACAACGAUAUCCCGAUGCAUAACCGCGCUAGCUACCCUAUCGGUAAAGUUCAAAAGUCUUCCAAACACCACAAUUCUCUCUGUAUGUAAAGAUGAGCGGAGGAGAGAACCUAGCAUGCUGAUAGGUGGCCAUUGAAGGCUAAUCUAAAGGAGUGUGAUGCUUAUUCACUGCCCAAAGGGUCUCCAACAACUAAUUAACUGAUUGGGACCUAAGUAAGCAAAAAUAAAAUAAAGGGUAAGUGAGCCCCAACUCGAUUGAUUAGUCGCUCAACCUGGCCUGUAGAAAGAAUAUAGGCGUACUAAAAAUAACAAUAAAACUCUUUUCGCUAAUACACAAUGAACAAUCCGUCACAUACAACCAUUAUUUUGUGGUAGGCUCGCACACACUCGCACCCAAAGUUGCAAAAGAUUCACACACUAACCCAGACAAACUAACAGACCGAACCCAUCUCUCCUACACCCCCACCACUCUCUACUGCGUGCUAACUUUUCCACACACCCUAAGCCUACACUUACUUCUCCACUCUCUCACUCUCCACAUGCUGCUGCUGCUGCUGCUACACGUUGCAUCUUGGUGUGAGGGCUUCACACCUAUUUAUAAAAAUCCAAUGUCAGUUCGGACCUACUUAAGCUAAGUUGGUUAGCUUCUACAGGAGCGUCAGGCCAGAAGACAGUAAAUGAAUCAUAGAUCAGGCCAGACUGUAUUGCAAGCUAGUCAGUAAUUAAUUAUGGAAGUGUGACCAGUAGUAACCCAUCCAUCAGCCCAAACAGCAACACAAUGCUGUUUACAAAAACAGAAACAAACAACAAUAACAACCAAGGCCUCAGCACUUGAUUAGGAUGCCAAAUAUUCCCAAAAUAAAUCGGCCAAUCACGCCACAUUAGCUCCGAUUCAUUGCUUUGAUCAAAAAUGUUAAUUGUAGCAUUUGUAGUACUUAAUUAUAGCGCGACCAAGUUCGAGCCGGUAAUUGUAAAAGUUUUAGGGACAAAUGAAACCUUGCAUGCAUGCUCGAAGUUGUCUAUCAGAAUCCAGCCAACCGUCAAAAAUCAAACUAAUACAAUACGAAUCCAGGCGAAAGUGAACAAAGAGUCAACAAGUCUACCCAAAAUUGGCACCUCUUCAUUCAUCUCGUUAUAAAUGUACACAUACAAAAGAGAAUGUAUAGAUUGAGUCGAGCUAGAAUGCUUCCAGAAGCCAAAAGAUCUUAAUUAUUCCACCUUGUUUUCGAUAAUAGAACAUCUGAUUCGAUGAUCGAUUUUAUUAAAUAUGAUCUAAUACAAUUUGAAAUAUCUAGAUACCGAAAUCUCACAAUUUUCAAUAUCAUUUGCUUACUAAUCAAACUGGCACAUAAUAAACAAAUAUAAUGCCCCGUGUGCCACAGUAGUAAUUGCAAUAACGUAGAAAAACUCCAAUUAGGUGAAAUUUUGAUAUUAAAUUAUUUUCACUACUUAAAACAAGAUCGGCAGCUCAAUAUGAGAUUGUUUCUGAUGAGAUUUUUAUUUUUGGUCUUUCAUUUUGAGACUAAUCGUUCAGAGGAUAACUAAUGGCAAAAAAUCUUGAAAUAUGAUUUCUAAAUACUGCCAAUUGUAUAGAUCAUAUUUAAUAAAGCUAACCAUCAAUUCAAGUGUCUCAUCAUUGAAAAUAUAGUGGAAGCACAAAGGCCCUGUACUUUUGGAGCAUUUCAGAGUCGAGCUCUCAUCAUCUUCAGAUCGACAUAAUAUCACUUCCAUGAAUUGCUAGGCCAUGCAGUAAUGUUUCAUGUUCACAUGUGAUUAUCAAUUUUGUUUCAACAGUCAAAUCAAAUCGUCUGCAUGAGCAUUGCUAUCACAGCAAAAAAUUAAAUCCAAAUAAAUAAAUAAAUAACUUGGACAAAUUACACAGCUCUAGAUGUAUCCUACAAACAUUCGGACAUCAUGGUGUAAGGAAUUUCUUAGCUCUCCUAUUUGUAGCUCUCAUGGUCAAAUAACUUGAGAAGAAUAGCCUAUAAAAAAACAAACAGGAAAUUAUAAACAUAAGAUUUAUACUGUGACUAUGAGACCCAAUGAAUGGCGAGAAAAUUUUAUCAAUGGAUGAUGUCAAAACUCACUGGGCUGAGAGGAUUUGAUUUCAAGCCUUCGUAGAGUUCACGAGAAGAAAUCAAAAGUCUCACAGGACGAAAAUCAAUAGAUUGAUUAUGCCCUUUACUAUCAACAAAGCCUAUCAACUCCUGAUCCAAGAGAUGUUCAAAAGCCUGCAGAAAAGUAUUACAUUGUUAUAGAUCUUCUUAGAAGAAAUGAAUAAACUUGAUUAGUUUUGCCCUUUAGUUAUUACACUAACCCGUAAACAAACUGUAAAUGCAUAAUUAUCCGAUGUCUUGUACGCGUCAUGUAUGGCUUUAUAUUCUGAAAGAAGAAACAAUGUAUCAAUUCAGUCAAUCUGUGCAUAAAACUAAUUGUAACGCAAAAGAGAGACGGAAGAAAAGAGACUGAUUAAUUUCUACCUUUCAUUAUGGAUGUAAAAUUGUAUGAGUUUCGCUCCUUAAUUUCUAACCUGUUCAUGCAUACCAAAAUAUAGAGAUCCAAAACAGAAGCACCUGCUAAAAAAUGUCUCAUGUUCAAAAAAAAUCAUGAAAAGGGUGUAUUUAAUAAAUUGCUUUAAUAUCAGCUGUAUGAAAACUUCUCCGGAGAGGAAAAAAAAACUUAUACAUUUACCUUUUGCGCUAACAAAAUACAGCAUAUGCAACAUCAAGAGACAUAGAUCUUCAAAUUGAAGGCCUAAACAAGUACUGCACUUUUAGCAGAGGUCAGCAUGUGACACUCAUGUGGGCAAAUGUUUAUGUAGUUUUGUUUAAUACUGUUGGAAAUUUUGAACUUCCCAGCCUAAGCAAAUGUGGAACAUUAACUUACUUCAAAGCAGUGUACACGCAGGGUUUAGGAAAUAAAUAAACAUCUAGCUUAUUUAGGUUCAAGUGCUUCCUAUAAUCCCAUAGCCCCUUUUUUAAGGUUAAGAAAUGAGAAUUUCACUUUGCAAUAAAAAGAAAUGGAGGAUACCCUGUUCUUUCUGGUUAUGACUGCUGUUCAGGUUAAGUAACUCGUGCCUAUUUUUUUGCAGAUAUUCAGGAUAUUAGUGUAACACCCCAUACUUUCAAACCUUUUGUUUUGACUACCAUCCUAUUAACUUUGGACCUUUUCGUAAAUUCAAAUCUUCGAGAAACUCGGUGGCAAGGGUUUAAGUGCCGUGGCACGGGGUCGUACCGGAAACUUGCCAGCACGGUACGGCACUGUGCGUGCCAAGCCGUGCCGAUGCGUGCCGGUCAAAAAAAUUAUUGUGUGCCGACACAUAAUAGCAUGAAAUAUUUAUUUUCUUUAGCAACAAAAUAUUCGUACUGUCUGCCGCGAACGAAUCGGCCCCGCCGUAGGUAUUUCUAAGGCGAGUGAUCAUUCAUGGUACAGAUUAAAUUUGUUUAAAUUUUAUUUUGAAAUUAGGAUUACAAGUUCAUGGCUUCCAACAGACUCAAGAAUAUGAUGUUAAUUAUCCCACACUUUCAGUGUUAAGGAACCCUCGAUUAAGAGACCGAAUAUAAAUGCUAAUAAUAAAAAAGACCAAACAGGUAAAUAAAAUUUUAUUAAUAUGAUUUGCCGUGUACAUGGCUUAAGCAGCGGCAUUCCCCCACUAUACAUAGACUUUAUAAAACUAAAUACUCAGUUUAUAGAUUUGAUGGUCGAUUGCGAACAGAUUGCUCAGUUUAAUGAUAUAGCGGUCGUUUGAAAUAGGUUGAGGUUGAGUUUAAUUUUAAUUUGCUCAGUUUAACGAUUCGGCGGUCGAAAAGAGUUUGAUAUGAUUUGCUCAGUUUAACGACUUGGCGGUCAAAAAGUGCUUGAUUUGAUUGCUCAGUUUAACGACUUGGCGGUCGAAAAGAGUUUGAUUUGAUUGCUCAAUAACGACUUGGCGCUCACUUGUUCAGUUUAACGACUUGACGGUCAUUUUGAAAUUGAACUUGGUUUGCUCAGUUUAAUGACUUAGCGGUCAAAUGUUCAGUUUACUGACUUAACGGUCAUUUGUUCAGUUUAACGACUUGACGGUCAUAUCUGAACUUGAUUUGCUCAGUUUAGCGACCUAACGGUCAAUUAAAAUUGAGAUGCUCAGUUUAGCGACCUAACGGUCGAUUAAAAUUGAGAUGCUCAGUUUAAUGACAUGGCGGUCGACUGAGUUUUGGUGCUCAGUUUAAUGACAUAGCGGUCGGUUUGAGUUUUGGUGCUCAGUCUACCGACAUGGCGAUCAGAUUGAGUUAGAGAUGCUCAGUUUAGCGACAUGACGGUCGGUUUGAGUUAGCCCCAAAACAGAUUUUCUAUACAUAUACGGCUAAAAUUAAUUGACAACAUAUGAGGAUCUUAUUCGUGAAAGAGGGUUAGAAAUGAUUGAGAAGAUUGCUGCUAACUGUGAUGUGAAUAACAAUGGAAUACGAUCGUUCACAACAGCUCAGUGGCAAGUAUAAAGAUGAAGAAGUGCAAUGAGAGUUAUCCAUACAGCUCCUUUAAGGUAGAAUAAGCACAUCUAUGAUAAACUCGGCAGUAGGCUUGACAACAUCCAGUAUCUACUUGGGAUGUUAGGAAUUGAAAAGAUACUAGGAAUAUCUCAAUAUGUCAGGAUGCCACCCACAUCAUUUCAAGUUGAGGCUAAAUGUAACAAGGGGUAACAAGGGAGAACACGUAAGAGAUAAGAAAAUCCAUGAGCUGUUAAUAUAUAUUAAUAGGCCAUCUUCAGAAAGCAACCAAUGUGGCUACAAUUUAUUCCUCCUUAAGAAGAAUAUCUUGACUCGAAUGGUGGUUGACACAGAAAACUGAAUUAACAUUGAAAAAAAGAAGAAAUGGGCCCCUGGAAGCUUGCAACAAACAUCUAGAGCUUGCAAGAGAUGGAUAAACAUCCUUGACUCUGCAGGAGACAUGGGAUCCUUAGUAGAUACAGAUCGUGCCUUAAGAUGCGAGCUUCGAGAACAGGUUAAGAAGCUGACUGAACUUGAAGAAAUUAAAUGGAGACAACUCUCCUGCAUCAAACGGGUCAAUAAAGGGGAUGGAAACACAAUGUUUCUUCACUCAUAUGCUAAUGGGAGACGGCAACACAAUUGGAUUCACUCGAUUCAGGAUGUAAUGCAUGACACUGUUAAUUCAAUGGCAGCCCUCCUUAGAGACCACUUCAUAUAUACUCUUGGCACCGCUUUCGCACUGGCAGCUUACAUCAACUUUUCUAGUUUACACUCAAAGGUUGACCUCAAUCUUGCUCCUUUUGACAGCCAUCUUCCUGAAGAGGAUAUCUUGGCAGCCAUUAACUCCUUUGAAGAGAUCAUGCCCCAGGCCCAGAUGGUUUUCCUAUGGCUUUCUAUCAAAAAUUUUGGUCUGUCAUCAAGCGAGAUAUCAUUUGUCGGUUCAAUGACAUCCAUACCGGCUUGGAUAAUCUCAAAUGUCUUAAUGAUAGCUGGAUCUUACCGAAGCGGAGAGAGGCUUCCUACGCGUCAGACUAUUGGCAUACACUCAUGCUGUUGAAAAAAUUUUCUCAAAGGUCCUUGCCUGUCGUCUCCAACCUAUUAUUGGUAACCUUAUCAGUUUCAAUCAAACCGCUUUUGCGAGAGAUCGGAGCAUCUUGGACAAUUUCAUCUGUCUACACAGGUUGGUCUACAAAUGCCAUAACAUGCACAUUAAGGCCAUCCUUCUUAAACUCGACUUCUCAAAGGCCUUUGACAAUAUCUGCUGGAGCUCCCUCCUGAGCCUCCUAGUGGCUAGAGGCUCCGACAAUCAAUGCGUUCGCUGGAUUCAUUGUCUCUCUCUUUUCCAAAACUACUAUUCUUCUCAACGGCAAGCCUAAGAAAUGGUUCCGAUGUAAACAGGGAUUGCAGCAAGGUGAUCCUUUAUCACCUUUCCUUUUCAUUCUUGCUGUAGAUGUUCUUCAAAGGAUUAUUAUGAAAGCUUUUGGACUCGACCAUCUCUCCACUCUCUGGUUGAACCCGGGUGGUUUUCACCCCCUUCAAUAUUAUGACACUACCAUCUUAACCAAAGCUGAUCCUCAAGAAACUUGCAUCUUAAAAUUCCUUCUUAAAAAUCAACAUCCAUAAGAGUUCGAUUUCUCCUAUUAAUAUUGAUCGGGACCUUCUCCUUGCCUUAGCACACACUUUACAAUAUGCUAUGUCACACCCCAAACCCAAGGCGUAACAGACGCCGCAUACCUGCUAAACUAGCAAAUAUGCAAGGCUACAGAAUCAGACGGAAACUAGCAAAAAGAUGAUUAUCAAUUUUCCACUAAAUUCAAAUAAUCAUAAGGUGAGACUAAGAAAUUAAAUUUUAACUAAAAUCAAACGGAAUUCUAACAUCUAUAAAACUAAAGCUUACUACGAAACACUAUAAAUUCAAUCCACUAAAUACCAUAAUUAACAAAGGUGGGUACGAAGAAAUAACGAUAUAAAAGUAGAUAACAAACGAUCAUUUACGAAGUCCAAAAAAAUAUUCACAUCUAAAUAUAUGCUAGGCAUAAAACAAAAAGGACUAAAAUCAAAAUCUAGCUAUAUCUAACGCUCACUCGGUCCCGACCCUGCCCUGCGAAGCAGUCUCAAAACCUGGGUAAGCAACCAUACACCACAUUAGUCGGAUUAAGCAUACAAUACAAAUAAAUAAUUAAUUACAAAAAUUAAUUCAAGCGACUGGUUUUCAAUUUGCAAAAUUUCAGAAAACAAGAAUUUAUCAAAACUUAAAAUUCAGAUCGGAUUGAAACUAUAAAUUUACAAAGCAUUUCUCUUUCAGCAAAUAAACGAAAUAAAUAUUAAGUCUCCGACAACUAACUCCGUUGGCGAGAUCCAAAGGCACCCGAAGGCGCAAACAGAACAGAAGCAUCUGAAGGCGCAAACAAAACAGAGGCACCAAAGGUGCAUGUACAAAACAGAGGCACCCGAAAGCGCAAACAAAACAGAGGUGCGUAUAGGCGCAGGCACCCGAAGGCGCAAUACAAAGACGAAGAUCGCUUCUAUAACAAAGUACAUGUCGACAUGGCCAAUAUUAGCAUAAUAGAAUACCAAAAGACAUUAUAAUUUAAAAUUAUCCAAUCACUAACUUACAAAACAAAUCAUCAAAUUUCAAAAUUCUUCUGUUAAAAGAACCUGUCAAUCACAGUUGAAACUCAGUUUACAGAAUUAUUUAAUAUACACUUAACCCUUAAUUUUAAAAUCUACAAAGUAAGGAUUUUCACACAAUCAAGAAUUUUCCUAAAUUAUUUAACGAAAAACUAACGGGUGUCCGGUCGCUUACCUUAACGCAGCCUCAAAGAUAAGAAAUUAUCCAGUCGAAACUACGCAGAAAAUCAAUCUUCGAAACCUAAAAUAGAGACAUGUGAUUCUCUAUAAGCUAACUCAAAAAUGAACAUGCAAAGAGGAUAUAAUUAUAUUUAGCAGAUAAGUUUAUCCAAGGUUUAAAUUUGGAUAGACUCACAUCGGUGACAAUUCGGUUACAAAGGUAUGCAAAUAGAUCGGAAUGGAACACAAAGGGAUUUAGAAUAUUUAAUUUCGACGAAACUCAAUUAGCAAUCAAAGAGAUGGAGUUUUGAAAAUUAAAUUAUUCAAAGGAGUAAGAUGACAUGAACGAAAAUUGAAAUUAUACAUGAAAGGUUUAGUGUUCGAAAAGAGGUUUGUCAUAUGUGGAAAUAUAAUUUUACGAUAUAUAAUCAAUGGAAUCGAAUUUAGAAACAAAACGAAAUUCGCCCUCUCAUAGGCAUUUUAUCGAACAUAUAACAGGCAUUCCAAAAAUGUGUAGAAUGUGCGAAGUUUACACAACUAAAUUUUAUAGAGGAUGUAAGAUAUAAAAUUUGACAGUUCAAAAGACAAGAAUAAGAUCACGACGAAUCAGAUUUUUAAUGGUUUUAAUCCCAAACAUUAAGAUAUAAGUGAGGCAGAAUAAUCAUACAACCAUGAAUAAGGAAUUAGAUCCAGUCAAGAAUAGAUGUAAAGAAAUAAAAAGGAAUAGACCUUGAAGGCGGAAUGACAAUGACGAAUCAAAAAUAUCGAUGGAUGAGGAUUGCCGCUACGGAUGACGGCGACGACGGUAGGGAUCGGAUGACGUCGCGCGCGCACAUGCGGAGCGGCAGAGGCGUACGGACGCGGUGAAGGAGGAGAGAGAGGGAAUCGUGCGGGAGGGGGAAAGAGAGAUUGGGUGAGGGUUGGCUAGGAAGAACUAAUUAAAUUAGGGACUAAUUAGGUAACAAUAGACCGCCGAGUCCUUUGAAGAUUGGAAAUUACCAAAAGGUCCAAACUUAAUAAGAUAGGAGUCAAAACAAGAGGUUUAAAAGUAUGAGGUGUUACAUCCUCCCCUUCUAAAAGAAGUUUAGUCCUCUAAACUUAACAUACCUUCUCUCGAAGAGCUAAGGGUACGUCAUCCCAAUCUGCUCUUCGAGCUCCUAAGUAGCUUCUCGUUCAGAAAAGUUGCUCUACUGGACUACUAGAAUAAAUUAGGAUAUUGUCUACUCAGACAAUAGUCCUAUAAACACAGUCGAUUACAAGCUCUGCCCCCAAAGGCGCCCAACACAUAAAGUAUAAACAAAGGGUUCGGAGGUUAACAAAUGAUUUUGAUCAAAAGCAAAAAAAAUAAAGAAAUAAGUAGUUCGAGAAUCAAAGAGAACACGAGCAAAAAUAGAAACUAUGGGAAGAAUACCAGGGACUACAGCAUUAGAUGCUUGGACAUCCUGCUGGGAGAGAGCCUGAACAUGACCCUGCGUCCGAGGUCUUCCACCUCUGUACUGAUCGAUAGGAGGGGCAUGAUCACGACCGGUUGGAGCAAUAGAUUUCUCCUGAGGCUUGGAUCCAGUGCCAGAGUCGGUGCUAAACAGAGGGCACUGAGCUAUCCGAUGGUUCAAAUCUCCACAUCUGAAACAACCACCAGUGACGUGCCUGCAGUUCGAGUCAUUAUGCGAUCCUCCACAAACUGAGCAUUUCGGUUUCUGAUCUCGAUUUGGUGGUCCACCACGAGAAGCUGGCGUAUUACGUGACCUCCUUGAGUCAUUAGAUCUAUCCAAUUCUCUUGCAUUUCGAUCUUCUUCUUUGAAAGAAUCUCUAUUCCUCUUCUUCUGAUUUGUCUUUCGCUCUUCUCUAGUUUGCCUCCAUACUAAAUCCAAAGAUUUCGCUCUAGAAACAACAUUAUCAUAUGCCUCAAGGUGUAGCGGUGCGAGACCAGUGCGAAUAUGUCCAUUCAAUCCUUCCUCAAAUCUCUUAGCUCGUGACUCAUCAUCAUUUACUAGUUUUGGGGCGAAGUGGGAUAGUCAGUCAAACUCGGCUUCAUACUCCUCCACAGACAUCAAACCCUGCUUUAGAUCCAGAAAUUGUCUUUCAAGCUGGCGAAGCUUGCUCCUUUAAACCUCUUGUUUUGACUCCUAUCUUAUUAAGUUUGGACCUUUUUGUAAAUUUCAAUCUUCGAGGGACUCGGCGGCAUAUUGUUACCUAAUUAGUACCUAAAUUAAUUUUACCUAGCCAACCCUCAUCCGACCUCUCUUUUCCCCUCCCGCACGACUCUUUCUCUCUCCUCCGCUGCGUCUGUACGCCUCUGCUGCUCCGCACGUGCGCGCACAACGCCGUUGAUCACCGUCGUCGUCGCCGUCGUCCGCGGCCGCCGCCGCAAUCCUCAUCCAUCGGCAUUUUCGAUUUGCCGCCAACAACAUUUCAUCGUCGUCGAUUCUAUCUUUAAGAAAGUUUAUUCCUUUCAUUUUCGUCUCUACACCCAUUCUUGAAAGCAUCUAAAUUUUAUCGAUAAUUAUGUAAUUGUUGUUAGGUAUUCUCCUUGAUGAUUACUUCUAAGAUCGUUCAAAUCUGAUUGCUAUAUACCUAAAUAUAGAUUGAUCGUAUUAUUAAAUUUUUACCAUGUAUUCUCUAUGUGAUCUAGGUAUAUAAAUUCUGCAUAUUCUACAUAGUUAUUGAAAGUCCGUUACAUGUUCGACAAAAUGCCUAAAAGAAGGCAUAUAUUGUUUUUGUUCCCAUCUUGAUUCUAUCUAAUUAUUGAUUUGCAAAUCAAUGUUUCAACAUCUGAAAACCCUCUUUUCGAGUAUUAGAUCCUUCGUUUAUUAUUUAAAACUUCAUUCAUCUUAUCUUGCUUCUUUGAAUAUUUUAAUCCUUAAAACUCAUCAUCCUCUUGAUUGCUAAUUGAGUUUCGUCGAAUGUAUUAUUCUAAAUCUCUUUCGUGCUCCGUCUUGACCCUUUUGCAUGCAUUUGUAGCCGAUGUUGUCAACCUAUGUGAACCUAUCCGAAUUCAGAUUUUUGUAUAAGCUUGCCUUCUAAAUGUAUAUAUAUCCUUUUUGUAAUUUUAUUUUUGAGUUAGCUUAUAGAGAAUCGCAUAUCUCUAUUUUAGGUUCCGACGAUUGAUUUUCGUGCAAUUUUCGACUAGAUAGCUUCUUAGCUUAGAAGCCGCUUUUGAGGUAAGCGACCGGACACCCGUUAGUUUUUUGUUAAAUAAUUUAGGAAAAUACUUGAUUGCAUGAAAAUCCUUAUUUUGUAGAUUUUAAAAUUAAGGGUUAAGUGUAUAUUAAAUAUUUCUGUAAACUGAGUUUCAACUGUGAUUGAAAGGUUCUUUUAAUAGAAGAAUUUUAAAAUUUGAUUAUCUGUUCUAUAAGUUAGUGAUUGGAUAAUUUUGAAUUAUAAUGUCUCUUGGUAUUCUGCUAUACUAAUGUUGGCCAUAUCGACAUGUAUUUUGUUAUAGAAGCAAGCUCUGUCUUUGUAUUGCGCCUUCGGGUGCCUGCGCCUAUCCGCGCCUCUAUUUUGUUUGCGCAUUCGGGUGCCUCUGUUUUGUACAUGCACCUUCAGUGCCUCUGUUUUGUUUGCGACUUCGAGUGCCUCUGUUCUGUUUGCGUCUUCGGGUGCCUUUGGAUCUCGCCAACGGAUCAUAUGAUAUAGUUAGUUGCCGGAGACUUAAUAUCUAUUUCGUUUAAUUGCUGAAAGAGAAAUGCAUUUGUAAAAUUAUAAUUUCAAUCCGAUCUAAAUUUUAAGUUUUGAUAAAUUCUUGUUUUCUGAAAUUUUACAUAUUGAAAAACCAGUCGCUUGAAUUAAUUUUUGUAUUCAUUUAUUUAUUUGUAUUGUAUACUUAAUCCGACUAAUGGGGUGUAUGGUUGCUUAUCCAGGUACUGAGACUGAUUCGCAAGGCGGGGCCGGGAGCGAGUGAACGUUAGAUAUAGCUAGAUUUGAUUUUAGCCUCUUUCGUCUUAUUUCUAUUGCAUUUAGAUAUGAAUUUUGGACUUCGUAAAUAAUUAUUUGUUUAUCUGCUUCUACUUUGUUAUUUCUUCGUACCUACAUUUGUUAUUUACAGUAUUUGUUAGACCAAAUUCUAGUUGCAUUGCAUAAUAAACUUUAGUUCUGCUUAUAUGAUACUUCAUUUGAUUUUAGUUGCAAUUAAAUUGUUAGUCUCAUCUUUUGAUUAUUUGAAUUUAGUGAAAAAUUGAUAAUUAUCUUUUUGCUAGUUUCCGUCUGAUUCUAUAGCCUUGCAUAUUUGCUAGUUUAGCAGGUAUGCGGCGUCUGUUAUGACUCGGGUUUGGGGCGUGACAGAGAAAUGGUAUCAGAGCAAAGUACUUUGCAUAAAAUGUGAGCUUAAGUAUUUUUGGCCGGUGGUUUGGGUCCAACGAGUUAUUAUUGCUGGCAGGUCGGGUCGUUGCAAUUGGUAUCAACCGAAUACCAAUGUGAGAGCUAAGUGCUAUGCGGGACAAAGUGCUACACCAACGGAUUUGGUGGAAGCCAACUCUUGAACCCGUAGGAGCCACCUCUAGAAUCUCACAUUAUCUGGUAAUUCUGAUCUUUAUCUGUUUGUCUGUGAUCUGAUUUGGACCCGACGAGAACGUCAGGGUCUAAACAGGGGGAGUUUGUAACGCCCCAAUAGUGCAAUCAUCGGAUGGGAUACUGAUAGUUUAUAUGAAGUCUACAUGCUAUUAAUAAUAACUGGGCUUAAGCAUUUUGGGCCGGUGGUUUGACCCAACGUGUUAUUAUUGUUGGCGAGUCGGGUUGUUGCAACUGGUAUCAAAGUUGAAUACCAGCCGGAAGUGUGAGAGCUAAGUGCUAUGCUGGGCAAAGUACUACACCAACAGGUUUGGUGGGAGCCACGUCUUGAACCCGUAGGAGCCACCUCUAGAAUCUCACAUCGCUUGGUAAUUCUGGUGCUGGUCUGUCUGUCUAUGAUCUGGUUUGGACCCGACGAGAACGUCAGGGUCUAAACAGGAGGAGUUUGUAACGCCCCCAAUAAUCCCACAUCAGGUAGGAAACUAAUUCUGAUUAGAAUAUAUGAGACCUACACGCUAGUUAUAAUAACUGGGCUUAAGCAUUUUGGGCCGGUGGUUUGGCCCAACGAGUUAUUGUUGCUAGCGGGUCAGGUCGUUACAUGCUACCAAAGACUUUCCUAUUACUUACUCUCAAAUGACAAGAAUAUCUCCCUAAUUAAAAAAAUUAAGAAAAGUUUGGCAGGUUGGAAGGCGAAUAUGCUUUCUUUGGGUGGUCGUUUAACUCUGAUUAACAUUGUUCUAUCCAGCAUUCCAAGAUAUCUUCUUUUUGUAUUCUAUCUUCCUUCUUUGGUCAUUAAGCACAAAGACUUCAUUAGGAGUGCUUCCUAUGGAGGUGUGGUGUGCUUCAGGACAUACGGUGUGCGUUGCCUCGUGGAGUAUUUGCAGGCCUAAGGCAUAUGGUGGGCUUGGAAUUCUGGAUCUACGGUUACUCAACUUAGCUCUACUAGUGAAGCAGUGGUGGUGGCACCUCUUCACCAAUCACGAGUUCCCAUAAGUCCCCUUUGUCGUGAGAUGGUAUUAUCGAAUGUGGAGCCCAAUGAUUCAAAAUCCUAAGUGCCACAUAAUGCAUUGCCUUUCUGUGGGAGGUUUACAAAGUCUGCUCCCCUCUUCUUUUCUUCUAUUUUCUUUAACAUUAGCAGUAGGGAGAGGACUUCUCGCUCUCCAGAUGGAAGGAUGAAAUGUCCAGAUGGAAGGAUGAAAUGACUAUUAAAGAUUGCAACCCACUUGUAUACAACCAUUCUUCUAACAAGCUGGUAAUAGUGAGUUAUGCUUUUAAUUCAAAACUUGCUAUUUUAUCGCACCUCCUCAACCAUCCUCACUGCGGAAUAGCUGAACUCAACAAUCGCCUCUCAGAAAUGCAAGGAAUCACAAGAGACGAAGUGAUUUGGCGAUGGACUCCUAACAGUAUCUUCUUGGUUGUGUCGGCGUAUCGAUCCUUUCCUUCAAAGGUAUCAUUGAUCGUCUUUAUAAGGUGCUUUGGAAAUGAUCAUACCUAAGGUGAAAGCCUUCAUGUGGUUGGCCUAUCAUAAUCAACUACUCACAGCGGAUAAUCUUAUCAAAAAGAAUUGGCUGGCCCCACCGUGUUAUCCACGUUGAGGAGUUGAUUCGGAAACUAUGAUGCACCUCUUCAUGUAAUGUUGUUUCUUUUCUCUAGUUUGGAAUUCUAUAACGCAGGGGCAGAUAAUGUACAACACCAACGUUGACUCAUUGCAAUCUUAUUGGCUCGAAGGAAGAUCUAUUUUUGGGAAAGAAAACUGCUGAAGUUUGGUGCCUUGUUCGCUGCAGGAUGCUAGAACGUGGAAAGAAAGGAACCGAAGGAUCUUUGAUACAAAAAGUAAUAGGAGGCAGGUGAUUGCUAAAACUUCAAAUUCUGAAGCUAAAAAUUGGAUCGACGUUCUUUAAAGCUGUUGCACUAAUGCGGAUGUAGCCUUUUGUUUGGUCCUGUUCCGGCCGAAAUUAGUUUGUGGCUUUCCUUUUGCUUUGUUUUUAUUCCUUUUACUCUGUUUGUUCUGUUCUCCUUUUCAACCUUCUUUUGUAAUUUAUAGCUCCUUUUUAAAUAUGUACAAUUGAACAGAGCCUUCAUGUUCAUCUUCAAAGAAAAAUUGAAAAAAGAAAGGUACUAGGAAGAAGACGAGAGAAUAAAUGUUCACAUUCAUAAAAAUACAUGAACCAGAUAUAUAUAUCUGGGCUAUCAAAGAUUUCAGUUCACAUUAUUGUAGAAAGUUAUUGUGCAGAGCAUGCAGCUGUAAAUUGAUUGUAUUUCUAUACAUAUGCAUCUACACUCCAGAAAUAUAUUUUGAACAAGCUCGAUUUGAAGGAUUGUGUUAUUACUUCUUAAAACGGAGAUAUUCAUAUAUUAAGACAAAAAAAUCAACCUACCAAUGGAGAUUUUUAUAUAUUAAAAAAAAAAAGAAUCAAUCUGCCAAUUUGAGCCAGUACAACAGUCAGAUGGGCAUAGCAUCUUAUUAUACGAUGCACAGAUACUUCAAUUUAGCUGUUGUGUCCAUAUUGGAUAUACAAUAUCUAUACAUUCAAAAACUUCCAGGAGUGCCUAGUAUUCUAGAAAUUUAUAGAAAUGCACAGAUACUUGACAUGUGCUUGGAGGAUGCGCAAGGAAUAUUUAUGGAAUAUGGAGCGAUGGUUUUUUUUUGUUUAAUUAAUGGAGUUAUUUUUAAACGGCUCAGAUUGACAAUCUUAUCAUAUAAAUGGCUAAAUUAUAGAAAACUUUUUGUAAGUACCCGCUUCUUCACUUUCCCUCCCUGACUUUAAAAAACUUACAUUUUGCCUCCUAAAAUUUUAGAAAUGUUUUCAAAGGGAUACGGCGUUAAUGGAGAGGGUAAAAUGACCAAAUUGUCCUUACUUUUUCUAUAAGGAAAAAAUAUUUUUUUAAUAUAUUUAUGUAAUUUUAAAGGGCAUUUUCGGUAUAAAUUAUAAGAAUUGGAUGAAAUAGUGGAACCCUGACGGAAGGGGACUAAAUGCAACAACUUGAUUUUUUUUUUUUUUUUGAGAGAUAGAUAGCAUGCUACCCGCAUUUGUUUAUUUCAUUUAGAAAUAAACUUAGCUAGAAAUAUGAAUCAACUAGGAUUCGAACUUGGGACCUCGAGUAUCAACCACCAAGCCCUUUGCCAUUUGCACUAGGGACGGUCGGUUAACAACUUGAAAUAUUGAGGGGGUAAAAUGUAGGUUUUGAAAGCUAGGGAGGAAAAAUAAAAAAGCGGAUAUUUAUAAGAAGGUUUCUGUAAUUUAGCCUACAUAAAUUAUCACUUUUGCUUCUGGAUUACACUUGAAUCAUAGAUUCAUGGUUGAGAAACCUCAUGAUUAAAGUUUGGUGACUUUGGUCUAAGCAAUUUUGUUUCUUGAUGAAUGAAGCACUACUUUUUUAUACCUUUGCACAAUUUAGUGACCUUAUUGCUUUAUGUUAUCAAAUUAUCUAAACAGUCAUUAAUAUAUACUAUUAUCAUAUAAUCAUAAUAUAAGCUAAACAUAACUUUAUAUUGUUAUAUAUAAAAAAAUUUUAUUCCCAUACACCCCCCCCCNCAUCUUCAUUGUGUGGCAUCCAUGUUCUAUAUUCAUAUCCAUGCAAGUAUGCAACAUAGACCUAAUUUCUCAAAAUUUUAUUACCACUCAACUUCUAUAAGCUGAAAAAGAAAAUGAUCAAACUGCAAGUCACAUAAGUGGCAACAAACCUUGUAGGCAGUCAAUCUUGGGCUGCUUUUGCAUACACAAUUCUGCACUCUUGAAGUUUUCCAUCAUUAAGAAUCCAGACUCCACAUCCAUGUAGGAAACAGCCCUGAAUCUGAAUGGGAUAAUUCUCAACAUCAAUUUUUGAUGUUCAACUAGUGAUACAAGGCAUUACAAGAAAAAACACAUUAUGCUUAGAACUUACAGAAAAGUUAAAAGGUUACUGAUUGUUCCAUCCACAGCUGAGAUCGAGUUGACAAUUUCUUUGAACUUUUUAUCACUAAUUAUAUUCUGCUAUCAGUUAAGGAACACCGACAUACUUGAUUCCAAAAUACAAAUAGUUUCUAGCCCAAUUUUUAGCACAUUCUAUAUAUAAUGCUGAAAGAGAAUCGUAAAUGCUAGUCUAAAAUGAAGGCAAGGGCUGUGCGACUUAAUAAAAAAGCUAUACCAAUUUACAACAGCCUUGCCUUACACAAAGUAGUUGGGAAACCAGCGAGUGUAGUAAAAAGAAGAACCAAGCAUUUGACAUGACUAACUGCAAUCCGGACACUUAAACUAGUAUUAAUGUUCCAGUCAAAAGAAACUAGAAUAAAUGAUUACCCAAAUUCAGGGUCUCGCUCAGGAACACGCUUUUUCAUUAAUAUUAAAAUAAAUCUAACUGAUUAGAGCUACAAUAUUUACAUAUUAUUACAGUUAAAUAUAUUUGAUUGUUACAGUUAUUUUUAAGUUAUCCCUAUUGCAAAAUAAAUAUUAAAUAUGAUCAUUCUGAAGAUUAUUUUUGUUACAGUUAUUUUUUAGCUACCCCUAUUGCAAAUAUAGAUAUUAAGUAUGAUCAUUUUAAAGGGACAAUCUUAUUGAAGAAAACAACUGAUGUCCUGAGUAAACUUCCAAAAGAAUACAGAAAGCCUUGAGUUGAACUCUGUGACAAAUUUUGUAGGAAGACCCGAAUCUUUUGGUAAAUAGAGCAAGUGCUCGAUCAACCUGCAUCAUAUCUAAAAGUUAGAAAAUGUUAGAAGAUGGUAGAUGAAUAAGAAAAGCUUUCAGCAUAAUACAGCAUGAUAUGGCAGUAGAUAGAAAGGGCCAAAGGAUCCACCUUUGCAUUUCAUCUGCUGAGGGGGGAAUAAAGAGAAGCUUCCUGUUAGAGAACCGAGAUCUAACUCUUUUCUCUAAGAGCUGGUCUGCAUCCUACAAAAUAGAUGGCCAAACUUAGUUACUAGACUAUUAAGGUGGAAAUUAUUAUAUGCCCUACUCAUUCAUUGUUUGUAUCUCAUUUCAGCUAUUCUAUAUUGACUAGCCAAACAAUGACCAAAUGUAGCAGCACGAUGAUUUGUGCCUCCUCACAUAGGCCAGACCGCCAGAGUUGGGCAUUGUAUAUUGUUUGCUUUGGAGUUAGGUAAGAAAUUUCAAAAGUUUCAAGCACUUUAGCAGUCAGGUUGACAAAAAGAAAGCUAACUUAUUAAGAGAAAGCUAAGCUCUACAAUUCUUUUGUUUGGAAUAUGCUGUAGUUAGAGGAAGAGAUGGUCGGAAAGAACCAAUCUACCCCAAAAUUUGGUUGGGGGGAGACUGGGAGGACAAGUAGAUAAGCAUCACCUGCUGGAUGAUUUGAAGGCCAGUAUUACCAAUCGGUUGGUAAGGAAGGCCAACCAGCAGGCAACUUUCAUGUUGAUAUGGUGCAACAGUCAAUGGUCAAGCUAUUGAGGUUAACUAAUUGACUACGGAGCUGAAACCGCUGAAAGCCUUUGAUAUAUCUCUUAGCUCAAUUUAUUGGAUCUUCGACAUUUUAGUAGGAAGGACUCUAGAAAUUAGUGAUCCUUGACGAAGAAAUAAAAAGCAGAAUACUUGCUGCAAAGAAAGGUACAAAGGCAUUGCAGAAGAAAAAGAGGUUACAGCUUCACAGUAGCAAACUAAAAUAGGAUUUAAGCCCUCAUGAACUACAACACUCCAUCUAUAAUCACUAGUUCUUGUAAAACCUCCAAGGCUUGUUCUUCUAUAAAACCUCCAAGGCAUGUUCUUGUAAUUGUGUCCUUUCCAGGUUUGCUAGGACCCAAACAAAACAUGAAUAUAGCUAGGAACGAAUUUGGAUAAUAGCAUGAACUUAAACAUCAUCAAAAGUUUAAAAAUAACUAAAAGGAAAUCCUGGUCAACUCCUGUAGAAACAUUGUCAGCCAGAAUAUAGUGCAUAAAGGUCAUCAACGUGAUAAAAAUCAAACAGAUUAAUCCUUGCUCCAUUUCCUUUUCAGCUUAUUUCCGAGUUUAUGACUUGUACAAAUGGAAAAAAUGAUAACAUGAGACACUUGACUAUAAACCAUCAUAUAACCAAAGGAUAAGCUACUAAUACUCUGUCAUGCACUUCCUCUAAUUAUGUUGCUAACAAGAUUUGAUGAAUCUAAAGUGUAAUGGAAGGUAACAUUAGAUCAUCAGGACUAGAUUAUGUAGCCCAACACCAAUCUGACAAAGUAUCUAAAGUAAAAUCAUCAAAAGGCAUCAAGCGAAGGAAGACCCAUCCUUCCAAGGAACACUAAGACUAAGACCCCACCACUUAUGGCACCUUAACUAAGGGGUCAAUGAAACCAUGGUGAAAAGAGAGCACCUGCUAGGAUUUUUAUUAAUAUUUACAAAUAAUUACAAGAGUAACUCACUAAAUUAAUAACAUAUUAUAAUACAUAAAGUAUAUACAAGUAAUAUCUUCUAACAUUUCUCCGCAACCUAAGGAUCCUGUGGUUGGAUACGAAGAUUGGUUCGCAAAAUUGGAAAACGGGAGGUAGAUAAUGGUUUGGUUAAAAAAUCAGCCAGUUGUUCCUCGGGGGUGAUUGACAGAGCUUGAGGUCUCCAAACUGAACUCUCUCACGAAGAAAAUGAUGGUCAAACUCAAUGUGCCUACUCCGAGCGUGUAAAAUAGGAUUUGCAGCAAGAGAAGUGAUGCUCAGAUUGUCAUAGUAGAUCUGAAUUCUAUGAUCUGAAUGGAACACCAUAUAGGAACGCUAAAAUCACGAAGCUGAAUAUCGGCUGAGUUCUGUGAAUGAUUGUUAAAUGCUCCUAAAGGUACCUUAGCUUUAUCAGAUUAAAUCUUAAAUCAAAUAGAUGAGCUUAAUAUUAUGAACAUCUGUAUAUGGAAAUAGAUAAAGUUAUAGCCGAAAAAAUGAUUAUAGUUUAAAAUUAAAAAUUUCAGACACAAAAAGUUUCCCAAGAGUCAAAUGUUUCACUUGAAUUUUGUUAAAAUAAUAUCUUCUGGAAAACAAAAUCCAAAGUCUCAUUCAAAAUAUUCUUUUAAUCAAGAUUUGACAGCUAUAAAUAGCUUUGAUUGUACUCCAUGAGCAUUCAAUGAACCCUGGUUGAUGAUUCCACUGUAUUUGAUGAUGAUUCAAUGCAUUUCAUUGGUUCUGAUAGUAAUUGCACAAGAUUGGAUAACAACUAGAGCCCUGCUUAAAGCGCAAAUUCUUAACUACUGUCACUCAGUACAACGUACACCUUAAUACUAAACAUUUAGAAUGAGUAUAUUUACCUAAGAAUAGCUUUAUUGCAAUGCAUGAUCACUUAACCUAUUAAUAUCGCGGGUAAAAGUAACAAAGCAACAGAAAAUCAGUCACUCUUAAAACAUAAAGAAUGAUGUCGAUCCUUUUAUAGCCUAAUUAUACUUUGAUGUAUCAGCUAUGAAGUAGAGUGUCUGAUCCUGAAAGUUCGAAGUAUAAGAAAGUCCUAGUUAUGCUCAAGUCUAACUUCUCUGUCGGCCCAAUGAAAUUAGGUCCAAAGUUUUCCUCCAAUGUUCAUUUUCAGCUUACACAUCUAUACCUAUACAUAAAUUCUCAUGGCCAAAUCCAACGUGGAUGCACCACCUUCAUUUGACGGUGGUGGGACACACUAUUUUUUAAAAAUAUUUUUCUAUUCUCUUUUGUCUUAGUAAAACCCUUCCUCUCCCUCAUAGCCACCUCCUUCAACUCUCUUUCUCUCUCUCUUUUCUUUUUCCGCCCAUCUCUUACUUCCCUUUAUCUUCCGAACCGACAACGACGUUUCUCCCUCUCCCAUCACCUCCACAGCAAUUUUGGAUCUCUCCACCUGUAAUUUUAGUUUUUCUUUUUCUAGCACUUUUCCUCUCGCUCGCCGCUCGGAGCCCUUCGGGCCGUAUCCAUUGCUCCUCAUGCAUCCUCAACAAGGACGGUGCGCGGUGCCAUCACUAACUGCCCCAUUCUCAACAAUCAUGGGAUAUCUACAUUCCUAUAUUCUCAUUUCUCCUAUAAAUUUUUAUUUUUUUCAAUUAUCUACCCGUCGCAUCCCACGGAUUACUUCAGUAGUCCAACAUAAUAACUUGUACAUUGUACAUAAUAAUAAUAAUAAGAAUAAUAAGAAUAAUAAUAAUAAUAAUAAUUGUAAAUAGAUUCUUAACAAGCUUCAACCUACAUUACUAGUUCCUGCAUCACAAACGACCUAAGAAGGAAUUAGAACUGAAAAGGGCUAAAUAGAUGCUAUUGUGAAACUCAGAUCCUAGAAGAAUAAGAAAGUUUGCCUACACUAACCUAUGGGGAAAAAAAACAAUCAGAAUACCAAGAUGGUAUAAAGAAAUAUUAAUAGUGUCAUUGUCUGGAAACAACUGCAAGUAGUCACAGAUGGUGUAGAUUUAUGACAAGUGAAAUCCCAAAAAAAAAAAACACUUUCGCGUAGUAUCAAAAACAGUUUUAAUAAAAAGCACAAGGGAAGUUUAAGAUGUCAUACCAAGCGACAACUCAUACCAAUGACUACAGCCUGUGAUGUCAAAGUUUGCAAUGCAUCUAGUAAGCUGUAAAGCAAUCGCUGCUUCCCCUACAAAUUACGAAAUAUCUCAAUAUAUCAGAGAUACUUUUGCAUUAUGUUGGCUACUAAAGGAAGAAAAUCAGUCAGAAAUUCCAUAUAAGCGGUAAAAAACAAAAUAGGCAUCAAUUUUGAAAACAUGAAAGUUAAUUAGUUCCUCAACGCCCAGCAAAAGGGUGCUUAAUUCAACAAGUACUGUAUGAAAUUACACUGCUACCAAAGAAUAAUAAACAACUAGACUGCAGACUCUAAGAUAAUGUGAAUCAAAUAAUGCACUUAGGUAAAAUAUAUUUCUUAGACCAACCUGAGUGAAGAGGUCAAACUCAUCUAAAACAAAAAUUGUUGUCUUGUGGGCCAAACCACACUCCCUACCAAGAAGGCAUAGAAAUGAGGCAACAUAAACAAUCCAGCAAUAAAAUUGAUCUUACACUUUACACUUACCGCAGCAUGUCAAUCAUGAAUUGAGAGUUGUCAUCAGAUGAAGCCUACAGUAAUGAUAAGUGAGUAUGACUUUCUUAUCUCAAAAGUCAAAAUAUUCCAACCAACGAAUAUCAAAAGAAAGGCAGGUAUCUACCAUUUUUGAGAACAAUAAUCUGUGUUCCAAGCAUAAUUGCCGAGCAAUUUCCUAGAAAAGAUUAAAAACAAAAAUAAAUCCUAAAAGUUUUGAAGUUGAAUAUAUUUAACAAUAUUAAAUGCAAAGAAACAAAAAACUGAGUAAUGAGACAGUGGAUGAAGAACGCUCAUUAGGUAAUCUUAGCAAGAUAUGAUGGAAGGAGAAUAUAUGAGCUCAUAAACUAGUUGUCUUCUGGUAGUCAAACUAAUACUCUAAGAGUAAAUUAAAGACUGCUCUCCGGACAGUUGGAUUUCUCAGUAGCAGCCAAAAAACAAAGGAUUGAUAGGAGCAAACUUUAAAGGAAUCUAAUGUCCAAGAUAGAAAGAUGUUGAAAAGAUUGUAAAAAGGUUAAAAUGAAUGAACAUGCUCAGGAAACUCUAGAAUCAUUGGAUUAGAAGAACAAAGUUAAGAAGUGAUAUCUAAAGGAGAAAAAAAAAACUGCACGAUCUGUACUUUACUUUUCCACUAGAACAUUUGUUCCAACAUGAUUACAAGAAAGAAAAUUCAUAGCUACCACAAGCAUACAUAAAAGAGGAAAAAAAAAGAAAAAAAAUCCAUGAGCCUUCUGAUGACCUGGGAACUUCAAAUAAAAAAAUGGCUUAAGUAUGUAACCCUAGCAAUACUAGAGGGUAAAAACAAGUGUCCUAAAAAUGUAUUAACUCCUUGAAACAUGAGAUGUCAAGACAUGCAAAUCAAUAGGAACAAGAUUGUUCUGCAAGAUUCCUCCUGUAACUUGUUAAGAGAAAAACCCCUCUAGAAACUAAAAACCCUCGAUAAGAUUGGGAGCUAUCAUAUUUACUAGAUACACUACAAAAGCAGCUUCUCAAAAAUAUGUGCCUCUAUGAAGUACUAUGAAGUGCCUACAUUAUCUGAAUGUUGCUUCUGCACAUGCUCCAAAAUCAGAGUGGGUUUUACAAACACCUUAUGCAGACAUAUAUCAGGGCAUUUGGCAAAGGGAAAAGCGGGGUUUCGCCGACAAAGUGCUAAAACAAAUUGGUUAGCGCAAAAGAGUCACUCGAAUUCCUAGAAUGAGAAAAGGAAGCCUAGUACCAAUUUAAUUUACCACAAGAAAGGACUUCAUAACAAACUACGACUAAAGUUUCAUCAAGUGUCGACUAAAGAGAUAUUACUAACUAUGAUUCCACUUUAAAUGGAAACCUGCAAUCAAAGUCCCUCUUUGCAAUCAAGUUUUGCUUCUGCCAUUACAUCGAAAAAUUGGUUGUUCACAUUUUUUUCUUUAGCUUCUAGAAUCUUGGAAUAUGUUAUCAUGCCCAUGAAUCCACAAAGAACAGUAAAACGGAGACCAAAUUGAAUUUCAAAGGCACAGUUGUAAAGUUUCUGAAGAUAGUAAUUUGAAGGGCUUGAUUGGCCAAGCUUGUAAGGUCUAGUGCCAUUUGACUACCAUUAUCUAGAGAAGCACAAAAAGCUUUGUCAUUAAAAUCCCUUGUAAUAGCAUCUCUUUGAAGAAAAAGCAGAAGUUUCGAAUUCAAGCUUCUAAUUUAGGGGUUAAAAGCUCAUUUCAAAUUCUUAUUAUAGUAGAAGAUCGCGACUUCUCAAUUGCCCAAGCAUCUUAUGUAUCACGGACACUUCUAUAAGCCUCGCGUGUCCGUGUCGGACACACACGUGUCCGAUGUGGACACUUUUUGGAUGAGCGUUUAAUGCCGAUCCAUAGCACAUACAACUAAAAAAUAUAUAUACCUAUUUUUAGUUUAUUUUUUCUAUACAUGUAUAAUGUAAGAUAAUAAAUAUUUUAGCUUUUUGAUGAAUGCAUAUAUUUUUUUGACAAUAUAAAUAAAUUAUGUAUGGUGGAGAAUUUUUUUCUUAAAAUAUAUGAACUAUCAAUGAAAAUUUUACUAACUUUUACUUGUAUGAGAAAUAUAAAAAUAUUUUACCAAAAUUGAUAUUUUAUAAUAAUAAAAAUAUAUUAUUAUAUUAAUAAUAUUAUAUUUUAUUAGCGGUGUCUAUGCCGUGUCGGUGUCCUAAUUUUUUGAAAGUUGCCGAGUUGUGGUGUCCAAGUCGUGUCGUGUCUCGUGUCCCAUAUCAGUGUCCGUGACACCUAGCCAAGCAUACUAUUAGAUGCAGUUGCAACUGAAAGCAAAAGAAGGUUCUAUGCCAAACUGACACCACGUAAAUAAACAUUAGAAUUUUCUUUGUUAAAUUCCUUAUCAGUGAAGGCUCUCCAUUUUGUCUAGGUCAUAGAUUAGGCUGUGAUCCUCAGAAUCCUAAGAAGCCAUAUAGUUGAUUUACAGUUUCAUUGUAAAUCAUCUAUAUGGCAUAUUCAACCUAGAAAUCACCAGCUCAGGAUAUGUUCCUACGAAUUAGGGAAGGAGGUGAAAAAUUUAAACAUUGAUCACAAAAAAAACUUCUUAAUGGGAGUCAAAUCCAGUCUAAGCGGUUCAAUUAAGGCAGAGUAAUGUCAAGUCUUAUUAGGUCUAAUUCCAAUUUAGUCUGCACUUUCUAACUUUAACAACUUAUUCUGUAUCAUUCUCACACUUCUCAUUUGCUAUUUAAAAGUCAAAUAUAAAAAAGGAGCUGCGGUGGCUAUGACUCUACCAAGUUUUGAUGCAUUAUUAAAUGAUUAACUUAUUCUUCAGUGGCUAUGCUUCUCAUUCUUUCCCUUAUUCUCUUCAUAUCAUCAAUUAUAUCCCAUAUCAAAAGAGCAUCAUCCUGGCAUUGGAGACACGCGGUAGGCUGAAAUAAUGAUAAUAUCUAGUCUAUAAUCAAAAGUGCUUCAUUGACCAAUUGACGGGCAUUGGUUAGGGCAGACUCUCUCCCUCACAAGUCAUAACAAUUUCUGUAGUUCUAUCAACUUACAUGAUCAACAUAGCCCUCAAUCACAAUCACAUCAACUUGCCACUCUAUCAUAAGUUAGUGUCGUUUUCUAACACCAAACCAAUCCACAAAUGUGAGCACAACUAAAAGUCAGGGACGCAAGGUAAAGACAGAAAGCAUAAAAUUAUAUGCACAAGUAUUGCCACAACUAUAGUAAUAAUAACCUAAUCACUAAGUUGAAGGUGAGAGAUGCGGUGCCAAAAAGAUCUAACCUUGAGAGCACAGUUGUCAUCACUAUGCAGCAGCCCAUUCAAUCUGAUCUGUAGCAUCGAAAUGCAUUCACCCCGCAGCACAAAGUAAGAAAAGAGGCAAACAUAUAUAUAACAUCUCAAUCAGUCAGCAAGAACCGAGUAUUCCGACUAUACCACGGAGAUCUCAUCGGCGUGUUCCGCCUUCAAAUCCUCGAGAACCAACUCCGCUACCUAAAUUUAAAAUCAAUCAAAAUCCCUAGCUUUCUGCAUAGUUUUAUAGAAACUGGAGUGAUCUUAUAGAGAGAAGAGAAAUUACCGCAACUUUUCCAGAUCCGCGGGGGCCGAGGAGGAGGACGGAGUUGUUGCAGGCUUCGGCGAUGGAACUGGAGACGAUGAACUUCAACUUGCUGUCAAAUGGAGAAAGAUGGAGUGAUCAAAGAUCAUCUAAAAUCAAAAUAUUGUUUUAAACAAACACACACACAAAAAAAAACGAGAAAUGGACCUGUAGUUGCUUUCUGAAGAGGAUUUGAGGUGGGAAUGAGCAAAGGUAGGGUUAGACAGCCGGGUGCGGAGGAUCGCUAGGGCCGUCUCUGCCGCCACCAUGGCCCCAAAAAUUGCGCGGGAAAUCGCCUGCCGCUAGGGUGAUGCAAGAUUUUAUAGGAAAAAUUUUAGAUGACCCCUCCAUUCCCAAACUAUCCCCUGCGUUUAGCAGAGCUUUAAAUUAAACGUGCUAGUAACUAGGGCUGUAAACAAGCCGAACUCGAGCGAGCUGGAGCCAGCUCGAGCUCGGCUCGUCGUCUUCAAGGUCGGCUCGUGUUCGGCUCGAGCUCGUGACAAGCUCGAAAACUCUGGCUCGUGAUCAGCUCGAAACUUAAUCACGCCGGCUCGUGUUCGGCUCGUUAGCUCUACCAAAGUUCGCUGCCGCCGAAGUUCGCUGCCGGGGGUUUGCGAACGGCGAAGAAUCGCUGCCGGGGGUUUGCGAACGGCGAAGAAUCGCUGCCGAGAGUGCGUGUGAAGAAUAAAUGGUAGAAGUAGUAGUUAACAGAGGGAGUUAGCAAAAAAAUGGCAACUUUACUAGUUAAAAUGGAGAAUAAAAGUGGCAGCAGCAGGUUGGUGAAGGAGCGAGCUCGGCGGGGUGAACCGGCGGGAAGGGCGCUCAGGCGAAACUCCGGCGGGCGACGAGGAAGGGCGGCGCUGCGGGCGCGAGCGCGAGAAGCCGAGCCAGACCCACAGCGUCUUCUGGGAGACUUGGCGGCCGGCUCACGCCGCCAUCAGCAUGCCCCGCUUGAGGUCGACGCCGGCGUCGCAGGUGGGGGCGGCGGCGGUGGAGAAGAUGGGAGGAACGCAAAAGGAGAAGGAGGUCCGACAGGAUCUAAGGAUUUGGGAAAGAUGGAAGCCUUGCGGGUCGGAUUGGGAGAUCUCCGGAGCGGAGGCUAAAGGCGAACCCACUAUCCGCAGGAUGAUGGAUAGUGCGGAGAAGGCGGACCCGCGACCCGUUCGUCCGCUUACUCGCUUAUCAUGCAUUUUCGGACCGCGCAAGCCAGCGGAGGCCCAGUCCGCGAGUGAAUUUCAGCCCAGCCAGCCGAAUUCCCAUUCUUGCCAAUUUGCAGUCUAGCCCUCAUAGAAUAGUUUUCUUUAAUUUCAGUACUAAGUAGUAGCAAGUAUAUAUACAAGAAUGUAAUUGCAACCGGAUAUAAAAGAAAUUAACUAGUAUUUAUAAUAAUUUAAAGUUGGGCUAAAAAUUUAAAAUUAAUAAUAUGUAUUAUAUAUUUAUAAUACAAAUAUAAUUAUAUAAUCGAGCUGUUAUCGAGCCGAACAUGAGCGAGCUGACCCUAGCUCGUGUUCGNAAAAACUUGAAAUUCAUUUCAAGCCGAGCUUGAGCAUUGGUCGGCUCGCUCGAAUUAGACUCGAAAAGCACGAAAAGCUCGAAUAUAUAUAUAUAUUAAUUAAUUAAAAAUAUUUAUAAAUAUAAUAUAUUUUAAUUAUAUAUAGCCAUAUAGACUGAGUAAUAUGUGUUUAAUUUAAUUUGGGCCAUUGUUGUUGGGCCAUUACAUACACACUCUCUUUUUCAAACUUUCACAUAACCCUAACAAGAUAACAUUCAAAUUUCUAAAUCCCUAAUUUUUUUCCCUUCUCUCUCUCUCGUUCUCCCUCAGACCCUCACCCAGUCACCCUAAGUCCCCAACUACUUACACCGCGACCACGCAGCCGCCACCCGCCAGCCCGCCACUCAGCACCUCGUCAGCCGUUGUCGUCGAACUCGUUCGCCGCCGUCACCCCAACCUUGUCCGCUGAACUCAUCGACCUAUCAGAUCGACCACUCACCACUAAGCCUUUUUGGUUUAGUGACGACGAUGAAUUCCAUCUCAUAAACCUCUUAGAUCUCCAAUUCCACCUCCUUUGCCUAGUUAGGUACGUAAUCUCCUUCUCCUCCCCUCGUUUUAUUCGAUUUAAUCAAAAUUUGGUUUCCCAAAUCUGAUUAAAUCCACUUUAUUGUUGUUGAUGAUGAUGAUGAUGAUGAUGAUGAUGAUGAUUGUUGUUGUUGUUGUUUGCUGGAUUUUUUGAUCGGGUUUAUUGACUGUUGUUAGGAGUGUUGUUAUUUUUAUUGUUGAUGAUGAUGAUGAUGAUGAUGUUAUUAUUAUUCCCAUAUCAUGUUCUAAAAAAAAAUCAAAUCUUAUUAUUAUUUUAAUAUUUUUAUUAUUGUAAAAAUAAGGUGUCUAAGGUUAGAGGUACUUUGUUUAUAUUGUUGCAACACAAAAAUAAGUAUUUUGUGCUAUUUGUGUUACCAUAGCAUGCAUGAUUUUUUUUUUUCCAAAAAGAUAAUGAUGAUGAUGAUAAUUUAUUUUUAUAUUUAGAUGUCUUCUUCACGGAUUCCUUCUUCUCAAAAUUCUAUAUCUUCUCCUGCCAUUGAUAAUGUUAUUAUUGAUGACUCACCGAUCAAUGUCGAUAAGGAGUGCGGAGAUGAUAGAGAUAAUAACCAAUUGAUGAAGGAUAAGGCGAUCGCCACCGAUAGCCCAUCAAAAAAAAGGGGGAGAAAAAAAACAUCAGAUGUAUGGAAGAGCUUUAAAAAAAAUUCAAGUAAAAGAGAAAGAAAAAUCUAUUGAGAAAUAUAAAUGCUGCAAGUGUCUAGCAACUUUUCACAUACCUAAGUACGGUACCACUUCUCAAUUUAAAAGGCAUUUACUUGAUUGCCUACAAACAAAGCUAGGUAAAAAAUAAAGUAUUAUAUCUUUUGCUUCCACUAGCACAACAGCUCUUGAUACUAUUGGAGAAAAGUACUUUUCUAAGGUUUCAAAAGGAGAAUAUGACCACAAAGUGAUAAGAGAAAUAAUUGCAAAAAUGAUUAUGUGCAUGAGUAUCCGUUUAGUAUAGUUGAGCAUUCAUGGUUUAAUAUGUUACUGAAAGUUUUGAAUCCUAAUUAUGAAAAUAUUUCUAGAAAGACUAUAAAGAAUGAUUGUAUGAAAAUGUAUGAAAAUGAAAAAGAUAAGCUAAAGAAGAUGCUUAAAGGUGUUGGUAGGAUAAAUUUAACAUCGGAUACAUGGACAUCCAACCAAACAAUUGGUUAUAUGUGCUUGACUGUUCAUUUUAUUGAUUCUGAAUGGAAAUUACAAAAACAUGUCAUAAAUUUUUGUAAGUUGGAGCCUCCACAUACAGGGGUCGUCAUUGCUGAUGGUAUUGUUGAAUGCCUACUUAAUUGGGGCAUUGAGAACAAGAUAUCCACUAUAACCUUGGAUAAUGCCUCCUCUAACGAUGUGGCAGUUCGAUUUUUAAUGGAUAACUUUGUUGCUAGAGGAAGACUUUUUUUUAAGGGAAUUAUCUUUCAAGUAAGAUGUUGUGCUCAUAUCUUAAAUUUAGUUGUUCAAGAUGGGCUCAAUGCAAUUGGAGAAGUUAUUGUAAACAUUAGGAAUAGUGUUNUCGGCACAUCUCAAGUUUUAGCUCGCUUACGAGCAUAGUCUCCAACAUCACGUGGCUUUCAACUCGUUUGAUGCCUCACAAUGAAUACUUCAUCAUCUGAUACCACAUGCCACGAUUAACAUCAAACUAUUUUCACAACGAGCUCACACGAGCGCUUCGUUCGUGAAUUCGAGUCAAACUCCUUGAUAAGGCUAUCUGCCAAAUCGCUCUCUUCGGUCUCCACAGGUGGACCAAAGGCCACCAAUCCUAUAUAGGCCUACAGCUUAAACCUGUCUCAAUACGUAGCGUCUCUCGCUCGCAAAUGCAGACCCAAUUAUCAUCGGGCGAAAUUCUCAUUUGGGAAUUCGCUCACACUCCAACCAGGAGCAACUAAGACCCUAAACCACGUCAAGUCCUCGGGUUGGGUCACAACCAUACUCGGUGUACCAUCGGUCACACAAUCUAUCGCGUGGCAUUCCACGCUCCAGAGUCUAAGCUCGGACUACUGUCCUGACCAGAACUCUGCCCUACCCGUAGGUACCGGGCCGCUGUCACUGACAGCUGACUGUGCCUGCCCAAAAGGGCCAAGGCUCCAUAGUCCACUAAUGGUCCAGGCACGGGUCAUCCCCAAGCACUACCCGCCGUCGUCGUCUUAAACGACAUACUCUACCGAGUCACACGUACCAAUAUCGGCUCCUAUACACCUAGUGCGAGUCACCAGUCCCACGAGUGAUCCAUGGCACGCUUCACACCUAGCAAUGCUCAAGUGCUACUGCCAAUACACUCUCUCUGCUGAAUACACAUCUGCACUCUAUGGAUCUCUACACUCGAGCGCUCUACGCCCCUACAGCGUUUCACACGAAGUCCAGUAUUAGACAACUCUUGCCUAUGCACACCGGCCGCACGAGCACAACCGUCUACCUCACCUUGAGGUACUAUUAGGCCCACGUGCUCAAACCUGGCCACUAAUCGAUCGUUCUCUCAAUAGUGAUGCUACUUUCACUGUUCAAUCUACCGGAAUGACAUCCGAAAUUUUCGGGCCACUCGGGCAUUCUCAUAAGCAUCAUGGCUCAACGCUCGCAAUUUACAACUCAUAUUGCUUUGAGAGUCAUUUCGCCACUUCUAUCUCUACCGCGAGUCUCACUUCUCGCCAUAAAUUACUUCUAGCACUUCCCUAGUGCCAUCUGGCUCUAUACCUGUAAUGACAGGUACUACGCCCUUACAACACGAGCAUGCCCGGGUAUCUAUACUUACCCGUCCUCUCGAUCUCUACUAUGCUCAUGCAUGACAAUAGUAAUUAACCACAUAACCAUUGCAUGCAAUGCAUCAACUUCAAAUCAUGCAAAACAUAUGCUUGCAUCAAUAACUCAUACCUGCAACGACGUCGUCAGCAGCAAGUUCCUCAACCAGGGUCGCGUAUCUACGACCACCCAGCGUUCGCCGCGAACCCUUAGGUUGCAUUGUCCUCAACGCCCUCUCGUAGCUCACACCGCUGUGGGGGAGAGGGAUAGGGCAUAUAACAUGUUGCAAUAUUUGCAAAUAGGCCCUCCCACUUUCUAUCCAGUGCACUGCCCAAACUGGACAAUUUUUGUGCUGAGGGACCGGUCUCUCCCUGCCUGGGACCGGUCCCUGAGAGCUUCUCCCGUGGUCUGCGCAGCCUACGCACGAGGCAACCGGUCUCCCCUGAUGGGACCGAUCUCUUGGGGACCGGUCUCUCCCCGCAGGGACCGGUUCCCGAGAGCUGUCCACCAGGGACUUAACCGAUUUUCCUCUCCUCUUGCUGCCUGCGCGUUCGGGGACCGGUCUCUCCCCGCGGGGACCGGUCUCCGAGAACAGAAAACCUGCAGUCUUGCAGAUUUUAAUUUCCAAAGCUCUCGAAGAUCCCCAGUAAUGCACUUUUGCAUUAUUUGACGCCUUCGGCCUUUCCAAAGCGUACCAACCUCGCUCUUUGGUCAAUUUGACCAAGGUUCGAUACUUGGUUACCGAAGUUUCGGUAUAUUACAUACCCACUCAACAACUAGCCUAUCCUGGACGAAGUCCAACUCUCGGCUCUCGAGAAUUCACUUCAUUACAACCAUGCUGUACCGGCACACCCUUGGUGAUAAAUCGGUAACACAUGUUCCAGAAUUUCGAUUUUGCACCGCUUCGACUCCAAUUCACGCCGAGCAACGCUAAAACCUUUCUAACUCUUUUAGAACUCAACUUUAACCCUUCCAACAUUGUUGGAGUGUCAAUUGGACUUUGUCCAACUGCCUCUCUCAACGCACUUGGGUCAAUUUGACCAAAAAUGAUCUAACACGACGAGGAUUCCGUUAAUUUCUCAAAGAUCAUGAGAGACGCCAAAGCUCGCGAAGUUCCCAAUCUCCGCUCUCCUCAAAUUGCCCAGGGACACCACUUGGCCCAUCCCACGCCGAUCUAAAAGAAAAUCGCCUACGCGGUACUAUCGCUUCCUAAAACACGACAACUUUAUUAAUCCUCGACCCUCCAGGUCGAACACGAGACACUUAAUACUGACUCAAAUCGGGCGAAAGUCACGCAAGGGUGUCUAUUCUCAUCACUCGGUUUGAUGUUGUGUAUACCCAACAUGAACACCCUCGGUUGAGAAUAAACCACACCUCGAGCCGACCUCUAACAUCCGUUUUAGAGGUUUACUAACCUGACCCAAUCGAUCAAUCUUUUGCCAUAAGUCACAAGUCCUCGUCUCUCACGAGCCUUAAUCUCCUAUGGUUUGCUAUCCUAGGGUCUCCUAGGUCGAACUAAACCAUUUUCUAUUAUUCUUUUUAUGUUUCUUUUAUGCUCUGAUACCAUCUUAUCUGUCACGCCCCGCGACCACCCGCCUUUUUGGCCGGGUCGCGGCGCCGCCGACAGACCGCCGAACGGACAGGGUUUUCCCUGUACCGCGGACAGAGUCUCCCCUGUACAUUCAAGGCGUCGCAAUCAAUACAAUGUACGAAGUUCCAACCAGGAACACAUUUCAAACAAAGAUUGCAUAAGGAAGUAUCAAAAACAUAGUCUACUUGCUAUUACAAGCAUUCACAUUAUUUAGAUACAUUUUACAUCACAAUUACAUAAUACAUUCUUUUUAGCUUCCAAAUACAAUCCAGCUUUAACAAUGUUAUUACAAUUUGAUUCUUUUCAUUCUCUUGCAUCCCUAAGUAAGGCCAACUCAGGGUACCGCUAUCUCUGGUCUCGGUGGUAGGGCGCUAACUAUGGAACUACGCCCUCGCCUCGCGCCGCCGCGCCGCUCACGUGUGAACCUGUAACACCCCAAAACCACGUGGGGUGAGAACGAACUCCAUGGUUCCCAGUGGGUACGGCCACCCAAGGGAAAAGCUCGACCAAUAGGUCCAAGGGAGGCAACUGCAAGUUAAUUCAAUAAACAGAUAGAUAUAGAUCUUUAAUAUGCAACUAAUAAAACCAUGCUUUGCCUCACGAAUACAAUAAUGCCAUACUAUAUGCGAAUCAUGCAACUACACAAGUAGAAUAAAUGAUUUAACUUUCUAUCAUGCUAUCCAUAGUUUUUUCAUAAUUUAUACAUCUUGUCACCUUACAUCGUUGGUUAUUUGCUUUUAAGAUUUUCCUCUACCCUAGCCAAGCUAACCACCCGACUCGGUCUCGAGUCAAUCAUCUGCGGAAUACCGCAUACAUCCAGGCUCGAGAUGAUGGACGUCUCACAUACACCUCAGCCUUAAAUCCACUCGAUAGGGAUACCAAAUCUAUAGCUCAUAAUGCUUAAAGUACAUUCACUUGGCUUUUACCCAAUCUUGCCGUUUAAUAUUGUUAACCCCAAUAACUCAUACCCCAAAUCCCGUCAUAACAGGGGGCCUCGAACCACCCCUAGGGACCGUCUACGGGAACUCGCUCCCGAGGUGACUAUUUCCGAAAACUCACCGCUUGAGGGGGAGCUACCUCCCUCAAGCCAAGACGUAUCAUGAGUACAGAUCUAAUCCUCAUCUUGAGGAUUUAUAGCCACUUGUCACAAUGCCAUUGUCAUGAUAGGUUUUCUACCUAUUUAUUCAUGCCACUCUCUAUGUCAACUUGGUCCAAUGCCACUCUUGGUUAAACUAUGUUUAACAACUAUAUCCUCUAUGCAAAUCAAUGUCUCUAUUGUCGAUGCCGCCUUUGUUUACUAAUGUCUAAGUCCAACUUUCACAUUCACACAAUAAUAGGGUCCUAACAUACAUGUCCAUUAUGGUUCUACAUUUCUCUAUGUUCAACUUCGUUAGAAACAUGUCAUUGAAAACAAACAAGGUUCACAUGUACUUAGCCCAAUCAUGCAUGAAUGAUACAAAAUAUAUAUACACAAAUGCGACAAGUGUUUGCUAGGUUCAUGACAUUAGGUUCACACUAUACUUGUUCAACCUACGUUCAAGACACUAGGUUCAUAUCAUCCAUGUUUAACCUAUGUCCAUGACUCUAGGUUUAAUGCCACUCGAUCUAAUGUAUAUAGAUUGUCCAUAUGCACAUUUCCAUUUCUUAAUAUUAACCACAUGCUUGCAUUUAUUAUUUCUAUAUCAUGCUUAUCUUAUCAUUACUUAGCAUUAUCCACAUGCAUGCUUAUCAUGUAUACUUUAGCAUUAAUCAAUGCAUUCAUCUUGCACUAUUUACACUAAGUCAUCAUGCAUUCCUCUUAUCAUGUUCUUAUAAUGUUAACAUUCAUAUGCCCUUUAUCUUAUGCAUUCGAAGCAUUAAUCACAUGCAUUUAUCUAGCAUUUCUAUAAUAUGUUAACAUGCAUUCUUUUCACAUUCUUACAUUAUGUCAAAUGCAUUCCUCUAGNNNNNNNNNNNNNNNNNNNNNNNNNNNNNNNNNNNNNNNNNNNNNNNNNNNNNNNNNNNNNNNNNNNNNNNNNNNNNNNNNNNNNNNNNNNNNNNNNNNNNNNNNNNNNNNNNNNNNNNNNNNNNNNNNNNNNNNNNNNNNNNNNNNNNNNNNNNNNNNNNNNNNNNNNNNNNNNNNNNNNNNNNNNNNNNNNNNNNNNNNNNNNNNNNNNNNNNNNNNNNNNNNNNNNNNNNNNNNNNNNNNNNNNNNNNNNNNNNNNNNNNNNNNNNNNNNNNNNNNNNNNNNNNNNNNNNNNNNNNNNNNNNNNNNNNNNNNNNNNNNNNNNNNNNNNNNNNNNNNNNNNNNNNNNNNNNNNNNNNNNNNNNNNNNNNNNNNNNNNNNNNNNNNNNNNNNNNNNNNNNNNNNNNNNNNNNNNNNNNNNNNNNNNNNNNNNNNNNNNNNNNNNNNNNNNNNNNNNNNNNNNNNNNNNNNNNNNNNNNNNNNNNNNNNNNNNNNNNNNNNNNNNNNNNNNNNNNNNNNNNNNNNNNNNNNNNNNNNNNNNNNNNNNNNNNNNNNNNNNNNNNNNNNNNNNNNNNNNNNNNNNNNNNNNNNNNNNNNNNNNNNNNNNNNNNNNNNNNNNNNNNNNNNNNNNNNNNNNNNNNNNNNNNNNNNNNNNNNNNNNNNNNNNNNNNNNNNNNNNNNNNNNNNNNNNNNNNNNNNNNNNNNNNNNNNNNNNNNNNNNNNNNNNNNNNNNNNNNNNNNNNNNNNNNNNNNNNNNNNNNNNNNNNNNNNNNNNNNNNNNNNNNNNNNNNNNNNNNNNNNNNNNNNNNNNNNNNNNNNNNNNNNNNNNNNNNNNNNNNNNNNNNNNNNNNNNNNNNNNNNNNNNNNNNNNNNNNNNNNNNNNNNNNNNNNNNNNNNNNNNNNNNNNNNNNNNNNNNNNNNNNNNNNNNNNNNNNNNNNNNNNNNNNNNNNNNNNNNNNNNNNNNNNNNNNNNNNNNNNNNNNNNNNNNNNNNNNNNNNNNNNNNNNNNNNNNNNNNNNNNNNNNNNNNNNNNNNNNNNNNNNNNNNNNNNNNNNNNNNNNNNNNNNNNNNNNNNNNNNNNNNNNNNNNNNNNNNACGUACUGAGUAAGAAUAUAUUUUAAGUUUUCAGUUUCGACCCCAUUUGGUCACCGAAAACUGUGCCGAAAUGUAACUUUAUCAGAUAACUCUCGGAUUUUAUUUCUCACUCUACGGGUGUGAGAAAAAUAUGAAACUUUAAAUCUACCCUCAUAAAAAUAUUUCUGAAUUAUCCUCCAAUUUUCAUAAUUUUCUGAGACUGUGCAUUUUCUACUAAUUUAUCUGUCCCGUUUUCAACAGAAAAUUCUAGAUCUUCUGUUUUCAUUCCGAUUUCAGCACAAGUCACUUCUGACUUAUGUUUUACUUCUAUAAAUCCAAUAAAAAUAGUUUCUCACACUAUUUUUAUUUAUUUUUAUUUUUAUACCAAAAUCUAGUAUGUUGCACUAGUGGUGCAUUGAGUUGAGGUCAGUAAUUGCCCACUGGGAACUAUAAAUUAUAGUUCUCACGCCCUCUGUUUUAUGUUUUCUUUCAGAGCCUUUCACGCCGGGAGAGGCUAGGGACCGUGGGAAGGGCGUUGCUUCGAGCUAACUCUUCAGUGCGUGACGAGUCGCUAGGUGGUCUACCUCUCGAUGUAUUUAAUUUGGAGAGGUUGAGAGCUGUACCAGUAUAUUACAGACCACCCCUUUUGUGUACUAUUUUGGAGAUGAUAUUGUAUAACUUUAUGUUUCACUCUUGUUGUUUUAGUAUUUUCCUUUUGUGUACUAUUUUGUAAAUGAUAGAUCUAUCUGUGCUCUGAUAUCUCUAGAUGUAGACUAUCUUUGGUUUUAUUUUCCGCUGUUGUUUUAGACGCCUUAUAUGUGUUGACAUAUGGCGGGUCUGGGCAUGCUACCGGGAGGGCCUCUGCCGAUCCCGGGGCGUGACAACACCUCCCCACCGUUUCUCGUUGUAGAGGCUCUAGAAAUGCCUCUCGCCGAACGUUACGACGAGGUCUCGGCUUCCUUGGUCCAAAAUAAUGUUCAAUCGGCCUUAUCUUGCCGAUAGCUUUUCUCCCGCUCGACGAAUCGAAAUUCCGACUUCGCCCCCGCAUUUUGACACCUAGUAAUUAGGUUAACAAGGCUACAAAUGAGAUCAAUCUCAUACUUUACCAAAAACCCCAUUUUGGAGCCCUAGGGUUCACAUCUUGCCAUUUGCAAUUUGGAACCCUAGCCUCUAGCUCUAAUCCACCAACAUUGGUGCAAGAGGUCCAUUUGACCCUAUUUCAAAAGCUCAAAACCCAAAACCCUAAGUUUCCAAAAGCUAGGGUUAGGGCUUACCUCUUGUGCUAGCUCCCAAGAGAAGAGGAGAAGGAGAGGGAGAUGUCCAAAGCUCCUCUUUGAUCUCCUUCUUCUUCUCCUUCCUUUUCUUCUUCUUCUUCUUCCCCUUCUUCUUCUCUUUUUCAUUCUCCUUCUUUUCCUUCUAGAGAGAGAAAGAGAGAUGAGUGAAAGAGAGAGAGAGAGAGGGAAAUGAGAGGCUGAGGGAGAGAGACAUGGGGCCUACAUACCCCUCUAAUGUAACAAAAUCCAUUUUAGUCCUCAACUUUCCAUCCAUUGCACUGCCCUCACUGGGCAUUUUUCACCCAGAGGGACCGGUCUCCCCGACCUGGGACCGGUCCUUGAGAGCCUCCCCAGACAUCACGCGUUCGGGAACCGAUCUCUCCCCGGGAGACCGGUCCUCGGGAGACCGGUCCUCGCCUGAGAGACCGGUCCUCGAGAGCUCGAUUUUUAGGACAUAGUUGAUUUUGGCCUUCUCUCGCUGGCGUCGCACACGGGGACCGGUCCCCUCAACCUGGGACUGGUUGCAUCAAAGAUCCCCAGCAACCACCAGCCUCGGGGACCGGUCUCUCCCUGCCAGGGACCGGUCCCCGAGAGCAACUUCAGCCCAGUGCAAGUUUUGCACUAUAUGCUCUCGCGGACACGUUUUCAAUGCACUUUUUGUGUUUUGGACAUCUUUAACUUUUUCGAAUGAUACUCACUCGACAAAUAGUUGAUCCUUGACGAAGUACAACUCUCGGAUUUUGAGAAUUCACUUUCUUACAUCCUCCCCUCCUUAAAAGGAGUUUCGUCCUCGAAAUGAACUAAAUUUUUAACUUUAAUUUAAAUCCUUACCUUACUCUUCUAGAUGGGGAUGGUGCUUUCUCAUCAGAUCCUCGAGUUCCCAGGUGGCCUCACGAUCAUCAUGAUUGCUCCACCUAACUUUCACAUAGGGAAUUUCUCGAUUUCUCAACUUUCGCACCUCUCGGGCGAUAAUCCCUACCGAAAACUCUUCAUAGCUCAAGUCCUCUUGAAGUUUCGGUGGUUCAUAUAACAUUGCGUGCUCGGCGUCGUGAAUAUACUUGCGGAGAUUGGAGACAUGGAACACAUUGUGUACAUCCGUGAGCUUCGGUGGUAAAGCGAGUCGAUAAGCCACCGUGCCAACUCGCUCCAAUAUCUCGUAGGGUCCAAUGUACCGGGGUCUUAGCUUUCUUCGCACUCCAAACCGCUUCACACCCCACAUCGGUGAAACCUUCAAGAAUACGCAGUCGCCCACAGCAAACUCGAUAUCUCGACGGCACCUAUCUGCAUAGCUUUGCUGUCUAGACUGCGCCGUGAGCAAUCUCUUGCGAGCAUGGCGGACUUUCUCCUCUGCUUCUCGCAACACAUCCGGGCUGAACUCGGCACACUCACCUACAUCGCUCCAGUGUAUAGGAGACCGACACGUCCGCCCAUAGAGGGCUUCAAAUGGUGCCAUCUCCACACUAGCGUGGUAACUGUUGUUGUAGGCGAACUCGGCCAUCGGCAAAUGAUCACACCAACUCUCUUUAUAGUCGAUGACACACGCUCGCAACAUAUCCUCCAGAGUUUGAAUGGUUCUCUCUGUUUGCCCAUCGGUCUGAGGAUGAAAUGCGGUGCUAAAAUCGAGCCGUGUGCGAAGGGCUUCCUGCAGGCUCUUCCAGAAGUGUGAAGUGAACCGGGGGUCACGAUCCGACACGAUCGAUUUUGGCACCCCAUGCAGUCUCACUAUCUCAUCGAGAUAUACCUGCGCUAACUUGUCACCCGACCACGUGGUGUGGAUCGGCAAGAAGUGAGCCGAUUUCGUCAAUCAGUCCACGAUUACCCAAAUCGCAUCAUGGCCGCCUGUUGAGCGAGGCAAGCAGACCACGAAGUCCAUCGAUUUAUCCUUCCAUUUCCAAACGAGGAUUGGUAGGCUUUGAAGCUUUCCCGCUGGAAAUCGACGCUCGGCCUUCACUUGUUAGCAUGUUAAGCAUUUUGCCACAAAGCGUCCAAUAUCACCCUUCAUACCCGGCCACCAAUAGUGCAUUUUUAAUCCUUGAUAAUCUUGGUGCCGCCCGGGUGAUCAGCAUACGAAGAUCGAUGUGCUUCCUGUAGAAUUAGCUCGUGAAGCUCUCCGUUCUUCGGCACACACCAUCGGUUUUGAAACCGAAGUGCACCAUCGGCGUCUAUAAUGAAAUUGCCACUUCGUCCUUCCUCGAUGUUUCGCAACACCAUUUGGAGUUCUGGGUCCGCGAGUUGCAGAUUUUUAAUCCUCUCCAACAAGGUCGGUUGGACAACAAGUGCCAUCAACUGAGCCGGAGUCUCAGGAGCAACCACCUCUAGAUCCAUCCGUUCCAUGUCUAGCCAUAACGGUGUCUAGUUUGUAACCCACAUCGAGAGGUUCUCCGCCGACUUUCUGCUCAAUGCAUCAGCGACCACAUUAGCUUUUCCGGGGUGGUAAAGAAUAUCGACAUCAUAGUUCUUUAACAAUUCCGACCACUGCCGUUGUCUCAUGUUGAGCUCUUUCUGUGUGAACAGGUAAUUUCAAACUCUUGUGGUCGGUAUAGAUUUCACAAUGGGCACCGUACAAGUAGUGCCGCCACAGCUUCAGGGCGAAAAUUACCGCCGCUAGCUCCAAGUCAUGGAUGGGGUAGUUCUUUUCAUAGCUCUUCAGCUGAUGGGAUGCAUAAGCAAUCACCUUUCCAUUUUGCAUCAAAACACACCCCAAUCCUAGAUAGGAAGCAUCGCUGUAGACUACGAAGUCCUCGCCUUGAACCCGUAGAGCGAGCACCGGAGUCGAAGUUAACCUUUGUUUCAGCUCUUUGAAACUCCGGUCGCACUCCUCGCUCCAUACAAACUUGGUGCCUUUCUGAGUCAGGCGGGUGAGUGGAAUCACUAUCUUGGAAAAGCCUUCCACAAACCGCCUAUAAUAGCCCGCCAAGCCCACGAAGCUUCGGACCUCCGUGACAUUAGUCGGGGGCGGCCAAUCCUUGAUUGCCUCAACUUUCCUCAGGUCUAUAGAAACUCCACCCGCGGAAAUUACAUGCCCUAGAAAUGCUAUUUCUCGGAGCCAGAAGUCACACUUCUUCAACUUAGCAUACAGCUUCUCCUCCCGAAGGGUUUGAAGCACUAUCCUCAAAUGCUCGGCAUGUUCCUCGUCACUACGAGAAUAGACCAAUAUGUCGUCUGUAAAGACCACGACAAAUCGAUCCAAAAACUUCCUGAAGACACGGUUCAUCAAGUCCAUGAAUGCCGCUGGAGCAUUCGUGAGUUCAAAUAGCAUAACCGUGAAUUCGUAGUGCCCGUACCGCGUACGAAAUACAAUUUUCUACACAUCCUCCGGCUUAAUUUUCAACUGGUGAUAGCCGGACUGCAAAUCUAUUUUCGAGUACACACACGACUCCUGCAACUGGUCGAACAGGUCGUCGAUUCGGGGAAGUGGGUACUUGUUCUUGAUCGUGACUCUGUUCAACUCUCGAUAAUCCACGCAGAGUCGAAACGAUCUGUCCUUCUUCUUUACAAAAAGCACUGGGGCUCCCCACUGGGUAAUUACACUUGGCCUGCGAUAAUUUGCUUGUCGAGCGUCUUCAAUUGACUCCUCAACUCCUUCGUUCCGCCGGCGCCCAUUCGGUACGGAGCCUCGAGAUCGUGUGCGGGGUACGGGAACCAAGCUAUACGAACUCAAUCUCCGAUCCGAUGGAUCCCCGGCCAACUCGCGGGAAUACAUCGAACUCCCCGGACCACGCCGGUAACUCCUCCAAUGGUUGGAGCUUUACUUGGUUCCACUUCCACAACAGUUCGCUAAGAUGAAUGUCGUGCGCAACCACUUUUUGACCAACUUCCCUUGCUCUCGUCGCCGACAUCGUGCGCCCGAGCGAAGCACGAGCUCUGACAAGCCCGGAUAGGUUAAACUCCCUGCUGUCCUUUGUCACGCCCCGGGACGACGCCCAAUUUGGCCCGACCCUGAGCACGUUCAAACAGACGCCGAGGACAGAUUUUCCCUAUCCGCCAAGGCUCAUUCACAUGCUACAUUUAUAUCAUUAGAGGAACCACUAGCGGAAACAUACACAAACGGCUUACGACGAGGGUAAGCAAUUUAGCCAUUAGUGUAAUAGAAAAGGAAACGUAAACCUUCACUUGUACUAUGAUUCAUUUUGAUCAUCAACAUUGCAUUCAUCUUAUCUCAUUUUCGAAUUGCUUACAUUUCGAUUUCAUCAUUUCUUCUCUUACAUCCCAUUUAACCUCAAAAUACAUUUUACAUUCUUUCUUUACAAUUACUAAUCAUCAAGUACAAAGAUGAUAAACAAAGGGUGUCUACUUAACAAAGUACCCAACUUGUGGCCUCUACCUAAGGCGCGGGGGAUACCUUUACUCGGUCGCUCGCCGGCUUUCGGGCUUCGGCUGCCCGUGCUCUGAUGGAAAUAUUGGCGGUGAGAACUAGAACAACAGUGUGUCCCAGUGGCCGUUCGGGUCUCAACAAUCACCGACUUUCCCACUAGGACUAACUCAGGCAUAAUAGAAAGAAUAAGCUGCAUAUAGUAACCAAUCUAUACAGGAUGCUAAUAUGCCUGAACAAUAAGCAAGGAGUAUGCUCAACAUUAAAUGAAUGCAGAUUAUGCUAAUUCUUUCGUUCUUUAUCUUUACACUUUGUUCUUUGUUCUUUACUCUUUGUUCUUUAUUUUUUACUCUUUGUUAUUUAUUCUUUAAUCUCAAGGCUAACGCGGGGGUAUCGCCACGUUAACUUGCUUCACAUUAAGUCCAUCAUCGCAGGAACUCACCCGCUAGGACCGUCCUUCGGGUUUACUCCAACCCGUGAUGCAUAACUCCGGAGCGCAUCGCCCGAGGGGGAGCGACCGCCCUCGAGCACGGAACUCAUAGCAAGUAUGAUCAUAUCCUUAACUCAAAGGAUUUAUAAUGUAACAUACCGAACUUCUAAAAUCAUGAAGUUACGGUGUACAUUUAAAUGUUUCCGGCGAGGUUGCGGUGGAAUGUAACAUACCGGAUUUUAAAUAUAAAAAUAAAAAAAAAUAAAAAUAGUAUGAGAUACUACUUUUAUUGGGUUUAGAGAAGUGAAAUAUAGAUUGGAAAUGACCUGUGCUGAAAUCGGAGUGAAAACAGAAAACUUAGAAUUUUCUGUUGGAAUCGGGGCAGAUAAAUUAGCAGAAAAUGCACAGUGUCAGAAAAUAAUGAAAAUUGGAGGAUAUGUCAGAAAUAUUUUUAUGAGGCUAGAUUUAAAGUUUCAUAUUUUUCUGACACCCGGAAGGUGAAAAAUAAAAUUUAACAAGUUAUCUGCUAAGGAUUACAGUUCGGUCAGUUUUCAGUGACCAAACGGGGUCGAAACUGAAAUAUUAAAAUUUCUUUGGACUUAUUAAGUAAAAUCGAGUAUGCCUGUCAAAUUUGAACGAAAACGGACAUCCAGAAGGGCUCCGGCGAAAAAUAAACUGCCCGAAGUAAAUAGUGCAUAGUUGAGAGGAAAAAUGGUAAAAAGGGACUUAAACCCUUUUGUCCUCCUUCCUCCCCAACCGUGGCUGCCCCAAACCGAGCCACACACACACAAACGCACACGCACACAUGGUGAUAGAGUGAGAAAUACCUCUCUCUCUCUCUCUAGAUUUCUCCAUCUCUCUAGAUCCAUCUCUCAAAUUCGGGAUUUUGGAGGAGAAGGACCUUGCGAACGCGUAGGAGGCGACGGUUUGAGCUCUCGUGCGGCAGUUUGAGCGGUGUGCUUCCUCCUCAGCGUUCACAAUUUGGUAAGCUUCUAGGAUUUGGUUUAAUCCUUGAUGUUUAGCGUUCUAAUGGUCUCUAAAGUGAUUCUAGCAUGUCGCUCUAUUUAAUUUUAAAUUAUUUGGGGUUGUUUUCAUGCUAGGGUUAGAAAUGCUAAUUUUUAAAAUAUGAGGGUUUGAUCUCAUUUGACCCUCUGUAAACCUAAUUGCUAGGUAAACGAACGCGUUGGCGAAGACGGUUCGGCGAUUCGUCGAGCUGUNUACAAUUAAACGCUCCCAAUGUAAGUUAUUAAAUACUUUUAAUUUUGAAUUUCGUAAUCUACUAUUCAUUACUUAUGCUUUAGACAAUUAACUAUAAUGGAUAACUUUACAGUCUGAUUAUCUAAAUGGGGAGAGUCUCAUCAUUCCAAUUUCCGAAGUUGUGGAUCCUUAGCUUACUAUCUUUUUUGUAAGGUGAAUAAUUUUAUGAAUGCACAUAUUACAUAUAUUUUAUUAUUUUUUAAAUUAUUUUUUAUAUAAACUAACUUUUAUUAUGUUUUUUUGGUACAGGAUGGAGUGAUUUUGAGUUGAAGACUUAAUGUUGUUUUCUAUGCUUUGUUAUGCCACCAUGAUGGCUCUUAAGAGAUAUAUGCACUUGGAUUAAUGUUGAAUUUUUAUUUUUUUAUGUUGGUGUAUUUAACUAUUUGAUGUUGUUACUUUUAUGAUACUAUAUUUAGCUAAAUAUGCUUAGCUAACUUCACUUAUCUAAAUAUGCUUAGCUAACUUUUCAAUAUUGAAAAUUUCUUGUUUGAUAUGAUUUUGUUACAUUACAGUAAAAUUGAAUGCCAUUAGUUGUUUGGUUGAGAAAAUAUGCAGGAUUAAGGUAAAAGAAUUAUUCUUUAUAUAAAAUUUUGAUUUUAGUUUUAUAUGAUUGGAUAGUUUAAUUCACUAUUUGCUUAUAUAAUUUAUUCAUCUUUUAACUGCAUAGAUGAAAAAGAGCAAUAUGGAGAUUGGAGGCGAAAGAGAAGAUAUGCAAGGCUGCAAGAAAAAUACAAAAGGAAAUUGACAUUCAUUACAAGGUUAGAUAUCCAACUCAAAUUAUUUUUUUUAAUAUUACAAUAUUGUAUUUCUUGCAAUUAUUUUGUAUUUUGAACUAUUGGACAUGUUGCUUCAAAUUGUAGGUAAUGUUCUAUCAAAAUUAAACUAUUGAUUAUAUAAUGUCGAGAAUUUCAAUCGGCUCGUUUAGAGCUCGAGCUCGCUUGACUCGAAAUUAGGCUCGCUCGAGCUCCGCUCGAAUUAAUUUCAAGCUGAGCUUGAGCCUAGAUUUAGGCUCGAAAUUAAUUUCAAGCCGAAUUUGAGAUGAUGUAAGCUCGCUCGAGCUCAGCUCGUUUCCACCCCUAGUCCGACAUGAUCUAAGGAUUUGGGAAAGAUGAAAGCCUUGCGGGUCAGAUUGGCAGAUCUCCGGAGCGGAGGCUAAAGGCGAACCCACUAUCCGCAGGAUGAUGGAUAGUGCGGAGAAGACGGACCCGCGACCCGUUCGUCCGCUUACCCGCUUAUCAUGCAGUUUCGGACCGAGCAAGCCAGCGGAGGCCCAAUCUGCGAGCGAAUUUCAGCCCAGCCAGCCGAAUUCCCAUUCUUGCCAAUUUGCAGUCUAGCCCUCAUAGGAUAGUUUUCUUUAAUUUCAGUAUUAAGUAGUAGCAAGUAUAUAUACAAGAAUGUAAUUGCAACAGGAUAUAAAAGAAAUUAAAGUUGGGCUAAAAAUUUAAAAUUAAUAAUCUGUAUUAUAUAUUUAUAAUACAAAUAUAAUUAUAUAUAUAAUAUAUAAAAUUAUAUUAAUAUAAAAUAAAUAUAAUCAAGCUAUUAUCGAGCCGAACACGAGUGAGAUGACCCUAGCUCGUGUNUAAAACCACAUGGUACUAAAGUGAUAAAGUGCAAAACCACAGGGUACUAACUUGAUACAUUUUAAACCACAGGAUACUAAAGUUAUAAAGUGAGAAACCACAGGAUACUAACUUGAUACAUUUUAAACCACAUGGUACUAAAGUGAAAAAAAUUGAAACCACAAGAGGGUUCUAGAAGUUUUUCCUAAAAAGAAUAUAUUUGAACAUACUUAUAUUACUUCGACAGAGUAUUCAGAUUCGGUUAGAGUACGAAACUUCUAAUCAAACAAAUGUGAUAAUUUUGGUUUCGAAUACAUGUCGGAUCGAAUCUGAUUGGGCCAUUUCAAUCCUAAUCGAACAGAUAGCUGUAUGAACCAUAGUUGGUUAAUUCACGAAUAAUUUACGAAUUAUUCAUGAAUUUUUGAACAAGCGAGUAAAAUAGCUUUAUCUGUAUUUUUUUCAAAAAAUUUGAGAAAAAAAAGUGAUUUUUUGGAUAAAAAUAAUUAUUCACUAAUUAUUCGCAAUUCGCCCCAAAAAAAAACGCGUGGCCGAGUCGCAAAAGGUUUUUGCCCUAGCUUCUCACCCCUGCGGCCCUGCCACCGACCCCAGCCCCCAUCCCUUCCCCUCUCCCUCCCCCUCUUCCCUUCCGGCCGCUCACCGAACGCCAUCAGAAGCUGCUGCGGGGCCACAUCAAAGAUCGGCUUCUUCACUCUUCAGAAAUUAGAAUCCUCCUCGUCGCCUCUUCCUCUUUCGCUUCCGCGGCCGCGUCGGGUGGUUCUUUAACAAGAAUUUUUAUGCUUUAGUUUCUCUCUCUUUCAUUUAUUUCAUUUCAUCAUCUCUUAAUCGCUGACUGGGGCAAAAAUUUUCUGGGCAUCGUGCCCAUAGAAAGUAAUUUGGGGGCCUCCGAAUGUCCGCCGCGUGGCACUCAGAUGUCCCGGAUGGCCGCCGCGUGGCACUCGAACGACGCGAGCCCCACCGCCCCGCUGCUCGCCCAUUUAGGGAGAGUAGUGGAGUUUUUUUGAUGCACUCGGUGCACGUUUUUGCUUUAAAAAUUUAUUUUUUUUUAAUUAAUAAUUUAUAUAAUUGUGUUUUACUGAUAUUUAAAAAUAUUACGUAGAAAAAUUUUUAUAACCCGCGCCCUCUAAAUUUUUUUACAAAUAUUUUUUAAAUAUAUCGUUAUAUAGUAUAUUUAUUAGUAUAUAUAGUAUAUAUAUAUAGUUAGUUUAUAUAUAUAUAUAUAUAUAGAUUGGCUACUCAUACUAUCUCUACAUACCGAGCUCGGUACUUAGUGUUGGUUUUCAUCUAUUAGGGCGUUCAAUCAAAACGAUCCACCUUAAAUAUGAUCUAGGGCAUAUAUGCAAUUCUUAGAAUAAAAUUUUAGUUUUUUCGAUUCGUUUACUUAGUAAAUAAAUUUUUAAAAUGGAGCGUUGAUCAAAUGAAAUAUAAUCUUUUAAAAUUUUUGAGAUAGGACUUUUAAAUUCAUGGAUGCAAGAAUGUUAACCUUAAUUUAUAUAGUUUAAAGUAUUUUCUAUCAAAUUGAGAAAUUUAGAUUCUUCUAUCACCGUUAAUACUCCAAACUCAUCAUAAUGAGCCAUUGAAAAUUAUGAUAAUUUUGAAUAGUUUGAUGUAAAAUUAAACAUAUGUCGAAAAAAUAUAAAAUUUUAUUUUAGAACUUUAAAUACAAGAUCAGUUUUAACGGGUGGUAGUUAUCGUUUAUUUGAACGCCCUAAAUCAAAACCCAACACAUAUAGUACGGACUCGUACUAUAGAUAGAUAGUAGCUCAGCUCGUAGUACUAUAUAUAUAUAUAUAUAUAUAUAUAUAUAUAUAUAUAUAUAUAAUAUUAAUGUCACGCCCCAGGGCCGAUUUUAAAAGCUUUUUUUUAAAAAAUUCAUUAUCAUUUCGAAAACAGAGUUGCGGAAGACAUGCCAAUUUUUUUUUUUUUUCUAAUCUGGCCCACGAGACGCACAGACCCGCCACAAAUACAAAGUUUCCCUGUCCACUCGGACAGAGUCCCUUUAUAUUUGCACGGCGUACCAACGAUACAACAGGAUCUCAACCACAACCUACAUUAACCAAUCAACAACCAAUUCAUGAUAUGCAUUUUCAUACAGCUAACGAUCGUUAGAGAUGAUGCAUGCCUCUAAGCACUCUUCAGGCGCUGGAUGAUGCAAUGCACAGUACAAUAAUCAUCCUAUUUAAAAGUGCUCCUCACCCGAAAGCUUUGGUUUUGAAAUCUAUUUCAGUCAUCCAUGAAAACCAUUCGAAAAUCUUUUUAAAACUGUUUCCCACUCGGAAAUUCUAUUUUGAAAACCGACUACCUCGAGGGGUAGAAAACCACAAUGCAUAAGGACAUAAAUGCAUGAAUUGAAUAUCUAUAAAACCAGAUCCACAAAUCCACAAUCUAAAAUCACAUGCAUUGUCACGCCCCGCCCCAAAACCACUGCCAAUUUGGCACGAUUCGGACGCGCCGGGCGGACCGCCGAACAGACAGUACCUCCCCUGUCCGCCCAAGGCUCAACAACAGGAAUGUGUACAAGAAUUUACCCAGGAAGUUUAAAUUCUACACAUACACAUUCAACGGGGUACAAGUAGUGCCAACAACUAAGAGCAAGUAAUCCACAAGUAAAAACAAGUGAAAUAAAGAGAGUACUUUACUAAUUAUUGCAAUAGUUUUGCAUCUUUUUACAUGUACAUUUUUUUUUCCUCAAAAUGAAUACAUAUGUUCAUUCAAAAUAUAUAGCUCUCCAAAUCCUCACCUACAUGAAUCUCUCUCAAUACAUAGGUGUGCUAAUGCAAAAAGGAAAGCUACUAUACUACCACGGCCUCACUGAUCGAGCGCGAUGCCUUUGCCGCGAUCCUCGCUCGGUAAACCUGUACCUAUCACUGGAAAUAGAGUGGGGUGAGAACUAUCUUUCAUAGUUCCCAGUGGGCUCAGCCGCCGACUCUACCGAUCUCCCCACUAGGUCCAAGUGGGCACAAGCAACAACAGGUAGAUAGAUAGAUAGAUAUCUCAAAGAGGUGAAGGCAUAAAAAAAAUUCUAUGCUACUAUGCCCAUGAUCAUGUAUAAUGAAUGCAUGCAUCAUAUAGUAAAGGUUUACUAUCAUGCUAACGAAUUCAAUCCAUGUUCGAAUAAUAAUGUUCAAUGACAUUGUUCACUGUUCUUUUACCCAAUCUGUAGCGAAGCCCUUGGAUUCGCCAAUAACUCACCUUUCAAUCCCAAAGUGGGGAGGGAGCUCCAAGUGCACCCAAGCCCGGGACCCUCUGCGGACCUCCAUGUGGUCCGGACCUCUAAGUGGUCCUAAUCGCCCGACACUCAGAAGUACUCGACGACAAUCCCCUCCAUAUGGGGAUCUGGAUGGCUAUACCACCCCAAAAGCAGACUGUGAGCUAGAUCUAUCCUCUCCAAGUGAGGAUACCCUACAACAAGGGUCAACAAUCCAAUCAAAUCCUCUCCAAGUGAGGAUGCUCUACAACUAGGGUCAAUGUCUCAAUAACUCAUCGACAACCUCUCCAUGUGGGGGUACUUAGAUUUACUAAGUUCUUUGUCCACAAGGCAUUUUCUAAGGGAUCCACCUAUCCCUAGGUUCUCAAACCUUUAGUGUCAUUUACACUACAUUAAUGCCACUCAUCAUUCUUUAACAUUUGGGUGCCACUCGUUUGUUCUUUGACAUUAAACACUACUUUCUAUGUCAUCAACACCCCCAUCGGGUUCAUCUCUUUUCUUUCGCAUCAUAGGAUCCACAUUCCGACCCAAUUCUCACCUAUCUAAGUUACCAAGUGUUCCAAGUACACUAGGUUAUCAAUUAGAAAGCAUAAGGAAUGGUACUACUAUGCAAUCCUACAAUGCAACAUGUAAGAAAUGAGAUUAAAUGCAAUCUAAGACAUAGAAAAGAGUUCGAAAGUUUCGGAUGGCACCCCCCACCUUGUGUAGUCGAUGUUCGUUGUGGAGGUUCCAGAAGUGUUCCUCGGCACUUCAAACCACGUGUUCCCCGCCUUUUUGGGAGAAACGAAGCUAGGUCGGCCCUACUUUGCCGAUAGCUCUACACCCGCUCGACGAAUCGUAAUUCCGACUCCGCCAACGCGUUUGGACACCUAGCAAUUAUGUUUACAAGGCCUCAAAUGAGAUCAAUCUCAUCUAUUUCCAAAAAUCCCAUUUUGGGUGCCCUAGGGUUAGCAUCAUGCCAUUUGCACCAUGAAAUCCUAGCCUCUAGCUCUAAUCCACCAAUAAUGGUGCUAGAAGUCUAUUUGACCUCAUCUCAAAGCUCAAAACCCAAAAACCCUAGUUCUACAAGCUAGGGUUUGUAGCUUACCUCUUGAGCUACACCAAUGGAGAGGAGAGGAAGAGAGGAAGAUGCUCCAAGCCUUCUCUAGCUUGAUCCCCUCCUUCUUCUUCUUCUUCUCCUCCUUCUUCUUCUUCUCUUCCUUCUUCUCCUUCUCUUUUGUUCUUUAUUUCCUAGAGAGAGAGAGGGAGCAAGGAAGAGUGUGAGAGAGAGAGAGAAUGACAGGCUGAGGGAGAGAGAGAGUGUAACGCCCCGACUUCCCAGGGGGUCACCCAUCCUGGGACUACUCCCGUCCUAGCACACUUAACUCUCUUAACCUCUUGGGUCUAGCCACCACCCAAAAUGCUUAAGCCGGGUUAAGAGUUUAGCCCUAUUAUAUCUUAUAUAUAGGACUAUCUGGGGUCUCACAAUCUCCCAUUCUUUAAGCCCUGACGUCCUUGUCAGGCUCAGACUCACAAGUAUCAGGCGAUGUGAGACUUGUCUCGCUAGCCCGUCAUCCAGACCCUGGCUCAGCCAAGACUGAUCUCACACUUCCGGCUGGUAAUUGGCUCUGAUACCAUCUGUAACGCCCCAACUUCCCAGGGGGUCACCCAUCCUAGGACUACUGCCGUCCUAACACGCUUAACUCUCUUAACCUCUUGGGUCUAGCCACCACCCAAAAUGCUUAAGCCGGGUUAAGAGUUUAGCCCUAUUAUAUCUUAUAUAUAGGACUAUCUGGGGUCUCACAGAGAGGGCCUACAUACCCCUCUAUUGUAACAAAAUCCAUUUUAGCCCCUCAACUUUUCACCCUGCACACAGCCCUCACUGGGCAUUCUGCGCCCAGAGGGACCAGUCCCUUGUCGGGGAGACCGGUCCCCGAGAGCAGUCCUGGAGGCCAGAAGACCUCUUUGCGUUCGGGAACCGGUCUCUCCCUGGGAGACCGGUCCUCGGGAGACCCGUCCUCGCCUAAGAGAUCGGUCCCCGAGAGCUCAAUUUUCAGCACUUAGCCGAUUUUGGCCUUCUCUCGCUGGCGUCGCACACGGGGACCGGUCCCCUCAGCCAGGGACUGGUUGCGUCAAAGAUCCCCAGCAACCACCAGCCUCGGGGACCGGUCUCUCCCUGCCAGGGACUGGUCCCCGAGAGCAACUUCAGCCCAGUGCAGGUUUUGCACUAUAUGCUCUCGCGGACUCAACUCCAAUGCACUUUUUGUGUUUUGGAUAACUUUAGCUUUCCCGAAGGAUACUCACUCGAUAAUUAGUCGAUCCUGGAUGAAGUACAACUCUCGAAUUUCGAGAAUUCACUUCCUUACAUCCUCCCCUCCUUAAAAAGAGUUUCGUCCUCGAAACUAACUCGAUUCUUUAUUUUAACUUAAAUUUUUAUCUCACUCCUCGAACAGAUGAGGGUGGUGCUUUCUCAUUAGAUCCUCGAGUUCCCAGGUGGCCUCGCAAUCAUCAUGAUUGCUCCACCAAACCUUCACGUAGGGAAUUUCUCGAUUUCUCAACUUCCGUACCUCUCGUGCGAUAAUCAUCACCGGAAACUCUUCAUAGCUCAAGUCCUCUUGAAGCUCCGGUGGCUCAUAUAGUAUUCCGUGCUCGGGGUCAUGAAUAUACUUGCGGAGAUUGAAGACAUGGAACACAUUGUGUACAUCCGCAAGUUUCGGCGGCAAGGUGAGUCGGUAAGCCACCGUGCCAACUCGCUCCAAUAUUUCAUAGGGUCCAAUGUAUCGGGGACUCAAUUUUCCCCGCACUCCAAACCGCUUUACACCCCGCAUCGGUGAAACUUUCAAGAAUACGCGGUCGCCCACCGCGAACUCUAUAUCUCGUCGGCGCCUAUCUGCAUAGCUUUGCUUUCUUGACUGCGCCGUGAGCAAUCUCUUGCGAGCAAGGCGGACUUUCUCCUCCGCUUCUCGCAGAAUAUCAGGGCCGAACUCUGCACGCUCACCCACAUCGCUCCAGUGUAUAGGAGAUCGACACGUCCGCCCAUAGAGAGCCUCGAACGGUGCCAUCUCCACACUAGCAUGAUAACUGUUGUUAUAGGCGAACUGGGCCAUAGGUAGGUGAUCACACCAACUUCUCUUAUAGUCGAUGGCACACGCUCGCAACAAGUCCUCCAGAGUUUGAAUGGUUCUCUCUGUUUGCCCAUCGGUCUGAGGAUGAAAUGCGGUGUUAAAGUCGAGCCAUGUGCCAAGGGCUUCCUGCAGGCUCUUCCAGAAGUGUGAAGUGAACCGGGGGUCACGAUUCGACACGAUCGAUUUUGGCACCCCAUGCAGUCUCACUAUCUCGUCGAGGUAUACCUGUGCUAACUUGUCACCCGACCACAUGGUGUGGAUCGGCAAGAAGUGAGUCGACUUCGUUAAUCGGUCCACAAUUACCCAAAUUGCAUCGUGGUCGCCCGUUGAGCGAGGCAAGCUGACCACGAAGUCCAUCGAUAUAUCCUCCCAUUUCCAAACGGGGAUUGGUAGGCUUUGAAGCUUUCCCGCUGGAAAUCGACGCUCUGCUUUCACUUGUUGGCAUGUUAAGCACUUCGCCACAAAGCGUCCAAUAUCACUUUUCAUUUCCGGCCACCAGUAGUGCAUUUUUAGUCCUCGAUAUAUCUUGGUGCCGCCCGGGUGAUCGGCAUAUGGAGACCGAUGAGCUUCUUGUAGAAUUAGCUCGCGAAGCUCUCCAUCUUUCGGCACACACCAUCGGUUUCGAAGCCGGAGUGUACUACCGGUGUCUAAAUUGAAAUCGCCGCCUCGACCUUUCUCGAUAUUUCGCCGCACCUUUUGGAGUUCUAGGUCUGCGGGUUGCAGAUCUUUGAUCCUCUCCAACAAGGUCAGUUGAAUAACGAGCGCCAUCAACUGGGCCGGAACCUCGGGAGCGACCACCUCAAGGUUCAUCCGCUCCAUGUCUAACCACAAGGGUGAUUGAUUUGUAACCCACAUCGAGAGGUUCUCCGCCGACUUUCUGCUCAAUGCAUCAGCGACCACAUUGGCUUUCCCGGGGUGGUAGAGGAUAUCGACGUCAUAGUCCUUUAACAAUUCUAACUACUGCCGCUGUCGCAUAUUUAGCUCCUUCUGUGUGAAUAGAUAUUUCAAACUCUUGUGGUCUGUGUAAAUCUCACAAUGGGCACCAUACAAAUAGUACCGCCACAGCUUCAAGGCGAAGAUUACCGCUGCUAGCUCCAAAUCGUAGAUGGGGUAGUUCUUCUCAUAGCUCUUCAGUUGACAGAACGCAUAAGCAAUCACCUUCCCAUUUUGCAUCAAAACACACCCCAGUCCUAGAUAGGAGGCGUCGUUGUAGACUACGAAGUCUUCGCCUUGUACCGGUAGAGCGAGCACCGGAGUCGAAGUUAAUUUUUGCUUCAACUCUUUAAAACUUCGGUCGCACUCCUCACUCCAAACAAACUUGGUGCUUUUCUGAGUCAGGCGGGUAAGUGGAAUCACUAUCUUGGAAAAGCCUUCCACAAACCGCCUAUAAUAGCCUGCCAAGCCCACAAAGCUUCGAACCUCCGUGACAUUCGUCGGGCGCGGCCAAUCCUUGAUUGUCUCAACUUUCCUUGGGUCUAUAGAAACUCCACCCCGAAAAUCACAUGCCCUAAGAAGGCGACCUCUUGGAGCCAGAAGUCACACUUCUUUAACUUAGCAUACAGCUUCUCCUCCCGAAGGGAAGCACUAUCCUCAAAUGCUCGGCAUGUUCCUCGUCACUACGAGAAUAGACCAGUAUGUCGUCUAUGAAGACCAUGACAAAUCGAUCUAAAAACUUCCUGAAGACAUGGUUCAUCAAGUCCAUAAAUGCCGCUGGAGUGUUCGUGAGUCCAAAUGGCAUGACCGUGAAUUCAUAGUGCCUAUACCGCGUACGAAACGCAGUUUUCUGCACAUCCUCCGGCUUGAUCUUCAACUGGUGAUAGCCGGACUGCAAAUCUAUCUUCGAGUACACACACGACCCCUGCAACUGAUCGAUCAGGUCAUCGAUUCGGGUAGUGGGUAAUUGUUCUUGAUCGUGACUCUGUUCAAUUCUCGAUAGUCUACGCAGAGUCGGAAUGAUCCGUCCUUCUUCCGUACAAACAACACUGGGGCUCCCCACGGUGAUACACUUGGCCGGAUAAACUGUUUGUCGAGAAGGUCUUGCAAUUGACUCCUCAACUCCUUCAGUUCCGCUGGCGGCAUUCGGUACGGAGCCUUCGAGAUCGGUGCAGUGCCGGGAACCAAGUCUAUGACGAACUCGAUCUCCCGACGGUGAUAUCCCCGGUAAUUCUGCGGGAAAUACAUCCGGAAACUCUCGCACCACCGAUAAGUCCUCUAAUGUUGGAGCUACUCGUUCCACUUCCACAACAGUCGCUAAGAAUACCGUGCAACCGCUGUUAACCAACUUCCUUACUCUCGUGGCCGACACCGUCGUGACGAAGCACGAGCUCUGACAAGCCCGAUAUGUGAACUCCUUUUGUUCUGGCUCACGAAAUGUAAUUACUCUGCUUUUGCAGUCGAUCGUUGCAUGAUAUUUCGAGAGCCAGUCCAUUCCCAAAAUGAUGUCAUAAGCCUUGAGCUUCUUGAGUUCCAAUGUCCGGAUAGGCAUAAUCCGGUCGCCUAUUUGUACCGGGCACGAGGCGCACUCCGAAUAGGUAUUAAACGUCGACCCAGGGCCCUUCACUCGCCACUUGUCACUCGCUUCUAUAUGUAUGUCAUGCAUGCGUGCAAAUGAUCUACUUAUAAAUGAAUGUGUGGCUCCUGUAUCAAAUAAAGCCCUGGAGCGAACUCCGUUAAUUAAAACCAUACCUGCCAUAAGGCGACGCUCCUCCGCCUUCGCAGGCUCCUCGGCUUGAGCCUGAGCGGCGAAUACCCGACCGCUCGGAGCUGAUCGCGUCACUUCGGGUUGAAGCGGCAUCACCGCGUGUCCCGUCGACGCGGCCGCCGGUGGAGCUCCUCUAUAGUGAGCCGGAAUCGCUAGCGCCGAUGCAAUCGAUGGGGCAGGUGAGGCUCCUCCUCCCGAGCAGUCCCGAAUGAAGUGCCCCGGUUGCCCACACUUGUAGCACUUGCCUCGCCCUUGCUCACAUAGCGAGACUGGGUGGUCUCCGCCGCAUACGAUGCACCGUCGCGCUCCACCGCCCUUUGGCUGAGUCCGUGGAUACUUCGAGGGCUUCUUGGAACAUGUUUACCCCCCCGAACUGCCGCCGCCUUGGCGUUUCUUGCCCUUGUCCUUGGACUCGGCCAACAUCUCACGCUUUUCCCGGACAUGGGCGUCUCCGUGCUACGCCCAAAGUGCUCGGUCGAAGACCUCCGCAAAGGUCGUGAGUUGAGUAUCUGCACGGCCUUAUAAAUCCCCGGCCGAAGUCCUCGUAAGAACCAAUCGGCCCGGUCCCGGUCAUCCUUCACUAUGUCUGGAACACAAUCAAUGAUGUGGGAGAACUCUUAUUCAUAUUCCGCCACUGAACGGUCCCCUUGCUCCAACUUGCGAAACUUCUCCUUGAGUUUCCGCUUCAGCGCAUUGGGGAAGUAGUUGGCGAACAUUUCCCGCUUGAAUUCCUCCCACAGCAUUGGCGGGAGAUCGGAAGACCGAUCUCGCUUCACGCGCUUCCACCAUACCUUUGCUGCUUUCUCCAGACAGUGGCUGGCAAGGUACACUUUGUCCCUCUCCAAGGUACGUAGGUCCUCAAAGAGAGUCUCCAUCGAGCCGAUCCAAGACUCGAUCAUCGCCGGCUCCACCUUCUCGCCCUCAAAGGUAGGAGGAUGGAACUUGUUGAACUUAAUAAGAGCCGCCAAUGCAAGCUCUCCUUCCACAUCUUCGGCCGUCACAUCGGGUGUAGCCGAUCCCGACGCUGCCUGUGGUACGAUCACUGGUGGUGGGCGUGCCAUCACCGGAAUCGCCGCGAUGCCCUCACCCUCUGCCGCUCCGGGUACAUGAGUCGAGGGUGCGGGCGGGUGCGGGCGGACCAACGCCCUCGUUCACCGUCGCAGCCCCCGCCGCAACCUGCCGCUCCAAAAGAUCCUGGAGCCGAUCGAAUUGGGUCUCCUGGCGCUGCACCACAUUAGUCAACGCGGUCACUUGCGCCCGCAACUAAUCCAUCUCGCUCGGUUCAGCCUGCUCGGGCACCUCGGGAAGCGGUGCCGGAGUAGACCUCGUGCUCGGGCGUCCUCUUGGUGCCAUUGGCUCCUGAAACGCAAGUACUUGGUUAAUUAUCUUAACCCGUUCGCCUCGUUGCAAUUACGACACACAACGACUCAACAACGAAAUCGGGCGGAAGCACACAAGUGUACUCGUUCUAGACUCUUGGUAUCAUGUCGUCGGCCGCCGACACAACCACCUCAAGACAAGAACUCAUACCACUUGAAUCCGUCUCUAAUCACAACAAGAGACAUAUUACCAACUUCGACCCAAUCGAAUCAACUUCCGCCAUCGCUAUAGGUUCACGUUCCGCUCACGCACUUAUAACCUUAGGGCUUACCAACCUAGGGUCUCCUAGGUCAUCCUAGACUUUCUCUCUUUACUUGCUCUUAUUGCUCUGAUACCAUAACACUGUCACGCCCCGCCCCGAAACCACUACCAAUUUGGCACGAUUGGGGCGCGCCGGGCGGACCGCCGAACGGACAGCACCUCCCCUGUCCGCCCAAGGCUCAACAACAGAAAUGUGUACAAGAAUUUACCCAGGAAGUUUAAAUUCUAUACAUACACAUUCAACGGGGCACAAGUAGUACCAACAACUAAGAGCAAGUAAUCCACAGGUAAAAACAAGUGAAAUAAAGAGAGUACUUUACUAACUAUUGUAAUAGUUUUGCGUCUUUUUACAUGUACAUUUUAUUUUCCUCAAAAUGAAUACAUAUGUUCAUUCAAAAUACAUAGCUCUCCAAAUCCUCACCUACAUAAAUCUCUCUCAAUACAUAGGUGUGCUAAUGCAAAAAGGAAAGCUACUAUACUACCACGGUCUCAAUGAUUGGGCGCGAUGCCCUUGUCGCGGUCCUCGCUCGGUAAACCUAUACCUACCACAGGAAAUAGAGUUGGGUGAGAACUAUCUUCCAUAAUUCCCAGUGGGCUCGGCCGCCAACUCUACCGAUCUCCCCGCUAGGUCCAAGUGGGCAUAAGCAACAAUAGGUAGAUAGAUAGAUAGAUAGAUAUCUCAAAGAAGUAAAGGCAUAAAGGAAAUCUAUGCUACUAUGCCUAUGAUCAUAUAUAAUGAAUGCAUGCAUCAUAUAGUAAAGGUUUACUAUCAUGCUAACGAAUUCGAUCCAUGUUCGAAUAAUAAUGUUCAAUGACAUCGUUCACUGUUCUUUUAUCCAAUCUGUAGCGAAGCCCUUGGGUUCGCCAAUAACUCACCUUUCAAUCCCAAAGUGGGGAGGGAGCUCCAAGUGCACCCAAGCCCGGGACCCUCUGCGGACCUCCAUGUGGUCCGAACCUCCAAGUGGUCCUAAUCGCCCGACACUCCAGAGUACUCGACGACAAUCCCCUCCACGUGGGGAUAUGGAUGGCUAUACCACCCCAAAAGCAGACUGUGAGCUAGAUCUAUCCUCUCCAAGUGAGGAUGCUCUACAACUAGGGUCAACAACCUAAUCAAAUCCUCUCCAAGUGAGGNAAUAGUUUUGCAUCUUUUUACAUGUACAUUUUUUUUUCCUCAAAAUGAAUACAUAUGUUCAUUCAAAAUAUAUAGCUCUCCAAAUCCUCACCUACAUGAAUCUCUCUCAAUACAUAGGUGUGCUAAUGCAAAAAGGAAAGCUACUAUAUUACCACGGUCUUACUGAUUGGGCGCGAUGCCCUUGUCGCGGUCCUCGCUCGGUAAACCUAUACCUACCACUGGAAAUAGAGUUGGAUGAGAACUAUCUUCCAUAGUUCCCAGUGGGCUCGGCCGCCAACUCUACCGAUCUCCCCACUAGGUCCAAGUGGGCACAAGCAACAACAGGUAGAUAGAUAGAUAGAUAUCUCAAAGAAGUAAAGGCAUAAAGGAAAUUUAUACUACUAUGCCCAUGAUCAUAUAUAAUGAAUGCAUGCAUCAUAUAGUAAAGGCUUACUAUCAUGCUAACGAAUUCGAUCCAUGUUCGAAUAAUAAUGUUCAAUGACAUCGUUCACUGUUCUUUUACCCAAUCUGUAGCGAAGCCCUUGGGUUCGCCAAUAACUCACCUUUCAAUCCAAAGUGGGGAGGGAGCUCCAAGUGCACCCAAGCUCGGGACCCUCUGCGGACCUCCAUGUGGUUCGAACCUCCAAGUGGUCCUAAUCGCCCGACACUCCAGAGUACUCGACGACAAUCCCCUCCAUGUGGGGGAUAUGGAUGGCUAUACCACCCCAAAAGCAGACUGUGAGUUAGAUCUAUCCUCUCCAAGUGAGGAUACCCUACAACUAUGGUCAACAACCCAAUCAAAUCCUCUCCAAGUGAGGAUGCUCUACAACUAGGGUUAAUGUCUCAAUAACUCAUCGACAACUUCUCCAUGUGCGGGUACUUAGAUUUACUAAGUUCUUUGUCCACAAGGCAUUUUCUAAGGGAUCCACCUAUUCCUAGGUUCUCAAACCUUUAGUGUCAUUUAUACUACAUUAAUGCCACUCGUCAUUCUUUAACAUUUGGGUGCCACUCGUUUGUUCUUUGACAUUAAACACUACUUUCUAUGUCAUCAACACCCCCAUCGGGUUCAUCUUUUUUCUUUCGCAUCAUAGGAUCCACAUUCCGACCCAAUUCUCACCUAUCUAAGUUACCAAGCGUUCCAAGUAUACUAGGUUAUCAAUUAGAAAGCAUAAGGAAUGGUACUACUAUGCAAUCCUACAAUGCAACAUGUAAGAGAUGAGAUUAAAUGCAAUCUAAGACAUAGAAAGGAGUUCGAAAGUUUCGGAUGGCACCCCCCACCUUGUGUAGUCGAUGUUCGUUGUGGAGGUUCCAGAAGUGUUCCUCGGCACUUCAAACCACGUGUUCCCCGCCUUUUUGGGAGAAUCGAAGCUAGGUCGGCCCUACUUUGCCGAUAGCUCUACACCCGCUCGACGAAUCGUAAUUCCGACUCCGCCAACGCGUUUGGACACCUAGUAAUUAGGAUUACAAGGCCUCAAAUGAGAUCAAUCUCAUCUAUUUCCAAAAAUCCCAUUUUGGGUGCCCUAGGGUUAGCAUCAUGCCAUUUGCACCAUGAAACCCUGGCCUCUAGCUCUAAUCCACCAACAAUGGUGCUAGAAGUCCAUUUGACCUCAUCUCAAAGCUCAAAACCCAAAAACCCUAAGUUCUACAAGCUAGGGUUUAUAACUUACCUCUUGAGCUACACCAAUGGAGAGGAGAGGAAGAGAAGAAGAUGCUCCAAGCCUUCUCUAGCUUGAUCCCCUCCUUCUUCUUCUUCUUCUCCUCCUCCUUCUUCUUCUUCUCUUCCUUCUUCUCCUUCUCUUUUGUUCUUUAUUUCCUAGAGAGAGAGAGGGAGCAAGGGAGAGUGUGAGAGAGAGAGAGAAUGAGAGGCUGAGGGAGAGAGAGAGGGCCUACAUACCCCUUUAUUGUAACAAAAUUCAUUUUAGCCCCUCAACUUUUCACCCUGCACACAGCUCUCACUGGGCAUUCUGCGCCCAGAGGGACUGGUCCCUCGUAGGGGAGACCGGUCCCCGAGAGCAGUCCUGGCGGCCAGAAGGCCUCUUCGUGUUCAGGAACUGGUCUCUCCCUGAGAGACCGGUCCUCGGGAGACCGUUCCUCGCCUGAGAGACCGGUCCCCGAGAGCUCAAUUUUCAGCACUUAGCCGAUUUUGGCCUUCUCUCGCUGGCGUCGCAUACUGGGACCGGUCCCCUCAGCCAGGGACUGGUUGCGUCAAAGAUCCCCAGCAACCACCAGCCUCGGGGACCGGUCUCUCCCUGCCAGGGACUGGUCCCCGAGAGCAACUUCAGCCCAGUGCAGGUUUUGCACUAUAUGCUCUCGCGGACUCAACUCCAAUGCACUUUUUGUGUUUUGGAUAACUUUAGCUUUUCCGAAGGAUACUUACUCGACAAUUAGUCGAUUCUGGGUGAAGUACAACUCUCGGAUUUCGAGAAUUCACUUCCUUACAUGCAUAAGGAAUACAUCACAGAUCCACUGAAGCCAAAUCACCAAUAUUCAAACAAACAUGAGGAUCGUCUAACUGAACCAUUAUUAUUAAAACUACUAAGUGCCGAAAUGAAAGUAACCAAGGUGACGGUUGCUAUACCAGACUAGCUAGAUCGUCCUCCCGUCGAGCCCAAAAUCUAACUCCUCGUCCAUGUCACCUGGGGGGAAUGGGGGGUGAGAAACCGCAACCAUGGUUUCUCAGUGGGUACGACAGAGCCACGAAGGCAAGCCGUAAUCACCGAAAACCAAAGGAGAUAGAUAAACAAAUAUAUAUGCUGAUAUGAAACAGAACUACAGAUAUGAGCAUGAUGUGAUAUAAGAGCAACUACAGUAGUAAUAGAAACAGGUUAAUAACUAAGCAAGAACGAAACUACUACUGUAACCAAUACUCAACUGAUCGGAUGCCUCAAGGGUAAAUAGUCCAAACCAAACCCAAUCUGAUGCUGCUAUAUUGGUCCGCAGACCUCAAGCGUUACCUGUCACAGAACAGACACUGCCAACUUAUUCAUGCGUCACCGACGACCUAUCCGGAUACGUACACUCCUUGGUUGGUGGCCAAACCAACCUAGUGUCUAGAAUACACAGUGCUGUGACUAAAUCAUGCUGAUAUGCUCAAAACGAAAACCGACAAAAAGAGACCGAUGCCUUGGCCGAAGCCAGGUGUAAGGGCGUACAACGCCGAAUCAUGAUCAACUAGAUCGAAACACACGACAAAGGAGUCGAUGUGUUGCCUGGACCCAAGGUCCACAGAUAUACAGUAUAUAUGCAAUCUGCUCUACAUGUCUAUCAACAACUAACAAAAUGCAACCAACAAAGUAAGAUAUACGAAUGAUAAUCAAAGCAAAGACAUGUAGAGACUACGAUACUGAUAUGAAAAAACAGAGGAAGGGUGAAACGAUCUCACCGACUACCAGCUCGAAGCACCCACCUGUACUAGUGUCGCACCUGUCUCCUAACUGUACACAAUCGUCAACCGGACCUACGAAGGUCCACCAGGUUAGUAACCAGCCCACUAACCCAAAGUACGAGACUCACAAACCACCACACAAGUCCCCGAAUCAGUUUUCCAAAAUCGAUCACCGUAACUCACCGGAAGUCCUGAAAACCACACCGGAACUCUAUCGGGACCCACUAAGUGUACCGAAACUCACCAACUCGUAUCACGAGUCACCCGCUGCCACAAAUCACUCCGAUUUGGAUGUCUUGGCAGCAAACAAAAGGUAACACUACUAUACAAUUAUCGCCAGAUAAUUGUACAAAUCCGGGUUCCCGGAAGUGUCUAUUUCGACACCGGAACCCACCGUCGCUCACCCGUCAUCAUCGAACCCCCUAUAUGAUGAUGGUGACUAGCCGACAAGCCUCGGCGACAACUCACAGGGCAACCAAACCACGUCGGAAGAAAUCCGAAUCGAAACCGCAUUCUUUCGGCGAAUUUCGCCGAAAAACUCAUCGAUAUCGACUUUUCGAUUUCCGCAAAGACUACCGAAUCAUGGACAACCAGUCCAGAGGUCACCACACACGCCUACACACUGCCCACAGUAGCCACUAGGUGCACAAUUGCAUAAAAGCCCCUCUAUUUACAUAAAAUCCAUCAUUUUAUGUAAAUCGGGAGACUUCUAUAGCUCGUUCUCGCAAACCGAGGGCUUCUAAGUUUCGCCGAGACAUGUACUGACAGGUCUCGACGUGCCGGAGGCCGUGCUGAUGAUCCGGAGCGCAACAGCUCUCUGUGGGAAGCGCGGGAGCAACUCGAAGGUUCUGCGAACAGCGCCUAGUAGGGGAAAAUCGCGCAGAACAGAACGAUACGACAUCCGCUGAUCCAAAAUAAGGUGAGCACUGUGAUCAGCACUGAUCCACGAUCACCGUGCUCACCUCUAGAGGCAUCGGAACAGCCUCGGAUCGCCGUAAAAAUGCGCAUAAUCCUUAAAUAGCAGCCAAAAAGGCUCUAAUAGAGCGACACCGCCGAAACAGCGGAAAGGAGUCUCCCCGACAAAAACUAAAGUGAGCACGAUGAUCAGCAAUUUGCCACGAUCAUCGUGCUCCCUUCCGUAGAGAUUAGGGAGGCUCGGGAAGCUCGGAACAGCAAACCACCAAGAUGAGCCCUAUUUCGGGCUUGGCCGGAGUAAGCUUGCUCCGGCCGGCUUCCGGCGGCACGGUGGCGCACGUGGGGGCCAGGGAUGGGUACGGGGGAGGUGAGGAAUACGAGGCUCACCUUAGAUGGCGGUUGGAAACGGUGGCGGCUACGGUGGAACCAACCAAGCCCGCACGAGAUCCGGCUCAGGUUCCAGAGCAGCUGCGGCCCCGGCGGUGGCCGGGGCAGGUCAGAGACGUCGGCUGUGGGUUUCCAAAGGCCGGAGAAGGAGGAAGGAGGUGGUGGGCGAUAGCGGCAGCGACCCGCGGCUCGGGUGUGGCUGCCCGAGCUUGGCUGGGUCUGCAGGCUGGGGCGGCGGCGCCCAAGGCGCGCGGCGGCGGCGGCGACUCGCUGGGGCGGCAACGUCCGAUGGGGAGGGUUGCCGAGGCUUCGGAGAAGGCGGCAGAGGUGGUUCAAGGGGCGGCGGUGCGAAGGCUAACCUCUGAAGCUCGGCUCAGCCCGAGCAAGUCUGGGCAGCCGCGGUUGACAGAGACGGCGGUGGAGGCGCGCAGAGGCGGCGGCGACCGGCCGCGGAGGGUUGCCGGGCUCCGGGGACGACGGCACGGCCGAGCCAAGGUGGCGGCAGCGCGGAGGAGGGCUUCCAAGUCUGCUCAGCCCGAGCAGAUCCGGGGUGGCCGCGCUCGGUCAAGGUGGCAGCGGCGGUGCUCGGGGCGGCGAUGGCUGGCGGGGGAGACUCCGACGAGGAUGGGACGACGCCGGCGACGGACCUAGAGGCAAUGCAGCCUCGGCCAGGCUCUAACCCGAGAGAAAGAGAGAGAGAGGGAUGGAGAGAGAGAUGGAUGGUGGCUCGGCGGCGGCCGGGGCUCAACGGCGGCGGCCGGGGGUGCGCGGCUAGGGCAGGGGAGCAAAGUGAAGGUGGCAGGGGCGACUAGCGUAGCUGGGGGCUGGCUAGGGUUAGGGUUAGAUGGAAGAAACCCUAAAAUACAUAUAUAUAUCAUGGUGCAACUUCGCGAGUUAGCCCCCCCAAACUAUAAUAUAUAAUACUAAGUCCCUCCCAGUACGUGUAAUACGCGCGAAUAGCCCUCCACGUGCGAUCUCACAUGAAACGGUACAUAAAAUAUUGCAACUUUUGCGAAAAUACCGUUUUUCCCUCACUGACCUCAACUCGGUCAUCGUGCAAUCUUCGUAGAUCCGUCUGUCAGAUUUGCGAACGGAUAGUACAGUGCGAUCAGCACGAUGGAGACAACAAAGCUACGAUUUCGUUUCAUCUCGAUCGCUCUCGGAUUCGCGACGAAAUCCAUUCCAACUCUCCAACGGAAGAAACUAUGCACAAAUACAUAUAAAACACGUAUUUGCGGAUUUUCUCGAAAUUCGUACUUCAAACUAAAAAUCCAUCAGCGCCAUAAGUUCCAGAACAGCUAAACCGGUCGAAACGAGCUAUUGGACUACUAUGAACGGAGUCCGGUACGAGCCAGAAGCCAACUCUACGCAUUGAGCUCUCUGGAAAACCAAGUUACUAUUCACUUUAAGUGAAACUUGGAAAUCGCGUAGAAUCUCCGUUUUAACUCAGUUUCUCUCGAAACUUGAUGAGUGCUUUUGUAAUUAAAUUACACACAAAAACAUCGUCAACUAAGAGUUUAGCUAUGUCACGUCCCGAGCCCGCCUAUUUGGCCGGUUUCGGGCACGCCGACAGACCGCCGAACGGACAGGGUUUUCCCGGUACCGCGGACAGAGUCUCCCUUGUACAUUCAAGGCGUCGCAAUCAAUACAAUGUACGAAGUUCCAACCAGGAACACAUUUCAANCUUUUACACUCUGUUUGGAUGGAAAGAAAAUAAUUUUAUCCUGGUGGAUGGAAACUUGGGGAGCGAAAUGAAGAAAAAUGACCCUCCAUAAUGAUUAACUUUUUUCUCCGGUAAAAUAAAUUUUUUUUUCCUUCCAUUAAUCCAAACAACAGAAGAGAAAAUUACAUUAUUUUCUUUUCUCCUUUUCUUUAUUCUUCUAUUCUAUUCUAUUCUAUUCUCUCCCUCAAUGUUUAUUAACAAAAAAUUAUGAAGGAUGAUGAAGAUGAUCUAUCUUUUCGAUUUGCAAAUUGAUCACAUUUUACAUCAUGUUAAAUGCACUGAAUUGUCAAAGUUUCUGGAUGUUUUACGUACUGGGCAUAAUUAACCAUUAAUUAUUGCUCUUCGAAAUUAGGUGCUACCUAAGUCUUCGUAUUAUAUAGCGUUGUUCGCAUCCUAAUUACGUCCUAAUUAUCCAUUAAUGCAACUAUAUUCUGGGUAAAACAUCUGUCAGAAUCCUCUCCGCGAGAAAAGGUCAAAACUAUUGCUUAAAUCGGAGUGCACAUUCAAUGUUGCAGAGAAUAUCGGAUCCGCUUACUCGCCCGACUCUCAAUUUAAACACAACGGGGAGGAUCCGCUCACUCGCCCGACUCACGACACACACACAACGGGGAGGAUCCGCUCACUCGCCCGACUCUCGAACUCAACCUAGUGGAAGAGGAACCGCUCACUCAAGGUGAGAACUACUCACUCAACCAUCUGUCGAUCUCGUGGAAGAGGAACCGCUCAACCAAGGUGAGAACUACUCACUCAACCAUCUCUCAGUCUCGUGGAAGAGGAACCGCUCAGCCAAGGUGAGAACUACUCACUCAACCAACUCUUAGUCUCGUGGAAGAGGAACCGCUCACUCAAGGUGAGAACUACUCACUCAACCAACUCUCAGUCUCGUGGAAGAGGAACCGCUCACCCAAGGUGAGAACUACUCACUCAACCAAGACCGUCUGCAGGGCCCAAAAAGGCUAACCCCUCGGGACCCAAAAAGGCUAUCCCAAUCGUGUGACAACUCCGGAGUGCACUGCUUGUGUGGAGCGACCACACCAAGCUUCGAACAGACAUUGCUGUAUGAUCAAAUCCCCAUCAUUGAGGAUACCCUACCACUUAGACAACAUCACUUGGGAACUGGUUCACCACUAAGUUCAACAUAAAACAAAUGUUUUCUCUAUACUUUACCAAUCAUGCAACUCAUCAAGUUUAAUAUUAACUAGAUGCCACUCGUCAAGUUUAACAUUCUCAACACUAGUUAUUCUUUACUAGGCUCAACAUUCAUAACACCAGUUGGAUCACACUAGGUUUUCAUCCACAUGAACAUCAACCAUCACAUAUAGGGUUAACUACUUCAAGCUCAACUCAUCAAGUUUAACAUUAACUAGAUGCCACUCGUCAAGUUUAACAUUAACUAGAUGCCACUCGUCAAGUUUAACAUUCUCAACACUAGUUAUUCUUUACUAGGCUCAACAUUCAUAACACUAGUUGGAUCACACUAGGUUUUCAUCCACAUGAACAUCAACCAUCACAUAUAGGGUUAACUACUUCAAGCUCAACUCAUGCAUACUAGGUUCAAUGCUAUAACCAUAAAGCCGACUCACACUAGCAUGCAAAUAAUGUAUAUAAAGCAUCUUUAAUACCCUAUAUGCAACAUGUACCAAUAUGCAUAACUAAUCGAUAACUGAACUUAGACAUAGGGAGCAGCCCAGCUGCUUCGGGAUGGCACUCCCCCACCUUUUACAGCGUUCCGAUUGCUCGUCGUUACUUGCAAUCGGCCUCCCGCGGCGCUCGGCACCCGUUUGGGCCCGAUCUCACAGUUGCACUCCAAGAGCGCUCCGCUUCGCCGUUUCAAGUGCAGUAGCUCUUCGGUUAUGUGCCACGAUGCCUCAAAUCCAUUUCCACAAUUUUACGACGUCGCCUCGGCCCUCCCGGCGGACCCGAAGCCUAAACGUCCGUUUCUUUAAUAACUUUGUAACGGCUCAUCGGAUUGCCGAACCGUCUUCGCCAACGCGUUCGUUUACGUAGCAAUUAGGUUUACGAAGGGUCAAAUGAGAUCAAACACUACCAUUUUACAAAAUCCCAUUUUUGAGCCCUAAUAUGCAAUUAAUCUUCAAUAAUCCAAAUUAAAUGGAGAGAACAUGUUUAGAGCACUCUAGAUACUACUAGAACAUCACUUAUGAAGGAUUUAAAUAAAAUCCCAAAAGCUUACCCCAAUGUGAACGCCGCGACGAAAGUACGCCGCUCCAACGGGCGCACGAAAGCUCGAUCCGUCGCCUCCAAUGCAUUCGCAAGCUCGAUCUCCGCCAACGCCGUGAAUUUGAGCGAGAGAUAUAGAGAGAUGAGAGAGAUCUUUAGAGAGAGAGAGAAGGGUUUCUCUCCCCCUCCCAUGCGUGCGUGUGAUGCUUGCUGGCUGGUUGGAGAAGAAGAAGCUAAUCAGCUUCUAAUUAAAGUCAACACCAAACACUAUUCACUCCAGGGGGGCUUGAAAUCUGAUACGUCUAGUCGGAGCCCUUCUGAACGUCCGUUUGCGCUCAAAUUUGACAGGCAGGCUCGGUUUCACAUAACGAGUCCAAAGAAAUUUUAAUCUUUCAGUUUCGACCCCGUUUGGUCACUGAAAACUGUGCCGAACUGUAAUCUUAAUCAGAUAACUUUCGGAUUUUAUUUCUCACUCUACGGGUGUCAGAAUGAUAUGAAACUUUAAAUCUAGCCUCAUAAAAAUAUUUCUGACAUACCCUCCAGUUUUCAUAAUUUUCUGACACUGUGCAUUUUCUGCUAAUCUAUCUGCCCCCUUUUCCACAGAAAAUUCUAAAUUUUAUAUUUUCGCUCCGAUUUCAGCACAGGUCAUUCCUAACCCAUAUUCCACUUCUCUAAAUCCAAUAAAAUAGUAUCCCAUACUAUUUUUAUUUAUUUUCACCUUUAUAUUUAAAAUCCGGUAUGUUACAUUCCGCCGCAACCCCACCGGAACCAUUUAAAUGUACACCGUAACUUCAUAGUUUUAGAAGUCCGGUACCUCACAUUCUCCUCUCCUUAAAAGAGUUUCGUCCUCGAAACUAACUCACUUCAUAUCCAAACCCCGACCCCAAUUCGACUUAUUGAGUCAUCGAGGGUUCCAAUGCACUUUCGUAUCUCGAAGUGGCCUUUUACUCAUCGGGACUAUCCAAGGGCCCACUAUAGAGGACGUGAGACCAAUUUCACUCACGUUCGCUAAGCGUAACACCGAAAGUGCAUUACUACCUCCGCAAGCCUCGAUGGCAGCGCGAGUCGACAUUCGACGACUCCUCACUCUCCAACAUCGCUCGCACAAAUUCAGGGAAUACACUCCGAUUAGAUCACCGUUGCUUAAAAGCAAGAUCGUUGGUGCAUCGACCCCUCGGAAGUGCUCCAGUCCUCAACCGGAUCCUUGCUCUACUGUGAGAUGGCCCACUUUGGCACAUCUCAAAUCUCAAUCCUCACGUGGCUUUCCAUAAUCCAAGUGUCUCCUAGAGACCACUUUACUUUCUCUUUCAAUUGCCACGGCCAACAUUAAUUUGCUUUCGCAACGAGCUCACACGAACACCCAGUUCGUGAAUCUAAGCCAAACGCCUCGACAGAGUUAUCGGCCAAACCGAUCACCUCGGUUUCCACAAGUGAACCACAAGUCGCCAACCCUACGUCGGCCUAACACUUAAACCUGUCUCAACGACACAUAGCGCCUCUCGCUCGCUAGCGUUGACCCAAUCAGCACUGGGCGAAAUUCUCACUUGGGAAUUCGCACACACUCCACGAGUAUUUAUCCUCGGGCGCUCUACACACCGCACACUAAGUCCAGCAUUAGGCAACCUUGCCUAUGCAAACCGGCCACACGAGCACGACUCGCCCACCUCAAUUCGAGGUACUAUUAGGCCCACAGGCCAAACUCAGCACUAAUCAACCACGUUCGAAACAGUGAUUCACCUUCACUGUUCGAUCUACCAGAUCUAUAUCCGAACUCUCGGACUGCUCAGGGACAUCAGCUGUCCCCACCCACGCCGAUCUAAUAAGAUCGCUCACGCGACGCCAUCAUGUCCUAAAACGCGACAACUCGACUGGUUCUCGACCCUCCAGGUCAAGUACGAAGCAACCAACACCGACUCAAAUCGGGCGAAAGUCACAUAAGAGCGUCUAUUCUCAUCACCCGGCUUCAUGUUGGGUGCACCCAACAUGAACACCCUCGGUUGAGAAUACACCACACUUUGAGUUUACCUCUAACGUCCGUCUUAGAGGUUUCACUAACUUGACCCAAUCGAUUCAACUUCCGCCUCGUCAUAGGUUCACGUCGCACUCACGCACCUAUAACCUUAGGAUUCACCAUCCUAGGGUCUCCUAGGUCCAUCCUAGACUCUCUCUUUGCUUACUCUUAACUCGCUCUGAUACCACACCUGUCACGCCCCGCCCCGAGACCGCUACCAAUUUGGCACGAUUUGGGCGCGGCGGGUGUGGCGCCGAACGGACAGCACCUCCCCUGUCCGCCCAAGGCUAAAGCGACGAGAUCAUGUACAACAAGUUUCCAAGAAAACAACUUGAAUACAUACAUGAUCAAAGACAACAACGAGAGCACAACCAGUGCUAAACAUACAAAGAGUAAGCAUCACAAGUAGAAUCAUACAAGUGAAAAAAAGAUAUAUAAACUAACUAUUACAUCACGUUUGGCAUUCAACUUUGAUACAUUUAACCUCAUUUAAACUUUGAUAUAGUCAUUACAACUUUGCUUCCUUUUUCCAAAAUGUAAAUACAUAUAGUCACUCUCCAACCUCACCCUAUACAUCAUCUACUCUCGGAUAUAAACAUAGGGUGAACUAAUGCAAAAUAGGAAGUAAGCUACUAUCAACACUAGGGCGCUAUGCCCUUACCACAGUCCUCAGCCGCUGCUCUCUCGCGUGUACCUGUACCCCAAACCACACGGGGUGAGAACUGUAUAAAUAUAGUUCCCAGUGGGUUCGGCCGCUAACUCCGCCGAUCUUCCCACUAGGUCUAAGCAGGCAUAGGAAGACGAAGACAGAUAGAUAGAUAUAUAUGAAAGCAGUAACGAUAAAGCAUAAUAUAAAAUGAUGCUAAUGUCCAACUAUGCCUCAAUCCAAUGCAAUGAAUGCGUGCACUACAUAGUAAAAAGCCAACUACUAUGCUACUAUGCUCAACAAGGUUACUUGUGUCACAUUGGUGAGGAUCCGCUCACUCACCCGACUCACACUCUAAACACAACGGGGAGGAUCCGCUCACUCGCCCGACUCACGACACACACACAACGGGGAGGUCCGUUCACUCACUCGACUCUCAAUUUAAACACAACGGGAAGGAUCCGCUCACUCGCCCGACUCACGACACACACAACGGGGAGGAUCCGCUCACUCGCCCGACUCUCGAACUCAAUCUAGUGGAAGAGGAACCGCUCACUCAAGGUGAGAACUACUCACUCAACCAUCUGUCGAUCUCGUGGAAAAGGAACCGCUCAACCAAGGUGAGAACUACUCACUCAACCAUCUCUCAGUCUCGUGGAAGAGGAACCGCUCACCCAAGGUGAGAACUACUCACUCAACCAACUCUCAGUCUCGUGAAAAAGGAACCGCUCACCCAAGGUGAGAACUACUCACUCAACCAAGACCGUCUGCAUGGCCCAAAAAGGCUAACCCCUCGGGACCCAAAAAGGCUAUCCCAAUCGUGUGACAACUCCGGAGUGCACUGCUUGUGUGGAGCGACCACACCAAGCUUCGAACAGACAUUGCUGUAUGAUCAAAUCCCCAUCAUUGAGGAUACCCUACCACUUAGACAACAUCACUUGGGAACUGGUUCACCACUAAGUUCAACAUAAAACAAAUGUUUUCUCUAUACUUUACCAAUCAUGCAACUCAUCAAGUUUAACUAUUAACUAGAUGCCACUCGUCAAGUUUAACAUUCUCAACACUAGUUAUUCUUUACUAGGCUCAACAUUCAUAACACCAGUUGGAUCACACUAGGUUUUCAUCCACAUGAACAUCAACCAUCACAUAUAGGGUUAACUACUUCAAGCUCAACUCAUGCAUACUAGGUUCAAUGCUAUAACCAUAAAGCCGACUCACACUAGCAUGCAAAUAAUGUAUAUAAAGCAUCUUUAAUACCCUAUAUGCAACAUGUACCAAUAUGCAUAACUGAUCGAUAACUGAACUUAGACAUAGGGAGCAGCCCAGCUGCUUCGGGAUGGCACUCCCCCACCUUUUACAGCGUUCCGAUUGCUCGUCGUCACUUGCAAUCGGCCUCCCUCGACGCUCGGCACCCGUUUGGGCCCGAUCUCACAGUUGCACUCCAAGAGCGCUCCGCUUCGCCGUUUCAAGUGCACUAGCUCUUCGGUUAUGUGCCACGAUGCCUCAAAUCCAUUUUCACGAUUUUACGACGUCGCCUCGGCCCUCCCGGCGGACCCGAAGCCUAAACGUCCAUUUCUUUAAUAACUUUGUAACGGCUCGUCGGAUUGCCGAACCGUCUUCGCCAACGCGUUCGUUUACCUAGCAAUUAGGUUUACAUAGGGCCAAUUUAGAUCAAACCCAUACAUUUUAUAAAAUCCCAAAAUUGGAGCCCUAACAUGCUACUAUUGCAAUAAGCUUCAAAAUUGAUUCAUGAUUUAAGCAAUUAGCAUGUAGAUAUCAUAUAGAGAGUCCUCUAAACCCAUUCCUAGAGCAUAUAAUUAAAGCUCUAAGGUUCUACCAUUUUUAAAAACCUAGCCUCUACACAUGCUCCAAGUAACCCAAAUUAAAUGGAUUCAACAUGCUAAUCAACACAUUAGAGGCUAUUAGAACACUAAGCAUUAAGGAUUAAGCCAAAUCCCAAAAACUUACCUCAUUGUGAACACCACGGCGAGAACACGCUGCUCCAACGGCCGCGCAAAAGCUCGAUCCGUCGCUCCCAACGCGUUCGCAAGCAUCAUCUCCACCAAUCCCGCGAAUUUGAGCGAGAAAUAUAGAGAAAUGAGAGAGAAAUCUAGAGAGAGAAAGGAGGGUUUCUCUCUCCCUUCUCCAUGCGUGCGUGGGUGUGGGUGUGCUCGGGCUGAAGGAGAAAGAAGAAGCACAUUGCUUCUUAUAUACUUUAACACCCAAAACACUAUUCACUUCAGGCAGUUUUUGCAGUUCGGAACAGUUGGAGCCCUUUUGAAUGUCCGUUUGAGCUUAAAUUUGACAGACAGGCUCAGUUUAAUAUACUGAGUAAGAAUAUAUUUUAAGUUUUUAGUUUCGACCCCAUUUGGUCACCGAAAACUGUGCCGAACUGUAAUCUUUAUCAGAUAACUCUCAGAUUUUAUUUCUCACUCUACGGGUGUCAGAAAAAUAUGAAACUUUAAAUCUAGCCUCAUAAAAAUAUUUCUGACUUAUUCUCCAAUUUUUAUAAUUUUCUGAGACUGUACAUUUUUUGCUAAUUUAUCUGUCCCGUUUCCAACAGAAAAUUCUAGAUCUUCUGUUUUCAUUCUGAUUUCAGCACAAGUCACUUCUGACUUAUGCUUUACUUCUCUAAAUUCAAUAAAAAUAGUUUCUUACACUAUUUUUAUUUAUUUUUAUUUUUAUACCAAAAUCUGGUAUGUUACAUUAUCCACCCCUUAAAAAGAAUUUCGUCCGCGAAAUUUAAACCACGCCUCAAUUUAGCUCCGCGAGCAAUUGAGGGUACCAACUCAUUCCCCCACUCCAAAGCGGCUUCACACUAUCGUUGUUCCAGAAGCGGCUCAUACUGAAAAACGUGGGUUUAAUCCUAAACUCAUUUGCAAAGUGUGAUACAAACGUGCAUCACGGAUCUUGCAAGUCAUAGUGGCAGCGCAAGUCGGUACUCGACGACUCUACGCGCUCCAACACCACUCACCAUUCGGUGCACAAAGAACUCUUCUUUGCACUUACCUUUCCUUCAGGGAAUACAUUCUGAUUCGAUCACCGACAUUGCUUUGGAACAGUAUCACCGAUGCAUCGCUUCGUCAUGAGUGCUCUAAUUUCGCACUGACCCUUAACUUUAACGUGAGAUGGCCUAUCUUAGCACAUCCCCAAUUCCAAUCCUUCAACUUCACGUGGCUUACUACUAGCUCAAGGUCUCACCAAAAGCAUUUCAUUUCUGAUAUCACAUGCCACGGUCAACAUCGAACUAUUUUCGCAACGAGCUCACACGAACGCUUCGUUCGUGAAUUCGAGUCAAACUCCUCGAUAAGGCUAUUUGCCAAAUCGCUUUCUUUGGUCUCCACAGGUGGACCAUAGGCCACCAAUCCUACGUAGGCUUACCGCCUAAACCUGUCUCAAUACGCAACGUCUCUCGCUCGCAAAUGCAGACCCAAUCAUGAUCGGGCGAAAUUCUCACUUGGGAAUUCGCUCACACUCCAACCAGGAGCAACUAAGAUCCCAAACCGUUACAGAUCCCCGGGUUGGGUCACACUCGUACUCUCGGUAUUCUAUCAAUCGCACGACAUGCUCUACCGAGUCACACGUACCACUACCGGCUACUAUACACCUAAUGCGAGUCACAAGCCCUACGAGUGAUCCAUGACACGCUUCACACCUAGCAAUGCUCGAGUGCUACUGCCAACACACUCACUCGGCUGAUCCAUAUCCGCACUCCACGAGUACCUAUACUCGGGCGUCGCACGCUACUAUAGCGUUCCUUACUAAGUCCAGCAUUAGACAACUCUUACCUACGCACGUCGACUUUACGAGCACGACCUUCCUACCUCACGUUGAGGUACUACUAGGCCCACAUGCUAAUACUUGGCCAUUAACCGAUUGUUCCGUCAACAGUGAUUCACUUUCACCAUUCGACCCACCGAAACGACAUCCGAAAUACUCGGACCACUUGGGUGUUCUCAAAUACCACGGCUCAACUCUCGCAAUCUACUAAUUAAGUUGCUCUGAGAGUCGAUUAGCCACCUCUGUCUCUACCGCGAGUUUCACUUCUCGCCAAAGGUCACUACUAGCACUUCGCUAGUGCCUUCUGGCUCUAUACCUAUACUAGCAGGUACUACUCCCUCACAACACGAGCAUGCCCGGGUAUCUAUACUCACCCGUCCACUCGGUCUUCAACCUGGGUCACGUAUCUACGGCCACCCGACGCUUGCUGCGAACCUUUAGGUUGCAUUGUCCUCAACGCCCUCUCUCCCGACCAUGCCGCAGAUGGCACACCUACAGGCCAUCCUAGAGAGAAAUAGGCUGUCGCCAGUGUCAGGCCCCGGCUGUCACCUUACAGACACUCGUCCCGCGCACAGCCCGGUUGCCCACACCUGUAGCACUUGCCCUCUCACAGCUUGCAAUACUAUGGGUAACGAAAACACCCACAAACGACACAUCUCACUAAGGACCGAACACAGUAGGUCCCCGGAACUCAGAAUCACGAGCGCGAACACAUUGCACUCAGUUGAAAACUUGACGGACUACUGAAUCCACUCAUUGGCCGUCCUAUUUUCUUUUUCCUUGCAAAUGGACUCACGCUCCCUUCGCACAAUUGCACUGCCUUGUUCUAUCCACAAGGCCUAAUCCUCAAAGCUCCUCUAAUCCUCCUCUUUAGAAAAGCUCCUGGAGAGUGAGAGAAGAAAGAAUAUGGAGUUGAAGGGGUACUCCUUGCUGUGAACAAGGAAAGAAGGGGUGUGGGGUUUAUACAAACCGCCACAACUACAUUUAAACCCUCCCCCCCCCAACAUUUCUCAUUUGCAGCAGAUCUCAACCUACUGCCAGACCCAUCGUGUACCGGUACACGGGCUUUUGUACCGGUACAAAGCUGUGCAGAAGCAAACCCGAGAGCAUCCUCCUCGAAUUUUACCAAAGGGUACCGGUACAAACCAGGGGUGUACCGGUACACUUCUACAAAAACUCAAACCCUAGAGCAAUGCUUUUCUCAAGCCGCUUGCUGUACCGAUACAACCAUCAACAUGUACCGGUACACUUUCCUCCAGAACGUAGUUUUAGCUUGUUUUCGACUCCAACUCGCACCGAUCGAUGCUAAAACUAUUCUAACUCUUUUAGAGCCCAAUUUUUAUCCCUCCAACAUCGUCAGAAUGUCAAUUGGACUUUAUCCAACUAUUUCUCUCAACGCACUUUGGUCAAUUUGACUAAAGUUUGAUGUUUAUUUACCGAAAUUUCGGUACGUUACAUUCUCCCCUCCUAAAAGGAGUUUUGUUCUUAUUAUCCCGCUCUAUGUCCGGGAUGCAAUUCACGACACGGGAGAAUUCCCGCUCGUAUUCCCUCACGGCGCGGUCUACCUGCCGCAGCUUCGAGAACCUUUCCUGAAGCUUUCUUUUCCNNNNNNNNNNNNNNNNNNNNNNNNNAAUUUGUCACGCCCCGGGGUCCCUUUAGGUUAAAAACACAGCGGAAAAUUUUUUUUUUUUUGCAAACCUGACCCCAGGGUAUGCCAGAUCCGCCACAAAUACAGGGAAUCCACUGUUCACACGGACAGAGUCUCCCCUGUAUUUGCACGGCGUCGCACAAGUACAAGAGUAUAGCCAGGAAACAACCACAACCAAAUGAAUAUAAAGAAUACUAUACAUUCAUACAUUCACCAUUCACAUCACAGUUUUACAUUCAGUGGUUAAAUAGAAAUUCACGAAAAUUCUUUUGAAAACUGUUCCCCACACGGAAACCUUUAAUCUUUAAGAAACGCUACCACGAGGGGUAGAAAACCUUUAGUUCAAGAAAACACAAUCCUUUAUUACAUUCCAAAAUCAACUGAAAACUCAGAUAUUCAAAUUAUAAAACAAAACUGAACCAUGUAAACCGACUAAGCUAUACAUAUCCACAGAAAUAAAAGGGUAAUAGCUAAAUCGAAAUAACCUGGGUCGGAAGCUCUAUCGAUCGCUACACACGUACCUCACGUCUCGUCCCACUACUCAACGCCCACGAUACCUGAAAAAUGGUGGGGGAGGUGAGAACAUGUAAACAUGUCUCCCCUCCCAGUGGGUACCGCAAGCCGAAGAAGGCGAGGAGUACUCACCGGAUCAGGAAGAGAUAACCAACAGUAUGGAUAAGUAAAAUACAAUAGCAACGAUAAUGAACGAGCGAGAUAUAUAUAUAUGAAAACACAACUACCGCUACUGUAAUGUACAACUGCAAGCAUACAAGGAUAUCAAAACUAUAGUAGCAAGAUAACUGUAAAGAAAGAAUUAGAAGUAUAUAUGCAACAACCGCUACUAUAGCUAUAUGCGUCAACCGGACGAGAAGUCCAAAAGUACCGAAUCUGAAACCAAUGCUCUCUUGGUCAGCACCGCAGACCUCAAGCCAAUGCCCUGGAGGUCCGCACCGCAACACCUCCCGACAGUACCACUGCCGAUCUAACAUGCAUAUAACCCCUCUAGGGCUCACGGGUUGUCACCAUUCAACCACUUUUCCGGAAAAGAACACUCCUUGCGGUGGAUCAGACCGCCAGUGUUCGUGAAAUGCAACGAGUAUCGGGCGAUCAAUGCAAUAUGGUCAAUGAUCAACCGUCGGCAACCAGCCGACAAUCCUGCCCCCCAGGGCCUAUCGACCACAUAGGUCAUCACUGUAAAGAAGCACAAGAACCGACCACUCAGGUCAACUAGGAUGGAACAACUCAACACCCUACCAAAAGUAUGUAGAUACUGAUCAAUAGGUCAACUACUAUAUAUAUGCAAGAAUCGAUCAACAAGUCAUCUGAGUAUAUAAUCUAGAACUACCGUCGGCCAUAGCCGACAAUCCUACCCUUCAGGGUACACCGACCUCAAAGGUCAUCGACGAUGGAGUACAAGAACUGACCAACCAGGUCAACAGAUAUAAGAUAAAAGCACCGAUCAACUAGGUCACUGAAACGAAGUACGAGAACCGACCAAUCAGGUCACCGAAACAAAGUACGAGAACCGACCAAUCAGGUCACCGGUAUCACAUAUGGAUAAACUACUCUACUCCUACACAUGAUACUAAGCAUAGAAAUACUCAACAAUAGAAAAAUAUGAUAAGGGAUAAUAGAAAAACCGGGAUGCAGAAGCUCAAUAUGAUACCAUACAGUAAUAGCACACGCAAGAAACAGGGAAUAGAAAGAGACAAUCACCGAGCGUUCGCACGCACUGUACCCUUAGACGUCGGAUCGAAGUACGCAUCACCAUCCACGUUUUCCUGUAAAUAGUACUCGGAUCAGAUCUCUAGACCGACGAAACCGCAGGGAAACAGGAGCAACUCCGGACCUACAAGGGUUCCACAAAUCAGAAAAAGGAUGACCCUAAUGUAGAAAACUAACCAAUAAUUAAAAUCCCCCUCAGAACAAAGGAACAAAGGGAAAUCGGUCGGCUAAAGAACGAUUGCCAAAUCACAACGUCGGGAGAAUGUUGACCCUCGAAUAUCCAGCCGCGCAGGGCUCGCCGUCGGGGUCCAAGUACUUAUCCACCCGGAACUGCCCCCAACUCCAACGUUGGAGUCACCACCGCUGCCCCGACUCUAAUACCUGAAAACUACCCAGCAUUGGCAUGCUAAACACGCCCACACUGAAAGUCGGCCUCGGAACACGACAUUCUGUUGAAAAAUAAACUCUCGAAAGCCGGGUUCCCUAUCGAAACGGGUGUCGUGUUUUUGACACCGAUCCCCCGGAACGAUAUCGGGGGCCUGCCACGCAGUCGCCAUAGGCAUAUACGUUGCGACACCGGAAACAUACCAUGCAUGCAAGAUUGAAAACUAGUUUAUAGACGACUAAUGUCGGCACAGCAGAAGGGCCCUCAGACCUUAAACAGCUUUAAUGUGCACUAGUUUACCUCAAACACUACGAAGAAGAGUCAGCCGUCGUUUCUCUUGUACAUAAGCUUUUCGCCUAUGACACCCUGAAACGACCCGGGUGACCUGCCAGAAGAGGCUUAAGCGACAUCACAAUAUGAGAUUCCGAGNNNNNNNNNNNNNNNNNNNNNNNNNNNNNNNNNNNNNNNNNNNNNNNNNNNNNNNNNNNNNNNNNNNNNNNNNNNNNNNNNNNNNNNNNNNNNNNNNNNNNNNNNNNNNNNNNNNNNNNNNNNNNNNNNNNNNNNNNNNNNNNNNNNNNNNNNNNNNNNNNNNNNNNNNNNNNNNNNNNNNNNNNNNNNNNNNNNNNNNNNNNNNNNNNNNNNNNNNNNNNNNNNNNNNNNNNNNNNNNNNNNNNNNNNNNNNNNNNNNNNNNNNNNNNNNNNNNNNNNNNNNNNNNNNNNNNNNNNNNNNNNNNNNNNNNNNNNNNNNNNNNNNNNNNNNNNNNNNNNNNNNNNNNNNNNNNNNNNNNNNNNNNNNNNNNNNNNNNNNNNNNNNNNNNNNNNNNNNNNNNNNNNNNNNNNNNNNNNNNNNNNNNNNNNNNNNNNNNNNNNNNNNNNNNNNNNNNNNNNNNNNNNNNNNNNNNNNNNNNNNNNNNNNNNNNNNNNNNNNNNNNNNNNNNNNNNNNNNNNNNNNNNNNNNNNNNNNNNNNNNNNNNNNNNNNNNNNNNNNNNNNNNNNNNNNNNNNNNNNNNNNNNNNNNNNNNNNNNNNNNNNNNNNNNNNNNNNNNNNNNNNNNNNNNNNNNNNNNNNNNNNNNNNNNNNNNNNNNNNNNNNNNNNNNNNNNNNNNNNNNNNNNNNNNNNNNNNNNNNNNNNNNNNNNNNNNNNNNNNNNNNNNNNNNNNNNNNNNNNNNNNNNNNNNNNNNNNNNNNNNNNNNNNNNNNNNNNNNNNNNNNNNNNNNNNNNNNNNNNNNNNNNNNNNNNNNNNNNNNNNNNNNNNNNNNNNNNNNNNNNNNNNNNNNNNNNNNNNNNNNNNNNNNNNNNNNNNNNNNNNNNNNNNNNNNNNNNNGCGUGGCGGCGGUCGGAGGAGGUCGGGGCGGCGACGGUACGUCGGCGGAGGUCGAGGAGGAGGUGGUGCGCCCCACUGUGGGCGGCGGCGACGCGCGGAGGCCACUAGGGCUCCGCCUCGGCCCGCACCAGGUCUGGGCGGCUGCAGGAGCCGCGAGCGGCGGCCGGCGGCCUCGGGGACGGCGAGAAUCGCGAGCGGGAGGUCCCCGGAGGUGCCAGGAGGGCGGCGUGGCCAGACCAGAAAGGCGGCAUCGCGAGGGGAGGGAGGUUCCACAGCCUCGGCCAGAUCUGCUCAGAUCUGGCCGCAACUUGCCGUGGCGGCGGCGGCGGCUCGGGGCGGCAGGAACGGCGCCGGGGGGGGAGAUUCUGCCAGAGGGUGGUGGUGCUCGGGCUCACAGGCUUCCCCGAGCACAGCAGCCAACAAGAUGCAAGUUGGGGCCCGGAGGAAAAUCGAGAGGAGGUCGGGGUGGUUCUUCCGGCGGCCGGACGAGCUCGCCGGCGGCCGGGACGCGCGCACAAGUUGGGCGGGGACUAGCUGAGGUCGGCUAGGGCUAGGUAGGGAACACGGUUGCCGGGUCUAGGGUUCCUCAUGGAUGAAACCCUAGGAAACAAUAUAAACAACGGCCACUUUGCACCAAAGUCCUCCGAAACAGAAAAUUUCCAACGGAGACCUUCACAGCGCGAGUAAAUCGCGUGUACGCACCACCACGUUCGACCUCGUGCGAUUCGGUACAUCAAAUAUGGGGACUUUUGCGAAGAUACUGUUUUCCCUACACCGACCUCUUCUCGAUCAACGCGCAAUCUCCGCAGAUCCGUCCGUCAGAUUUGCGAACGGAUUGCACCAGUGCAAUCAGCACCUCGGAGACAACAAAGCUACACUUUCGUUUCAUCUCGAUCGACCACGGAUUCACGACAAAAUCCAACCUUCUUCCAAAAGAAGGAAUCACAUNCACGAAGCACCGUCGGAAUAAUUCCGAACCGAACCCGCGUUCCGUCGGCGGAUUUCGCCGAAAAACGCACCGGAAAUGCAUUUCCGAUCUUCGCAAGGGUCUGGGGCCUUGGACAAUCAGUCCAGAGGUUAUCCUCAACCCACACUUGCUGCCAACAGCAGCUAUGACGAACCAAAAUGCAUAAAAGCCCUCCAGAAUACCUGAAAUCGCAUUAUUUCAUGCGAUUUCGGCGCUUUUAUGGUCCGACAGCGCAAACCCGAGGUCAAACAGCCAAGACGAGACUUCUGCUGACUGGUCUCGGCGUGCCGGAGGCCGUGCUCACCUUUCGGAGCACUGCCGGCCACUGUGGCACGCGCACAGGCGACGCAAAAUUAGAGAAACAGCGCGCACAGGAGGAAAAGCAUGCCUAUCUCGCUAACCAGGGGUUCGUCGACCCUAAGUGAGGUGAACACUGUGAUCAGGACUGACUGACGAUCACCGUGCUCACCUCCGGAGGCAUCGGAACAGCCUCGGGUCGCCGGAACAGUGAGAAGAACAGAAAACACUGCGCAGAAAGGCUGAAAUCCAGCUUACAGAGCUAGGCAGGGCACGGGGUGGCCGGCGGCGGCCGGACGGCGGGCAGGCCGGCCAGGGGUUGGUGCGGCAGGUCCGAGGUGGCCAGGACUGGCGUCAGCAGGCGACGGGAGGCGACGGCGACGACGGCCAAUGAUGCCCUAGGCACCCAAACCCGAAGAGAACACGGCUCGCUUCGGCCGACGGGGAGCUUCGGCGGCGCAAGCGACGACGGCGGACGAGUGCGCCCGACCAGCCGGGACCCGUGCUCACGCCGUUCGGCGGCGGAACGCGGCUGCGGCGGUGCUGGACCAAACCGAGCCCGCGCGGGUUCACCAUGGCUCCAAAGGUAGCGGCAACCAUGGCGGCGGCCGGAGGAAGGUCGGGGAGACGGCGGCACGUCGCCGGAGGUCGAGGAAGGUCGGCGCGCCAUGCUGCGGGUGGCGGUGACGCGCCUAAACCGAGGUCACCCAAACUCGGCCUGGGCGCAUGCAGGUGGCCGCAGAGAGCUGGGGCGGCUCCGGCGGCGUGUGCUGACGGUGGGGCCGGCGGCGGAGGAGGUCGGGCAGCGACGGUACGUCGGCGGAGGUCGAGGAGGAGGUGGUGCGCCCCACUGUGGGCGGCGGCGACGCGCGGAGGCCACUAGGGCUCCGCCUCGGCCCGCACCAGGUCUGGGCGGCCGCAGGAGCCGCGAGCGACGGCCGGCGGCCUCGGGGACGGCGAGGAUCGCGUGCGGGAGGUCCCCGGAGGUGCCAGGAGGGCGGCGCGGCCAGACCAGAAAGGCGGCAUCGCGAGGGGAGGGAGGUUCCACAGCCUCGGCCAGAUCUGCUCAGAUCUGGCCGCAACUUGCCGUGGCGGCGGCGGCGGCUCGGGGCGGCAGGAACGGCGCCGGGGGGGGAGAUUCUGCCAGAGGGUGGUGGUGCUCGGGCUCACAGGCUUCCCCGAGCACAGCAGCCAACAAGAUGCAAGUUGGGGCCCGGAGGAAAAUCGAGAGGAGGUCGGGGUGGUUCUUCCGGCGGCCGGACGAGCUUAGCCGGCGGACCGGACGCGCCACAAUUUGGAGCUCGGAUGGACAUCAGCUGCAGGUCUGACUCAGCGCUAGGUAGGGAAAACACGGUUGCCGGGUCUAGGAUCCUCAUGGAUGAAGCUCCCUAAGGAAACAAUAUAAACAACGCCACUUUGCAACCAAAUCCCCGAAACAGAAAUUUCCAACGGAGACCUCACAUCGCGCGAGUAACAAUCGCUGUACGACACCACACGUUCGACCUCGUGCGAGUUCGGUACAUCAAAAUAUGGGACAUCUUUUUGCGAAGAUUACUGUUUUCCCUACACCGGACCUCUUCUCCGAUCAACGCGCAAUCUCCGCAGAUCCGUCCGUCAGAUUUGCGAACGGAUUGCACCAGUGCAAUCAGCACCUCGGAGACAACAAAGCUACACUUUCGUUUCAUCUCGAUCGACCACGGAUUCACGACAAAAUCCAACCUUCUUCCAAAAGAAGGAAUCACAUACACAAAUACAUAUAAAACAUGUAUUUUUGGAUUUUCUCGAAAUCCGUGUGUCAAACUCAAAAUCCGACAGUGCCACUAGUUCCAGAACUGCUGAACCGGUCGAAACGAGCUAUUGGACUGAUAUGAACAGAGUCCGAUACGCACCAGAAGCCAACUCUACUCCGUGGCUUCUCCGAAAAACCGGAGUUACUAUUCACUUAAGUGAAAACUAAAAAUCGCGUAUCUUCUCCGUUUUAGCUCAGUUUCUCCUGAAACUUGACGAGUGCUUAUAUAAUUAAAUUACACACAUAAACAUCAUUAACAGAGAGUUUAGUAGCACUGUCAAAAAUCUCAGUCCUUACAAGUUGGUUAGAAUAGAGCAUGAUAGUGUAGGGACAUGUAGCUGUAGAUUGUCUUCCAGCUUUCCUACUAUCUUUACUUCCUUCUGUAGACUUAAUGGGUGGACCGACGAUGUUGAGGGCGGCAUCCAUUGAGGACUACUUGUUUUACAGUAGUUCUCACGCCCUGUUGUUACCCUUCUUUUGCAGAGCCAUCGGUUCCGGCUGCUGCAUCUUCUGAGGCCGAUCGUGGCAAAGGCGUUGCGAGCUAUAGCCCUACCCGACGAGUUGCUGAGAUAGAGGAUCCCUACUGCAGGUAGAUUUACUUUUGUUCGAGUUCAUGUACAUACAGAUGUUAUAACUCGCUGGGGCGAGCCCUUUUUGUAUCUGGAUAUUAUGUAUGUAUAUGGAACUCGCUUUUGUUUUACUUGUUCUUUUCUUUCUAGCAGUUCUAUACUACUGGUUGUAGUGUUGUUUGAUUACGGUUUCAGUACAGCUUCGCUUCGUAUACAGGGAAAACUCCUUCGUAUACGGCGGGUCUGUUGGCGUGCCCGGAGAAACGUGUAAUCUGGGGCGUGACACUUUUAGGUUGAGUGGAUAAUUCAAAAUAUGAAACUAAAUUUUGAUUUAUUCAAAUUCAAACUUAAAAUUACAAUUUAAAUUUUAAUUUGAAAUUUAAUUUAAGUUUGAAAUAAAAUUUGAAUAAAACUUUAUACCAAAUUAAAAUUUAAUUUAAAUUCAAAUUCAUAAGUUAGAUUCGAAAUACUUGAUUAAAUUUUAAUUUUUAAUUUAAGUUCAAAUUAAAAUUUAAAAUUAUAUAUUUAAUUUUUAAAUUUUAACUCAUAUUUUAAUUAAAAAAGUUGAAAAAAUAAAUUUAAUCUGAAUAAAUAUCCAUUCCGUCCAGAUUCAACUUCCAAUCCGGCCUUCUAGGCCGGAUUGAAAAAAGAAGUGAUUGGGGGAUUCCCAUUCCACUCGGGAAUCGGAAUGGGAAUGGAACUCCUGCAUACCAAACACCCACAAACGUAUUCACCCAUUCCGAUUCCGAUUCCAAGGUGAAAAAGAAGCGAACCAAACACACCUACAGUGUCUGUAAAUUUUUGCCCUGCUGACUGUAUGGUUUUGAGUAAAAAGACCAUGACUACAAAAUGUAGUAUCAUUGUGAAUAUGCAUUUAUUUAGAUUCAUUACUUCUUUUUUAUCUUUAGUCUGUGUUUGGUUCGGAUAUAAGUAAGAACUGUUUGUUCUAGUAAUAAGUACAAGUUCAGGUAUAAACAUGAACUAAGCCAACUUUGUGUUUGGAUGAAAGUUUGGUUGUUCUUAGGAAUAAGAUAAAUAGUAUUUGGAUGGUUAGAUUGGAAUAAGAGGAAUAAGAGUUAUAAUUUGAACUUAAAAUUAUAUUAUCUAAUUAAUUAACAUCAAAAUAUUACUUAAAAAUAAAUAAUAACUAAAUUAUUAAUAAUUAAUAAUANUCGAUAUCUACUUGUUUUUUUAUGUUCAGGGAUAUGGACAGAAGUGAAGACAUGAAAUCCCAGCUCAUCACAAGUUCAUAAAUCCCCCACAUUCAACAUUUAAAUCAUUUUUUGAUCCACUUAUUCUCUCUCUCUCUCUCUCUCUCUCUCUCUCUCUCUUAAUGGGUCUGUUUCCUGUGUCACCAACUAAUCUCUAUUGAAGUUUCCCAAGGGAAAAUCCUGAUCCACUUGAUUUCACAGAGGGAGUAUCCUUCAAUAGGAAAUUUUCUUAUCCUAUAAUCAUAGAAAUUUAAAUAACACAACAAGAAUUAAAGUGUUCAUUAGUACAGACCUGCUAUUAUUCAAAUUAGUAAAUAAUUUUUUCAAUAAAGUUCAAAAGAUUUGAUAAAGAUACAUAAUAAAUCAUUAAAAUAUUUUAUUGUUAAAAAAAAUAAAUAUUUCACGCCAUUUUGUGCCGGCAUACAUGUAUUUUUUAUAACCGGCACGUAUCGACACUGUCCGACACGCACCGUACCGGCAAGUUUCCAGCACGACUCCGUGCAACGACACUUAAAUCAAUGUAAUAGACUAUCAGAAAUGAAAAUUUCUUAUUCUAUGAAAUAUAUUUUUAGAUAACAGGCUAUAGGAAAUGAUACAGUUAGCAGUACAUUUUUUGUUUAAUUUUGAUAUUCAGAAUUUUUCUGCACACGCUCUUCGACUCACUAUCCAUCAAAUGAAAAGAUCAAAUAACCACCUUCUCUUUUUUUGGCUGACAGUUGAAUCACCGCAAUUGGUGGAGAUUGGUCUUCCAUUUUAGAUGGAUGUCAAGAUCAGGAGUGUACAGAAAAAAAUGCACGUAAGGUUGCAGGAGAUCUAUGCCUGAUUCGAUCAUCCUCAUUCUAUGAAGUUUUGAAAUCGACUCCCAACUGAAUAACUUUUAAGAGAUUAGCAGAGAUGUGAGCCAGGAGGAUCUCAAGACCAAGCAGAAAAACACCAGACACAGAACUGCAGGAAAUCUAUGGCCGGAUUGAUCCCCACGGUAAUAUGAAAGCAACAUAAGUUGGAAAUUCAAAAAUAAAUAUGAGGAGACCAUAUCAUUUGCAUAUAUAAAACAACAGUCUCCACUAUAACAGCAUUGGAACAAUUGCUACAAGUUCAGAGAUUUCAAGGUUAACAAGUUUCUACUUGCGAAAAAAGAGGGGGGAAAGUACUAAACACCCAGGAAGAUCAAUAUAAGGGAUUAAGGCAUGGACAUCUUUAUGGUACAAAGAACAAUUACCAAUCAAAGAAGAGAAAUGGUUCAAUCAUCACAGAUUUUGAAAAAAGGGGGAAAAACUUAACAAAAUAAACACCUUUAAUACAAGGAAGGAAACACGAUAAAGCGACUAUAAAGGUAUAGGAGUUAAGCAUGUUAGCAAAGCAGCAGAGAGCUUACUCCCCUCCUGUUAGAGCGGAGCUAAGCCAAUCUGAAGCUGAGGAUUGGAUCUCAGAUUCCACAUACAAUUGCAGAUGUAUAGGAGUGACAGAUAUCUGCAUAUUAUUGAACAGACAAUUAUUCAGAUUUUCAAGGGAGAGAGAGAGAGAGAGAGAGAGAGAGAGAGAGAGAGAGAGAGAGAGAGAGAGAGAGAGAGAGAGAGAGAAUUAAAGAGGGUUAUAAUCUGUUCUAUUACAUUCUAGUUUUUUUUUUCUUUUGCUAAUAGCAUAAAUUUUGAGAGAAAAAAACUUAAUUUAAUAGCCGAAUUUUUAAUUGAUGAACGUAUAAUAUAAUAUGCGUAUAAAUUAUGUAUCCAAAUAAUUGGCGCAUCUAUGUUUUAGCCGCAUUUUUCAACGAAUUUAAAAAUUAGAAGGCAAAUUUUAUCCGAAUUAUAUCCAUACCGAAUUUUUGCCGAAUCCGAAUUAACUAACUAUGGUGCCGGCAAUAGCGAAGAAGGGAAGAGAAGAGAGAGAAAACUCCUUCUCUCUCCUAAUUAUUAAUAAUAAUAAUCCAUACGUAUACAUGAUUUCUCAUAAAUUUUUACCAUGUGACAGCACUAUAGUCUCUCAUUUUCAAAAUUUCUAUUCUUCAAUCACAACGACCGCUCGCCUUCCUCGCAACAUCUACCUCUUUGACUUUCCGUCUCAUUAAUUCGUUCCUUGUAACGUCUGCCUCUUUGGCUUCCCAUCUCAUUAAUUCCUUCCCCGUAACAUCUGCCUCUUCAGCUUUCCGUCUCAUUAAUUCCUUCUCUGUAACGUCGCUGCUUCCACUUUCUGUCUCAUUAGUUUCUAUUUUCUAAGAGGCGUUGACUGAGAAGCCCGUGGGCACGGCAUACUGCGUCCUCGACAACGACCUCGCCUACUACGUCCGCUCCAACCUCAAGCCCCGCAGGCGCCGCCCUCGCUCUCGCCAUCAAUGUUGGGUGAAUCGAUAACCCUAGCCCCCAACCCUUCUCCCACGAUCUCGAUCACUUAAAUUUGUAAUGUAUAGUUAUGCAAAAGGAUGCGUAUCCUUCUCCUCUAAUAGCCUCAGAGGACGAAAAGUAUCGGCUAAAAUAUAGACUUGCCGAAAAGGGGUUGAAGGUACAAUAAUACUUCAUGAAAUCAUUCAGUGUUAGUAAAAAAAUACCCUAAAUGAGGAUAUAAAGGGAUUCAAUUUCUAUGUAACAAUUUUUUUUUCUCCUAUAGUUUUUUUUAUCUUUUGUUGUUUUUCAUUGAAUUAUAAUUCUAUUCUAAAUUUUAAAGUAUUGUUUAUAUUAUAAAAUUUAAUCAAAUAUAAUUAUAUUCGCUGUAUCGUACGGAUUUCUACACUAGUAAUAAUAAUAAAAAAAUAUUUUUUAUAAUUAUUUUGGCUAACUUAGUUUAGAAAAUAUAAAUAUAUGAACCCCUCUUCUCUGCCGACGUUUGCCCUCUCCUCAGCCGCCGGCCUAGGGACGCCACCAAGGUCUUUUUCUAGUGUUGAAGGGCGGGGAAGGGGGCGGCGGCAUCCUUUCUUCUCCGAACCUUGCUUUUUUUUUUAAAAUUAAAGUUGUCCAUAUAAAACAUCAAAACAUAAAAAUUAAAUUAUGUUCUAAUAAAUAUAAAAAAAUAAAAAUUAUAGAAAGGUUCAUCCUUGUCACGCCCCGGGGUCCCUUUAGGUUAAAAACACAGCGGGAAUUUUUUUUUUUUUUUUUUUGCAAAUCUGACCCCAGGGUAUGCCAGAUCCGCCACAAAUACAGGGAAUCCACUGUUCACACGGACAAAGUCUCCCCUGUAUUUGCACGGCGUCGCACAAGUACAAGAGUAUAGCCAGGAAACAACCACAACCAAAUGAAUAUAAAGAUAGCUAUACAUUCAUACAUUCACCAUUCACAUCACAGUUUUACAUUCGGUGUUUAAAUAGAAAUUCACGAAAAUUCUUUUGAAAACUGUUCCCUACACGGAAACCUUUAUUCGUUAAAAACGCUACCACGAGGGGUAGAAAACCUUUUAUUUUACAAAAUCCAGAAAUCCACAUUUUCAAAUGUAAAUAAACACUGAACCACAUAAACCAACUAAACUAUUCAUCAGCCAAAAUAAGAAGGGUAAGAAAGUAAACCGAAUUAACCCGGGUCGAAAGCUCUAUCGACCGCUACACGCGUACCUCACGUCUCGUCCCACUACUCAUCGCCCACGAUACCUGAAAAAUGGUGGGGGAGGUGAGAACAUGUAAACAUGUCUCCCCUCCCAGUGGGUACCGCAAGCCGAAGAAGGCGAGGAGUACUCACCGGAUCAGGAAGAGAUAACCAACAGUAUGGGUAAGUAAAAUACAGUAGCAACGAUAAUGAACGAAUGAGAUAUAUAUAUAUAUAUAUAUAUAUAUGAAAACACGACUACCGCUACUGUAAUGUACAACUGCAAGCAUACAAGGAUAUCAAAACUAUAGUAGCAAGACUACUGUAAAGAAAGAACUAGAAGUACAUAUGCAACAACCGCUACUACAGCUAUAUGCGUCAACCGGACGAGAAGUCCAAAAGUACCCAAUCUAAACCGCCGUGUCGGUCUAAGGACCUCAGGCAAAAGCCACUAUCUGCUCACACCUGGCAUGUAACCCUAGCACAAAGAGAACACCGCUGGGCUCACGGGUCGGAUGUACGACCACUUUUCCGGAAAAGAACACCCUCCUGCGGGGGAUCAACCCGCUGGUGUACGUGAAAUGCACUCGAGCUGUGCCGAUCAAUGCGGAUAUGAUCAAUAGCCAACCGUCGGCAAUCAGCCGACAAGCACUGCCCCUCUGGGCAUACCGACCGUGUAGGUCAUCAAGUAACAACGUGAACCGACCGAGAUAGGUCCAUGUACGGAAAGUAACGAACGACCAAACAGGUCACCGAUGCAAAUAGGAGAACCGACCAACCAGGUCACAAGUAUAGUAUAUACGAAUGCCGUCUACUCUACCCCUAUACAGGAUACUACACAUAGAACAACUAGGCAGAGUAAAUAAAGAUAGUAUGAAGAUACUGCUCGAUGUCAACUAAAAGUACGAACGCAAGAACCGACCGCUAGGUCACAGGAGUGUAUUCGAUAUAAUCCAGAACUACCGUCAGCACCAGCCGACAAUCCUACCCCUCAGGGUACACCGACCUCAAAGGUCAUCGAACGACAGAAGUCAAGAAAUAGACCAACCCACUACAUAAUGCAACAACCGACCAACCAGGUCAACAGAUAUAAGAUAAAAGCACCGAUCAGCUAGGUCACCGAUAUCACAUAUGGAUAAACUACUCUACUCCUACACAUGAUACUAGGCAUAGAAACAUAUGAGUAGAGUAUAAUAGAAACAACGGGGAUGCAAGCUCAGUAUAUAAUACGAAAAUAGUAACAGAAGAACAGGGAUAGAAGAAAUAUCACCGAGCGUGCACCACUGUACCGACUUCGGAUCGAAGUACCCACCUGUACAACUGUCGCGCCUGUCUCCUGACUGCAAAAGAACGUCAACCGGACCUAAAGAGGGUCCACUGGGUUAGUGUCUAACCCACAGCUAAGAAACCCUAAAAGCAUAACCCACAAACAAUCCCCCGGAGAUCGGUUUCCCAAUACCGAUUACCGUAACUCGCCGGAAGUCCCGAGAAUCGCACCGGGACUCCGCCGGGACCCACUAACUAUCCCGGAAGGCACCGACUCAUGCCACGAGUCAUUCGCUGCCACUAAACACUUAUUUUAGUGUGACAAGGCAGCAAACACAAGGAUACACAACCAAACAACUAUUGGUGGAUAAUUGUUGGGAUCCGGGUUCCCGGAAGUGUCUAUUUCGACACCGGAACCCACCGUCACUCACCCGCCAUUUCUGAACUCUCGAAAUGAUACGAGUGACCAGCCAAUAAGGCUCAGCGACCACACAAUAGCUCACGAAGCACCGUCGGAAUAAUUCCGAACCAAAACCGCGUUCCGUCGACGGAUUUUGCCGACAAACGCACCGGAAAUACAUUUUCGAUCUUCGCAAAGGUCCGGGGCCUUGGACCAUCAGUCCAGAGGUCACCCACAGCUCACCCAUGCUGCCAACAGUAGCUACGACAAAUCAAAUUGCAUAAAAGCCCUCCCGAUUACCCGAAAUCGCAUUAUUUCAUGCGAUUUCGGCGCUUUUAUGGUCCGUCUACACAAACCAGGAGUCAUGCAGCCAAACCGAGACACCUACUGACAGGUCUUGACGUGCCGGAGGCCGUGCUCACCUUUCGGAGCAAUUCCGACCACUGUGGAGGGCGCGCGCAUGAAGCGAACUUCAGCUAAACAGCGCGCAUGGUAUCUAAAUCGCGUCUAACACGCAAACCGGGGAACCGUUGACCCCGAUGGAGGUGAGAAUGAUGCUCAGCACGGAGUAACGAUGUUCGUGCUCACUUCCACUGUCAUCGGGGUACCUUCAGAUCGCCCGAAAGGUGACCGGAACCCUAAACUACAGUGCUGGAACCUAAAACAGUAGCAUACCGGAGCUAGGCAGGGCUCGGGGUGGUCGGCGGCGGCCGGACAGCGGCCAGGCCGGCCAGGGGAAGGUGCUCCAGGUCAGAGGAGGCCGGGGCUCACAUUAACAGGCGACGGGAGGCGGGGGCGACGGCGGGCAUUGAUGCCCUAGCCACCUAACCCGAGGAGAGAACGGCCCAGAACCGGCCAACAGAGAGCUCCGGCAACAGCGAGGCCGGCGGCGGACGGGUGUGGCCGGCCAGGCGGAGCCGAUGCUCACACCGGCCGGCGGCGGAAGGCGGCGACGGCGGUGCUGGGCGUGGCUCAGCCUGCACAGUCCAUGCGCGGCCGCAGGGAGAGGGAGCGGCGGCCGAAGGCCACGGAGACGGCUGGGGGGAGCUCCGGGCGACGGCGAGCGGUCGUCGGAGGCCGGCGGGAGGCGGCCUGGCUGAUCCUAGACAGCGGCGACGCGGGGGAGAGAGAUCUGGCCAACCACGGCCAGAUCUCGCUCGGGCUGGCCGCAAACAGUAGGAGCGGCGGCGGCGGCCACGCUGGCCGGACGCAGAGGUGCCGGCGGUCACGAGGGAGAUCGCCUAUGAGGUCCCAGGCGGCGGCGAUCCCAGGAGGCAGAGGUCGCGCCGGCUCGGCCCGCUCUGGGUCUGGGCGACUUCAGCGCGUCCUGGCGGCGCCGGCGACGCGCGUGGACGGCGGGGCCGGCGGGUAUGUCGUCGGAAGGGAAGCCUCGGCCGGAGAACUCUGGUUCGACGCAAAAGGAUGCUUUCCUGGGAUUCACGGCCUAAGAAGCAGAACCCGAAGGAGAGGAGAACACUAAAAGGCCUACUCCGGUGGCCGGAAGUGCUCGCCGGCGGCCAGAGUGCGAGCGGCUAGGAAGGGGAAGGUUUCAGAGGAUGCAAAGAGGUCGGCUGAGGGAGAAGAUGAAUCAAAGUUAGGGUUUUCCCCACGAAACCCUAGUGCAACUGCUAAUUACAAAUGCACAAUUGCAAGAUAGUCCUCCCAGGGAUGAAAUUGUCAGUCAAGUCCCUCACAUCAUGCGUAUUUUACACAUACGCACCUCCAUGUCCGAUCUCACGCAAUUCGGCACAUAAAAUAUAACGACUUUUGUGAAUUUCCCGAUUUCCACUCACGACCCCUUAGCGAACAACAUGCAAUAUCCGGCAAUCCGUUCUUCGGAUUUCCGAACGGAUCGCACCAUCGCGUUCAGCACAACGAGGGCAUCCAAACUACCAUCUUGUUUCGUCAGAUCUGGUCACGGAUUCGCGACGGAACCCACCCGCUCUCUAAUUAGUCCGUAUAUCGCGCAUAUACCGAAGUAUAAACCCUAAAACCUAUAAUCCAAAUUCAAAUUUGAAUUCCCUACCACCAGUAGGUACCAGAAACAACUCUCACCUAAUCCCAGGUCACGAGCACAGAGCACGAGGAGUUUUAAAAUGCACGAAUAGCAAAGAACGGAAACCCUCUUUUUGUUAAAUAUCGUAGUACUACCACUAUGAACAUUUUCAUAGUAUCGAGUUGAGAUAUAAAUAUAUAUAUAUAUAUCUCAACCUGACCUGAUGAUAAUCAUCGUUUUACGAUAGUCCAAAAAUCGGGAAUCUAGUUAAGAAAAAUAAUAAAAAUUGGUAACCUAAUUUAUGAUAUUGGGUCACCUCCGGUGAGUUGAGAUCCCCCUGGUAAAUUGAGAUUCACUGAUAAUAGUAGGAUUAGGAUGUUAAAAAGUAGGUUCCCAAUUUUUGAACUAUUAUUUUACUCACAAAAUGAUAAUUAUCAUAAAGUCUGAUUAAAAUAUAUAUAUAUAUAUAUAUAUAUAUAUAUAUAUUUCAACACGAUCUUAUGAUAGCCAUCAUUUGCUCGGCAAAAUGAUGGCUAAAUAAAAGCUACUAUCACGAAGGUUUAACUACUAGCCGAGGCAAUUUAUACUAGAUUUGGUAAAUUUGAUAAAUUUUCAGUUUAAAGUGUGUGAAAGCUAUAACUGUUACUUAUGAGAAAUUUUUUACUACUAUCCUCAGAACAUUAGUUCUAGUUCUUAUAUCUAGAACAAAAUUUAUCAAAUUUUUUAAAAGAUUGUCUUUAAGUUAACUAAACCUAUAGAAAUGCGGCAAUUUGCUCUUUUGCGGAGAAUAGCUGGUAAUUUUAAUGUUUAAAACUUUGGGAAACUAGUAAUCCGUUUACUACAGCUUUUCUAAACUUUAAACUAAAGAUUUGUGAAGUUCACCAUAUCUAGUAUAAGUUGCCUCGGCUAGCAGUUAAACUUUCGAGAUAGUAGCUUUUGUUUAGCUAUCAUUUUGCCGAGCAAAUGAUGGCUAUCAUAAGAUCUCAUAUCAUCGGGAUCGGAGAGAGAGAGAGAGAGAGAGAGAGAGAGAGAGAGAGAGAGAUAUAUAUAUAUAUAUAUAUAUAUAUAAGAUGAAUAAAUUGAAACCUAGCCCGGAUCUAUAAAUUCAAUUAUUAUAUAGGUAGCUUAAAUAAGCCUAAAUAAACUUGCCUAGAUCUAUCACUAAUAGAUAUAUGAGAAGCGAAUUCUGGCUUAUACAUAGCCUAAAUUUAGUCUCAUACCUAUGUGGAUCAGAUUAUUUUAAGCAAGUUGUAUUUCUAACUUCGUCAUUUGUAGAUCCUUAUUUUUUUAUUUUUUCUCAUUUAUCUAAUCCUAAAAAUGACCUUACUUUUAUGUGUUAUUCAGGAGAAUUUUAAUUAGAGAGUUGAAAUUUAAAAAAUAACUGAUAACCUAUAAGGCGGCCCAGAACCAGGACCCAGGCAUAUACAUUUGAAAAAGCUUAGGAUAGGUAAUUUUACAGUCCAACUUUAGCCCAGGUUUAGCCCAUACUCAUAUUAUAUAGGUUUAGGUAUAGGCUUUGAAAUUACCUAUUAUAAAAUGGGUAUAGGAUAGAUAAAAAAUAGUUCACGCCAAGCCUAGGUCCAUCCCAGACCCAUCCCAGGCCCAUACCCUAUAGUCCAUAAAACUUGGUGAAAUCCAGGUUGAAUACGAUGUCGUAGUAUUAGAAAGUAACCGUUUCUUUCGUGAUGUUAACCGACGAUUAUUGCGGUAGAAAGCGGUAAGGAGCUUACCAACUACUUGAAGGUGGAGUGUCUUAGAUUGUGUUGGUAACGUUACGGAAGUGGGAAAGACAAAUCAAAUUUAGGUGUGCUUUUCCAAAAAUUUGUUUAUUCUUUUUCUAGUAUGUUUCACCUUCAAAGUCUUACCACUAAGAUAAAUAAAUUUUCACGUUGUUGUACUCACUAUUAAUGAUUUAUGUACUACCAUAGAAAUUUUACCGUGUUCACGCGGAUGAUCUUAUUGUAGUUCUAGUAAACUUUAAGCUGCGGCCUCGAAGAGAUAUUCCUUGUUUAAAAACAAACUAUUAUUACUAUGAAGUGUAAUGGAGUCUUGUCAAUAAACCGGGAUGUCCGAGAGAGUCUGUUACGCUAUAGCGGCGCUGUCGUCGAAGUUAACUACUUAGGAGAGGGACAGGGUUGUUACCUCUCUCUUAAAAAGAAAUUUUUUCUUUUUGUGUUGAUUUAAGUCUUUGAAUCAACACGACACCUACUAUUUUGGAAAAGAAAGGUCAUCUUGUACAAGGGCAUGAAGGGGCGCUCCGCUGAGGUUUUUGAAGCUCCGUGCAGGUUUAGCUGGCUGCGUGGUUACAAUUUUAAAUAAUACAACGGACGCUUUUCACAGUCAUAGUCGUGUAGUAGUCUCUAGAGUUCCUCCUCCUCUUAAGGGUUUGAAGCUUCUGCUAAAUAUAGAGAAUGGCUUUCAACCUAGUCGCUGUUUGUGUUAACAAGAUAGUAGUUGAACGGUUUUCAGAAAUUAUCGAUUGGGACUCGUCCCCCUCUUCCUUUGUUUCAUUUCGUAGUUACCUCCCCUUUCAUUGUCGCGCCGUUUUGUUUAUUCUUCAAAACAAUGGAGAAAGCAGCCGCGUGGUAUUUACAAUCAAUCACUUAGUCUAGUCAUUCACCUCCUCUUGAUUUGAAUGCUAUGCUAAAUACAAAUUAGAAAAAAUCAUAAACUUUUGAAUGGACCACAUAGUCCUAUCAAAACACGUUCUUAAGAAUCAAAUUUAGGUCAUAGGAAGAGGUCUAGAUGAUAGAGAACUGUGUCUGCGAAAAGGACAAAUAUGUUUUUUGUCUUUUUAGUUACUUUAUUUUACAUGUUAUUAUUAGAUGUUGGGACAUUAUUGAUGACUUCGUGUGUUAGUAAAGCUGUACAACCCAGAGAGAUAUAUAAACUAUUUGAUUUUGUACUCCUUACAUGUUGUUUUCUUCGUAUAAAAGGUGCUUGUAAGGCAGCUUUGAGUCGUAAGAUACAAAAGUCGUAGGUAAGUUGACAUUUUAGCUAGACGGGGUUGUGUGGCUAGCAGCCCUCAAUAUAAGCGCUACAAAGUAUACAAAGUCUAGUAUAUUAAUUGUGAAUAAGAUGGCUUAACACAUCACAUUUAGCCAUUUGACUACUCUUAUUAAGUGUGGACUGGACGUCUCUCUUUGGGCGGUUGUAGUUACUGUCCUCACUUAAGGAAUCCUUCGUUAAGACCAAACAAUUGGGGUUGGAAGCGUAGUUGACGCCGUUGUGGAUGUUGUGGAGAUGAAGUACAGUCUUCUUCCUGUUAUGUAAUUAUUAUACGGACGAAGACGAAAGCUUCGAGUUUUAGAGCAAAACGAAGGGCGGCGUCGUCGUCUUCGACGUCUUAAAAGAAAAAGUGGUUGUGAGAUAUUCUCGACGACGACGACGACGACGACGACGACUUCCGUCUUAGGUUUCCUCCUGGUUUGUCCAUGGGUUUGGUACGAAAGUUCAAAGUUAAGGUAAUCUUUUUUUUUUUUUUUUUUCCUUAAUUAGGUCGAAUUUUGUAUUUAAUAAUCCUCUGGAAAGAAAAAUUGUUAUUGGGAAUUUUUUAAUAUUAAACGGUUCAUUAGAAACGUUUUUUAAUAAACCGUUUGGUUGAGAUGAUACAGGUUGAGUCCCGGUACCACCUCCUUCUAUAUUUUCUGUCAUUUAGCAAGUGGCAGAAAUGACUUUUGUCACUUAGUAAGUGAUAGAAAUCUUCCUUUACGCCACUGAAUAAGUGGCAAAAACUUUAUUUUUCUCUUUUUACUACUUAGUAAGCAACAAAAAAAUUUUAGGUUUGUACCAUUUGCUAAGUAACAAAAGGAUUUAAAGAUGUGGGUUACACCGUAACAGCACCGCUUUUAUUCUGAUAAAUCUAAGUAUUUAAAAACAACACUAAUAAACUGGUUUAGAUUUUAAAAAUUCCAGUAAAAAUUUUUUUCAGGAAUAACCCGACGUGGGUUUAGUAAUUUUAAGGCAGUCAUAUUAAAGACUUUGUUUGUAUUUUAAGAAGAUCCGAUUUUAUGUCUUUGGAGGAACUUUGACGGGCGAAAAAAUGAAAAGAGAAGCUUGAAAGUUUUAGAUGUAAAGCGAGGAAAUUUUAAAGUCUUUGUAAAAGUCUCCCAAUGUCAUAAUUACCUUUUUCAUUUUGCUGAUUUAAUGGGAAUGAAUAAAAUAUUUUUUUUUAUUAAAAAAUUAUAUAAAGACAGUACAAAAUUUUUUAUAAAAUUUAUAUUUAUUAUUUUUUAUCUGCUUUAUUAUUGUAUUGGGGUUUCCUUUUCCAAUUUACGUAGUUAAAUUUUAUAACUGCUACGUUUUAUAUUUAAAAACUUUCAGGCUCCUCCUUUUAUCUUUUUUUUAUUAUUAUUAAUGUGUUUCUAAAAAAAUAUAAAAUCGAUAGAAAGAUAAGAUGAAAAAGCGGCAUACAUUGUGUGAGAGAGACAUUUAGGGUUUUGUUUCGAAGCCUUAUCUCACGCAUUAGUUGUUUAUAAUGGGCUCUCUCUUUAGGGCUCCCGCUCUCGGGGUGUCUAGCGCUCUAAGUUGCUAAACCGGGGCUCAAACAGCGGGGUAAAGAACUUUAACCCACGGCCCGAUCCCAAAAAGGGAAAGGGGCACCCUAAAUUUAAGUUUAAUAGGGUUAAACUUAAACUUAAACUCAAAUUUAAGUCUCCUCCCCUUCGCGCAGAGCCCCUUAAAGCCCCGCGAAACACAUCGACGCCAACCUUCGUCGUCGUCGUCGUCCUGCUCCUCCCCCUAACUUAAACUUCGUCUUUUUCGUAAAAGAAAGCAAGAAAGAAAGUGAGAGAGAGAUAGACGACACCAAACUCCUACAUACAUCUUCUUUCUUUGAUAUAUUCAAAAAAAAAAAAAAAAAAGUAUCACAAGGGACUUUAUACAACUUUAAUGGAUUAUCAACAAACGUGCUAUUAGGGAGUCGAUAGGUAGAAAGCAACACAUCGUAUCAACAAUUGGUUGUCAAUGUUUUGUAUUUUCUACAUUUUUCGGGUAAAAACGUGAUCUAAUAAUAUAAUACAAGUAUAAAACACUCAUCCACUCUCCUCUUAAACCUCCCUUGAAUAAACUAAGGAAAAGCUACCACACGUCACAAAUAGUAAUCACUAAACAUAUUUAUACAAUUAUAAUAUUAAUGUAUAAGAUAAAAGAGAAAAAAAAAAAAAAAAUUCAUGCGUUUUGUAAUGAGAAGGACCUCAAGACGACGAUUAUUCAAAAGCUGGUGACCUAAAUGGAGAAACUAAUAAAUAUGGGCAAUUUAGUAUUAUAAGUUGGUUAGUAUUAUAAAUUAAACUAUGUAUAUUUAAGUUUACAAUAUCAACUUUGAUGUGUCUUUCUGAGUUAGUGCCGGUUUAACCGGUAUCAAUAUAGAUGUCGUUAACAUUUUUCAGUGAACGUUUUUUUAAAUUUGUCUAUUAUAGAAAAAGGGAUCUUUAAUUAGAAUGGUGGUUUGUAUAUUUCACUAUUUUAAAAUAUGUAUGUGAAAGUCGAAAUAUAUUAAUUUAUUUAAUAAAUAUUAAUAUUGUAAAAAAUGAUGUAUUUUGGUUUAUUCGUCGUCUUUUAACAUUGAUAGACAUAAAAGUUGUUAUAUGUAGGUGUUGUUGUGACGUAAAUAUUAAUGUAGGUUGGUUUACUUGGGAUUUACAUGUUUCUAAUUCUUGAACCGUACUUUUUAGUGUGAUUCACAUUUACAAAAUUUUUAUUAGUUGUCGUAGAAUGUGCCGAAUGUAUAAGUUGUUUAAUCUAUUAUAGUUUAUGAAUACCGCAGGUGUUUUAUAUUUUAUUGAGUAAAAUAUUACGGCCUAGUUAACUCUCGUCCCGGAUCGUACACUUUAAAACUUACUUGCAGUUCCUACGUGUGUCUUUUCUGUAAGUAAGUGGUAACCGCCGCGUAUUGUUAUGGUUCGUUUAAAUAACAGAUGUUGGUUGUAAAAUCAUUGAAUUUUAACGAGUAUUAAUUUUCGAAAAUUUUUUUUUGUUUAUUUAGGAAAUGUCUUAGGUUAUGUACCUUGUGGUGAAUUCACACCACAAAUCACGAAGUCUAAAAAUGUCGUAUUCAACAUUCGUUAAGUACAUGUGAGUGGCUUACUUCUGCAUGAAAUGUUUAUAGUCGUACGGCCUUGUCCGAGAUGUUUAACUCUUUGGUUUUACGCUGAUCAUUGAGCUGAACUCUUUACCAUACAUUUACCAUAUUGAGUUUUAAAGCUAGCCAUUAUACAUUUUGCUCUAACUCUUAGGGGAGUAUAUAUUGACACAAAGUACGCUACAUUGUAGAAUUACCACCAUCUCAAGGUGUUUAACGGGUGUUUGUUUUUUACUUCAUAAUGGACGUGUUAAAGGCUUUCUCUCUUUCAAUGACCGAACUCCGUUUAAAAUUGUUAAUUAAAGUAGUACACCUAGAGUUUAAAGUUGUUUUGGUAUAACCAUAAAGGUGAUUUAAAAACUUGUUUUUUAAAUACAGUUAGGAAACUGGUUUAAACAAAUCUUUUAGGCUUUUGUUGACGUGUAUAAGAAUUUAAACCUUCUCGCUCAUCUAAGUAUUUCAUUAAAUUGAGUAUCAUAAUGGACGUUUGCUUAAAUACUUAUUUCUCGGCUACAGAUCCUCAACUAGGGUGGUGGUUUAUCUAAGAAGAGUAUUUUUUUUCCCAAGAUAUUAUGUGCAGUAAAUAACCGAAUGAAAACGUGGCUUAAAGAGUCGGUUUUUAAGUAGCUCCUCUGGUAUUAAACCAUGUGGUAGAAAUGAGCUCACGAGUCUACCGUUAAAAGCAUAUGUAGGUUCUUACACAACGUGUAGAGCUGUGUCAGACCAAACUAUUGGUUGUUCGUUGUUUUCGCAGUCUAAGUUCCGUUUACAAAAGUAGACCUUUAAUCGUCAUCCCUUCUUGAUAGCACGUAAUUUAUAUGGACAAAAAACGAACUCCUCAUAAGUGUAGAUUAAAACUCUUACGAAGGCAAUAUACACUUACCUUUUAAACUUGGUGAACGGACGUAUUUUUUUCACAGUAUUUAUGCUAAGUUGUAAUCGUAAAAAAUAACAGAGUGGGUUUGUGUUUUAUGUAAAUUCCCUAUUAACGGAUAUAUGGGGAAUUUUGAAGCGUUUAUAGAGUAAAUGGGGAUGAAAAAAAAAAAAAGAAAGGUUAUAUGGGGAGUAUACAAGGAGGCAAUAAGGUUUUAUGGGGAUGUCAAUGGUGGGCGAUUCAAUUGAACCCAAUUUGCACUCAAUUUAUAGAUGGUGUUAAUUUUUUUUUAUUUUACGGUGAAAACGGGAAUUGAAUUCCUGUUUAUUCUUUAUAACCACUACCAUAUUCCUAUAUAAACUUUUUUGAUUUUUCGUUUUAUGAAAAACAUGGGGAUUGAAUUCCCGUUUAUUCUUUUCAGCCAUUACCAUCUUUCUAUAUAAACAUUCCCGUUUUAUCAUUAAAGUAUCUCUAUUGUCUCAAGUAAUUGUUUAAAAUUGAGGUCCCCAUAUAAUCUUUAUCCAACCUUGCAUUUUUUUCAUAAAAGUUAUAAUCGGAAGAUUCUCCUUAUUUAGUCUUUCAAUCUUUUGAAAAGUUCCCAUAUAUUCGUUAACGGGGAUGUAAUUUAUGUCCGUAUAGUAAAUUUUUAUUUAAAAGUUCGUUGAAGAUUUGAUAAAUCGGGUUUUUUGUAGAGAUAACAUUUUCAGCAAGUGUUACAAUUAGAGGUCUUAGUAACAAAUAUUAGGAGUUAUCGAAUCAAUAGACUUAAAAUAUAUUCAGGUUUAAAAGUUAAAUUAUAAACUAUGAUCCUAUAACAAUUAGAUUACGUCAAAUAUUAUAUUCCAAGGAAUACAAACCGCAGUCGCAAAAGGAUCUAAGGAAGUUAAAAGUAAUUUAUUCAACGAUAAGAUUAAAGUUACGUUACAACACUUCUCUAUGAGACCACGCUUCAUGAGAUCAUGACUGUGUGAAUUCAUCUUUUCAUUAGAUUGAGUUAUAUAGUAACCAGUUUUUGUAAAGAGUACUGAGAUAAUUAUCGAUGGUUGAGGUAUCGCCGUUGUACGAAUCGUGGUGUUAGAAGAACUAAUGUCGUCAUAAUCUAUUUACGAAAGUACCUUACUAACAAAAAUUAAUCCAAGAGUACUACUCAUAAUCUGUUGCAACAUGAACAGUUACAUACCUAAUUUUGUAGUUUAUGACUUCCUUACUAAAAUUAGGUCAUAAAUUACUUUUAUUCUUACCCGUUAUAUAUUUUACACCUUUUUUAUAUCAUGUUGUUUAGUUUCUUUUCCUAUGUAAUAUUUAAUUUAUUGAUCGUACAAAGUCGAUGUUUUACGUAUCAUAAAUAAUAAUUUGUGAUGGUUACAAGUUCAUAUCGAGAUCGAUUAAGUAAAUUAAUUUCUUAUAUUAUGUAUCUGUGUAUAACGUUAAAAUGUUCGGUUUUCAUGGUGUUAUAUAAAGCAUUCUUGGGUCUCUAAAUGGACUUUUAACGAACCUGUAGAUUAAGUUCGUCUCAAACUCUAUUUUAAGCUACUUCUAUACAUUGAAGGACAUUUGUCUCUGUAAUUAAGCCUACUUUGAAUUAGUUAUUAGUUGUGUCUUUCAAAAUUGGUGUUAAUGUCUCUCUUUAAAAUCUGUUUACUUUAAUUUUUGACCAGUUCGUAAUUCUCUGGAAUCUCUGACUAAAUCGUUUAACCGAGCCAACGUCUAGUAAUAGGAGUCCAGGUACGGUCGGGAGUUGUUAAACCCCGUCGAAUGCAUCUAAACGUUCGUUAGAGAGGGAGUAAUAGACUUGGUCGAAACAUACUUAAAGUAGAGAUACUUGAAACAUUAGGACUAUAACUUCCUAUUUUACAUUCGUUUGUCGUGAACUUUUAGACAGUUUGACUGACGUAUUCUCUCUUAUUCUCUCAUUCGUGUGAAAAGACUUAUUGUUCUGUCACACGGUAAUUGAAAUUGUUACAAUUUAUUAUUUAGAGGUAGUUGCGUAAUGACCAUUGUUAUUCAACUAUUUUCUUGUUUUUGGUAUAUUACACUGAUAAGUAUGAUUCCUUGUAGUUAAAACGUAUAUCUUAAUCGAGGUACGUUCCUUAGUUUGCCCUUAAAGGUACUUCUUAUAUUUACUAAACAAGUCUUAUAUUAUUGUUUACUUGUACUUAAUUCUACGUGAAUGGGUAUGUUACGUCGUAUAAAAAAGUCAGAUAUGGAAUAAAUAAAGGUCAACUGAGUAAUACGUUAUUCAAACUCGUAUGUAGGAAAGUAGAUGAGUGUAGAGAGGUUGUUCAGAAUAAGAGAGUGAAUAUAUGUAGGAAAGUAGAGAAGAGAGAGUAAAGAAAGAUUUUCUCACGAGGUUAUGAUACAAAAUGGUUCUAACUUGAACUACGUUAAUUGAACCGAUGGAGUAGUAUUUGUUAUGAGAACUGAUUUUUUAAAGGGGACAAGUUUUCUAGUAAGGUCGGUUGUAUCACCGCAGUACACAAAAAGAAAAAAGAAAAAGGGAAUUAAAAGAUUUGGUCAAUACGAGUUCCGUCUUCUCAACCUAUCGGUAUUUUUUGUUCUCAUUCUUUACUACAGUGGGAUAUUUCGGUCCACAGCAUAAGUACCUCAGUGUACUUUUAUCUAACUCUAACAAACCUGUACACGUCGUAUUUGGUCUAUUACGUGUUUCAGUUAUUCACUAAAAAUAUGUUACUGUUUCGUGCGAGUAACAUUUUAUGAUUUUUUAAAAUAAAUUAAGUUUGUUUGAUUUAGGAUGAUGACGGUUAAAAGUCCAACUUAUACCUGUUCGGAAACCGUUUAUAAAUCUAUAGGCAAGCUGUUUACUUAUGAUUUCAGUUCUUAUUAUUCAACGGUUCCGUAGGAACGUCUAUGAUCUGUUUACAGCUUGUAUUUCGUAUGUCAUAAGUAAGAGUAUAGAUGGGUAAACUUUUUGACCUCUUUGUCCGAAACUUCUCUUUUCUCUUUAUACUUUGUCUUUAAUUUUUUAAAUGUCUACGGUAUGGACUCGUUGAGAUAGUUGGAGUCUGUAGUCGUCCCGAGAUGCUCGGAGUCCAUAAAAUUCUUUUUCUUGAGAGGCUUAUAGAAAUAAAUGUACGUAUAUGUUUUAACAAAACCUUAAUCGAUUCAUUUAGUUUAUACUGUCCAACGGUCGUUAUUUUCUGUAUUUGUCGCUCUUAUUUUACACGUCUAUUAAGUUUUUCAUUGAUCCCGAUUUCUAUUUUCUUAGUUGGAAUCAUUCGUCUAUCUUAAGGAUUAAUAUACUGUACCGUCGACGUGAUGUUUAAACGUUAGAGUAUACACUUAAAUAGCCAAAAUCUGAUACUACUUUUUCACAUUUUACCACACGUUGUUAAAUUUUUUUUAGUUCAUUAGAUACGUUAUUAUUUAAGAACUGUUAAUAUAUCUUCAAACGUCAGUAACGGUCUGCACAGUAGUAAAAACUGUAAAGAAACGUCAUACAAAACCUUAAAGGAUUCGAACUGGUAACUCUAUUUCUUUACCCUCUCAUCAAGUUGUGUGUUUAAACAUCGGAGUCUUUUCAGUUCUCAGUUACAAUAAUUCCGUCGAUCCGACAAGCUCCGUUUCCCAGGGGAUUCUAUACAUCCGUAUACCCGUCUGACGGAUUUCUGAACACCGUGUUCGAUGUUAUAUAAUCUUUUCUGAAAAUUUUACGGUUUUACAUAAUAAUUACUCAGUUUCAUUGUCGAAGGGUUCUCGCUUCCUACCCUUAUUUUGUAAAUGGACCUUAAUACCGUAUUUAUUUCGACUAUUGAACUGAUCGGUUUCGAUUUACGAAUCUUCAAUACCUGAAGUUUGGACUGUGGACUUUUAGUUAUACUCGAUUAAGCACUUUGUAAAGAUUUUUUUCUUGAGUUUUAUAUUUUUUUCGAAUAGUAUUGUUAUAUGUUAUGUUUGAUCAAUCAUGUUGUUUAUAUCGGUUCUCACGGUUGUGUAGAAUUACUGAAAGUAUGUCCAAACAUGAUUGGUAUGUUUCAUAGUCCUGAUUACACGGUAUCGUGUAUGGUACAAGUACCAGUUAAUGGUGUCCCCCGAACGACUGUCGUUGACUUUCAUAUAAACUAGACUUUUUACGUAGGAAUAAAAGAUAGCAUUGAUACAUUUGAUAGUUCGUGUAAAACGAAACACCACUUAACGAUUCAGAACAAUUCGAAUUUUUUAGUUACGUCAGUUUUUUUUUAAUCUUUUAUUCGGAACAAAUUCGUAUCUUAUCUCUAGUUCUUCAUACUUUGGUUACAUUGUUGUUGAAUCAACUUCUUCAGAGGUAUAUAUAGUACGUAGUCUAUAUAACCUAAGCACAAGACACUGAUGUUCCACUAAUUGGUGUUUACGAUCCUUGCUAAUACUUUAUUAAUUUCUUCUUUCUUUUUGAUUUUCCGAGUUCGGCGUGUUGAAGUUUCACGUACAAAUUUUCCAGUUUGGGAGUUUCAUGGAGGUGUUAACAUCGUAGUAAAGUAUUACAAUUUUUUUACCGUGUCAAGUAUGUGAUCGUACGUUCUAAAACCGUUCUAUAAGGUCCUUGGGUGGGUAUAACAACAGUUAAUUCGUCAUAGGACAUAGUAAUAACUCCUUACGACAAACUGAACUCUGAAUUCUAUAUCAAACGAUAUUGUACUAUAUGUCCGAUUUAGUGUUUAUAUGGACGUAUCGUGGUCGAGGUUCUUGGUCGACUGUCCAGGAUCACAACUUUUCGAAGUCAUAAAGGUGUUGUGCUACCUGGUGAAGUCUACUAUUACUACCGUUCGUAGAUGACUACAGGUGUAUGAGUCUAUUGUAGAAGUCGUUGUAGUUUGGUGACGUGCAGUUGUUAAAGUCCGUGUUUAAAAUAUGUCUUGAUUUAUAGUUAAGAAAAUCGAUUUUCUAGUUAUACCGGUAGUCAUUAACGUUCUUGUUCUUUCUGUACUUUAUAUUACCUCUGUUUUACCGGGACUAAUUGUACUCUUUACAUCUGUUAUUGCAUUUUUGUGAUCAUUCUCGCUUUUAUUACUCUGUUUAUUAGCUCGAACAGAUUAACAACUCUACUGAUUGGUCAAAUGGUACACCAUCGGUUGGGGAGGUACGUACUCUCAAACUCUUCAUCUAGAUUGUACGAGCAAACAAAAUUAUAAUAGUUAGGAUCAUCCUCCACAUCUAAGUCGACACGAAAGAACUGGACGAUGUCGAUAAAGCAACCCCACUAGACGUCUCAAGAGUUGACUAAGUAAUUCUGAUUCCAUCAGAACGGGUCGUCUUCGGAGUCUAAGUUGUUGCAAACGUCAUGGUAGUCAACGUCAACUGAGUUUUGACAAAUGACCUCUUAGCCAACUUCUUUCACGAAGUUGUUAUCGAACUUUGAGUAGUCCUUGCAGUUGUCGUUGGGUGCAGAGAACUAGUUCUUGACGGAAUUAGAAACAGUAGAUACUUUCUCAUUAUACUGCAAUUCUGCUCCUUCACCACGGUUUUUAUAAAGUUUUUUCGUAGAUAAAGGUUAGUAAAACUUUAUUGAACUUUUCCUACUAGUACAAUAGUUUGUUUAAAUAGUAGUUUUAUAUAAUCCCCGAACGUGACUUGGGUGGGCUCGUAGUACAACCUUUAGUUGCUUACGGAAACUGACACUAACAUCUCAAGGUGCUUACGACAUUGGGUUGGAAGGAGGCUAGACCUUUUUCUAUUUCAUAUAUAAUUUUUCUUUUGUAAUUUUUUUUUUGAAUUCGUUCGUUCGAGCACUACUAGAUAUUCUUUUCCGUGAUUAUGGAAGAGUCAUCGUCGAUAUUUUAGAACUCACUACAAUAUCUAUGAGUCUUUGAGAACUUCAGAGUUGGACCCUACUUCUUCUCGUGCUUGUGGAUCUUCGAAUCGGGUAGCAGGUACUCGUCGUAGUGUACGUCUUUUUUGUCGAAGGCACAAAAGAGAGUUAUGUAGUCGUGACCUUACUUCACGGUAGUAGUCUUAUGUGUUUACUGUGAUUUCUCGAGGUUUUUGAACGAUCGUUAAAGAUUUGUUGGUUUUUAUUACUAAUUUUCCGUUACCUUGGACAUCUACGAUCUUAAAAGAUUUUGUAAGUUUUUUUACUAAUUUUUUUAUUUCCCUAUACAACUAGUUGAACUAGUUGAGUAGUGUACUAGGGAGGUGGUACCACGUUUAAUAAACCUAGGUUAAUAACAACAUAAAAACCAUGAACGCUAGAGUAAUAACAACAUAUAUGAAACAUGUAUGUCAGUACUUAAAUGUUAGUUCAUAUAUCGGAUGACGUCUGUUAUCCAGUCUUCUUCGGUUCAUCUCGGAUCUUAUCAUUUAUCAUACGUUCCGUACCCGAUUUUGAAAUACAUGUUUUAUAUAUUCGUCAUUUAUACAUUUGUGUUAUGUUGUAGUUCAUUUUAGUUUCGAGGUUUCUAGAGUGGCUUUCAAGGACCUACGUGAUCCCGAUCUUCAUAGUAAAUAGGAAGGAACUUUCUAACUUUAGGAACCUCUUAAGGCUCGUUCGCCUAUACUCAACACACUUUGUUGUACUAACGGUGAGAGAACCUAUGAAAGACUUUGAUGUCUUGGAUGUCGCCUUCAUAGUCUUGAUAUUAUGGGUAGUUACAAAGGGUACUAGGUGAGCUAUUGGAAAAAUUGAAGACGUCGAGCGUAAUUCACACGGACACAAGUGAUUUUCUAGCAUUUAGUGUAAUGUCGUUAGUAUUUUGUAGUACGAUACGUAAUAAUAUUUACAGGUUUUAUUACAUUAACAGGAAAUGAGUACGGGUUAAUGUUCUAUACGUCUUUCUUUUGUUUUAAAGUUAUGUUUAUAGUAACGAUACACUUUCGACAGUUACCAAACCAAUAUGAAAGUUAUUUGUAUAAUAUAAAGGUGUAUUAAAUUCUCGGGUAUACUGACAAAAUUGUCUCACAAGUACCACGUCCCAGGAGAAUGGACAUGUUGGAAUUUUUAUCGUCGGUUUUCAACUUGUUUCGAAAGACUACUUUCUAAGGAGUUGAACGAACGGUCGCUACCUGGAGGUCGACUCAUUAUUUUUUACCUCACUUACUAUUACCGUGUACUAAGUCUAUUAAGUAUUACGUUCGAUUUACAUCGAUCUUUCUUAUCUUCUAUAUAUUAUUCUGGAAGACUUAGGUGUUGAGCGAGACGUCGACGAUUUAGUCGGAGGUAACCAGCCCGGUGGUUUUGACCUUCGUUGAGACGGUGUCAUCGAAAAUAACUUCGAAAGUAUAGUCACUAUUCACAUAGGGCCAUUUAGGAGUUGUGUCGUCCUUCGAACCGGACUAUUUCUUAUAGUUCCUUUGUCACUAGCUUAUUGAUGUUAUUUGCCAUCUUUAAGUGCUCCUACCAGCAUUUAAUGUUUACAUGAAUCAGAGUAUUUGUUCUUUUGUAUCGUGUAUCCGAUUUUGUACACCUCUAUUAAGAAUGACUUCUUAUAGUUGGUUCCUAAAUUCACGGGUAGCCGUGCCCAGCAUAGAUGGCACGGCAUAGCACAGUUGUUCUAUAGCCAUGUUAUGUUCGGGGCAUGGCUACCAUAUCGAGUUUUGGGAGAUAAGAAAUUUAAUCAUUCAUUAAACGAAUUAUUUCAAGUUUUAUAAACUAUUUUUAUAUAUUAUUUAUUGACUGUAUAAAAAAACCAUUUCUUUUAUUUAUAAAGUACGGUAAUGCACAGCCGUGUGUUUAGUUCAUGGCACCGUAUUCCAGCAUGGCCUUUGAACGGCCGUGCCAUGCCGUGCCACGCACGGCCCGGUACGGCUACGCACGGCCAGUGUUUUUUAUAUACACAUGGCUGUGCAUUACCGUACUUUAUAAAUAAAAGAAAUCGUUGUUUUAUACAGUUAACAAAUAAUACAUAAAAAUAGUUUAGAAAAUUUGAAAUAACUUUUUUAAUGAAUGAUUAAAGUUCUUAUCUCCCAAAACUCAAUGCGGUAGCCAUGUCCUCAACAUAACACGGCUAUAGAACGACCGUGCUAUGCCGUGCCACCUAUGUCGGGUACGACUACCCGUGAAAUUAGGAACCGAAUUAUAACAACUAUGAGAGUUAACUUUAAGGACACAUCAACAUAAAGUGUACUAGUAGAAAGAACUAGAGACCAUGAAAGUUUCAAUUAUUCAUAGCAGAAGGGAUUAUUAAGAGAUUGAAAACAACUAAAAAGUACUUACAACACUAGGACAGUUGUAGACUAAUACUUUUCUCUACAUUUGUAUGAAUAUCGUUAUUCAUACACUUAACUAGUUGAAACCAGUUACAUAAAAUAGAAGUAAAGACUGGCAAGGAGUUGAAAUGUCAAGUUAUUGAAAACUCGAAGGAACAAGUUCUUCACUGUGCGUAGAGACUCCCGUAUAUAAGACGUAGAAAGUGAGAGUUAAAGUUGGAUAUUCUUCAAACUUAAAUUUAACAAUACAUAUACAUUUUAUCACGUAAUUAUAACAUCAAACCAAACGUAUAUAAACAAUUUUCAACACUGAAUCAACUUAGUUACUUCUAAAGACUCGACCCUGUAUAGAACGUAAAAUAAAAAGGUAGUUCUAGAUGUCAAAAAGAACGUGGUCAAAACGUUCGUUAUAAGGUGCCUAGAACGAAGAACAAGUUGAGGUGAUAAAAAUACUAGCUAAACGGUAUGGAUAUAUCAUGUAUAAAUGAAAGACAAUAGUAUAUUUCGUAAAAUCAUGGUUACUUACUACUUUGUAUACACGAGCUCCAAAAAAGGAUAAAACAAAGUUAUCACACUAAACGUUCAUUAAGAAUUCAUGAACAAAAAAGUACAAAAUUAAAGUUCUACAACGUUAAAGAGAACUAAAUGAGCAGUUACAUGAGGUCCAAGUAAUAACGACAAAAAAUCGGACGUAGACUGUACAAAGUUUUUAAAUAUCUAAUUCAAACGUUUAACCUGACAAAAUGGUUAGACAAUCGGUAAAGAAUUUAGUUAUCGAAGAAAACAACAACCAAACUAAGAUCAUAACACGAACAACAACAACUAUGUCCUUUAAACAGUGCGGGGCCCCAGGGAAAUCCAAUUUUUGUGUCGCCUUUCAAAAAAAAAAAAACGUGUUGGACUGGGGUCACAUACAGCCUAGACGGUGUUUAGGAUCCAUUAAAUGACAAGUGUGCUCAGUCUCAGAGUAGGGACAUAAACGUGCUCGACACCGCUCUAUUUAACGUUAUCAUAUCGUUAUAGUCCUUUCUUGCUGUUUGGUAUACUUAUAUUUCUAUUUUUACGACCUAUGUAUCACGUGGAUGUAAGUAGGAAGAGUAGGGUCAAAACCUCUAAGCUUCACAAAAGCAAAGUCUUUAACUGCUUUUAAGAAAACUUUUGACAAGGGAUGUCGACACUGGAAAUAAGCAAUUUUACCGACGGUGCUCCCCAUCUUUUGGAAAACAAAAUGUCUUACGAUGUCUUUACGUAUAAAAAUUCACAUUUAUUCGUACGAUACUUGGUGUACCUUGCUUGAUCUGAUAAGUAUGUCGGUUUUAUGCUUCCCAUUCUUUCAGUGGACUUAAUUGGGCCCAGCUUACAAGAUAGCUGGCGAUGUGCGCAUGAAGUGCAGAGCAAAGUGAUGAGUAGCGGGUGCAACGGACUUAUUACCACACCCACAAAUAUUAUACUUAUUUGAACAGAGGGGAGGGUCACCUCAUCGAGUUCGGCUAUCUUAAAGCUCCUCAUCAGUGGCCUACGACCUUAUCAACAUAGUUGUCAUACCCAUUCAUUUAAUGUCAUCGGUGCUAUUACUUGCUUAAUCUACAUAUAUAUAUAUAAACUUUUGUCCUGAUGGCGAUGACAAUUUUACAAGAAGACGAGAAAACGUCCACUAUACUUUUGAUAGCAUCGUUCUGAAAUAAUCACAGUUCAUUCUUGAAGUAUUCAUGAAUACAUUAUUGGCGAUGAUGUCGAUAGACCCACUUGACCUACUCUUCAAGACUACAAGGGUUAGAUGUGGCGGCACAACCAGAUUCCUGGAGUCCGUUUUCGGUGAUAGACGAGUGUGGACCGUACAUGGGAUCGUGUUUCUCUUGUGGCGACCCGAGUGCCCUACAUGCUGGUGAAAAGGCCUUUUCUUGUGGGAGGACGCCCCCUAGUUGGGCGACCACAUGCACUUUACGUGAGCUCGACACAGCUAGUUACGCCUAUACUAGUUAUCGGUUGGCAGCCGUUAGUCGGCUGUUCGUGACGGGGAGACCCGUAUGGCUGGCACAUCCAGUAGUUCAUUGUUGCACUUGGCUGGCUCUAUCCAGGUACAUGCCUUUCAUUGCUUGGUUUGUCCAGUGGCUACGUUAUCCUCUUGGCUGGUUGGUCCAGUGUUCAUAUCAUAUAUGCUUACGGCAGAUGAGAUGGGGAUAUGUCCUAUGAUGUGUAUCUUGUUGAUCCGUCUCAUUUAUUUCUAUCAUACUUCUAUGACGAGCUACAGUUGAUUUUCAUGCUUGCGUUCUUGGCUGGCGAUCCAGUGUCCUCACAUAAGCUAUAUUAGGUCUUGAUGGCAGUCGUGGUCGGCUGUUAGGAUGGGGAGUCCCAUGGCUGGAGUUUCCAGUAGCUUGCUGUCUUCAGUUCUUUAUCUGGUUGGGUGAUGUAUUACGUUGUUGGCUGGUUGGUCAGUUGUCUAUAUUCUAUUUUCGUGGCUAGUCGAUCCAGUGGCUAUAGUGUAUACCUAUUUGAUGAGAUGAGGAUGUGUACUAUGAUCCGUAUCUUUGUAUACUCAUCUCAUAUUAUCUUUGUUGCCUACGUUCGAGUCAUAUAUUAUGCUUUUAUCAUUGUCUUCUUGUCCCUAUCUUCUUUAUAGUGGCGCACGUGGUGACAUGGCUGAAGCCUAGCUUCAUGGGUGGACAUGUUGACAGCGCGGACAGAGGACUGACGUUUUCUUGCAGUUGGCCUGGAUUUCUCCCAGGUGACCCAAUCACAGAUUGGGUGUCGAUUCUUUGGGAUUUUCGUAUUGGGUGUUUGUUAGGGGGCCUCUAGCCAAAGGGUUAUGGCUAAUGGCAUGAGCGGCUUCAGCUCUUAGCGUGGCCCUGAGGCGGCCCUGGGUGAUUGAUAGGCCUUCCGUGGCUGAGUACGGUGCUCAGUAAGCGACGGUGAUUUGUGAAUAAAAUCACACUGUUCCGUCGUUUGUGUUCCUAUGUGUUGGUUUGUUGAUACCACCUAUUAACACCCUAGCCUUCACAGAUAAAGCUGUGGCCUUGGGUGGCAGUGAGUGGGCGGAAAGACUUGAGAGCUUUACUAUGCUCACUGGUCGGUUAUUCCGAGUCGCUGGUGUGUUAUCGAGUGUGGCAGCCUUAUUAAGGCUUGUUUUGGCGCAAGGCAGCUGCCUAACGGCUGUUUGCGUGGCCUUUAUGUAAAGGCUAGAAGCGUUUCCCCCGGACCUGGUAGUCAGGUCUCAGUGGGUGUCGAGUGGGAUACGACGGUUGUCGUCGAUGCUGUUUAGUUUAACGUAUUUUCGGGAGCUAAUGGGCUUUAGCGUAAUAAAGUACGCUAAAGCCGCGAAAAUACCAGGCAGAUGUGUUUGGUCCUCAGUACGUCGGUUUGGCUCUGUGGAUGACUGUCCAGAGCUGCGGCCUCCGGCACGAGUGGAAAGCCUCGUUAAGGCUGACACCUCCCGCGCGCGUACUUCGCUUGAAGUCGCUUUGUCGCGCGUACCAUAGAUUUAGCGCAGAUUGUGCGUUUGGCCCCUUGGCAACUGGGGCUACCUCCACUCUUGCUACGAGUCGUGCUCAUUGCUACAAGCACGAGUGAAGGUGACAGUAGCCCCAUGGAAGCCUAGCGGGCUUUCCACUGGCCUUGGGAUUUGAUGUCACGACCUUGGAUUUUGUCAUCGUAUGGCCUCGAUCCGUCCCGAGCCCCAUCAGCCGCCGCCGGCCUGUCGCCGGUCCGGCCGGUCCCCUUCCACGAGGUCCAGUCUCUCCGGCCCCGAGUGCAAUUGUCCGCUGCCCUCCUGCUGCCGCCCGUAACUACGGGAUCGGUGGAUUGGGCUCCUCUCUUGCCGGGUCUUGGCCGGUUGUCUCUCGAGGCCGCUGUCGCUCCGGCCGCCGCCUGCCCACACCGGCCGGUCCGCCUCGGCUACGAGUGCAGGCCGCCGCCUUCCGCCGCUGCCGCCACGACCCGCACCGAGUCGGACGUGUCAGGUACGCGCCGGCGUCCCUCUCCCUCGCCGCCGGCUUCGGUGCCUCUGCCGACCCUCGAGGCCCGCUACCGCUCGCCAGCAGCCUCCCUCGGACCGACUAUCUGUCGCCGCUGCUCUCUAGACCGGUUGGUGCCGGUCUAGAGCGAGCCCGACCGGCGUUCAUCCUCGCCGCCGGUGCCUGCGUCUCCACGGCCAGUCCCUCUAGCGGAUACUCCAGGUCCGCCGCCGCUAGGGUCCUCCGUCUCCAGCGCCGAGCCGGGCGAGACCUGAGUCGCGCAGGACCGCCGCGGCCGCUGCGCGCACCUGCCGCCCCGGCCGCCCAUACAGCAGCCUUCCCUUCGGAGCCGGCCUCUUGAGACCAAGCUGCGUUUUCCUACGAAAGGACCCUAAGUGCCGGAUUCUUCGUCUUGGGCUUCCUCUCCUCUUGUGAUCUUCCGGAUGAGGCCACCGGCCUUCACGAGCGGCCGCCGGUCUCACGCUCGCCGAUCCUUCCCCUUCCAAAGUCUCCUACGUUUCUCCAGCCGACUCCCUCUUCUACUUAGUUUCAAUCCCAAAAGGGGUGCUUUGGGAUCACGUUGACGAUUAAUGUUUACGUGUUAACGUUCUAUCAGGAGGGUCCCUACUUUAACAGUCAGUUCAGGGAGUGUAGUACGCAUAAAAUGUGUAUGCGUGGAGGUACAGGCUAGAGUGCGUUAAGCCGUGUAUUUUAUAUUGCUGAAAACACUUAAAGGGCUAAAGGUGAGUGCUGGGGAAUCGCUUGUUGUACGUUAUAGGCCGUUAGGCAAGAAGCCUAAAGGCUUGCCUAGCGUGGUAGCGCAAGUCGUGUUGCUCCCGUAGGUUUGAUGGUAGAACAAAGCAGUCUAGACCAGUGCCUAAGCGCUGCCUUGGGUGGGCGAGAGAUUAAUCAGGCAUAUAGCGCGUAUAUGGCUUCAUAUUUGGGAUUUUGAAUAUUAGGUUUAAGUUUAAACUUAAGGGAUGGUGGUCAUCCAUGGUCUUUGUUGAGAGUGGAUUAGGGUCCAGUGCUCGUGUCUCGUGUUCCUCAAAAUUUUACGUGCUUAUCGUUUCUUGCCUUUGGGAGAAAAACAAUUUUGAGGAAAAAGAGCUUUUGGCACGUUAGCUUUAGGCAGUCACGGUAACCAAGGUCUUAUCGACUUGGCUAGCUGCUCGAUACCUCAAGAUACAAGCCUCAGGCUAUGCUUUCCGUUGAGAUGAGGCACCGAAGAGGCCUUUUGGCCUCAAUGAUAAGUGAAAUUCACUUUUGAUUAUUAGCGCAUUGAAGAGGCAAAAUCGAGUAAAAGACUUUGAACUGCUCACGAAUACAUUAAUCUAACCGUGUUUUUAUUUCUAUAAUUAGUAAAAUUAAGAGUAUGAACGAGUCACGACUUUUAAAAGUCGUUAAUAUUUAACUUCUUUUCAAUUAAAAUCUUAUAAACGUAUUUAUAAAAUAUACAAUCAAUGAUGCUUUAUACUGAAAAAUAUGUAAAAAAGCCUGUUCUCAGAAACAAAUAUAUAUCAGUGGACGUUGAUAGUUAAGUUGAUAAAGCUAUCGAAACUUUAAAACUCGAGAAUUUUUAGUCAACGUCAAUUCGUUUAACCAGAGAGCGACUCACGUAAGAAACAGUAUAGAGGAAGUAAACAGCGAGUUUAAACGGGUUUCUCAAUCAACAUGGCACCUUCUGAUAGAUUAUAAAGUUUAAUACUAUGUCAAUUAUUCGGAAACUAUAACUGCAGAAGCUAUAUGUUGAUCGUGAAUAUAUAUCAUACAUCUUAUAGAACAACUAAGAAAAUAAUACUAAAAAAAAAAGUGUAUGCUUACUAGUUAUCAACAGGGUAGUGCCGCGUGUUCAAGAAGAGGUAGACUAAAUAGAACACGGUCGAUCGACCGGAAGGAAAGGCUGUCAUUAAUGAUACCGUGAUUAGAGACUUUUAUUUCGAUUACAAUCGUGUAUAAAGUAAACGAAUUGUAAGGUUCUUGAUAUAAACUGACAAGAUGGAUAAUCCAAUAGUCAAAGUUGUCAAAUGAACGGGUUCCUAAAGUUAUCGUGUAGCAACUUGAAAUAAAAAACGAACGUGAGACUUUCCAGUAAGAUAAUAUCGUAUUACAAGACCAAGUAACAGGCGGCAGUAAAGUAAGAAACAUGAAGGUAAUCGAACUAUAAAACGUUAACGAAGAGACUCUGAACGUAAUCUUUAGUACUUAUUCAUUGACACCAGAAUUAGAAAUGAUAAAGAAGUUUCCUAAACUAGCAGAGUAACUUGUACUAACGAACAUAUGCACGAGAAAUGUCUUCCGAUGUUAUAAUAAAGGAACAGGUAUUAUCAUUAUUAUUAAUAGUGUAAUAUUUUAAUCGUUAAUUGUUAACUGAUGUAUUACCAUAUAAUGUUUGACCGGAGAAGCAGUUGAUCCAAACUCAGACUAAUCCAAUGGACUAAGAUUUGGUAAGAAUAAUAACAUCGUUACUCAUAAAAGAUAAACAUUAUGAACUGUAGUAACUACAAGGUUAGAAAGCUAUAAACGUAAAUUACACGAAUAACAGAAUUUGGAACGUAACACGUAAACUAGCUAGAAAAGAGGAUUAGUCUCGAUGUAUUGCUGAGCAUAAUCGAUGUACUGUGCACGAUAAUUUUUUUAAAGCGUACAUUUUUGUUAAUUAUAUCUAUUACGUUAUUAUGGAAUAUCGAGUAUAUAAACAAAAUAAAGUCAUCUGUAAAGAAGUUCUUAGAGACAUAUAUGAUCGAAGAAACAGCUAAAGCGGACCUACAAUAGCAUGUCAUAGCCUAUCUAAUUAUUGAAGACAACAACCAGAUGCUCCAAGCGAGAGCACUUUCGAUAUAUCUCGACAGGUACACUUGGACGGCUCGACUACCUUGCUCUAGAGGCAUGUACACCAUAACACUAACAGAGGAACACGGAAGAACUAACAGUAUCGUGUUCGAUGAGAUGACCCCUAAACGAAGGAAAAUUUACGGUUUCCUAUUGGAAGUAAAAGUCGGGACCCGGAGCUCCUUAAGCAACCUCGCAUCGCUCUAGAGGGAAUGGUUCACACAGAGCUGCUGCAGGUCCAUGACGCAGUAGACGAGGACGUCGCGGCACAUAGAGGAAGAACCUGACGCUCUUCACAAACGUACAGCUAGAACAGGGCAAUGUAGAAGGUAAGAUCCCGCUUCAGGUUUAAAGAACUAUCGUAUUCAUCUCUCAAAUGAAAGGCCUCAGUUAAACACUGCUCGUCAGAGGGGAAAGGGUGCCUCAAGCGAGUAAGCGCCUAAGACGAACCAGACAACGCAAUGAAAGCAGCCACCGCCAGAGGGCCCUCGACACCAACUGCAUGAGAAGAGGAGCUUCAAAGAACGACUAAUAAAGAAAAUCUACCGCAGCUCCAUAAGUAAAAACCAACGGCCAUAAGCCGAGACAGUCUAGAGACCCUAAACAUGCCUAACCAGAAAAGGCAGCCUCAGCACAGCCACAGCGAACGUGAACGAAGAAUCGAAAGCCUCCCGGUAAGUCGUAACUGGACCUACCGCAGCCUCGCAGACCGCAAACCCAACAACACCUACCUCCGCUACGAGACCGAGUAUAGACUCCAAGACACCGCAGCCGCCGCUGCCUCAUGCGGCUCCUAACCCUACUACCGUCUCAGUAAAAAACGACGCCGCAUAACACAACGCCUACCCCUACUAAAAAACGCCUAGCACCCGGAAGGGUUCAUACUUCCGUAGAGUAGAUAGCGUAGCCGCAGCCACCGAAGACACACACCUCGAAAACCCUCCCACUCCUCCACGAACACACCUUAGAGGACCCUGCUUCCCCUUUGGGAGUCAAACCCAGCUUCACCAUCUAACGCUAGGUUACUAUAGAACGCUACAACAUAGACUACGAACCUGACCCUAAAAAAAACUCUAACCACGUAAGCUAGACUAUAUCAAUCUAAAACGACCUCCAUAACUAACUCGGUCCCCUCAAACAAAAAAAUACAACGUGCAUCAACAAACCAACGAUAGCGCACCAUAAAAAUUAGAACUUAAAGCGACAGGCUGGUGGUCCUUCAUAUAAGAAGACCUCUGCGCUGUACAUCGACAACGUCCUUCUCAGAGCGUGAACGCGGCUAGCAAGAAGAUUGUAAGUAAGUUCAUGACGUACUUCAUAUAACUAUAAAAAGGUCAAGGAGGACCCGGAAGACUAUUUUUUCUACGGUGAAAAGACACAUAAUCAUAAAAAAGCUAAUAUCAUAGUUUGAAUCCUGUAUAAACAAACCGAUCCUAAGUUGUAAAGUGUUUUGCGAACUAGUAGAUAUGAACCACAAGACUAACGUGUGAAGUUAGGCCGGAAACGAAACUUAAAUCUAACGCCUAUUUCAGUACAAAAGCACGGUAUAUACUAAAACCAUUCAGCUACGAAUGACAAUAUAAAGAUUGCAGGGCUAGGAAACUUGAGCCAAUCAUUAACGAAGAGCUCUUCUAGCAAACCUAAACUCAGACGACGACUACAUACAGAGAGCUUACAAUAUACGAGAAGACUGUAACCAACAUCGCUGAAGACGGCUACUACCAAAAUGUAAUAAGCCCAAGCGUUAUUGGAUUUUACCAUCAUUUAAGUUAGAAGCCGUCCUACUCGGCUUCACCGUAGACCAUAUUAUAACGAAGGAUUGAGCUGAUUCUUUGCUCAGCGUAAUACCGGAAGAUUGUUCAGCACGUAAACUAGCCGAAGGGCUUCUCACCUUCUUACUUGAACAAAUAACUAAUCUUCUAGUACUUUACUACAACCCGGUGCAUAUACUAAAUUUUCGUAACCGUCUACUACAGAAAGUGGAAGACUACCGAAACAACGUAAAUGAGACGCAUAACGCGCAAAGAAAAAAGAAUUUGAGGAUUACUAUCAUCAUAAGAAUAAGCUCUUAUCUUACAACGACCUUUAAGAGAUAUUUCCACCAGAAAAAACGAAGUCGCAACCAACUUAAGGGAAAAAAUCCCAUAGUCAGACGGAUCAAAAACAACUUACAAGGAACACGUCAGCUACAAGUUCUAAAGAUAAGAACGUCAUCCAGUCGGUCAUAGACGAAUAAACAUCCUACCGCAAGCCAGCUAGCUGUUGGCGACCUAUAGACGAACGCAAAUUCAAUAUUGAGCAGACAAGAGGUCUAACGAAGAACACCACACUAGGCAGAACAUGAGAACCUUUAUAAAAUAGAAAAAUCGGAAAACGAAUGACUAGUACCUGGACCGCACAGUCGACAAGCGUCGAUUGACCGAGUACUGGAAACAUAUGAUAUAAAAAAAUUAAUAAACUGUAAACAGUACGAGAAGGUUUACAGCUGCAAGUAUAGCCAUUAAUAUAGACAAUUCGUUCAUACUCUAACAUUCCAUGUUGGGUAAAUAACAGAAUUGAUGUCGUAAAAAAGCUUAGUACUGAACGGAAGGUAAAAACUGAAGAUAACUAUAUAACCGAUACGCAAUAACGGGACGGAUCUAAGAAGUCUUUCUACAAAACCUAUUAUCUUGAACGUAAACAAUAGUUGGUCAGAUGUUAAAAUACGACAUGCAUUUAAAGAUGUGCCAGGGACGUACUACACAAAAUGAUCUUCGAAUACCGUUUCCAUAACCUACAAACCAUAGACUCCAGACCUUAAAGACGUAGAAUGAUACAGUAGUAUGUAACAACUUAAUCGAUUAAAAUAAAAGAACAACGUUUUAUUAUGCUUUUACACGUACUCCAUCGCACGAUGGAAAAAGACUUUAAAUUAAUGUACGUGUACACGGCGGUGAGCUGGUUUAUAAACGAGAAAUUUGUCAACGAAGAGUUAAAAAGAGUUAAAAUCGUGCUGGUAAACCAACGACAAUAUAGAACAGAUAACGUACGGUAGAGAGUACAAAAAUCCUCACAAAAGUAGAGAUCGGCAAGUCCUAACGUACAAUAGCAGUCCUUAUAUAGACCGAAAGGUUUUGCUACGAGGUUAAAAAGUAUCGCAAAGCCAUUGCAACGGCGUACAGAGCUCCUGCAGGCUAAUUUAUUCGUCCAUUAUAAUAGGAGAAGGAUUAUUAGAACAGUCGAGUAUUUUUUUACAAGGAAGUGGCCGUAGAAUGUGAUAGCUGACUAAGGUAAAAUAUAUUAAGUCGAACACUAGAACAGAACUAAACGUAUGUUUUAUAAGAUAUCAACAACAGAGUCAAAACUAUGACGUAGAGUUGGUGUAUAACAACAUAUUCAGCUGGUAAUAUUAACUAACGUACAAAGUAACCUAAGUAAAGCGUGAACAUCGUACAUAAAUGUUCAUGUAAAAGAGUUGUACUAGGGAGACGUAAGAGAAAGGAUAAUCGCAGACGAUAUUAAGUUUCUUAUCAUCAUAACAUUGAUUAUAAAUAUGAUAAAAUAAAUAAUUAACGGAUUUAAAAUUUUUAUAAAAGAUGGGAAGGUAUAAAACUUAAAUAUACAUGGAAAAAGAAAUUUGAACAUUAUGUAGAAUGCUUCUAACAAAAGGUUAAUCUAAAAAUACAUAAAAACAACUUCAACUUAAAAGAAAUGCCAAAAAGUAGAAGGGAAACGCAGAACCAUAUAACAAGAAAGUAGGAUAAACCGGAUUGCCUUUAUUAUAUCCUAGAAACAUUCCUGACUCUAAAAACUGACACAUCGAUUUGAGAGCCAACUACUACAAAAACACACAUUAAAUUAAUGUAUUCGUGAGCAGUUCAAAGCCCGCUUUUACUCAAUUUUGCCUCUUAAGAUGCGCUAAAAAUCAAAAGUGAAUUUCACUUAUCAUUGAGGCCAAAAGGCCUCUUCGGUGCCACACCUCAACCGAAAGCCGAGCAUAGCCUGAGGCAAGGAUCCCCAGGUUAUCGAGCAAAGCUAGCCAAGUCGACAAGACCUUGAUUACCGUGACUGCCUAAAACCCAAACUACGUGCCAAAAACUCUUUUUCCUCANNNNNNNNNNNNNNNNNNNNNNNNNNNNNNNNNNNNNNNNNNNNNNNNNNNNNNNNNNNNNNNNNNNNNNNNNNNNNNNNNNNNNNNNNNNNNNNNNNNNNNNNNNNNNNNNNNNNNNNNNNNNNNNNNNNNNNNNNNNNNNNNNNNNNNNNNNNNNNNNNNNNNNNNNNNNNNNNNNNNNNNNNNNNNNNNNNNNNNNNNNNNNNNNNNNNNNNNNNNNNNNNNNNNNNNNNNNNNNNNNNNNNNNNNNNNNNNNNNNNNNNNNNNNNNNNNNNNNNNNNNNNNNNNNNNNNNNNNNNNNNNNNNNNNNNNNNNNNNNNNNNNNNNNNNNNNNNNNNNNNNNNNNNNNNNNNNNNNNNNNNNNNNNNNNNNNNNNNNNNNNNNNNNNNNNNNNNNNNNNNNNNNNNNNNNNNNNNNNNNNNNNNNNNNNNNNNNNNNNNNNNNNNNNNNNNNNNNNNNNNNNNNNNNNNNNNNNNNNNNNNNNNNNNNNNNNNNNNNNNNNNNNNNNNNNNNNNNNNNNNNNNNNNNNNNNNNNNNNNNNNNNNNNNNNNNNNNNNNNNNNNNNNNNNNNNNNNNNNNNNNNNNNNNNNNNNNNNNNNNNNNNNNNNNNNNNNNNNNNNNNNNNNNNNNNNNNNNNNNNNNNNNNNNNNNNNNNNNNNNNNNNNNNNNNNNNNNNNNNNNNNNNNNNNNNNNNNNNNNNNNNNNNNNNNNNNNNNNNNNNNNNNNNNNNNNNNNNNNNNNNNNNNNNNNNNNNNNNNNNNNNNNNNNNNNNNNNNNNNNNNNNNNNNNNNNNNNNNNNNNNNNNNNNNNNNNNNNNNNNNNNNNNNNNNNNNNNNNNNNNNNNNNNNNNNNNNNNNNNNNNNNNNNNNNNNNNNNNNNNNNNNNNNNNNNNNNNNNNNNNNNNNNNNNNNNNNNNNNNNNNNNNNNNNNNNNNNNNNNNNNNNNNNNNNNNNNNNNNNNNNNNNNNNNNNNNNNNNNNNNNNNNNNNNNNNNNNNNNNNNNNNNNNNNNNNNNNNNNNNNNNNNNNNNNNNNNNNNNNNNNNNNNNNNNNNNNNNNNNNNNNNNNNNNNNNNNNNNNNNNNNNNNNNNNNNNNNNNNNNNNNNNNNNNNNNNNNNNNNNNNNNNNNNNNNNNNNNNNNNNNNNNNNNNNNNNNNNNNNNNNNNNNNNNNNNNNNNNNNNNNNNNNNNNNNNNNNNNNNNNNNNNNNNNNNNNNNNNNNNNNNNNNNNNNNNNNNNNNNNNNNNNNNNNNNNNNNNNNNNNNNNNNNNNNNNNNNNNNNNNNNNNNNNNNNNNNNNNNNNNNNNNNNNNNNNNNNNNNNNNNNNNNNNNNNNNNNNNNNNNNNNNNNNNNNNNNNNNNNNNNNNNNNNNNNNNNNNNNNNNNNNNNNNNNNNNNNNNNNNNNNNNNNNNNNNNNNNNNNNNNNNNNNNNNNNNNNNNNNNNNNNNNNNNNNNNNNNNNNNNNNNNNNNNNNNNNNNNNNNNNNNNNNNNNNNNNNNNNNNNNNNNNNNNNNNNNNNNNNNNNNNNNNNNNNNNNGAGAGUGGCGAAGUACACCACUAGGUCAACUGUGGCAUGAGUAAAUAGCAAUAAAUAAGCAAAUAAAUGCAACAGGUACGAAAAUAAACCGAUCAUGCUAUUUGCUCAAAAAUAAAUAUAUAUAUCACAGGUGUAGGUACUAGUUUGUCAUGAUAGAUUCUGCCAUUCAUGUUAGUUAACAAUUUAACUAGUCAUAUGCUAAAAGAUAUGCGAGAUAAUUCAGGUUUACUGAAAUCACGGAUAAUUCAGGUCUACAUUAGCAAUAAUGAAACAUGCUGUCAUUAGGUAUUUGACUAAUCAUAUGCCAGAUUGUUCAUCAUUACAAAAUAAUUGAUGAUAUCUUUCUACACCCGUAAAAGUGUAACACACCGUCACUAUGUCACUAACGUCAAGAUGUCAACUGUCUAGCUUGUUCCUCAAUAAGUUCACUCGUCAUUUAACUACUCAAAGUUUGAAUUUUGUAAGACCCACCCGAAGGCUGUCUGGCACGGAGACCCACCCGAAAGCUGUCUGGCCUGAAGACCUACCCGAAGGCUGUCAGGCCUGAAGACCCACCCGAAGGCUGUCUGGCAUGAAGACCCACCCGAAGGCUGUCUGGCAUGAAGACCCACCCGAAGGCUGUCUCGCCUGAAGACCCACCCGAAGGCUGUCUGGCAUGAAGACCCACCCGAAGACUGUCUAGCCUGAAGACCCACCCGAAGUGUAACACACUGGAUUUUUGUAAAUUGCGGGGUUCGAGUGUUUGAUCUAUGAUCCGAGCUUUUUUCAGUUAUUCUGGAGGGUCGUUGACAGUGUUCCGACCUAUGGUUUGUACCCCGAGAAUUGAGGUUUGAAGCUUUGCACCAAAAUCUGAAAAGUCGAAUUUUUGGUCAGCUCUCGGGUAGCCUUCAGCAGGCUGCGUACCGGUACAGGGUUGAUGGCUGUACCGGUACAGGGUUGAUGGUUGUACCGGUACGGGCUCGUGUACUGGUACACAGGCAGCUUCCCAGCCAACCCGAGACUCGGGUUUGGCAUUUUUGUAGGAUGUGUACUGGUAGACGGGCCCGUGUACCGGUACGCAAUGACAGUUUUUGAAUGGUCGAACUGCGGGGGUGUUUUUGCAAUUGUGGCUAUCCUGUAUAUCACCCACGCCCCUUGGGGCUUUCCCUGAGCUGAGGAAGGAGGAGAAGGAGGUAAGAGAGCCCUCUUUACCAUUUCUUUGGUUUUGAUCUCCUUUUAGUUUGGAUUUUGGUGGAUUUACUUCUCUUUUUGCCUUUUGGAGCAAUUUCCACCAUUGUUGAAGCUUGGAGCUUGGACUUGAGGCUUGUUUGAGGAAAGAUCCUUGAACCUAGCGGACUUUGAGCUUGGAUUGAAGCUUCCAAGAGGUUGGUAACAAGUUUCUUCCAUUUAGAUUCUUGUUUUGACGGUUUCUUUGAGAUUGAACCCUAGAAUGAAGAUUUAGGGCUUGAUUUGGGGGUUUUUGAUAUAGGGCUCUUGGAGCUCAAUUGAUUGGUCUAGAGCCUUUAUCUAGGUUGCGUUGGAAGGGUUCUAGCUCUCCUUUGGAGCUUGUGAGGGAUUUUCACCACCAUAGGUGAGUUUUGGCCCUUUCAUUGAGUUGGUUAAUGUUUAAUCUAUUCGUUGUUCGUAACGUUCGUGUAUCUCUUCGCUCCUUACUUUUAGGGUACUUAGAGACUCGUGGACAACUCCGUUCGGCGAAUCGAAGGAUUCCGAAACGGUUCGGUGGGUUUGACCUCACCAAAAUGAGAUAAAUUUCUCAUUUGAUGGUUUUGCUUAUCGUAAAAUAAAAAUGCACGCAUAAUCAUGCUUGAUAGAAUAUUUGAGAUUUUAUAAUGCUUAAAAUGCACAUGCUAUGUACGAUGCAUAUUUGACCUCCAUAAAGUAGAGAGUUUUCAUGUUGGCUUGGGGCCUAUGGUUAGCAUUCUCAUACUUAGUUGUGGGUAAUGUUUCAUUUAGUGAAAUUGAUGUGUGCAUUGCACUUUUGGACUUUGACCCAUGCUUGGUAUAGUAAGCCAAUGUCAUAAAAAGGCAUUGGGCUUGGACUAGAUAUGGAUUUAUCAAGCUAAUAUCAUAAAGAGGUAUUAGGCUUGGCAUAUAUGUGGACUUAAUAAACCUAUUGUCAUAAAGGGACAUUAGACUUGAUGGAUAAGCGAAUUGCAUGUGCAUGUUAAUAAUUAUGAGAACUAUGCUCUGUGGAUAGAUACAUGUUAACAUCUUUAUGCAUUGUAGAAUGCAUGCGUGGUACACAUUAGUAAUAUGAGAUCACAUUGGAGAACAUGCGUAUUAACCUAUUGUUAAUGGGAUAAGCCAAUGUCAUAAAGCGACAUUGAGCCUGGGACAUGUAUGAAUCUAGUGAGCUAAUGUCAUAAAGAGGCAUUAGGCUUAGAAUACUUAUGGACUUAGUAAAUCUAAGGUCAAUGACAUAGAAUUUUUAUUGAACGGUUAAACCUUCACAUUGAGACAUUGAACUACAUCUUCGAGAUGCUAGUGACCUUUGCCAUGUUAGAGACAUGAUGACUGUUCGGUGUCUAUUACCAUGUUGGAGACAUGACGACUGGACUAUUGAGGUAUUGACCAUGCUUGCUUGCCAUUUGUGCUCAUUCGCACAUGCGUGUGAGGGUCGCUCCCUACAAGCCAGCACUCCGGAGUUGGCCUACGCGACUUAUGUUCGCUCGUGCGGUUUUGAGAAGCCUACGGAGUCGAGUGGGACAGACACAUUCCAAGAGCAGGAAUGUUGGGCUACCACAGGCACUUAGGCGGCACAAGCCGGACUACACCCGUGUAGAUCCUGAUUGAGAUUGAACCAGAAUUUUGAACAACAAGCUAACAUUCGCUACUAGUUAGGUUAUAGUAGUUGGACUCUUGAUAUGCUAUGGCAUAGAGUUGGACAUUUGGGCUUAUAGUAUACUUGACAGUAUCGCUUAUUACAUUGUAGUAUUUUGGUUGCUAUGAUAGUACAUACUAGAUAUGUAGUGGACUUUGGGACAUAUAGCAUACUUCAUAGCAUUACUUGUUGUAUCAUAACAUAUUGUUUAAGUUUCGACAUAUUGGAUCAUGUAGAGUAGAUGUACUCCAUGUUGACAUUCAGAAUACUUGUGGCAUUGUUGUAUAGGCUUCUCUCUAUGCUUUCUUUUCCGCAGUUACAUCUCCUUAUCUAUAUCUGUUUAUGCUUUGGGCCUAGUGGUGCAAUUUGGUGCAGGUCAGUAAUUGCCCACUGGGAACUAUAAUUUAUAGUUCUCACGCCCCCUAUUUUAUGCCUUCUUUCAGAACCUUCCACUUCGGGAGAGGCUCGGGAUCGCGGGAAAGGUAUCGCCUUGGGCUAGCUAGCGCGGGAUUUGGCGAGUGGUGGUCCACCUCCCUUUUGUUUUCUUUGGAGAGGUUGAGAGCUGUACCAGUGUAUUAGAGACCACCCUGUUGUGUACUAUUUUGGACAGAUAUUGUAUAACUAUAUGUUUCACUCUUAUUGCUUUAGUAUUUUCCUUUUAUCCUGUUGUAGAUGAUAGAUCUAUUUGUGUUCUGAUAUCACUAGAUGUUGAUUAUCUUUGAUUUUAUUUUUCGCUGUUGAUGUAGACGCCUUAUAUGUGCUGACAUAUGGCGGGUCUGGGCACGCUACCGGGAGGGCCUUUGCAGGUCCCGGGGCGUGACACGAAGGCUGUCUGACCUGUGUCGCGCCUAAUAGCCCCGCGGGAGUUAACACUACCCACGACAAUCCAUUUUGGCACUCACUUCAUACAUAAGCGAGCAAUCUGUCACUAAGCCACACCGGAGCACUGGCUUGGGGGGGGCGUGACCCUCACAAGUAUAGGCGAAAGAGCACAAUGGCAUGCAAGCCGUAAUCCAUGGUACAAAUAUUACAACUUCAUCACGUCUCUGACAUGGAAUCUCGACUCGACCCAAGGUCGACACGGUAGUACCCAAAUGUAAGCCACCAUCAACAACUUGUUAACAUAAUUCUACCAAUAGCUAGGAUAACUUAAGAAGUUAAGUUUUACCUCAUACUAGUGAUUCUAUUAGGCUACACCUAGACACUCACUCAUAGUCUUCUCACUACUCCUUACACAUAAAGAAAGUGGUUUGCUGAAGUCGUAUUCAAAGACUCAUGGCACAUAUCCUGUAGUUCAAUGUAAACCUCCACUACCUGGAGUAAACAAAUACUAUGCAAUUACAUCUACUUGACUAUACAAGCAUGUUAUUGUAUCCAAAUCUAGUUAUUUACUAGAUUAUAAUCAGUUGUAUAACAUUCAAGUUAUGCCGUCAUACUCAAUUCUAGUUAUUCAACUAGAUCAUAUAUAACAACAUGAAAUUCAGACUAAUUUGUCAUGUGAAAGCAGGAACUAACUAGUUGAUACAAGUAGAUAAGAUGCGCGAUAGAAUACUCUUCACAUGACCUCUAUGCCAUUCAUUCUACAAUUAUGAAUGCAUACUGAAACAAAUGCCUUUACGUGAUAUAUUCAGCAUUUAGCCAUUAUACUUGCCAUAUAGAAUUGCAUAGUCUAAUCCUAAGUGCAUCAUUCUCUUUGCUGUUCAACUGAACUAAAUAGUAUAUUCACGAUUUUACCGUUAUAUCCUCUUGAAUGACAUUAAGUUAAAUUGCUUAUGCAAGCUACCAAUAUCAUGAAUGAGUUUAGUCUAAAACUAAACCUCUACUUCCAUCCAGGUUGAAGCACUUCAACUCGGCUUGAUCCCGCUCAAAAGAGUCUCAAUAUUCAGCUCAAAAUAAUCACUAAACCUGCUGUUAAUUAAGUCACAAAACUACAUUGAAAGUAGUACCACAACAUCCAAAUCGGCAAAAUCCUCACCUUAUUCAAGGUUGUAGUUCGAAUCCCUGAUUUGGUUCACUUUAGUACCUCAAGUUUAACCUCUAAAGGCUCUCCAAUAGCAGCCGGAGAUAAUUCGAAGGUCCGUCGCAACCUCGCCCUAGUUGGAACACCUUGUAAACCAGCUCCCAAGGUCACAAACUCAGCUUAAAUCGAUUUGAAAACCCGUUGCAAACAAUAAUUCCAAAAUUGCAUCACUACUUCACCAAUAUCAUCGUUUUCAUCAUGAAAAUAGAGAAAAAGCUCAUUGUUUGCCUCCAAGGCUCCAAAUUUGACUUUGGGGUGAAGAGUUACAACAAAACCACUCCAGCUGGUAGCAAGAAUCAAGAACCAACUUCAAAAGCUAUCACUAAUCUCAAUCUAGAGAGAAAACUAGUUAGUUUACCUCACUAGACUUCAACUCAGCUUCCCUGUGAGUUGAAGCUGCGAAAAUACCUCCCCUGCGAGUCCUUUCCACCCACUCGCAGCUGUUCCAAAGCCCGCAAACCUGCUAGCGCGAAGAAUGGCGAGAAAUAGGCGCAAAUCGGCGAUUUCUACUGAAAGAGAGAGAAAUCCUAGAGAGAGAAAAUGAGAUAGAUGCAAAACCACUUCUCAGAGCUCUAGUGUCACGCCCCCGGACCGGCAGAGGCCCUCCCGGUAGCGUGCCCAGACCCGCCAUAUGUCAACACAUAUAAGGCGUCUACAUCAACAGCGAAAAUAAAAGUAAGAAAUAAUCUAUACCUAGAGAUAUCAGAGCAUAAAAGAUCUAUCAUCUACAGUAAGGUAAAAGGAUAAUACUAUGACAAUAAGAGUGAAAUAUAAGGUAAUACAAUAUCUGUCCAAAAAGUACAAAAAGGGUGGUCUCUAAUAUACUGGUACAGCUCUCAACCUCUCCAAAAUAAAAUGCAUCGAGAGGUAGACUACCUAGCAACUCGUCACUCGCUGAAGAGCUAGUUCGAAGCCACGCCCUUCCCACGGUCACUAGCCUCUCCCGGCGUGGAAGGCUCUGAAAAAAAACAUAAAACAGAGGGCGUGAGAACUAUAAUUUAUAGUUCCCAGUGGGCAAUUACUGACCUCAGCUCAGUGCACCACUAGGCCCCAAAGAAAAGGGUAAGUCUAACAAUAAGAGUAACGAGUAAAUUGCAUAUUAGAAAGCAUAAUAAUUAGGAUGCUAAGCUACAACUUGCAAUUAAACAUGGCAUUCCUAAUGCGACUUUAUCUUGUCAUGGAUAUAUAUGUUCACAAGUAAUAUCAUGCUUUACUUUAUACAGAUAUGAAAGUAAUACUUGGUCAUGACUACAAUGCAUAUAAGGAUGCAAUAAACAACAUCUCCUAGCAUACUACAUGUAUGUAUGUAUACUCUAGUGUCCAAAACUAUGCUAGAAGCACGUCCAAGUAACCCAACUACUACUCUCUAUCUAGUAGUGAUUAUAACACACACAACACCGUGUCGAUUUCCAUUUCCAAUUAAGGACCUACCAAAGGUAGUCCAGCUUGUGCCGCCUAAGUGCCUGUGGUAGCCCAACAUCCCUACUCUUGGAAUGUGUCUGUCCCACUCGACCCCGUAGGCUUCUCAAUACCGCACGAGCGAACAUAGGUCGCAUAGGCUAACUCCGGAGUGCCGGCUUGUAGGGAGCGACCCUCACAAGCAUGUGCGAAUGAGCACAAAUGGCAAGCAAGCAUAGUCAAGGCUCAAGUAUCCAACCCUCAUGUCUCAAACAUGGCAAAAGCUACUAGUAACCCAACGGUCUAGGUCUAUGUCACAAUGUGAUAGCUCAACUCUCACUUGUUUAGUGCCUCUUUAUGACACUUAAGCUUCACAACCAAUCAAGCUCAAUUCAUGUUCUAUGUUUCAAAUACGACAUUAUACCAACGUUCAUUAUAGCCCGGGGCCCAAUGCCUCUUUAUGACAUUGGCCCAAAAUCUCAAAUGGUCUAAGUCCCAAAGCCUCUCUAGGCUUCCAAAGUCCCUAAUAUCACAAUUAGGCUUAAAGGUUAAAUGCAUGAAAGUAAUGUUCAUUUUCAUCAUACGAAUCAAGGUUCUAAGUUCCAACUAGAAUGCUAUGUCCCACAUGCAUGCAUCCUACCACAUAGGGGUUCAAAAAUUCACUAUACAUAACAUAUGCAUGUUAAGCAUUCUAAAAUUCAUAAUAAAUAUAUCUAAUAUGAUUAUGCAUGCUUUUUCAAUUAACGUUACUCAAAACAUCACAAAUGAGAUUUUCUCAUUGUGUGGCUAGGUCAAACCCACCGAACCGUCGCGUAGUGCCUUGCUUCGCCGAAUUAAAUUGUCCACGAGUCUCAAAAUAACCUAGGGAGUAGAAAAUCCUUCUCAAGCUCCAAGAGAAGGCUAAAUCCCUUCCAAUCCAACCAAAAGGGAGGCUCUAAUCCAAGAAAUUUAGCCCCAAAAGCCCUCCUUAGAAGAUCCAAUCCAAGCUCCAAGGGUGAAGAUCUCCUCCUUUGCAAGCUCCAAGUCCAAGCCUUCAAGCACCAAGGAAGAAGAGAGGGUGAGGAAGAUGCUCCAAGACCACUAGUUGCUCUCAAUCUUCUUCUUCUUUCCUUCUUCUCCUUCUUCUUCUCCUUCUCUAUCAAGGGUGUAGAGAGAGUUGAGAGAAGAGAAAUGAGGAGAAGAGGGAGUGGAUGGGUCAUAUAGACCAUCUAUUGCAACAAAAUCCAGCUAGGUCCCUCAAAAAUCCAAAAUUGCAUCAGCUCGGUCUGGGCAAUUUUCGCCCAGAGGGACCGGUCUCUCCCCAGAAGGGACCGGUCUCUCGUGUCGAACCCGAAAAACCAUCAUUCGGGAACCGGUCUCUCCCUGCGCGGGACCGGUCUCUCACUGCGAAGACGCGCUCGGGGACCGGUCUCGCCCGCCAGGGACCGGUUGCCUCGCCGGCUGCGCAAUGCUAUUCACUGGGGGACCGGUCUCUCCUAACAGGGACUGGUCCCCGAGAGUGAAAACUCUCAGGACUCGUCCAAAACUCGGGUUUUUGAACUUUUUAGGUCGGAAAACAUCCCAUGACCCUCCACCAAGUGUGGAAAAGCUCGAAACACAUCCAAUCACUCGAACCUCGCAGUUUGCAAAAGUUCAGUGUGUUACAUUCUCCCCUCCUAAAAAGGAGUUUCGUCAGCGAAACUCAAAAGCAAAGUACCUCAAGACUCUAUCUGAAAAAGAUGGGGAUAGCGCUCCCGCAAUGCGCUCUCCAACUCCCAAGUGGCCUCGCGCUCGUCGUGGUUGCUCCAAAGCACCUUCACGUAGGGAAUGUCUCGGUUCCGCAAUCUUUUUACCUCGCGAGCCAAAAUCUUCAAAGGUUGCUCUUCAAAGCUCAAAUCAUCCCUCAGCUCCAAAGGAGUAGCGUCCAAAAUAUGAGCCGGGUCGUGGAUGUACUUCUGAAGGACCGAUACAUGAAACACAUUGUGCACACCCGAUAGGUUCGGCGGUAGAGCAAGUCUGUACGCUACCGGGUCUACACGCUCCAAAACCUCAUACGGUCCAAUGAAUCGGGGGCUCAACUUACCCCGAAUUCCAAAUCUCCUAAUCCCUCUGGUCGGCGAGACUUUCAAGAAGACAUGAUCUCCAAUCUGAAACUCCAAAUCUCGUCGACGCUUAUCAGCAUAACUCCUUUGCCUACUCUGGGCUGUCAACAGUCGCUCCCUAGCAAUGCGAACCUUGUCUUCUGCUUCCUGGAGUACAUCAGGGCCUAAAGCCAAUCUCUCGCCAACUUCACUCCAAUGAAGUGGCGAUCUACACUUCCGUCCAUAAAGUGCCUCGAACGAUGCCAUCUUGAUGCUUGCUUGAUAACUGUUGUUAUAAGCAAACUCUGCCAUCGGUAGAUGCUGCGACCAUUCUCCCUGAAAGUCAAUCACACAAGCUCGAAGUAUAUCCUUGAGAAUCUGUAUAGUACGCUCCGACUGCCCGUCGCUCUGGGGGUGGAAAGCUAUACUAAAGUCUAAGCGCGUCCCCAAAGCGUCCUGUAAGCUCUUCCGAAAAUGGGAUACAAAAUGGGGGUCUUGAUCCGAUACUAUAGAAGUAGGUACCCCGUGAAAUCGUACAAUCUCAUCCAAAUAAACCUGUGCGAGUCUCUCACCAGUCCAAGUAGUGUGGAUAGGUAUGAAAUGCACUGAUUUCGUCAAUCUAUCCACGAUCACCCAAAUAGCAUCAUGCCCGGCCUGUGAGCGUGGCAAUCCCAUCACAAAAUCCAUGGUGAUCUUUUUCCAUUUCCACACUGGAAUCGGUAGGCUCUGCAACUUCCCCGCAGGAACUCGGUGUUCAGCCUUCACCUGUUGGCAAGUUAAACAUCUAGCAACGAACUCACCAAUAUCCUUUUUCAUCCCGGGCCACUAAUAAAGUAAUUUCAAAUCCUUAUACAUCUUGGUGCUUCCCGGAUGUAUAGCAUACGGUGCUCGGUGUGCUUCUUGAAGAAUGUCCUCUUUAAUGCCCAAGUCCGCCGGUACGCAUAGCCGUCCGCGGAAACGUAUCCAUCCAUCACUGUCCAUAGUGAAAUCACUAGUGUAACCAUCAACCAUCUUAGCUCGAAACCUUUGCAACUCCGAGUCAGAAGCUUGCUUCUCUUUAAUCCUUUCCAAAAGUGUAGGUUGCACCACCAAAGUCAUCAACCUCAAAGGUGUGUCAGGAGCUACCACCUCCAACUCCAACCGCUUCAUCUGCUCGAUCAACGGCGGUUGAGUAACCACAAGCAUCGGUAAGUUUUCCGUCGAUUUCCUACUUAGCGCAUCAGCCACCACGUUAGCCUUGCCUGGGUGGUAGAGAAUCGUCAGAUCAUAAUCCUUGAGCAGCUCCAACCAUCGGCGCUGCCUUAGGUUCAACUCCUUCUAUUUUGCUAGUGCCAUCCUAUAGGGUGCCUUUGAGAUUAGAGUAGUCCCGGGAACGAGAUCUACCACAAACUCAAUCUCCCUAUCAGGUGGCAUGCCUGGUAGCUCCGCAGGAAAUACGUCUCCAAACUCCCGCACUACGGGGAUAUCCUCAAUCCUAGGGGCGUCUGCAUCAUCCUGCAACAUAAUAGUAGCCAAAUAGGCUACGCAGCCUCUGCUGAUCAACUGCCGAGCUCGAGAAGAGCUAAUCGUCAUCGCAAACAGCGAACUCUGGCAUCCUUGGUAUACAACCUCCGCCUGCCCCGGCUCUUUAAACGUCACAGUUCGAUUCUUGCAAUCAAUUGUGGCGUAGUACUUGGUCAACCAAUCCAUGCCCAAAACAACAUCAAACUUUCCAAGUUUAUGCAAAGUUAGUAAGUCCGCGGGCAUGAUCCAAUCUCCAACCUGAACAGGCAUCUGUCACGCCCCGAGACCGAUGCCAAUUUGGCCCGACCCGAGCACGUCAAACAGACGCCGAACGGACAGAGUUUCCCCUGUCCGCCCAAGGCUCAUCACGCGUACAAAAUUCAAACAAGAAUUGCACUAGCGGAAACAUACACGAAUGGCUUACACGAGGGUAAGCAGUAGCCAUUAGUGAAAGAAAGGAAAACUAAACAUCCAUAAGUACUAUGAUUCAUUUUAGAUCACGUACAUUGCAUCCAUUUCUUACAUUUAGGAUUCUUGCAUUUCAUUACAUCAUUCCAUCAUUUCUUUCUUACAUCACAUUUACCUCAAAAUAAGCUUUACAUUCUUUUCUUUACAUUGCUAAUCAUCAAAUACAAAAGAUGAUAAAAGGGGGGUUUGCUAACAAAAUGUACCCAACUUUGGUGGCCUCUGACUAAGGCGCGAUACCUUUACCUCGGUCGCUCGCCGGCUCACUCGAACCCGGCUCUGUGGAAAUAGUGGGGUGAGAACUACAACAAAGUUCCCAGUGGGUUCGGCCUCAACAUCACCGACUUUCCCACUAAGACUAACUCAGGCAUAAUAGAAAGGGUAAACAGGAUAUAGUAACCAAUCUAUAACAUGAUGCUAAUAUGCCUGAACAAAUAGCAAGAAUAUGCUCAACAUUAAAUAAAUGCAGAUUAUGCAAACUCAUUCGUUCUUUGACUUUACUUUGUACUUUGUUCUUUAUUCUUUGCUCUUUGUUCUUUGUUCUUUAAUCAUUAAGGCUAACCCGGGGGCUUCGCUAUGUUAACUUGCUUCACAUUAAGUCCAUCAUCGCAGGAACUCACCAGCUAGGACCGUCCUUCGGGUUUACUCCAACCCGGAUGCAUAACUCCGGAGCGCAUCGCCCGAGGGGGAGCGACCGCCCUCGAGCACGGAACUCAUAGCAAGUAUGGUCAUAUCCUUAACUCAAAGGAUUUNNNNNNNNNNNNNNNNNNNNNNNNNNNNNNNNNNNNNNNNNNNNNNNNNNNNNNNNNNNNNNNNNNNNNNNNNNNNNNNNNNNNNNNNNNNNNNNNNNNNNNNNNNNNNNNNNNNNNNNNNNNNNNNNNNNNNNNNNNNNNNNNNNNNNNNNNNNNNNNNNNNNNNNNNNNNNNNNNNNNNNNNNNNNNNNNNNNNNNNNNNNNNNNNNNNNNNNNNNNNNNNNNNNNNNNNNNNNNNNNNNNNNNNNNNNNNNNNNNNNNNNNNNNNNNNNNNNNNNNNNNNNNNNNNNNNNNNNNNNNNNNNNNNNNNNNNNNNNNNNNNNNNNNNNNNNNNNNNNNNNNNNNNNNNNNNNNNNNNNNNNNNNNNNNNNNNNNNNNNNNNNNNNNNNNNNNNNNNNNNNNNNNNNNNNNNNNNNNNNNNNNNNNNNNNNNNNNNNNNNNNNNNNNNNNNNNNNNNNNNNNNNNNNNNNNNNNNNNNNNNNNNNNNNNNNNNNNNNNNNNNNNNNNNNNNNNNNNNNNNNNNNNNNNNNNNNNNNNNNNNNNNNNNNNNNNNNNNNNNNNNNNNNNNNNNNNNNNNNNNNNNNNNNNNNNNNNNNNNNNNNNNNNNNNNNNNNNNNNNNNNNNNNNNNNNNNNNNNNNNNNNNNNNNNNNNNNNNNNNNNNNNNNNNNNNNNNNNNNNNNNNNNNNNNNNNNNNNNNNNNNNNNNNNNNNNNNNNNNNNNNNNNNNNNNNNNNNNNNNNNNNNNNNNNNNNNNNNNNNNNNNNNNNNNNNNNNNNNNNNNNNNNNNNNNNNNNNNNNNNNNNNNNNNNNNNNNNNNNNNNNNNNNNNNNNNNNNNNNNNNNNNNNNNNNNNNNNNNNNNNNNNNNNNNNNNNNNNNNNNNNNNNNNNNNNNNNNNNNNNNNNNNNNNNNNNNNNNNNNNNNNNNNNNNNNNNNNNNNNNNNNNNNNNNNNNNNNNNNNNNNNNNNNNNNNNNNNNNNNNNNNNNNNNNNNNNNNNNNNNNNNNNNNNNNNNNNNNNNNNNNNNNNNNNNNNNNNNNNNNNNNNNNNNNNNNNNNNNNNNNNNNNNNNNNNNNNNNNNNNNNNNNNNNNNNNNNNNNNNNNNNNNNNNNNNNNNNNNNNNNNNNNNNNNNNNNNNNNNNNNNNNNNNNNNNNNNNNNNNNNNNNNNNNNNNNNNNNNNNNNNNNNNNNNNNNNNNNNNNNNNNNNNNNNNNNNNNNNNNNNNNNNNNNNNNNNNNNNNNNNNNNNNNNNNNNNNNNNNNNNNNNNNNNNNNNNNNNNNNNNNNNNNNNNNNNNNNNNNNNNNNNNNNNNNNNNNNNNNNNNNNNNNNNNNNNNNNNNNNNNNNNNNNNNNNNNNNNNNNNNNNNNNNNNNNNNNNNNNNNNNNNNNNNNNNNNNNNNNNNNNNNNNNNNNNNNNNNNNNNNNNNNNNGCCUGGACUGGGCUGUUUUCGCAGGCAGAGACCGGUCUCCCCGAGCAGGGACCGGUCCCCGAAGGCCCACCCUGCGGAGCCAGAGCUGCCGCGCGCAAUGCAUCCGGUCCCUCCUUGGGGGACCGGUCUCUGGGGGACCGGUCUCUCAAACAGAGACCGGUUCCCGAGAGCUGUCCUUCCAGGACUUAGCCGAUUUUUCGGUUGUCUCAUUCUGCACGCGUUCGGGGACCGGUCUCUCCCACCAGGGACCGGUCCCCGAGAGCUGAAAAUCUGCAGUUUUGCAGAAUUUGAUUCUUUAGCUCUCGAAAACCUCCCGUAACUCACUUUUACUCAUUUUAACACCUUCGGGCUUUCCGAAGUGUACCGUCCUCGCACUUUGGUCAAUUUGAUCAAAGUUCGACAUUUUUAUCUUUCGAAUUUUCGGUAUAUUACAGGGCAACUGGGGCAAAACUCCCGAAUGUCCAAGGAAUGGUCGGGCACAACAACUCGGCCCGGGUGCAACAAAGAUACAAGCGGGAUGCCAUGCAACUCGGCAAAUAGCCGGUCUAUGAAUGAAUGCGAUGCACCGGUAUCAAACAAUGCUCUAACUCGAAUACUAUAAAGUAAAAUGAUACUUGCGACCACAUUCUCGGCUGCCGCCGCCUCUUCCGUCUGGGCGGCAUACAUGCGCCCGCUCGGGGCCUGUCGGGACCCCUCCACCUGACGCUGAACUGGCGGCCGUCCUGCCUGAUGAUGCGCAGAAGAUGUCCCCUGACUGGGACCUGGCGAUGCUGGUGCAGAUGCCGAAGAUGGUGCUGGCGCUAAACCUCUCGGGUAGUCCGACCGGAAGUGGCCCUCCUGACCACACAAGAAACACCUGCCCUGGCUGCGUGAACACUGUCGCGGGUAGUGGGGACCACCACAGAUCACGCAGCGGGGAGCCUGGCGACGAUCGGGUCCUCCUCACUGAGUAGACGAGCCACGUCCUCGCGACUGGCUCUUGCUCCUGGGGUGCCUUGGCGGCCUCCGUGAGUGCGUCUGACUCACACCCUCAGCCGCUGGCCUCUUGCCCUUGCCCUUGUCUAGGGCCUCGCGUCGCUCCUGAAGGUCUGCCGCUCCAGCCUCCACAAUGAGUGCACGGUCCACAACCUCCCAGUAGGUUUGGAGGUUGAGGACUGCACCAACUGGAAGAUCGAAGGCCGCAAUCCACGCUCAAAGAUGCGGGCCUUGUCCUCAUCGUCCUGGACCACAAAAGGUACACAGUGGAGUAGCCGAGAAAACUCUCUCUCGUACUCGGCCACUGACCGCUCGUCCUAGCGCAAGCUGCGCAAGUCCUGCUCCAUCUUCCUCUUGAUGUUGGUCAGGAAGUAGUGCGCCAGAAGGAGCUCCUUGAACCUCGUCCAAGUAAUCACUGCCAAGUCGGUGUUGGGGUUGUCCUAGAUAUCCAACCACCAACGGUAGGUCUCGCCAUCGAGAAAGUGAGCGGCGAGCCAAACUCUGUCCCACUCAUCCACAAAAGUGUCUCGAAAAAGCUUCUCCAUGUGCAUCAACCACUUCUCAACAAUCCAGUGGUCGACGUUCUCGCCAUCAAACAUCCUCGGGCUGCACCUCCUGAACUCACUAAGGCGCUCCAUGAGCCGAUCCCGCUCGGCUCCCUCGGCCAUCACGGGGAAUGCCGCCCCUGUCGCUGGUCUCUGAACUGGGGGUACCGCAGCCACCUCCUCCCGAGGUGUGGUCGCCGGUGCCGCACGGGAAGAACUGGGCGCGGGGGACUGCGCCCUCGGUGCGACGUCCACCACGGGUGCUGGCGGUGUGGGAACCUAGGUCUCCCUCGAAGCUGCCGCCUGCUGUAGCAAGAGAUCCUCCAGAUGCUUCAUCCGCGUCUCCUGCCGCUGUGCUAUCUCGGCCUGUCGCUGAGCGGCCGCCGCCUGCUGCGCUACAAGGUCAGUGAGGACCGCAAGCUGGGUCCUCAAGUCACGGACCUCACUAGAUCCGGAAGUAGCGGAGGUCUCGACCUCCUCGGGGUGUGCCGCAUCAUCCGCCCCGGCAGACUGGGAGCGUGUAAUCGGCAUCGUCACUACAGAACAUAAAAGUGCAAGUUAGUAACCCGCACUAUGGAAUCCCCGCUCAAAUAACAAUACCGAAAUCACGCGAAAGUAAGGAAGUGUUAUCCACAACUAACUCCCGAUGUUACGUUGUCGGCCGCCAACGUAACCCUCCGCGAAGUUAGAAGCCAUACACUCCGGUCAAACUCUAACUUUUUAGAGUUGUCAUAAAACCCAAUUAUAAUACUUUCGCUCACAAGUCGAAUAUACCUCGUCUCUCACGAGCCUAUUUUCUAUAGUCCAACCAGCUUAAGGUUUGCUAGGUCCUCUAAGACUCAACCCUAGGCUCUGAUACCAAAUUAAUCUGUCACGCCCCCGGACCGGCCUGAAACAUUUACACUUUUUUUAACAAAAAUUAAACACUUCUUUCUUGCGAUGGAUAUUUAUACUCUGUUUCUCCUCUUAUUGCACUUUUUUAAGAUUAAACUGCAUCAUUAAUGAUAAAAGUACCUCUUUAAAAUGGAAAGUUGCAUCUUUGAGAAAUAUUUACACUGUUUUCUUCUAUUCUUGACUUUUGAGAUUUAAACUGCAUCUCUUUUACGAGGGGGAUAAUUUAUUACUGUUUCUCCUCUCUGCUGCACUGUUUUUUUUUGUUUUUUUUACCCACUAUUUCUGCUUCCUCUAUUAUUAUAUUUUUAUCUCUUAAAGGGUGCAGUUUAAGAAUAAAAUAGUGUUUCUUUUUUUGUUUUGUAUGGGUAAUAAGAGGAAAAAAGAUCUUUUCUCGUGUGCAACAAGAUUGACAGAAACAGUAAUAUCUUCUUGAGAGGUUUUGCACGUUUAAUCUCAAAGAGGUCAAGAAGGAUAAACAGUAUAAAUAUCUCGUCAAAUAAGUGCAACUUUGGUCUUUAAAAGAGUUGUGUUGUUUGUAACUUUCAUCCUUAGAUGGAAUGCAAUUUAACAAAUCUGAAGAAGUACAAUAGGGGGAAAACAAUUGUAAAUCUUUAAAAAGAGUAAUUAAUUUUUGUUAAAGAGUGUAAUUUUUUCUUAAAGCUGGUUUACAUCUUAAGUAGUUGCAACUUAUAAUUUUUUUUGCUUAAAUAGUUAACGAUAUGCAAUUUCCAUUCAUCUUCUUUUUCUAUAAAUUUAUCUUAUUUUUUUUUCUUAUAUUUUCUAUAAUUUUUUUUAGUCACCCUCUCUGCCAACUGGCCACGGCGCGCGGCGACACCGCUAAAGACCCACCGCUUCCGAGUUUGCAAACAGAGCGUCGCAGUGACCUUCACGGUUCAGUGUCUCGGAACCGUUGGGCACGGCGAAGAAACAAUGCGUGUCGUCGUCGAAGGAGGCGGGUAGGGGAAGCGAGGGAUCGAGAUUGAGAAGGGCGGGUGCCUAAGGGCGAGGAGAGGAUCGUCGUCGGGGGUGGUAUUAGAGGAGAGUCGGGAGAAGGAGAGUGGAGAUGGGGAAAAUCAAAAAAAAUCGCGGCGAGACCCUCGAUGGGCGUUUCGGAUGGUCAGGAAGGUUAGGGGUGUGUUAUAGCAGGGCGAGAGGUAAAAGAAUGCGCGGCAAUAUCGAAGUAACGGAAUUGACAAACCGAAGUAAUACAGAUAGCUCGUAGUUUUAGGCCUGCGCCGCCUCCUCUGCCUCGACUCGCCUCCGCCUCCGCUCCGCCUCUGUCUCGCGCUCUCUGAUGGAAGAGAUAAGGAAAAUAAGAUACGAUAGAAACAAAAAAAGAGGUUGGGGAGGGGACGGUGGAGGUGUGAGAAAAGGGAGUGAUUUAUAUUGAUAUUAUAUAAGAGUUUUGUAGCAGUUGCUGAUAAAUAAAUUGAUCGAAAAAUCAAGAAUAAAAAGAUAAAAAAAAUGUGAAAAAAAUUAAAAAUAAAAAGCGCGAGACCGAAUCUGAAAAAAAAAAAAACAAAAAAAGUGUUGCCGCUUUCCCAACCCAAAAUAGUCUGGAUUUUUUAUGCCAAAUUGGGGUCAUUUUAAAUUUAUUGUUGUUCUACAUAAAUUUUAAAGGCAUCUUCUUUUUGCAAAUAAAAACCACAUUUUGCUGGGUGGAUUGAAAUUGGGUUACCACUGUCUUUUAUGAUUUGCAGAUUCGUCCGCGAUCGGCGGGAUAUUUUUAAUUAUAACUGAUCAAAUACCUUAUUACAUUUUUCUCUUUCCUUUUUUUGAUGCUUCCAUCGUUCUUUUGUUUCCUCCUACGUCAGAAGAGAUAUUAGAAGAGGAUGAGAAAUGAGGAGAAGGAGGGAGUGGGCAUGGAUCAUUAUAGACAUCUAUUGCCCAACAAAAUCCAGCUAAGGUCCUCAUAAAAAUCCGAAAAUUGCAUCAGCCCGGUCGGCGCGGCAAUUUUCCCCAGUAGGGACCGCGUUCUCUCCGAGAUGGGACCGGUCUCAUCUGUGAUCGAAACCCGAAAAAACUAUCGUUCGGGGAACCCGGGUGUGGAUCUUCCCUGCGCUGGGGACCGGUCUCUUCACUGCGCAAGACCGCUCGGCGGAUCGAUUCAUCGCCGCCAGGGAUCCGGUUGCCUCGCCAGGCUGCGCCACACUGGUUUCACUGGGGACCGGUCUCUCCAUAAAGGACGGUCCCUGAGAGUGAAAACUCUCUAGAGACUCGUCCAAAAACGUGAGUUUCGAUACUUUUUUAGUUCGAAAAACAUCCCACGAGCCGCUCCACCAAGUGUGGUAAAAGCAACGAUAAACACAUCCAAUCACUCGAACUCGCCCACGUUUGCAAAAAGUCCAGGAGAGUAGACUAAUUGGUUACAUUCACCCCUUCUCUAAAAAGAAAGUUUCGGUGCGCGCAGGAACUGCCAUAAAGCAAAGCUACCUCAAGCUCCUCCAUCGAGAAACAAAAGAUGAGGGGAUAGCGCUCCCGCAGCUGCACUCUCCAACUCCCACGCACGUGAUUCGCCUCGCCUUUGGCCGCCCCCCUUCCGUGCUUUGCUCGGGUUGCCCCUCCAAAGCAUUUCACGUUAAGGGAUGUCUCGGUUCGCAACUCUUUUUUACCUCCGCCUCCUUGCGCAGCCAAACAAUCCUCAAAGUGUUGCCUCUUCAAUGCUUCAAAUACAUCCCCACUCAGCUUCCAAAGGCGUAGCGUUCGCCAAUUCAAUAUGGUGACCCGCGUGCCGUGGACUCAUGUCACUUCCUCUCCGAUAUGACCCCGAUAGAAUUGCCAAAUUCACAGUUCAUGCACAAUGAGAGAGUAGGUCGCGCUGGCGUAGAUGCAAGUCUGUGCGACCCUCCUUUCUUCGCACUCUCUGGGCGCGUCACCACAGCGCUCCAAAACCUCAUAACGGUCAGAUGAACUGGUGGAGAGCGGCGGGCCCUUCAUACCUCCCUCCAUCUCGAAUUCCAGAUCUUCCUAACUCCCUGUCGAAACGCCGCCCUGGACGUCGCGCGUGAGUGUUUCGCAGAAGACAUGAUCUCCAAUCUGAAACUCCAAGUUCUCGUGACGCGCAUAUGCUCGCUACCAGCAUUAACUCCUUUCCUACUCAUUGCUGAGCCGAUGCUGUUCCAUCCAGUCGCGUCGGUUGCCGCAUAAAAAGGAAGGGCCUAGCAAUGCGAACCUUGUCUUCUGCUUCCGUGGCGAGCACAUCAGGGCCUAAAGUCCAAUCUCUCGCCAACUGUCACUCAGUAAGUAGGAGAUCAUACACUUGACCGUCCAUAGAGUGCUCGAACGGUGGGUUUGGACAAUAAACUAAUUAUAGUCUGUAUGGGGCAUAUAAGAAUCAUAAAAUAUCUCUUCUGUUAUUAAGUCAAACAUACAUGCUCCUAACUCGAGGAUAAAAGAAUGCUGGCAAAAAAUAUAGUAGACGACGCAAGAUAAAUGACCUUACACUUGCGAUACGUUACAUUCACUACAAGAUGUUCUCUGUGAUUGACACAAAUUAAUUAUAUUCUGUUUCUAAAAGGAGAAUUCUCUGGCGCUAUUUGAUAUAGUUAUUACAGACUUUACCUCUCUAGAAUAAUUUUUGCACUAUUUCUUUUCCUUGUUUUUCCUUUCUCUGUUUCCAUACUUUUCGGUGUGGUUUGUGAUAAAUCUCCUUGCUACUAAAGUCUAAAGCGCUGCUCCUCCCAGGGAGACUCCGUACCUCGCUCAAAAGUCUCUCUGCUACCACCACUCGUAGACGCACUUUNNNNNNNNNNNNNNNNNNNNNNNNNCAGAGGCCUACCCAUUUAGCUGCCCAGACCCGCCAUAUGUCGACACAUUAUAAGGCGUUCUACAUUCACAUCGGAAAAUAAAAGUAAGAAAUAAUCUAUACCUAGAGAUAUCAGAGGAUAAAAAAGAUCUAUAUCUACAGUAGUAAAAGAAAUUACUAUGACAUAAUAGUGAUGAAAUAUAAGGUAUACAAUAGCUGUCCAAAAGCACAAAAGGGUGGUUUAUACACUGGUACAGCUCUUAACUCUCCAAUAAAAUGUAGUCGAGACGGUAGACCACUAGCAAUCGUCCACUCGCCUGAAGAGUAGCUCGAAGCCACGGCGCUCCUACGGUCCCCUAGCCUCUCCGGCGUAGAAGGCUCUGAAAAAAAAUUAUAAAACAGAUGGCGUGAGAACUAAUAAUUAUAGUUCCCAGUGGGCAAUACUGAAGCUAACUCAACUGCACUACUAGGCCCCGAGAAGUAUAAAAGGGUAAGUACGGUAAACAACGAAAUAAUAAUCAACUGUGGUAUGAAAGUAUGCAUUUUACUAUACCACAAACAUUACGUGCAAUGGUUUCCACAAUUACUUUUUCAUAAUUAAGAAUGUCAAUGCACAAGUAAUAUGUCUCAACAUACCACAGCGUAGCAUUCACGGUCCACUUUAUGAAGUUAAAUAGAUCAUGCUUUUAUGGCACCAAUGUAUAUAUAUGGAUGCAAUAGACAAUAUCUCCUAGAUACUACAUGGAUGUAUGUAUACUCUAGUGUCCAAAACUAGCCUAGAAGCACGUCCAAGUAAACCCAAACUACUACUCUCUAUCUAGUAGUGAUUAUAACACACACAACACCGUGUCGAUUUUCAUCUCCAAUAAGGACCUACCAAAGGUAGUGCAGCUUGAUUGCCCGCUAAGUGCCGUUGGUAGCUUCAAACUCUUACUCUUUAGAAUGUUCUGUUCGCCACUCGACCGUUGCUCUCAAUACCGCGACGAGCGAAACAUAGGUCGAUAGGCUAACUCCGGAGGCCGGUUGUAGGAGCACCCUCACAAGCAUGUGCCGAAUGCAGCCACAAAUGGCAAGCAAGCAUAUCAAGGCCUCAAGUAUCCAAACCCUCAUGUCUCAACAUGGCAAAAAGCUAUUACUAGUACAACGGGUUCUAGGUCAUUCACAAUGUGAGUGGGAGCCAACUCUCACUUGUUUAAGUGCUCUUAUGACACUUAAGCUUCACAACCAAUCAAAGCCAGAUUCAUGUUCUAUGUUUCCAAUACGACAUGUAUACCAACGUUCAUUAUAGCGGGGGCCCAAUGCCUCUUUAUGACAUGGCCUAAAUCUUCAAAUGGUCUAAGUCCCAAAGUCCUCCUAGGCUCCAAAGUCACUUUAAUAUCACAAUUAGGCGUUAAAGCGUUAAAUGCAUGAAAGUAAUGUUCAUUUUGAUCAUAGGAAUCAAGGUUCUAAGUUCAACUAGAUAUGCUAUAGUCCGACAUCUGCAUGAUCCUACACAGGUUCCAAAAAAUUCUACUAUACAUAACAUAUGCAUGUAAGCAAUUCUAAAAUCAUAAUAAAGUAUAUCUAAACAUGAUUAUGCAAUCUUUUCAAAACGUUACUCAAACAUACAAAUGAGAUUUUCUUAUGUGUGGCUAGGUCAAACCAGCCGAACCGUCGCAGUAAGGUGCCUGCUUCGCGCAACGAAAUUGUCCAGCGAGUCUUCAAAAUACCUAGGAGGGGAGUAGAAAGAAAUCCUUCCUCAAAGCUCCAAUGAGAAGGCUAAAUCCCUUCCAAUCAACCAAAAGGGGCUCUAAUCCAAAAAAUUUAGCCCCAAAAGCCCUCCUUAGAAGCUCCAAUCCAAGCCUCAAGGCGGUCUUGUAGAUCUCCUUCCUUUGCAACAAAGCUCAAGUCCAAGCCUUUCAAGCACAAGGAAGAAGAGAGGGUGAGGAAGAUACUCAAAGACCAUAGUUGACUCGUCUAAUCUUCUUCUUCCUUUCCUUCUUCUCCUUCUCCUUCUUUUCUCUUCUCUUAUCAAGGUGUAGAGAGAUGUUAGAGAGGAAGGAAAUGAGGAAAGAGCGGAGUGGAUGGGCGCAUAUAACCAUCAUUGCAACAAAAAAUCCAGCUAGGUCCCUCAAAAUCCAAAAUUGCAUCAGCCCGGUUCUGGGCAAGUUUCGCCCAGAGGACCGGUGUCGACCAGCCAAUCACGCAGCCCUGUCUCUCCCCAGCAGGGAACCGGUCUCUCGUGGUCGAACCGAAAAACCAUCGUUCGGGAACGUCUCUCCCUGCGCGGGACCGAUUCUCUCAGUAGCGAAGACGCGUCGGGGACGGUACCCCAAGGGACGUGUCUCGCUGACUGCGUAAACUUGGUUCAAACUUGCGGGGACGGUCUCUCCAUAAUAGGGACCGGUCUCGAGAGUGAAAACUCUCAGGACUCGUCCAAAAACUGAGUUUCGAACUUUUUAGUUCGAAAAAAUCCCACGACCCUCCACCAAGUGUGGAAAAGCUCGAAAACACAUCCAAUCACUCGAACUCGCCCAGUUUGCAAAAGGUCCCCUAGCCUUCUCACGGGCGUGAAGCUCUGAAAAAACAUCGACGAAAGAAGCGUGAAACUAUAAUUUAUAGUUCCCAGUGGCAUACUGACCUCAGCUCAAUUGCACCACUAGGCCCCAAAAAGAAAGGUAAGUAACGCAAUAGAUAAUAAACAAUAAAGAGCCGGUAUAAGAACUGCUGAAAGAAAGUAUAAAUGAAAUGCUACUAUGAUGUCUCAAGUAAGCAUGAUGGCAGUGGUGUGUACAUCUACACCUAUAUUAAAUAAUAUGUCCAAUGCAUACUAAUAGCGCUGAACAUUAUAAAAAAAAGUAAACCUCACCAUGCAUAUGUCAAUGCAAAAGCGAGAUUCUAUAAAGAACCCGUUACUAGAUGCAAUUGAAUGAAACAGAAGAUACACUUUAUAUCUCAAUGCUAUGUCGUAAGCAUGUCAGUUGAAUCUAUACUACUAAGCCUAUCUAGUAGUGAUUAUUCAUUUCAACACUGUGUCGAUUUCCGAUUUCAAUUAAGGACCUACAAAGAUAGUCCAGCUUGUGCCCGUCCUAAUGCCUGUCGGUAGCUCAACAUCCCUACUCUUGGAAUGUGUCUGCCCACUCGACCCACGCCGCCUCCCCCACGUAAGGUUUCAAUACCGUAACGACGCGAACAUACGGCUCCCGUAGGCCGUAACUCCGGAGUGCCGGCUUGUAGGAGCGACCCUCACAAGCAUGUGUGAAUGACACAAAUGGCAAGCAAGUAUAGUCAAGGUCAAGUAUCAACCACUCAUGUUCAUAACAUGGCAAAGCUUAUAGUAAGCCCAACGGUAUAGAUCUAUGUCACAAUGCCUGAUAGCUCAACUCUCACUUGCUUAGUAGCCUCUUUAUGACACUUAAGCUUCAUAGCAAGCAAGGCUCAAUUCAUGUCCAUGUUUCAAAUACGACAUUUAUCACGUUUCUGAUAGCCGGGGCCCAAUGCCUCUUUAUGACAUUGGCCCAAAAUCUCAAUGCCGUCUAAGCCAAGCCUCUCCUAGGCUUCCAAAGUCCCUAAUAUCACAAAUGAGGCUUAAAGUAAAAUGCUGAAAGUAAUGUUCAUUUUCAUCAUAGGAAUCAAGUUCCAGUUCCAACUAGAAUGCUAUAUCCCACCAUGCAUGAUCACACAUAGGGGUUCCAAUCACUCAUAUAACAUAUCAUGUUAAGCAUUCUAAAAUUCAUAAUAAAUAAUUAACGAUGAGUUAUGCAUGCUUUUUCAAUUAAUGUUACUCAAAACAUCACAAAGAGAUUUUCUUCAGUGUUGUGGCUAGGUCAAACUCCACCGAACGUCGCGUAUGCACUUACUUCGCCGAACGAAGUAGUCCACGGAUCCUUAAUAUCCUAAAAGUAUGAGCGAGAAUACACGGGCAUUACGAUCACUAUAAGAUCAAAACAUUAAUAUGAAGCAAAAGGGCCAAAAACUCACCCAAGAGUAAAAAUCCUCUCCUAAGCUCCAAAGGAGAGCUAGAAUCCUGUCAAUCCAAGCCCAAGGAAGAUUCGAAACCAAAAGGAAGUCUAGCUCCAAAGCCCUAGAUUCGAAAACGCCCAAAAUCAAACCCUCAAUCUCAUAUCUAGGAUUCCAUCUCAAGAAAUCAUAAACAAGAAAAUUAAGAGGAGAAAUAGGUAGUUACCUCUUAGAAGCGUUCAAACCAAGCUCUAAACUCUCUAAGUCAAGGAUUCAAAAGCCCAAACGGCAUAACGCGUAAACUGGUAAUGUCCAUACCGUUUCUAAAAGCGAUUUUCGAUACAGUCCUAGGUUGACCUCAACUGGUGAUUAUCCCGACUCAAGUCGAUCUUGAAUACCACACAAGUCGCUGAGCUGAAUAAAAAAGAUCAUUGCAAAUCCUUCGCGUAAUAGGAUUGUUCUUAAUGCUUGACUUUAUUAGUUCACGAUAGUCCACCACAGGCGAAGUGACCACAUUCUUCUUCCAAACUAGGACGGUGUUCCCAGGUGACACAUCUGGUCUCAUGAAACCCUUGUCCAGAGAUCUUCAAGCUGUGCCUUUCAACUCCUUACAAAUUCCUGCUGGCUCCUAUAGGUGCUUGAGAUUGGAGUAGUCCCUGGAACGAGAUCUACCACAACUCGAAUCUCGCCUAUCAGCUGGCUGCGGGUAGCUCCGCCAGAAAAUUACGUCUCCAACUCACCAGCACAUAGCAGGGAUUAUCCUCAAUCUAGGGAGCCGUCAUGCAUCAAUCCCGCCAAGCCACGGGACCGCGGAGGCCCUCUGUGUAGGCUGCAACCCAUAUGUUACAAUAGGAAGAACGUCUACAACACAAACAAGCGGAAAUAAAAGUAAGAAAUAAUUUAUAUUAGACGAUAUUAGAGCAAGUAUGAUUCUAAUCAUCUACUAAGAAAAUACAAAGAUCACAACUAAACCAUAAAAGUAAAAAGUAAAAGUAAAACUAACAGUCCCGUAAAAUCCUGUCUCUAGUACAAAACAAUGGUGGUCUCUAUAAUAUACGGUCACAACUCUCGAUUCCUCAAAUAUAAGUAACGAGCAGGUAGACCAGGUAUCAAAUCGCGUCGAGAGGGUAAACUAACUCGGGAGCAACUCGCCUUCCGCAAGCGGGUCCCGUAGCCUCUGCCCGGCGGAAGGCCUGAAAACAUCGAGAAAAGAGGGAGAACUAUAAAUAUAGUUAGUGGCAAUUACUGACCUCAGCUCAACUGCACCACUAGGCCUAAACAGAAGGGUACAGUAACGACAAUAAUAAUACAACAAUAAAGACGAGUAGUUGAAGAAACCUGCUGAAAAAAGUAUAAAUGAAAUGCAUAUACUAUGUUCUCAAGUAAGCAUUACACCUCACAAGGCUGUAGGAGUCUGCUGGUGAUAAGAUAGGUAUGAUAUAAAGAAGUGAAAUUACCAAAAUCUCUCUCUUGGCUCCUCCAAAAAUGGGAUACAAAACGGGGGUCUCGAUCCGAUACUAUAGAAGUAGGUACCCCGUGCAAUCGUACAAUCUCAUCCAAAUAAACCUGUGCGAGUCUCUCACCAGUCCAAGUAGUGUGGAUAGGUAUGAAAUGCACUGAUUUCGUCAAUCUAUCCACGAUCACCCAAAUAGCAUCAUGCCCGGCCUGUGAAUGUGGCAAUCCCAUCACAAAAUUCAUGGUGAUCUUUUUCCAUUUCCACACUGGAAUCGAUAGGCUCUGCAACUUCCCCGCAGGAACUCGGUGUUCAGCCUUCACCUGUUGGCAAGUUAAACAUCUAGCAACGAACUCACCAAUAUCCUUUUUCAUCCCGGGCCACCAAUAAAGUAAUUUCAAAUCCUUGUACAUCUUGGUGCUUCUCGGAUGUAUAGCAUACGGUGCUCGGUGUGCUUCUUGAAGAAUGUCCUCUUUAAUGCCCAAGUCCGCCGGUACGCAUAGCCGUCCGCGGAAACGUAUCCAUCCAUCACUGUCCAUAGUGAAAUCACCAGUGUAACCAUCAACCAUCUUAGCUCGAAACCUUUGCAACUCUGAGUCAGAAGCUUGCUUCUCUUUAAUCCUUUCUAAAAGUGUAGGUUGCACUACCAAAGUCAUCAACCUCAAAGGUGUGUCAGGCGCCACCACCUCCAACUCCAACCGCUUCAUCUGCUCGAUCAACGGCGGUUGAGUAACCACAAGCAUCGGUAAGUUUUCCGUCGAUUUCCUACUUAGCGCAUCAGCCACCACGUUAGCCUUGCCUGGGUGGUAGAGAAUCGUCAGAUCAUAAUCCUUGAGCAGCUCCAACCAUCUGCGCUGCCUCAGGUUCAACUCCUUCUAUUCUGCUAGUGCCAUCCUAUAGGGUGCCUUUGAGAUUGGAGUAGUCUCGGGAACGAGAUCUACCACAAACUCAAUCUCCCUAUUAGGUGGCAUGCCUGGUAGCUCCGCAGGAAAUACGUCUCCAAACUCCCGCACUAUGGGGAUAUCCUCAAUCCGAGGGGUGUCUGCAUCAUCCCGCAACAUAAUAGUAGCCAAAUAGGCUACGCAGCCUCUGCUGAUCAACUGCCGAGCUCGAGAAGAGCUAAUCGUCAUUGCAAACAGCGAACUCUGGCAUCCUUGGUAUACAACCUCCGCCUGCUCCGGCUCUUUAAACGUCACAGUUCGAUUCUUGCAAUCAAUUGUGGCGUAGUACUUGGUCAACCAAUCCAUGCCCAAAACAACAUCAAACUCUCCAAGUUUAUGCAAAGCUAGUAAGUCCGCGGGCAUGAUCCAAUCUCCAACCCGAACAGGGAAACUGGAGCAAAACUUUCGAAUGUCCAAGGAAUGGUCGGGCACAACAACUCGGCCCGGGUGCAACAAAGAUACAAGUGGGAUGCCAUGCAACUCGGCAAACAGCCGGUCUAUGAAUGAAUGCGAUGCACCGGUAUCAAACAAUGCUCUAACUCGAAUACCAUAAAGUAAAAUGAUACCUGCGACCACAUUCUCGGCUGCCGCCGCCUCUUCCGUCUGGGCAGCAUACAUGCGCCCGCUCGGGGCCUGUCGGGACCUCUCCACCUGAUGUUGAACUGGCGGCCGUCUUGCCUGAUGAUGCGUAGAAGAUGUCCCCUAACUGGGACCUUGCGAUGCUGGUGCAGAUGCCGAAGAUGGCGCUGGCGCUGAACCUCUCGGGCAGUCCGACUGGAAGUGGCCCUCCUGACCACACAAGAAACACCUGCCCCGGCUGCGUGAACACUGUCGCGGGUAGUGGAGACCACCACAGAUCACGCAGCGGGGAGCCUGGCGACGAUCGGGUCCUCCUCGCUGAGUAGACGAGCCACGUCCUCGCGACUGGCUCCGGCUCCUGGGUGCCUUGGCGGCCUCCGUGAGUACGUCUGACUCGCACCCUCAGCCGCUGGCCUCUUGCCCUUGCCCUUGUCUAGGGCCUCGCGUCGCUCCUGAAGGUCUGCCGCUCCAGCCUCCACAAUGAGUGCACGGUCCACAACCUCCCGGUAGGUUUGGAGGUUGGAGGACUGCACCAACCGGAGAUCGAAGGCCGCAAUCCACGCUCAAAGAUGCGGGCCUUGUCCUCAUCGUCCCGGACCACAAAAGGUACACAGUGGAGUAGCCGAGAAAACUCUCUCUCGUACUCGGCCACUGACCGCUCGUCCUCGCGCAAGCUGNUAAUCACUAUCGAAAACUUCAACCAAGAACUAAGAACGAUGGUCGACCUCACCAAAACAACAUUGAGAAGUGGGGUUUCAGUUUAAACCUCGGAACCUCCGUUUGUUACUCGAAAAAGAGAUAAAAGUACUACUUUUGCUACUAUAACCACUUCAUCACUACGUUAAAACCUUAAUAACAAACGUUGCCCAAAAGUUUAGCUAAAUUCGACUCAAACACUGGAACCCUCGACCAAAUGUUCCACAAGGUUGAUCCCGCUCCAACGCUGCCUGGAAGCUUAAUAGAGGCCGACGAUAACCUCUCGGAAAUCUCCAAUUUGAACUCCAUGAUUUCACUUGGUUUAGUCCCUAAGCUUGAUGUUGGAACUUAUUCCACUCCUAAAACGGCUAAACCUACAACACCAUGAUGAAAGUUACAUCAAAACACUGAAUUAAUUGUCGUCCAAAUCACUAAUAAAACUCGACUUAUAACUCUGAGAAAACUCGCCCUAGUUCGGCUCAACUUCACGAAGUUGGACCUACCUUCAUCUCCAAAUCAAAAUCUGAUUUGAGUAAGUACUAUAACCAUCGAACGUAUUCGUUAAAUUGAAUUACAGUAAGUUCUCCUAUAUUGCCAUUUUAGCACUUAUAUGAUAAAUCAAGUCAACUUGUCGUUUCUCUUACUACGUGAAUCCUAAUCUGAUACGUUAAGAUAUACCGUUCAUAUUACCGAUUUACGACUUAUAUAGUGCAUUUCCGUAAACAAAGUCAUACGUAAGUAUUAACAUCUUACUUACCGUAUCUCCAGUACACUUCUCAUAAGAUAGCGCGUAGAAUAGAUGAACAUAGUUGAUCAAUCAAGGACGAAAGUGUACUGUUUAAUCAGACUUAAAGUACAACAAUAUAUACUAGAUCAACUUAUUGAUCUUAACUCAUACUGCCGUAUUGAACUUACAAUAUGUUGACUAAUAUUAGAUCAUUUAUUGAUCUAAACCUAUGUUAUUGUACGAACAUAUCAGUUCAUCUACAUUAACGUAUCAUAAACAAAUGAGGUCCAUCACCUCCAAAUGUAACUUGAUGUCCUAUACACGGUACUCAGAAACUUAUGCUGAAGUCGUUUGGUGAAAGAAAUACACAUUCCUCAUCACUCUUCUGAUACUCACUCACAGAUCCACAUCGGAUUAUCUUAGUGAUCAUACUCCAUUUUGAAUUGAAGAAUUCAAUAGGAUCGAUAACCAUCUUAAUACAAUUGUUCAACAACUACCACCGAAUGUAAACCCAUGAUGGCACAGCUGGAACCCAGCUCAGCUCUGAGUUAGAGUCUCUGCACUAUUUGAUCAUUAUCAACAUGGAGUGAUCUGAAGUUGAGUCGAAGGUACGGUCAACUUCGAGAACGCUUUUAUGGAGGGGACUCUCAGUGCGGGGUGGGUUCGCGUCGACGAGGCCAUUUCGAAUGGCUGUUUGGACGAUCGCGACUUCUUACUUCUCUUUAUCCGCGUUUUGCCGCUAACAGAUGACUUUCUCUCUCUUUAGGAUCUCUCUCUUUUACUCUAUCUGCGUUUUGGUGCAGUGUGUCGGGAUCACAGUGCGGGGGCCUGGCCGUUUCCGGGAGGGCCAUCGCACGGGUCUGGGCGGUAUACAGUUGUGUAUAUUCCGCAGAUGUAGUUGUCGCUUUUUAUUUUCAUUUUUUAUUAGUUGUGGAUCUCUAUAGUCUUGUGUUUAUCUAGAUAGUAGAUGUUGUUCUAUUUUCCUUUUAUGAUUUUGUUAUUCUCACUUUGUAUUUCAUUAUGUUAUAGACAGGUUUUAUCGUGUGUUUUCCCACCAGAGAUUAUGUGACCAUGUCGAGAGUUGGAGAGGUUUUCUUUUAGUUUUCUCUCCAUCUGGUGGUGAUCGGUUUAGCAGUGCGCGACUUCUCGAUCGGGUUUCGGUGUGGAAAGGGUGCUAGGGCUCGGAGAGGGCUUCAUCUUCCGAGACUUUUUUUUGUAUUUUGUCUCCCGCACUCUUGAUAUUUAAUAUCAAGGGUCACCCGUUAAUGACUGGAUUUGAGUUUAACGUGGUGAUCCGGGGUCUUCUUUUUCCCAUUCAUGUCAUUUGUUGCUAUUCUUCUAUAUUGACGCCAUACUUUCUUUCGUACAAAUGAUCUGGUGUUUGUAUAUGCUAUAGUUACAAGGUGUUCAUGAAAAAGUAUUAUUCCUUACAAGUUACGUGUUCCUUAUACAGAGUUGUAUCGGUGUCGAUGUACAGUGCCAGGUUAUAUAGCUUUGAAUUUGUCUAGUACGAAAUAGUACUGUUGUUACAUAUACUAUACUUCAUACGUUAUACAUUGUUUUAGGUGAUCGUAUAGAUGUACAUACAUGAUAGUAUCGUUGGUUUUAUGAUGUUACAUUAUUCGCUAUGACAGUUCAUAUGAUAUUCGGGUUUACAGGUUGAGAUACGGUAUCGUAUAGUUCUCAGGUUGAUGAUAUUGGAUUGAUCAUCGCUUACAAUCGAACAACAAGUUUUAAGACCAAGUUAGAGUUAGUCCUAGAUGUGCCCACAUCAGGCCGAACACGGCGGAUUCACGGACACCAUCGGGUUGUAAGGACGAGAACCUUACACAGACAGGGUGAGCUGAGGCAUCCGAAGAGUUUUGGCGUGCUCGCUUGUAUUCAGCGCAUCCGGUUGAGGCCUCACGACCGAACAUCCCUCGCUGGGAGUGUGCGUACACGCUUACUCGUGUUUACCGUUCGUUCGUACCAGUUAUGGAGUUAUCAGGUCAGUAAUACAGAGGUUGUACCAUUAUCGCUGAGUUGUCAGUAGUACAGAGAUUGUACCGUUUUCAGUGAUCGUAGAGCUUCUAGAUCAAGUUACAGAGUUACACUUCCAAAUUGGCAAGUUAUUUUUAAGAUACAGUAACUGGAAUCUAAAUGAUUCAGGUAUUCAUAAGAUUCGGAUUACGGAGAAAUACUGUAAUCGAGUGAUCUAAGUAUGUACAGGGUCCGAGUUACAGCGAAAUACUGUAACCGAAUAGAGUAAUUGUUAUCCAAUUAUGUGUACAAGAGGUUACACUAGAGUAUAAUGAUUACACAUGGUGCGUACGUAAGAUGUUACGUAUUUCUACAAUUGUACAUAGAUAGGUGUCUCGUAUCAAGAGUAUUAAUAAUUGUACGUGUACGUUAAGCGAAUAGGUAGUUCAGAUUACAGGGAAAUACUGUUAUCCAAAUAAUUCAGGUGUAUAUACGGUUCGGAUUAUGGAGAAAUACUAUAAUCGAACUAUUUAGGUAUAGAUCAGGUUCGGGUUACGGAAAAAUACUGUAACCGAAUGAUAUGGUUCGUACCCAGUUUCAGGUUUUCACGUUACGUGUGUAGUUAAAGUGAUUUACUUUGUAAUGGGUGUUGAUUCAUACUCUUACGAUUGGUAUCCGGGGUUCGGUUGUACUUUUGAGAGAUGAAAUACCUCCAGUUUAUACGUAGCAUGUAUCGUACACGUAAAAUUCGUAAUAUUUUAGAGUUUAUAAGAUAGUUCGUACUAAUACGCACGUAAAAAUAAAAUGCUAUUCGUUUUGGUAGUUUACUCUUUAAAUAGAGUAAAACCACUCCAGUUUGGGUGGCUUGGCAAAGCCUUAGGAAGCUAAGCGGCUUGCCUCAACAGGUGCUCAGAGAUUCAUGGGAUUUUCAUUCCUCGCUUCUCUAUGUGCUUGCAAUGCUUGUUGCUUAUCUAAUUUGUAAUUGGUUGAGUUACUUUCCCGGUUUUGAGUGGAUACCACCACUUUUAGGGAGUGUUCGAGGUUUCCUCUCGAUCUUGGGAAGGUUGCGUUGGAUCUAUUUCCGAGAUCUGGUUAGUUAACUCGAGGUUCUCGGGAUAUAGUUUUUGGGGGUUUAGUUCGGGAUUUAGAAGUAAGAUCCCAAGUUAGAGUUUCUUUGGCAGUUUUGUUCUUAGAUUUACCUUCUUUGAACAAUGGUUGGAGAACCUUCGAAGUUAGGUUCGAGUUUCAGGCGAUCCAAGUUCCUAGAAAGGAGUUUGUUCGGAGUUCAGGUUCGAGGUUCGAAGUUGUUACCACCUUUAACGAGGUUUUCCGUUUUUCUCUUCAUUUAGGUGGUUUUAGGUUUGAUUUUCCUCUAGUUUUGGUUUCUUUACCAUUUCUCCCGAGAGAAUGGAGGAAGAGGAGGAAGGAGUCGAGUCCCUUUCGGGGUUCCCCGCACCCACUAUAUGUCCUAUCGGUGUUAACGUUUUUGUGGGGGCGUCAAGCUGGUAAGUUUUUGACAGUAACGCAUGGCCAUGUGCCCGGGCAGAUGGUCAUGUGUAGGAUGUUUUUACGGUUUGGGCUCAGAGCCCAACCGACCCUUCGACGGACACAUGGUCAUGUGCUCGGGCAUGGCCAUGUUGGUAGUUGGGACAUGGCCAUGUCGGUAGUUGGGACAUGGCCAUGCGUCGGACGACUUCCGAUGGGCUCUCGACUGGUUUUUAAGCUGAAAAGUCUAAAACCACGUUUCGAAGUUUGGAGUUAAGAGCCCCAUGUUUGGUAUCCAGCCUUGUGACAGUUGCUGGGAGGUCUUAUUGACUUUUUUCGAGCCUAGUAUCUAGUUUGUGAGCUUGGGGCGUUAAAUGUUUUUAGGUCACACAAUGUGAAGCCCACCCAGAAGUCCGAUCUGUCAGAAGCCCACCCAGAAGUACGGUCUGUCGGAAGCCCACCCAGAAGUCCGCUCUGUCGGAAGCCCACCCAGAAGUACGGUCUGUCGGAAGCCCACCCAGAAGUACGGUCUGUCGGAAGCCCACCCAGAAGUCCGGACUGUCGGAAGCCCAUCCAGAAGUCCGGUCUGUCGAAAGCCCACCCAGAGGCACGGUCUGUCGGAAGCCCACCCAGAAUGUUUUAAGUUUGAAACUCAUCAAUUUACUGCUCACUUGAAUAACUCCUUGUUCGAUCUGUCAACUGUAGAACUGCAAUCACUGUAUCACUGCCACACAAUGUGAAAAUGCCCACAUCUUUCUAUAGUAGUUAAUAAAACAUUACUACUUGUUAGACCGUAUACUAAUCAGUUUAUGGAUUACUGUCGUACAAAGUAAUAACGAUUACAUCUGGACUUAAUAGGCACUAAAGUCAUUUGGACUUAAUAGAGCGUAUAGAAAAUCGUAUACUGAUCAAUUUAACAAUUGAUUGUACUUACCGUCUUAGAUAGUACUGUUUGAUCAUGGAUGUGGACACUAUAUAUAUAAAUAAAAACUCGUUUAUCGUACUAGCCAAAUAAAAGCAUGGACAACGUAAAUAAACGAAUAAAUAACGAUAAAUGAGUACGGUGUCAACUGGAUCACCACAUGAAGCGGUGAGAGAUGCCGAAUGGGUGACCCUUGAUAACAAAUUAUCAAGAGUGCGGGAGAAACAACAACAAAAAUGUCUCGGACGGUGUCGCCCUUUCCGAUCCCAAGGACCGCUCCCCAGUCGCCGAUCGAUCUCGGAAGACCUGCAAAUGAUCUGUUGGAAAUAAUCAAAUAUAUCAAAUCAAGUCACUACAUAUUAUACUAGUACAUUUAAUAUUAAACAAGAAUAGACAACAUUAUUCCAAAACCCAACAUAUUCAAUUUGAAAAUCCAAAACAAGACUAAUGGACCAAUCUUAGUUUACGAAAAUGAUAUAACUAACAUCUGCGGACCAUAUAUGAACUCAACACCACAUGUGCCGCCCAGACACGUGUGCUGACCACUCGAAGGCGACUUUAGGUCCCGCACUGUGAAGAGAGAAAUUAAUUUCAAUACCGUGUUGUACGUAUAUUGAAAUAUUUUAAAAUUUUAUAUACGUACGUAUUAAAAAAAUAAUAAAACUAUCAAUUUAUUAUCUUUAUCCUAACAUUCCUGACUCUAAAAAACUGACACGUUGAUUUGAGAGCCAACUACUACAAAUACACACAUUAGAUUAAUGAAUUCGUGAGCAGUUCAAAGUCCUCUUUUACUCGAUUUUGCCUCUUCAAUGCGCUAAUAAUCAAAAGUGAAUUUCACUUAUCAUUGAGGCCAAAAGGCCUCUUCGGUGCCUCAUCUCAACCGAAAGCCGCGCAUAGCCUGAGGCUUGUAUCCUGAGGUUAUCGAGCAAAGCUAGCCAAGUCGAUAAGACCUUGGUUACCGUGACUGCCUAAAGCCUAAGCUACGUACCAAAAGCUCUUUUUCCUCAAAAUUGUUUUUCUCCCAAAGGCAAGAAACGAUAAGCACGUAAAAUUUUGAGGAGCACGAGACACGAGCACUGGACCCUAAUCCACUCUCAACAAAGACCAUGGAUGACCACCAUCCCUUAAGUUUAAACUUAAACCUAAUAUCCAAAAUCCCAAAUAUGAAGCCAUAUACGCGCUAUAUGCCUGAUUAAUCUCUCGCCCACCCAAGGCAGCGCUUAGGCACUGGUCUAGACUGCUUUGUUCUACCAUCAAACCUACGGGAGCAACACGACUUGCGCUACCACGCUAGGCAAGCCUUUAGGCUUCUUGCCUAACGGCCUAUAACGUACAACAAGCGAUUCCCCAGCACUCACCUUUAGCCCUUUAAGUGUUUUCAGCAAUAUAAAAUACACGGCUUAACGCACUCUAGCCUGUACCUCCACGCAUACACAUUUUAUGCGUACUACACUCCCUGAACUGACUGUUAAAGUAGGGACCCUCCUGAUAGAACGUUAACACGUAAACAUUAAUCGUCAACGUGAUCCCAAAGCACCCCUUUUGGGAUUGAAACUAAGUAGAAGAGGGAGUCGGCUGGAGAAACGUAGGAGACUUUGGAAGGGGAAGGAUCGGCGAGCGUGAGACCGGCGGCCGCUCGUGAAGGCCGGUGGCCUCAUCCGGAAAAUCACAAGAGGAGAGGAAGCCCAAGACGAAGAAUCCGGCACUUAGGGUCCUUUCGUAGGAAAACGCAGCUUGGUCUCAAGAGGCCGGCUCCGAAGGGAAGGCUGCUGUAUGGGCGGCCGGGGCGGCAGGUGCGCGCAGCGGCCGCGGCGGUCCUGCGCGACUUCAGCGGGUCUGGGUCUCGCCCGGCUCGGCCGCGCUGGAGACGGAGGACCCUAGCGGCGGCGGACCCUGGAGUAUCCGCUAGAGGGAGCACUGGCGGCCGUGGAGACGCAGGCCGGUCGCACCGGCGGCGGCGGCGAGGAUGACAAACGCCGGUCGGGCUCGCUCUAGACCGGCACCAACCGGUCUAGAGAGAGGGGGCGCAGCGGCGACAGAUCCUAGUCGGUCCGGCGGAGGGCGGCCGGAGGCUGCUGGCGAGCGGCAGCGGGCCUCGAGGGGGGUCGGCAGAGGCACCGGAAGCCGGCGGCGAGGGAGAGGGACGCCGGCGCGUACCUGACACGUCCGACUCGGUGCGGGUCGUGGCGGCAGCGGCGGAAGGCGGCGGCCGGCCACACUCGUAGCCGAGGCGGACCGGCCGGUGUGGGCAGGCGGCGGCCGGAGCGACAACGGCCUCGAGAGACAACCGGCCAAGACCCGGCAAGAGAGGAGCCCAAUCCACCGAUCCCGUAGUUACGGGCGGCAGCGGGGGCGGAGGGCAGCGGACAAUUACACUCGGGGCCGGAGGAGACUGGACCUCGUGGAAGGGGACCGGCCGGACCGGCGACAGGCCGGCGGCGGCUGGUGGGGCUCGGGACGGAUCGAGGCCAUACGAUGACAAAAUCCAAGGUCGUGACAUCAAAUCCCAAGGCCAGUGGAAAGCCCGCUAGACUUCCAUGGGGCUACUGUCACCUUCACUCGUGCUUGUAGCAAUGAGGCACGACUCGUAGUAAGAGUGGAGGUAGCCCCAGUUGCCAAGGGGCCAAACGCACAAUCUGCGCUAAAUCUAUGGUACGCGCGACAAAUCGACUUCAAGCGAAGUACGCGCGCGGGAGGUGUCACCAGCCUUAACGAGGCUUUCCACUCGUGCCGGAGGCCGUGCAGUUCUGGACAGUCAUCCACAGAGCCAAACCGACGUACUGAGGACCAAACACAUCUGCCUGGUAUUUUCGCGGCUUUAGCGUACUUUAUUACGCUAAAGCCCAUUAGCCCUCCCGAAAAUACGUUAAACUAAACAGCAUCGAUGACAACCGUCGUACCCACUCGACACCCACUGGAGACCUGACUACCAGGUUCCGGGGCCUGGAAACGCUUCUAGCUUUUACAUAAAGGCCACGCAAACAGCCGUUUUAGGCAGCUGCCUUGCGCCAAAACCAAGCCUUAAUAAGGCUGCCACGAAGCACUCGAUAACACACCAGCGACUCGGAAUAACCGACCAGUGAGCAUAGUAAAGCUCUCAAGUCUUUACUGCCCACUCACUGCCACCCAAGGCCACAGCUUUAUCUGUGAAGGCCCUUGGGCCUAGGGUUGUUAAUAGGUGGUUAUCAACAAAUCAACACAUAGGAACACAAACGACGGAACAGUGUGAUUUUAUUCACAAAUCACCGUCGCUUACUGAGCACCGUACUCAGCCACGGAAGGCCCUAUCAAUCACCCAGGGCCGCCUCAGGGCCACGCUAAGAGCCCUGAAGGCCGCUCAAUGCCAUUAGCCAUAACCCUUUGGCUAGAGGCCCCCUAACAAACACCCAAUACGAAAAUCCCAAAGAAUCGACACCCAAUCUGUGAUUGGGUCACCUGGGAGAAAUCCAGGCCAACUGCAAGAAAACGUCAGUCCUCUGUCCGCGCUGUCAACAUGUCCACCCAUGAAGCUAGGCUUCAGCCAUGUCACCACGUGCGAGCCACUAUAAAGAAGAUAGGGACAAGAAGACAAUGAUAAAAGCAUAAUAUAUGACUCGAACGGAGGGGCAACAAAGAUAAUAUGAGAUGAGUAUACAAAGAUACGGAUCAUAGUACACAUCCUCAUCUCAUCAAAUAGGUAUACACUAUAGCCACUGGAUCGACUAGCCACGAAAAUAGAAUAUAGACAACUGGACCAACCAGCCAACAACGUAAUACAUCACCCAACCAGAUAAAGAACUGAAGACAGCAAGCUACUGGAAACUCCAGCCACAUGGGACUCCCCAUCCUAACCUCAAUCUAGAGAGAAAACUAGUUAGUUUACCUCACUAGACUUCAACUCAGCUUCCCUGUGAGUUGAAGCUGCGAAAAUACCUCCCCUGCGAGUCCUUUCCACCCACUCGCAGCUGUUCCAAAGCCCGCAAACCUGCUAGCGCGAAGAAUGGCGAGAAAUAGGCGCAAAUCGGCGAUUUCUACUGAAAGAGAGAGAAAUCCUAGAGAGAGAAAAUGAGAUAGAUGCAAAACCACUUCUCAGAGCUCUAGUGUCACGCCCCCGGACCGGCAGAGGCCCUCCCGGUAGCGUGCCCAGACCCGCCAUAUGUCAACACAUAUAAGGCGUCUACAUCAACAGCGGAAAUAAAAGUAAGAAAUAAUCUAUACCUAGAGAUAUCAGAGCAUAAAAGAUCUAUCAUCUACAGUAAGGUAAAAGGAUAAUACUAUGACAAUAAGAGUGAAAUAUAAGGUAAUACAAUAUCUGUCCAAAAAGCACAAAAAGGGUGGUCUCUAGUACACUGGUACAGCUCUUAACCUCUCCAAAAUAAAAUGUAUCGAGAGGUAGACCACCUAGCAACUCGUCACUCGCUGAAGAGCUAGCUCGAAGCCACGCCUUUCCUACGGUCCCUAGCCUCUCCCGGCGUAGAAGGCUCUGAAAAAAAAUAUAAAACAGAGGGCGUGAGAACUAUAAUUUAUAGUUCCCAGUGGGCAAUUACUGACCUAAACUCAAUGCACUACUAGGCCCCAGAAGAAAAAGGGUAAGUACGGUAAACAACGAUAAUAAUAAUAACUGUGGUAUGAAAGUAUGCAUGUUUACUAUACCACAAACAUUACGAUGUCAAUGUUCCACAAUUACUUUUUCAUAAUAAGGAAUGUUCAAUGCACAAGUAAUAUGUCUCAACAUAGCCACAGGUACAUGUCACGGUCCACUUUAUGAAGUUAAAUAGAUCAUGCUUUAUCAUGGCAACAAUGUAUAUAUAUGGAUGCAAUAAACAAUAUCUCCUAGCAUACUACAUGUAUGUAUGUAUACUCUAGUGUCCAAAACUAUGCUAGAAGCACGUCCAAGUAACCCAACUACUACUCUCUAUCUAGUAGUGAUUAUAACACACACAACACCGUGUCGAUUUUCAUUUCCAAUUAAGGACCUACCAAAGGUAGUGCAGCUUGUGCCGCCUAAGUGCCUGUGGUAGCUCAACAUCCUUACUCUUAGAAUGUGUCUGUCCCACUCGACCCCGUAGGCUUCUCAAUACCGCACGAGCGAACAUAGGUCGCAUAGGCUAACUCCGGAGUGCCGGCUUGUAGGGAGCGACCCUCACAAGCAUGUGCGAAUGAGCACAAAUGGCAAGCAAGCAUAGUCAAGGCUCAAGUAUCCAACCCUCAUGUCUCAAACAUGGCAAAAGCUACUAGUAACCCAACGGUCUAGGUCUAUGUCACAAUGUGAUAGCUCAACUCUCACUUGUUUAGUGCCUCUUUAUGACACUUAAGCUUCACAACCAAUCAAGCUCAAUUCAUGUUCUAUGUUUCAAAUACGACAUUAUACCAACGUUCAUUAUAGCCCGGGGCCCAAUGCCUCUUUAUGACAUUGGCCUAAAAUCUCAAAUGGUCUAAGUCCCAAAGCCUCUCUAGGCUUCCAAAGUCCUUAAUAUCACAAUUAGGCUUAAAGGUUAAAUGCAUGAAAGUAAUGUUCAUUUUCAUCAUAGGAAUCAAGGUUCUAAGUUCCAACUAGAAUGCUAUGUCCCACAUGCAUGCAUCCUACCACAUAGGGGUCCAAAAAUUCACUAUACAUAACAUAUGCAUGUUAAGCAUUCUAAAAUUCAUAUUAAAUACAUUUAAUAAGGAAAUGCAUGAAUUUCAAGUUUACGAAACAUAUUUGCCAAAUAUGAGCAUUUCUUAUAUCAUAGGCUAGGUCAAACCCACCGAACCGUCGCGUGCUCCUUCGAUUCGCCGAACGGAGUUGUCCACGAGCCUCAAGAUACCCUAAAAGUAAUCAGCGAAGAGAUACGAGGGCAUUACGACCAUCCUAUAAUAUCAAACAUUAACCUAGAAGCAAAAAGGGCNCAAUUAGGCUUAAAGGUUAAAUGCAUGAAAGUAAUGUUCAUUUUCAUCAUAGGAAUCAAGGUUCCAAGUUCCAACUAGAAUGCUAUAUCCCACAUGCAUGCAUCCUACCACAUAGGGGUCCAAAAAUUCACUAUACAUAACAUAUGCAUGUUAAGCAUUCUAAAAUUCAUAAUAAAUAUAUCUAACAUGAUUAUACAUGCUUUUUCAAUUAACGUUACUCAAAACAUCACAAAUGAGAUUUUCUCAUUGUGUGGCUAGGUCAAACCCACCGAACCGUCGCGUAGUGCCUUGCUUCGCCGAACGAAGUUGUCCACGAGUCUCAAAAUAUCCUAAAAGUAUUGAGCGAAGAGAUACACGGUCAUUACGAUCAACUAUAAGAUCAAACAUUAACCUAGAAGUAAAAAGGGCCAAAACUCACCUCAAGAGUAAAAAUCCUCUCCUAAGCUCCAAAAGAGAGCUAGAAUCAUUCCAAUCCAAGCCCAAGGAAGGUUCUAAACCAAAGAAUCUAGCUCCAAAAGCCCUAGAUUCGAAACUCCCAAAAUCAAACCCUAAAUCUCAUUCUAGGGUUCCAUCUCAAGAAAUCCAAUAAACCAAGAAAUUUAGAGGAGAGAAUAGGUAGAUUACCUCUUAGAAGCUUCAAACCAAGCUCUAAACUCUCUAAGUCCCAAGAUCAAAAAGCCCCAAACGGCAUAACGGUAAACUCGUAAUGCCCAUACCGUGUUCUAAAAGCCGUCUUCGAUACGUCCUCAGGUCUGAUCCUCAACUGAUGAUAUCCCGAUUGCAAGUCGAUCUUGGAAUACACACAAGAUCCCUGGAGCUGAUAAAAAAGAUCAUCAAUCCUUGGUAAUGGAUACUUGUUCUUAAUCGUGACUUUAUUAAGUUCACGAUAGUCCACGCACAGGCGAAGUGAUCCAUCCUUCUUCUUCACAAAUAGGACAGGUGUUCCCCAAGGUGACACACUCGGUCUCACGAAACCCUUGUCCAGAAGAUCUUGCAACUGUGCCUUCAGCUCCUUCAAUUCUGCUGGUGCCAUCCUAUAGGGUGCCUUUGAGAUUGGAGUAGUUCCGGGAACGAGAUCUACCACAAACUCAAUCUCCCUAUCAGGUGGCAUGCCUGGUAGCUCCGCAGGAAAUACGUCUCCAAACUCCCGCACUAUGGGGAUAUCCUCAAUCCUAGGGGCGUCUGCAUCAUCUCGCAAGCCCCGGGACCGGCGGAGGCCCUCCUGGUAGCGUGCCCAGACCCGCUAUAUGUCUACAUAUAGAAGGCGUCUACAACAACAGCGGAAAUAAAAACAAGAAAUAAUCUAUAUCUAGAGAUAUCCAAGCAAGUAUGAUUCUAUCAUCUAUAAAGAGAAUACAAAGAUCACAACUAAACCAUAGAAGUAAAACAGUAAAAGUAAGACAUAAAGUAGUACAAUAUCUGUCUCUAGUACAAAAAUGGUGGUGUCUAUACAUAUACGGGUACAACUCUCGACCUCUCACAAAAUAAAGUAACGAGAGGUGGACCGCCUAUCAAAUCGUCCUCGAAGGAAGCUAGCUCGGAGCAACUCCCUUCCCGCGGUCCCUAGCCUCUCCCGGCGUGGAAGGCUCUGAAAAACAUCGAGAAAAGAGGGCGUGAGAACUAUAAUUUAUAGUUCCCAGUAAGCAAUUACUGACCUCAGCUCAAUGCACCACUAGGCCCCAAAAGAAAGGGGUAAGUAACGACAAUAAUAAUAAACAAUAAAGAGCGAGUAUAAGAACUGCUGAAAGAAAGCAUAAAUGAAAUGCUAUACUACUAUGUCUCAAGUAAGCAUGACAUCCUCCACAAGGCUGUAGGAGUCGUGCUGGGGUGAUAAGGAUAGGUAUAAGAAGUGAAAUUACCAAAUUAGCUUUGCUGCCACGUAUCUGCGACUGUGUACCGGUACACGAUGAUGGCUGUACUGGUACACAAUGCAGAAUUUCGCCAGAAAUGCAUUUUCUUGCUUCCGGCCAUUCAAUCACUUCUCUAACUUGUCCAAAAACUUGUCUACGCCCUUUAAAAGGUGUAGGGUAGUUCCACUUAUCAUUCCCCACACUCGAACUUUGCAAUUGACCAAAUUUAGAGCAUUGCAAUUGAAUAGUGCAUUUGCGAUGCACUUUUCCAUUUCCAGUUAUCUGCUUGCUCCAGUAAUUUGCUGAAGCCUCUCAACAAUCCUUCAAAAGUUAUAGAAGAGUUCCCAUAGCUAUUCCAACCCUUGAACUUGCCAGUAGGGCCAAGAUUCAGUAUAUGACAAGAAGUCAAAAUUUAUUCGAUCUAAAUAUCAAAAACAUUAAAUUUAAAUAGCUAUUUACAAAAAAAAUUAAUAUUUUAUCAAAAAGUAAUGCUAUCUGCAAACAUCUAAAUUCUCCUCUCUUUCUCCACCAAUCUCAUAAAGAGAAAAGAUUUAGUACUUUAUUUUAUAAAGAAAUGAAAAAGAUCUUCACCGUUGAUCAAUAGAGGGUAAAAAUAUAAUUUUAACAUUUAGCAUGUAAAAGAGUUAUUUCAUUCGAGAUUAUUUUUGUAAGUAAACUAUGCAACAUUUAAAGAAAGUUUUAAUUGAUAUUCUAAAUUUACACAUUACUUUACACUAAUUUGGGAAAUUGAUUGAUUACCCAAAUUUAGGCCUUAAAAUAGGCAUUUAUUUUAGAAAUUUUAGUGUUUCUCAAAUUUAGGCAUUAAUUUAAAUUAUAAGAAUUUUAGAAAUUGUUCGAUUUCUAAAUACGUUGAAUUUAAAUAUUAAAUAUUAAAUAUUUAAAAUCAAAAAUUUUAAAUUUAAGUUAGAGGAAUUUUGUAUUAUUAUUUAAAGAAUUUGUAAUGUUGGUAAAUAUUUUAAUUCAACAUAUUUAAUAUGUUUAAGAAACUUUUAAGUUCCUAUAGUUUAGAAAUUAACUUUGUAUCACUUAUUUAAAAAAAUUGAAUAUAGGUAAAAAAAAGUGUAAAUUAAAUAUAUUUAAUAUGUUAUUAAAAAAAUUUAGAAUUGUUCUACUUUAGACAUUAAUUUUGUAUUACUAUUUUAAAAAAAUUGUAAUGUUGGCAUAUAUUUAAAUUUAACAUAUUUAAUAUGUUUAACAAAAUUAUGAAUUCAUCUUUUUUAGACAUUAAUUUUGUAUAAGUAAUUUUAAAAAAUUGAAUGUGGGCAAAUAUUUAAAUUCAACAUAUUUAUUAUAUUUAAAAAAUUUAAGAAUUUUUCUAAUUUAGAAAUUAAUUUUUUUCGCUAUUUAAAAAUUUUAAUGUGAAUAAUUGAUUAGAAAUAUAAGGCAUAAUUCAAAUUUAUUCUUAGAAUAUAAUUAUAUGUGCAAAAUUAAUUCAAAUUUUAAUAGUAAAAAUUGAUCUUUUAAAAUAAUAAGAUCAUGCAUUGUAAUUUAAAAUAUAAAUUGAAAACAAAAUAAAUUUGAAGUUGAGAACCUAAAAAGUAUACAGAAACCUCCAAUAAAUCUAAAUAGUAUAGUGUAAUUUAAAUGUCACGUUCCGGGGUUCCUUUUUCCCGAUUUAAAAGCUAAUGCGGAAGUGACCAUUUUUUUUUUUUUUUUUUGAAAAUCUUGACCCCAAAGUAUGUCAGAUCCGCCACAAAUACAGUAAAUUCACUGUUCACACAGACAGAGCCUCCCCUAUAUUUGCACGGCGUCGCACAAGUACAAGAUACAACUACAAAUAUAUGAGCAUCCACAUACAUUCACCAUUCACAUUCACAUUCGUUUCAUCACAGAUAUACAUAAAUUCACAUCUAUUAGUUUAAAAUAUUUUCUACCCAGAAACUCAUUUUAAAACACUAAGAGUAAUGAAAACUAAUAAAAAAUCUUUUCAAAACCGUUUCCCACAUGAAAAAUUUUUUUUUUUUUAAACACAUUACCACGAGGGAUAGAAAAUCGUUUUCAUCUCAUGAAAAUCAUAAGUUCUUUAUUACAUUCACAAAAUCGUACUUAUCCAGUUUACGUGAAACCAACUGAACCAUAAAUACUAAGUUAAUUAAUUAUGUUACGAGAGUCGCGAUAGGAAUUAAACCACAAUGACGGUCGGUAGCUCUAUCGAUCGCUAAGCGCGCAACUCACGAACCGUCCCGACUCAGACCUGCGACAUCACCUGAAAGGGGUUGGGGGUGAGAACAUGUGCACAUGUCUUCCCUCCCAGUGGGUACCGCAAGCCGACGAGGGCGAGCGGUACUCACGAGUCAAGGAGAAUAACAAAAAGUGUAGAUAACUGUAAUACAGUAGCAAUGAUAUAUCAGGAGACGAGAUGUAUAAAUGAAUCACUACCGCUACUGUAUGCAUACAUCAACCGGACAACAAGUCCAAAAUUACCCAAUCAGAAACCUGCCAUAUCGGUUCGUAGACCUCAGGCCCGUGCCACUACUGCUCUAACCUGUAAAUGACCCCGGCAUAAGCUCUUGGGUCAGAAAGGUAUAUAACCCCAGUAUAAGCUCUUGGGUUUGAAAGCAUAUGACCCCAGCAUAAACUCUUGGGCCUGAAAGCAUAUAACCCCAGCAUAAGCUCUUGGGCUCACCGGCUGGCAUUUCGAACCACUUUUUUGGAAAAGAAUACCUUUUUGCGGUAGCCAAACCGCUGGUGUUCGUGAAAUACGUACGAGCAGUGGUAAUCGAUGCUGAUAUACUCAAUAGCCAACCGUCGGCAACUAGCCGACAAUCACCGCCCCUCAGGGGCACACUGAUCAAUAGGUCAUCGAACCGUAAGGAACACAAGUACCGACAAGUCAUGUCACACCCCAAUAAUCCCACAUCGAAUAUGAAUGGGGAUGUGAUUGGGUAUAUGAGAGACUUAGACACUAGUAAUAAUAACUGGGCUUAAGCAUUUUGGGUCGGUGUUUGGGCCCAACGAGUUAUUAUUGCUAGUGGGCUAGGUCGUUAUAUUUGGUAUCAGAGCUAGUUCACCAGCCAGAAAUUUGUGGCAAGUCUCGGCUGACCCAGGGUUUGAAAGACAAGGUGAUAGGCUAUGCCGGAGUUUGAAUGACAAAGUGACCGGCUAUGUCAGGGUCUGGAUGACAAGGCUAGCGAGACGAGUCUCACAUCGCCUGGUGAUCUUGGGCUGUGUGUGUAAUUGGACUGAUGAGGACGUCAGGGCCUUAACGGGAGGAGUCUGUCACACCCCAAUAAUCCCACAUUGAAUAUGAAUGGGGAUGUGAUUAGGUAUAUGAGAGACUUAGAUACUAGUAAUAAUAACUGGGCUUAAGCAUUUUGGGCCGGUGUUUGGGCCCAAUGAGUUAUUAUUGCUAGUGGGCUGGGUCGUUACAACUCAGGUCAACUAGGAUAGAACAACUCAACAUCCUUCCGAAGGUAUGCAAAUAUCGACCACUCAAUGUCAACUAACAUAUAUACACAAGAACCGACCAAUAGAUCACAAGAAUGUCACGUCAUGCAUCAGUAUAAUCCAGAACUAACCGUCAGCCUCUAGCCGACAAUUCUACCCCUUAGGGUAUGUCGACCUCAUAGGUCAUCAAACGACAGGAAUCACAGAACCAACCGAAUAGGUCAUAGUACGAGAUAUAAGAACCGAUCGACUAGGUCACAGAUAUCAUAAGUAGUCAUAAAUCUGCUCUACUUCUACUCAUGAUGCUGGAUAUGUAGACAAACCAAGUAGAGCGAUAAAGAGGUAAUAAAAGUGCAAGGCUUAACAGAUAAAAUGCAACAUGAUAGUAAGAGAAGGGUGGAAAGGAUGUCACCGAGCGUACACCACUAUUGUAAGGUAAUGAAUCCUCGACAUGUGAACCAAACUUUAGUCGAAAUUGAUCAAAGUGUGGUAUUGGACACUUUGGAGAGGUCCGUUGAGCGUUCCGAAAGUUCGGAAUGGCUUAUAACGGUGUAAAGGGCCUUGGAGAGCAUUAUGGAGAAGUUCCAAAAAUUUUUGCAGUCCCUAAACCCUAAACCCUAAACCCUAAAGCUCAGGUGGAGCUGGGGGUGUGUUGUGGGAGGGGUUUAGUGUAAAUGUUGCAUGGGAGGGUAUAUAGAUGAGUUCCCAACUCAUUUCUCUCAUUUCCCCUUCAUACACCAACCCAAGAGAAAAUAUUUUCUCUCUCUAAGUCUCACUUUCUCUCUCCUAGGGUUUGUACCAAGAGGUGGAGAAUAGUGGAGAAGGCUUGCUUGGAGGUGAAGCUUCUUCUUCUUCUUCCUUAGCUUGAGAAGGAGCUUGGCUUAGAGGUAAGCCUCAUGAGAUUUGAUGGCUUGCGGUUAGGGUUUUGGUAUAAUCCCUUAGAAAUGAGUUAUAUGGAAACCCUAGGUGAUGUUAUACUUGAAUAUUGCAUGAAUCAUGAGCUAGUUUGAUGUACUCUUGCAAUAAUGGAUUUUAGGGUUUCUAGAGAGGGUUUUGCCAUGUGUUGGGUUUGCAUCUAAAUUGAGCCUAUGUAAACCUAAUUGAAGGUAAAACCGACACGGUGGGCAACUCAAAUCGGAGUUCCUACGGACGUGCAGUGAAUCGUUGAAGAAAAGUAUGAUUUUCGGUUCGUUUUUAUUGGGUCGAGCCAAAACGACGUCCAUAAAUCACGAGGCUAGGAUUCUCGCACAUCGGCAUCAUUAAGAGGUGGGGGGUGCUAUCCGGAACAAUCGGAUUUUCUUUUAUGUCAAUGUUAUUUCAUAUUGGCCAUAUAUGUACAUGUAUAAACUCAUGCAUUUAGAGUAGUUGUGUAGUUUAUUUUAUUCCUUGCAUGCUCUUAUGGUACUUGUAGAAAUAUGAGAUGGAACAUAGUGAAUUAUGUACAUGAGAAUUGGGUUGUGAACAAAAAACUCUAUGGUGCUAUGACAGAUGAGAACUGGAGACAUUAUGACAUAAAUGGUGGCAUUUGGAUAGAUACAUUGUAACAUAAAUGGUGGCAUUUGGAUAGAGACAUUGAGAACACUCAACAUAUGAGGAUAGGGAUUGGUAUCUUCCCUAGCUUUCUUACCACUAGUUGGUAGGGUAUCAUCGGGAUAGAGGAUUGGAUUAUACUCAUAUACAUAUGUUUCGCUUGGCGAUGGUCGCUCCACCGAAGCAGUGGUCUCCGAAGUACUUCACGGUAGGGGUUAACGUAGCUACCCCACAGACAGUCCCGGGUGAGUGUAGCGGAUGUCUCCUCACUUGCGGGAUUCGGCUAUGAGUCGGGGCAUAACCUUCGGGUUAGCCGGAAUGAUUAGGCUAUGAAAUAUGAAUAUCAUGCAUCAUGAGCAUAGUAGUUGCUAGUACAUGUUUAUUGUACCUGUUUGUUGUUUCAUAUUGCUAAGGCAUGGUAGCAUGCUAGAUGUUUAUUAUAUUGCUAACCCUUCUACUUAUGCCUGCUUAGACCUAGUGGAAAAAUCGGCGGGAUCGGCAGCCGAACUCACUGGGAACUAUUAUUAGUUCUCAUCCCACUUUGUUGCAGGGCCUAGCAUGAACAGACCGGCCGAGGAUCGCGAUAAGGGCAUAUCGCCCUAGAUAGUAGCCUCCUAUGCAUUAGAGUGCCAUGUAUAUAUUGAGAGACUUGAUGUAUUUUGGGAGAGGUUACUCUUAGAUGAUGUAUAUGUAUCUUGAGAUGAAAUUUGUAAACCAAAUGAAUAUAAAUGGUUGAAUAUGAAUGCAAUAGCUAGUAUUUCUCUCUUAUUCCUGCUUGUAUCAUACUUGCAUGAUUCAUGUAUGUUGACUAUGUUUACCUGGGCAAACUAGAUAUACAUGAUUGAUGUUUGUUGACCCUUGGGCGGACAGGAAAAACUCUGUCCGUUCGGUGGCCCGCUCGCUAGCCCGAAUCGACCAAAUUUGCGAUCCCGAGGCGCGAGGCGUGGCAAUUGUACCGACUUCGAGUUGAAGUACCAACCUGUAUGUACGUAGCACUGAUCUCCCGACUGCAGAAGAAAUAUCAACUAGACCUACUAAGGGUCCACCGGGUUAGAAUACAACCCACGAAUGAGAACCACUAACUCACAUUCCCAACUGUAAACCCACGGGAAUCGGUUUCCCUACACCGAUUACUGUAACUCGCCGGAAGUCCCGAAAAUCGCACGAAGACUCCGCCGGUGUAGUAUCCCGGGGGUUUGGUAUCCGUUUGGCUAUAGUAUUAGCGAUUGGUCGACACAUCUGGAGAGUGUCAGACUGAAUCGGAGUCGUUUUUGCACAAAAUGGAUGCAGAAACGGACUUGGCGCACUCAAAUAAGCAAAACUAGAGUUUUGCCAAUUUCGGGCGCCCAGAAAUAGUUUGGGUCGCCCAGAACUUGAUUGCUGAACUGAACUGAAACUGGAUAGCCAAUUCGGAUUCUGGUUUCGGGUGCCCGAAAGUGGGCCCGAAUGUUCACUUUGGAAUUAACAUUUUGCUUUGACACGUGUAAAGUAGUAGGUAGGGUACGCCGGAACACAUUAAGGGCACACCAUACCGCAGGCAAAGGAACCGAAGAGGGAGUGUUGUAUGGACUGGAGAAUUCGGACGCCUAUUUGUGGGUUUCGAGCGCCCGAAAGUCCUGUUUCCUACAGGACAGUAGGUUUGUAUUCUUUUGCUCUUGAGGCUUACUGGACCCUUCUAUCUCUCUAUAAAAGCAUGGGGACGACCCCCUUAGCUGGUUUUUCACCCUCUUUCACAAUGAAGCCUAUAUUUUGCAUCCAAGCCCUACAAAUUCUCCAAAUUUCAUAAUUUCACCUUGAGGACUGCAUUUCCAGCAGAAUUUCUGCAGCGACCUUCGGUGUUUUGGCUCGUGUGCGACAUAGGAAGAUCGGAUUGUUGCGACGUAGGAAGAUCGGAUUGCUGCGAAUCUUGGUUUGGUGGUUAGCUACUUCUUGGAGAUUUCGUGAGGCCAAUUUGACAGCAAUUGAUUGAGGUUUGUUUAGUCAAUUUGGUGUUUUCCUGAGCUGCUCGUGUUUUUGAGCUGAAAUUGAGUUUUUCUUAGUUUUCUUGAUUCAAUCUUUGGAGGAAGCUGGGAUUUAGACCAGAGGCUGUUGUUCCAUCAUUCUCUGCUAGUUUUGGGACUUUUCUUCAUCGAAUUUGUGGACUGGAAGGUGAAUUUGAUAUUCGAAUUGGAGGAUUUAAGCUUAAGUGCUGAAAUUUGAGGGUAUUGAUGCAAUUUUGGUGUUCUUGUGUUAGACCCUUAGAGAAGAUUGUUGCUGGUUCGUGGCUGAGCUUGGGAGGGCUUCUUCUAGCAUUUUUCAGCCUUUUGUCGGACUCACGCUAGAGGUGGGUUGAUGUUAAGCUACCGGAGUGUUCUGAUUUCCUCCUAAGCCUAAUUGAUGUCAGCAUGUAUUUUGGUCUUUUAUAUCUUAUUAAUUAGCUCGAAUUCGUUGAUUUGCAUACUAAUUGAAAUAUAAAUUUGGAGCAUAAAGUAGUGAUUUAGAUAAAUUAUACAUGUUGGACUUGGAAUUGACUUAUGAGAAAACUAUCGAUUCUAUACCGUCACUUUCUGAAACUACCAGAUUUAGCUUUAGGAGCCGUAGUUUGUUUGUAUUGCCGCAGUUUGUGGCCAGUGGAUACCCAGAAUAGUGUAGAAUGCAUUUACGCUCGUGCUGGGAUGCCGAGUUCAUUUUUACAGUAGUGUAUGGACUCUUCCUGACUGUCGGAUGUUGUUGGGGUUGACGGCAGACCUAGAUUGCUAUUUUUGUAUCGGAUUGUGCCGAGGGCACGUAGAUUAUAGUUGUUAGACUAGCUAGACCUUUCUACUUUGCUUAUAGCCUGUGAGAGCCUGAUUAAGUUCGGCAGAGAUACGCUUGUAUACUCGGUUGGGCAGCGCCCAAGAGUGCCACUGUCACGCUCCGGGACCCGGCUUAGGCCCGCCCGGUGCGUGCCUAGACCCGCCAUAUGCCUACACAUAUAAGGCAUCUACAACAAUAAAGAUAUAAAAAUAAGAAAAAGUAUGACAACUAUAGAUAUCAGAGCAACUGACAGCUAAAUAUUAACAACAAGUAGAGAAAAAGUAAACUGAUCCACUAAUAUAAAUCAUAAAGUAAAUACAACAUCUGUCUCAAAAUACAAAAGGGGUGGUCUCUAUACACAGGUACAACUCUCAACUUCUCCAAAAAGAAACCAAUGAGAGUAGGCUACCUAUCGAUAAAUCCCUCGCCAAAGAGCUAGCUCGAGGCGAUACCUUUUCCGCGAUCCCUAGCCUCACCUGGUGUGCAAGGCUCUGAAAGGAAACAAGAAACAGGGGGCGUAAGAACUAUAAUUUAUAGUUCCCAGUAGGCAAUCACUGACCUCAGCACGGUGCACCACUAGGCCCAAAAGAAUAAGGUAGAUAUGAAGAGCAAUGGAAAAUUAACUGCAGAUAUGAAAGCAUAUAUAUAUAUUGAAUGCUAAACUAUUAAGCCAUAAAUAACAUGAUGUCAAUAUGUUGUACGUUCAUUCUACUAUGAUCAAGUAUGUCCAAUACAUAACUAGUAUGAUCCCAUAUGGCAAGCAAGUAUACUGUAAUGCAAUGAGCGAUAUUACUAUGUAUACUACAUGUUUUAAAUGUCCAAAGCUAUGCAUUAAGCAUGUCAAGGUAAUCCAACUACUACACCCUAUCUAGUAGUGAUUAUCAUUAUGAAUUGAUGUCAUUGUUCAAUCUUGUUAUAGGACCUACACAUGUAUAGUACAACUUGUGCCACCUAAGUGCCGGUAGUAGCUCCAACAUUUUCACUCUAGGAAUGAGUCUAUCCCUCCCGACCCCGUAGGUUACUCGAUACCGCACGAGCGAACAUAAGUCGCGUAGGCCUACUCCGGAGUGCCGGCUUGUAGGGAGCGACCCUUACAAGCAUGUGCGAAUAAGCACAAAUGGCAAGCAAGCAUAGUCACCGUCUCAAGUACCCAAUCAUCAUGUCUCUAACAUGGUAUUAGUCACUAGUAACCCAUCGGUCUAGUUCGAUGUCACAAGAUAAAGUUCCAACAUUCACUAAGUCUAGUGCCUCUUUAUGACACUAUAAUAUUGCUAUAUCAAAGCAUGUUCCAAUUCCUAUGCCUCUUUAUGGUAUUAUAUACUAGGUUCAUAUAUAACCCAAGCUCAAUGUCGCUUUAUGACAUUAACUCACUAAUUUAUAUGAUAUACAAGUCCCAAGCCACUUUAUGGCCUAAUGUAUUCUCAUACGUCCAAGGGUAUAUUACCUCGUCAUUUUCACUAUAUGAAAUAUGAUUCCAAGUCCCAAAUGCGAAUGCUAAUCUCAUGCAUAAGUCUCAAAUGUAAGCUCUCUACUACAUAGAGGUCCAAAAAUGUAUUGUAUAUAACAUAAGCAUUUUAAGCAUUCUGAAAUUCAUAAAUAAUGCAACUAUCAUGAAAAUGCAUAAUUUUUCAUUUUACAAUACUCAAAUCAACAAAAAUGAGAUUUUUCUAAUCCUUGGUGAGGUCAAACCCACCGAAGCUUCGCUAAAACUUCUUCGUUUCGCCAAACGGAGUUGUCCACAAUUCUCCUAGUACCCUAAAGGUCACAAGAGAAGAGAUACACAUACGUUACGAAAAGCUCUAAGCUCAAACAUUAACCAAUUCUAGCAAAGGGGCAAAAACUUACCUAAAAUGGUGAUAAUCUCUAUCGAUCUUCAAAAGAGAGCUAGAACCCUUCCAAUUCAAUCUAGAGGAAGGUUCUAAUCCAAAGAAUUAAGCUCUAAAAGCCCUAAGUCCAAAAUGCCCAAAUAAACCCUAAGUUUCCAAUUCUAGGGUUUAUUCUAGUAAAAACCAUAAAAAUAUGAAUCCAAAGGAUGAAACAUGUUACUAACCUCUCUAGAGGCUUCAAUCAAGGCUCAAAACCAGCUAGGUUUGAGAAUCCACUCUCCAACAAGCUCCAAAACCAAGCUUCAAGCUCCUUCUAUGGUGGAAUUUGCACCAAGAAGCAAAACGAGAGGGUUAAUCCACUUAAAAUCCUUGCAAAAAGGGAAUCAAAUCCAAAGAGGGGAAGAGAGGAGGUCCCCUACCUUGUCUCCACUGUCUCCCAGCUAAGGGAACCCUCUAAGGGACGUGGGAUGCUAUAUAGAGUAGCAACAAAAGCAAAAAUACCCCUCAAAGUUGUCAAUUUGCAAUCUGGCAAAGUGUAGUGUACCGGUACAAAUCCUGCUAGAUAGCAAACAUGAGCCUCGGGUUGGUAGAAAAUCCUAUCUGUACCGGUACAACCAUCGAGUUGUCACCGGUACACUUUCUGUACCGGUACAACCAUCAAGGUGUACCGGUACACAGCCUAUUAAAAUGCAAUCCGAGAGCAGCCUAAGUCCAUCAUUUUGGCGACCUUAGCGCUACUUUAAAUACUACAAUUCUCGGGAUACGAGCCAUAGGUCGGAACACUGUAAACGACCCUGCAGAAUAUCUGAAAAAACUCAGAACACAUAUCAAGCACUCGUAUCUCCCAAUUUGUAAAGAUCCAGUGUGUUAUAGCCACUCCGGAGACGGGCAUUGUGCUUUUGCGUUGUUGUCGAUUUGUCCUGGUUGGACUUGCUCUGCACUGACGAUCUAGCGUGGUGGUAGUUAGUGUUGCUUCGAUAGGCGGGACGGGUGUGUUCACAGGCCCUAGUGAGAUUUGGGUUAGACAUUGCAUUAUCUUACCUACAGAUUGUUGAUUAGUGAUAGUAUAGUAGCUUAUAGUUGAAGAGUUUUUUCAGCUUUCUUUACAAACCUUGAGCAUACAUCUGUAGACUUAGUGGAUGAGCCGUUGAGGUCGGUAGCGGUACCCACUGAGGACUACUUCUUUUUACAGUAGUUCUCACACUCAGUGGUGGAUCCUUUUUGCAGAGCCUUCUUCUACGGCUGCUGCUACUGCUGAUCUUGAUCGUGGAAAGGGAGUCGCAAGUUAGAUCCCUUCUAGUGUUGCUGCUGACCUAGAGGAGUACCAGCUUCAAGUAGUGUUGAUUUUUUUUGGGUUCUUAUACAUACUGAUGUUAGAUCCUCGCUCGAGCGAGUGACUUUGUAUCUAGAUACUAUGUAUGUAUGUUGAACCGAUAUUAUUAUUUAUAUUUUUCUGUUUAGCAGCUCUAUACUAUUUGUUGUAGUAUUGUAUGUUUGCAGGUACAGGUACAACUAUCGCUUCGUCUACAGGAGAAAUUUCUUUGUAUACGGCGGAUUUGUCGGCGUGCCCGGGGAAACGAGUAAUCCAGAGCGUGACAGUCGGGAUCCACAAAGUGUCCCGGGACUCACCGACUCACGCCACGAGUCACCCGCUGCUACACAACACCAUAAUAAAGAUGUCCUAGCAGCAAAUACAAAGCUCACAUCGAAACGAUUAUUGUCGGAUAACCGUUCAGAUUUGGGUUCCCGAAAGUGUCAAUUUCGACACUAAAGCCUACCGUCGCUCACCCGUGAUCUCCAAACCCUUGAAACCACAUAAGUAACUAGCCAAUAAGGCUUAGCGACCAAACAUAGGACAUUCUAACAUCGUUGGAUGAAAUACGAACCGAAACCGUGUUUUGCCGGCGAAUUUCGCCGAAAAACGCACCGAAAUCGAAAUUCGAUUUCCGCGAAGGGCAUUAGUCCUUGGACAAUUAGUCCAAAGGUCACCCGCACUCCACAUGUACUGCCCACAGCAGCCACGAAGUGCACAAUUGUAUAAAAGUCCCCACUAAUACGUAAAACCACAUUAUUUUAUGUGAUUUACGAGCUUUUUCGGCUCGAUACCGCAAAUCGAGGCCUUUCGAGGUCGAGCGAGACAUGUAUUGAUAGGUCUUGACGUGUCGGAGGCAGUGCUCAUGAUUCGGAGCACAACCGUCCACUGUGGAAGGUGCGGGAGCGAUCCGAAGUUCAGCGAACCCUAUGCGCUGAACCUAAAACGCUUCUAAUUUCACACAUUCGGGGCACGUUGACCCUAAAUGAGGUGAGCACCGUGAUCAGCACUGACCGACGAUCACCAUGCUCACCUCCGGAGGCAUCAGAACAGCCUUGGGUUGCCGAAACAUCAGAGACAACCCAGAAUAGUGCACAAAGAGCUUACUAAAAGCUUACCGGGCAGGUGAAGGCUCGGGUAUGCCCGGCGGCGGUCGGGGGGCGGGCGCGCCAGCGGCAAGUGAUGGCAUGCGACGGAGGGAGGCCGAGACGCGCGUCGGUUGGCGACGGGAGGCGGCGGCAGCGGUGGGCAAUGAUGCCCUAGCAGCACCAACCCGAGGGGAGCACGGCCCACAGGGAGCUCUGACGGCGGCGAAGUCGGUGGUGAACGAGUACGGCCAGCCAGGCGGAGUCGGUGCUCACGCCGGCCGGCGGCGGAAGGCGGCGACGACGGCGCUGGAGCAACCCGAUCCUUCACAGGCUUGGCUCGUGCACAGUAGAUCGCAGCGGCCAAGGCGGCGACCGUGGAGCUACGGGGCGACGGCGAUGGGUCGCUGAAGGUCAGAGGAGGGCAACGCAGGUGGCCGAAGGCGGCGGCGACGCGAAGCUGGGGCAGCCUCUGCCCGAGCUACACAGGAGCGGCCGCAGGGAGCUAGGGCGGCGGUGGCGGCCUGCGGGGACAGCGGUGAUGGCGUGCGGGAGUCACCGGAGGUCAAAGAGAGGCGGCACGGCCCGUUUCCAGGCGGCGGCGGUGAGCUGGCUGAGGGCUAGCCUGGGCUUGGCCCGAGCUAGCUCGAGUUGGCCGUGAGCUACCCAAACGGCGACGGCGGCGCGCGCGGACAUCGGCGACAGGUGGGGAAGGUCGCCGGAGGCUGGAGGCACGGCCAGGGGAGGAUCUCGACGACAAUGAGCCUCCAAAGAGGCAGCUCGGCCAAUAUAGAUGAGGUUGAAGGUGGAGGGGUGCUACCAAGGAAGAAACAACCGAUUCCGACGGUCGAUGAGGUGCCACAUGGCUAGGGCAGGGGGAAGCAAGGGAGGUGUCAAGGGUUUCAGCUGGUGCUAGGGUUAGCUGGGUUAGGGUUUUCCUCUAAGCUAGCCUCUUUAUAUAAGGUGUUAAAUUGCAAAUAAGUCCACCACUAGUCACUAUUUUUAACCAAGUCCUUCACAGCCCGAGUAAUUCAUGCGGAUAUACCUCCGCAUUCGAAAUCAUGCAAAAUGGUACAUAAAAAUAGGGUGUUUUUGCGAAUUUUCUGGUUUGCCAAUUUCGACCCUUCCUCGAUCAACGUGCGAUAUCAGGAGAUCUGUCCGUCGGAUUUGUGAACGGAUAGCACCAGUGCGAUCAGCACGACUGACACAUCAAACCCACGAUCUUGUUUCAUUCGAUUAGGUUGCCGAUUCGCGGCGAAACCCAACCUCUCACCAAUAGGCAACACUCGUACAUAAAUACAUAGAAGAUAGGUGUCCUCCGUUUUCUUGAAAACUGUGCAUCAGAUCUGAAAUCUAUCAGCGCGAAUGGUUCCAGAAUAGUUGGACCAUUGAAAAUGAGCUAUUGGAUCGCUAUGAACAGAGUCCGAUACGCGCUAGAAGCCAUUUCUACUCAUUGGCCUCUCCGAAAACCCGGAUUACUAUUCACUUUAAGUGAAAAGUAAAGAUCGCGUUGUCUUGCCUCGGGGUCCCAUUUUGGUUUAAAAGUCAUUGCGGAAGUGCCCAAUUUUAUUUUAUUUUUUUAAAAAUCUUGACCCCAGGGUAUGCCAGAUCCGCCCCAAAUACAGGGAGUCCACUGUUCACACGGACAGAGUCUCUCCUGUAUUUGCACGGCAUUACACAAGUACAAGAUACAAGAUUUACCAUACAGGAUACAACCACACAUAUGCACAUACACAAUAUCAUACACCAUUCACAAUCACAUCCAAAACUAGAGUUCUUUAUAAAUCCACAAAUAUUAGUUUAAAAUAUUUCCUAUUCGGAAACUCGUUUUGAAACACUAAAUCACGAAAUCCGAAAAAAUCGUUUCCCACACGGAAGCCUUUUUUUUUUAAACCACGCUACCACGAGAGGUAGAAAACUAUUUUCAUUUCACAAGAUUCCACAAAUUCUUUAUUACAUUCACGAAAACCCAAAUAUUCAUUUCAUAUAAAAGUACUGAACCAUAAACGUUGUCUAAGUUAUUUAUUUAGAUAUACUGAGUGUAAAGUUUAAACCAAUGGAGGGGUCCCUAAGCACUAUCGAACCGCUAAGUACGCUCCUCGCGAACCGUCCCACUAGGACCUUCGACGUCACUUAUAAUGGGGGUGGGGGGUGAGAACAUGUAAACAUGUCUCCCCUCCCAGUGGGUACCGGAAGCCGAUGAGGGCGAGGAGUACUCACCAGUCAAGGAGGAUAAACAAAGAUAUGGUAAUGGUAAUACAAUAGCAAUGAUAAUAAAUGAACGAGAAGUAUAAAUGAAUAACUACCGCUACUGUAUGUAUGAAUCAACCGGACGACAAGUCCAAAAUACCUAAUCUGAAACUGCCAUAUUGGUCGGCACCGCAGACCUCAAGCUGUGCUCUGUUGGUCCGCACCGCAGACCUCAAGCCUGUGCCGCUGUCAUUCUACCUGCAUAUAAUCCAAAGUAGCCUAUAGGCUCACGGGUUGGCACAUCCAACCACUUUUCCAGAAAAGAACACUCUCUUGUGGUGGAUCAGACCGCUGGUAUUCGUGAAAUGCGAACGAUUCUCAGCGAUCAAUGCUGAUAUGCUCAAUACCCAACCAGCCGACAAUCCUACCCCUUAGGGUAUAUCGACCGUAUAGGUCAUCAAAUAGUCCAACCGACCAAAUAGGUCACAAUAACAAUGCAGUAAGCCGACCGAAUAGGUCAUAGAUACAAGAUACAAAAACCGACCAACUAGGUCACAGAUAUCACAUGGAGAUAAAACUAGCUCUACUCCUACUCACAAGGCUAGAAAUAUAAACAAUCAAGUAGAGCAAUAGAUAGAGAUAACCAGGUGAAGCUCAACUAUAUAUAUAUAUAUAUAUAUAUAUAUGCAUGUAGAGUAAUAACAGGAGAACAAGGGUAAGAAGAUAUCAUCGAGCGUGCACCACUGUACAGACUACGGAUCAAAGUACCCACCUGUACAAAUACAGUACUAGCCUUCCGACUACAGAGGAAAUAUCAACUGGACCUACAAAGGGUCCACCGGGUUAGCAUUCAACCCACAACACGAACCACUAGCUCACAAUCCCCAUUAAUAACCCUACGGGAAUCGGUUUCCCAAAAUCGAUUGCCGUAACUCACCGGAAGUCUCGAAAAUCGCAUCGGGACUCCGCCGGGACCCACUAACUGUCCCGGAACUCAUCGACUCAUGCUACGCGUCACCCGCUGCCACUAAACACCAUUAUUCAUAGGACUUGGCAGUAAACACACCGCCUCACAUCGAAACGAUUAUUGUCGCAUAAUCGUUUCGAUCCGGGUUCCCGAAAGUGUCAAAUUUGACACCGAAACCCACCGUCGCUCACCCGUCGUUUUCGAACCCUCGAAACGAUAUGGGUGACGAGCCAACAAGGCUCAGCAAUAAAACAAUUUAUCACGAGGCACCGUCGAAAGAAUUCUGAACCGAAAACGCGUUUCGUCGACGAAUUUCUUCGAAAACGCACCGGAAAUCAACAUUUGAUUUUCGAAAGGGAUUGGGGCCUUGGACAACCAGUCCAGAGGUUACCCGCUACCCGUACACGCUGCCAACAGCGACCACCAAAUGUACAAUUGCAUAGAAACCCCCGCGACUACAUAAAAUCACAUUAUUUUAUGUUAUUUUCGGGGUUUUACGGCUCGACAGCGCAAACCGAGGUUAUUCUAGCUAGGCCGAGACAUCCGCUGACAGGUCUCGAUGUGCCGGAGGCCGUGCUCACACUUUGAAGCACGGCCGGCCACUGUGGCAAGCGCACGAACGACGCAAACUUCAGCAAAAUAGCGUGUACAGCACAUAAAUCGCAUCUAUCACGAAAUCGGGGCAUCGUAAGCCCGAGCGAAGGUGAGAACGAUGUUCGGCACGAAUCAGGGAUCAUCGUGCUCACUUUCGGGAGUGACGGGGUGUCUCCGGAUCGCCAGAAAUGCGAUCGAAACCGACAAUGGUGCACAGAAAUAGUAAUUACAGCUUCUGGAGCCCCAUGGAGCAAACGAUGGCAGCGGCGGCCGUACGGCGGGCGGGCGGGCCGGUUGGCGAGGGUUGCGGCCGGUCANGACCGAAUAGGUCAUAGAUACAAGAUACAAAAACCGACCAACUAGGUCACAGAUAUCACAUGGAGAUAAAACUAGCUCUACUCCUACUCACAAGGCUAGAAAUAUAAACAAUCAAGUAGAGCGAUAGAUAGAGAUAACCAGGUGAAGCUCAACUCUCUCUCUCUCUCUCUCUCUCUCUAUAUAUAUAUAUAUAUAUAUAUAUAUAUAUAUAUGCAUGUAGAGUAAUAACAGGAGAACAAGGGUAAGAAGAUAUCACGAGCGUGCACCACUGUACAGACUACGGAUCAAAGUACCCACAUGUACGAAUACAGUACUAGCCUUCCGACUGCAGAGGAAAUAUCAACUGGACCUACAAAGGGUCCACCGGGUUAGCAUUCAAUCCACAAUACGAACCACUAGCUCACAAUCCCCAUUAAUAACCCUACGGGAAUCGGUUUCCCAAAAUCGAUUGCCGUAACUCACCGGAAGUCUCGAAAAUCGCAUCGGGACUCCGCCGGGACCCACGAACUGUCCCGGAACUCACCGACUCAUGUUACGAGUCACCCGCUGCCACUAAACACCAUUAUUCAUAGGACUUGGCAGUAAACACACCGCCUCACAUCGAAACGAUUAUUGUCGCAUAAUCGUUUUGAUCCGGGUUCCCGAACGUGUCAACUUUGACACUGGAACCCACCGUCGCUCACCCGUCGUUUUCGAACCCUCGAAACGACAUGGGUGACGAGCCAACAAGGCUCAGCAAUAAAACAAUUUAUCACGAGGCACCGUCGAAAGAAUUUUGAACCGAAAACGCGCUUCGUCGACGAAUUUCGUCAAAAAACGCACCGGAAAUCAACAUUUGAUUUUCGAAAGGGAUUGGGGCCUUGGACAACCAGUCCAGAGGUUACCCGCUACUCGCACACGCUGCCAACAGCGACCACAAAAUGUACAAUUGCAUAGAAACCCUCGCGACUACAUAAAAUCACAUUAUUUUAUGUUAUUUUUGGGGUUUUACGGCUCGACAGCGCAAACCGAGGUUAUUCUAGCUAGGCCGAGACAUCCGCUGACAGCUCUCGAUGUGCCGGAGGCCGUGCUCACACUUUGAAGCACGGCCGGCCACUGUGGCAAGCGCACGAACGACGCAAACUUCAGCAAAAUAGCAUGCACAGCACAUAAAUCGCGUCUAUCACGAAACCGGGGCAUCGUUAGCCCCAGCGGAGGUGAGAACGAUGUUCGGCACGAAUCAGGGAUGUGUCAGGGUGUCUCCGGAUCGCCGGAAAAGCGAUCGAAACCGACAAUGGUGCAUAGAAACAGUAAUUACAGCUUCUGGAGCCCCAUGGAGCAAACGAUGGUAGCGGCGGUCGAACGGCGGGCGGGCGGGCCGGUUGGCGAGGGUUGCGGCCGGUCAAAGGGGGCCCGGGCACACACUAGCUGGCGGCGGGAGGCGGCCGGUGUCGCGGUGGAGUAGCACGAGCCCAUGCUGCUCAGCUAGGGCUCACGGCUCGUUGGCUGCCAGUCGGCGGACGGGGAAGCGUCGGGGCGACGGCGGUUGUUCGCUGGAGGCUAAGAGAGAGCGGCGCGCCUGACGGUGGCCGGCGGUGGUGUGCGGAGUCGACGCGGACUCACGCUCGGCCCGAACCUGCACCGGAUGGCUGCAGUAAGACACGGAAGUGGCCGGGGGCCAGUUGGGAUGGCGGUGACAGCGGCGAGGGGUCGCCGGAGGCCGAGGGAGGGUGGCGUGGCCAACCCAGAAGCGACAGCAGCUCGCGGUCGCAGGCUGACACAAGCUCGGCCCGAGCUGCUAACGGUUGGCUGCGGAUGGCCCAGGCGGCGCCGGCGGCGCACGCGAGCGGUGGGGGCCGGCGGCGACGGCGCCGGAUGUCGAGCCUCGGCCGAGGGAUAGGGUUCCAAGGUGGUGGGUGACUCCAUGGAGUCAAUGGCCGAGAAGAGUGGAGAGGACAGGUUGAGGGAGACAAGGUAGGCCUUCCCGGUCGCCGGGAUGCGCGCGGCGAGAUGCUGGGAGCUUGCUGCUGAUGGCUAGGGUGUAGCUGGGGAGCAGGGUCGGCUCACGCUAGGGUUUCCUGCAGAACCCUAGUUGCACCAUUAUAUACCUUAUGCAUUUUCGCAGAAAAGUCCACCAAAGCUACGUAUUUCUAACCAAGUCCCUCACAGUGUGUUNUGGCUGCGAGCUGCCUCGAGCUCGGCCCAGGGUGCCGCGGUUGGCCGCGGAUGGCCCAGGCGGCGCCGGCGGUGCACGCGAGCGGUAAGGGCCGGCGGCGACGGCGCCGUAUGUCGAGCCUCGGCCGAGGGAUAGGGUUCCAAGGUGGUGGGUGACUCCAUGGAGUUAAUGGCCGAGAAGAGUGGAAAGGAAAGGUUGAGGGAGACAAGGUAGGCCUUCCCGGUCGCCGGGAUGCGCGCGGCGAGAUGCUGGGAGCUUGUUGCUGAUGGCUAGGGUGUAGCUGGGGAGCAGGGUCGGCUCACGCUAGGGUUUCCUGCAGAACCCUAGUUGCACCAUUAUAUACCUUAUGCAUUUUGGCAGAAAAGUACACCAAAGCUACGUAUUUCUAACCAAGUCCCUCACAGUGUGUUUAUAUUGCGCAUACGAACCUCGACAUCCGAAAUCACGCAAAACGGUACAUAAAAUAUUGGGGUUUUUGUAGAUUUUCAGUUUUGCCAAUUUCGACCCCUCAGCGAACAUUUCACGUGUCACACCCCGAGACCCGGCGGAAGGCCGCCCGGUGCGUGCCGAGACCCGCCAUAUGCCUACACAUAUAAGGCGUCUACAACAAUAGUAAACGGAAGCAAGGAAAUAAAACAUCUAGAGAUAUCAGAGCAUGAUUAAACUAAUUUCUAAUAACAAGUAAAAGCAAUAAGAACUAUCAACUAUCAUAAUCCAAAGGUAGAUAGGUACAUCAAGAGAUCCACAAGGUACAAUAAAUACAAAAUGGUUGUCUCUACAUAAGGUACCACACUCUCGUCCUCUCCAACAAUACAAAAGGAGAAAAUGAACCACCUAAAGCAAGACUCCCUGCUAUCUAGCUCGAAGCGAUGCCUUUUCCUCGAUCUCGAGCCUCUCCCGGAAUGGAAGGCUCUGUAACAACAAUAAAACAAAGGGUGUGAGAACUAUUAAUCAAUAGUUUCCAGUGGGCAAGCCGCUGACCUCAGCGAAAUACACCACUAAGCGAAAGAGGCAAAAGUAGUAAAUUCUAACAUUUAAAUGAAAUGUACAACAUGUAGUUAAGCAUGGAAUAAACUUACUAAACUACAAAGCCUCUACUUAGCAUGAAUUUUCGCAAGUAGAAUGCUAUUCUAAUAUGAAUAUGCAUAUGUAUAAAUGACAUGAUGCCCACAAGUACUACUAUUAAAUGUCAUUAUUUACUAACUUGUCCAAUGUCCAUUUUACAUUUUAGUUCAAGUUUGAUUCAAACAUACAGGACCUACACAAGGGUAGUCCGGCUUGCGCCGUGCCUAAUGGUCCCGUGAUAGUCAACAUUCCCACCCUAAGAAUGAGCUUCUCCCACGGCAUCCCAUUUUUGCGCUCAAUCCCGCACGGGCGAGCAUAUGUCGCGAUUGUUAUCUCCGGAGUGCCGGCUUGUGGGAGCGACCCUCACAAGCGUGUGCAAAUGAGCACAAUGGCAAGCAAGCGUAAUCAUCUAUCUCAAGUCUAAUGUCAUAAUGUCUAAAACAUGAAAUAAAGGCUAAUGUCCCAAUGGUCUAUCACUAGGUCAACAUAUAGAAGUUUAACCAUUCACUAGAUUGAAUGCCUCUUUAUGACAUUUUUGUCCACUAUUGUCAAACAUGAGUUUUAUGUCCAAGAGCAUAUAUUAUUCUAGUCAAUUUCAUUGCAUGAAACAUGACCCCAACUCACAUUAAAAAAUACUAUUCACAUGCAUGAGUAAUAUACACAUAUCUCUCUACUAUAUAGAGUUAAUUUUUCAUGAAAUAUAGCACAUGCAUUUUAAGCAUUCUAAAAUUCACAUAUACUCUAUCAAGCAUGAAUAUGUAUGAAUUUCUAUUUUUACAACAAGUAAAAUAAUAUAGGGGGAGUUUACCCAUUUCGGUGAGGUCAAACCCACCAAGAACUCCUUGUAACCCUUUCGUUUGCGCAAAACAAGGUGUCCACUAGCCUCCUAGCUCUCUAAAGGAAAUUCUACAAGGAUUAGACGCAACGAACGAACACCCCAAGGAUUAAAUAUUAACCAACCCAAGAAAAGGGCAAAAACUCAUCUUGAGUGGUGAAAAUCUCUCUCAAUCUCCAAAUGACAGUAAGAAUCCUUCAAAACCAACCUAAAUGAAGGUUCUAAAUCAAUCAAUUAAGCUCUAAAAGGUACAAAUAAAAAAUUCCCAAAUAAACCCUAGAUUUCUAAUUUCUAGGUUUAUAACAAAAAACUCUACCACAACAUGAUCCAAAGGAGAGAUCAUAGAUACUAAUCUCUCUAGAAGCUCUAAACCAAACUAGAAGUAGCUAGGGUUAGCAAUCCCUCCUCCAACAAGCUCCACUCCAAGCUCCAAGGCUUCUCCCAUGGUGAAAAAGUCACAAAAAAGUCAAAGAGAAGCAAAAGAAGUGAUUAAUUCUCUAAAAAUCCAAGAAAAGGAAAGGAAAUUCAAAGAUGAGGUGAGGAGGGCUUCCCUACCUGGUUCUCCUCUGUUCCAAGCUCAGGGAACAUAAAAGGGGAAGUAGGGUAUUUGUAGUGUUGCUACAAUAACAAAAGUACCCCUAAAAAACUACUAAACUGCAGUCUACACUAUGUACCGGUACGCAGGAAGGAGUACCGGUACCAAACAGCAGCCUGCGCAAACCGAGCCUCUGCCAGGCGAAAAAAUGCACUGGGUACCGAUACUCCGCAGAUGCAGUACCGGUCUCAGCCCUGCGGAGUCAAAUCCGAGAGCAAUCCAAAAUCUGCACUUUUGAGAGGUUUUGGUGCUAAGUUUUAAUCAUCGAUUCUCGGGAUGCGAGUCAUAGGUCGGAACAUCAUCUACGACCCUCCAGAAUAUCUGAAACAACUCGGAACACAGAUUAAACACUCGAACCUUACAAUUUGCUAAAGUUCAGUGUGUUACAUUCUCCCCUCCUAAAAAGGUUUCGUUCGCGAAACUAAAAGCAAAGUACCUCAAGACUCCAUCUGAAAAAGAUGGGGAUAGCGCUCCUGCAGUGCGCUUUCCAACUCACAUGUGGCCUCGCGUUCAUCGUGGUUGGUCCAAAGCACCUUCACAUAAACAAUGUCGCGAUUCCGAAGUUUCUUCACAUCGCGGGCUAAAAUCCUCACUGGUUGCUCUUCAAAGCUCAAAUCAUCUCUCAGCUCCAACGGUAUAACAUCCAAUACGUGAGCCGGAUUGAAGAUGUACUUCCGGAGGACCGAUACAUGAAAGACAUUGUGUACACCCGAUAGGUUCGGUGGUAGAGCAAGUCGAUACGCUACCGGGCAUACAUGCUCCAAAACCCAGAAUGCCAAAUCUUCUAAUCCCUUUGGUCGGCAAGACUUUCAAGAAGACAUGAUCUCCGAUCUGGAACUCCAAGUCUCGUCGACGCCUAUCGGCAUAGCUCCUCUGUCUACUCUGAGCCGUUAGUAAAUGCUCCCGAGCAAUGCAAACUUUUUCCUCUGCUUCAUGGAGCACAUCAGGGCCUCGCAAACUUCACUCCAAUGAAGUGGCAAUCUAUACUUCCGUCCAUAAAGUGCUUCGAAUGUAACCAUCUUGAUGCUUACUUGAUAACUAUUGUUAUAAGCAAACUCUGUCAUAGGUAAAUGCUGUGACCAUCCUCCCUGGAAGUCUAUCAUACAUGCUCGAAACAUAUUCUCUAAAGUCUGUAUAGUGCGCUCCGAUUGCCCGUUACUCUAAGGGUGGAAAGCUGUACUGAAAUCUAAACACAUGCCCAAGGCAUCCUGUAGAAUCCUCCAAAAGUGAGAUACAAAUCGGGGAUCUCGAUCUGAAACUAUCGAAGUAGGUACUCCAUGAAGUCACACAAUCUCAUCAAGGUACACUUGUGCGAGCUUCUUACCUGUCCAAGUCGUGUGAAUAGGUAUAAAAUAUGCUGAUUUCAUCAACCUAUCCACGAUCACCCAAAUAGCAUCAUGCCUGGCUUGAGAGUGGGGCAAUCCCAUAACAAAGUCCAUGGUGAUCCUUUCCCACUUCCACACUGGAAUAGGUAAACUCUGAAGUUUUUCCGUGGGUACUCGGGCUCAGUUUUCACUUGUUGACAAGUUAAACAUCGAGCUACAAACUCGCCAACAUCCUUUUUCAUCCCGGGCAACCUAGAGUAGCUUCAAGUCCCUGUACAUCUUGGUGCCUCCCGGAUGUAUAGAUACGGUGCACGAUGAGCUUCUAGAAGUAUAUCCUCUUUAAUUGCAGAUUCGGCUGGUACACAAAUCUGCCCGCAGAAACGCAACAAUCCUUGAUCAUCCACAAGGAAAUUACCGAUGUAACCAUCAACCAUUUUAGCUCGAAUCUUUUGCAACUCCACAUCGUGAACUUGCUUUUCUUUAAUCCUUUCCAUUAAUGUCGGUUGCACCACCAAUGCCAUUAAUUUCAAGGGUGUAUCCGGAGCCACCACCUCCAACUCUAACCGCUUCAUUUGCUCAAUCAACAGCGGUUGAGUAACAACAAGCAUCGCUAAGUUAUCAGUCGAUUUCCGACUUAGCCGCCACCACGUUAGCCUUGCCCGAGUGGUAGAGAAUCGUCAGAUCAUAAUCUUUGAGUAGCUCCAACCAUCUGCGCUGCCUCAAGUUCCACUCCUUCUGAGUGAAUAAAUAUUUCAAACUCUUGUGAUCCGUGUACACUUCACAUCGCUCGCUAUAAAGAUAAUGGCGCCAUAGCUUCAAUGCAAAGACUACGGCCGCCAACUCCAGAUCAUGAGUAGGAUAGUUCUUUUCGUAUUUCUUCAGUUGGCGAGAGGCGUACGCGAUCAUUUUUUCGUCCUGCAUCAAGACACAGCCUAAUCCAUUAAAAAAAGCAUCGCUAUAAAUCACAUACCCUGCCCCAACAACUGGCAAGGUCAAGAUCGGGACGGUCGUCAAUCUUUGCUUCAACUCUUGGAAACUCCUUUUGCAUGCAUCACUCCAAAUGAACUUAGUGCCUUUGUGCGUGACCCGCGUGAGAGGAGUAGAUAACCUUGCAAACCCCUCAACAAACCUGCGGUAGUAGUUGGCCAAUCCAAGAAAACUCCGAAGCUCGGUAACACUCAUCGGUCUAGGCCAAUCCUUGAUUGCCUCAAUGUCACGCCCCGGGACCGGCGGAGGCCCUCCCGGUAGUGUGCUCAGACCCGCCAUAUGUCUACACAUAUAAGGCGUCUAUAAGAAAAGCGGAAGUAAAAGCAAGAGAUGGAACAAAUAAAAGAAGUGAAAUAACAAGCAACUAAUGAUAUCAGAGCGAGUAAAGUUCUAACAUCUAUACUGAUAGUAAUAGAACAUAACUAACACAUAAAAGUAAACAUAAGCUAUAUAGUAACAGCCUCUAAUACAAAAAUAGUGGUCUCUAGUACACUGGUAAAACUCUCAACCUCUCCAAAAUACAGUACAACGAGAGGUAGACCACCUAGCAAGUCGUCCUCGAAGGAAGCUAGCUCGAAGCAACUCCCUUCCCGCGGUCCCUGGCCUCACCCUGAGUGGAAGGCUCUGAAAAACAUCGAGAAAAAGAGGGCGUGAGAACUAUAAUUUAUAGUUCCCAGUGGGCAAUUACUGACCUCAGCUCAUCGCACCACUAGGCCCCAAAAGAAAAGGAGUAAGUAUAAUAAACAACAAUAAGGAUAACAGUAACAACAGUAAGAAAGCAUAAUUGAAGUGCUAACCCAUAUGUCUCAAGUAAGCAUGAUGCCAUGGUGAUGUACAUCUACGCUAUCAUAAGAUAAUAUGUCCAAUGCAUACUAAUAUGUCUCAACAUAAUAAACAAGUAAACCUCACGAUGCAAUAUGUCAAUGCAUAAGGGUAAACUCUAUCCAAACAACCGAGUAUACUACGAUGCAAUAAUGAAACCGGCAAGUAUACUAAAUGUACCAAUGCUAUAUCAUAAGCGUGUCCAAGUAAUCCAACUACUAAUCCUAUCUAGUAGUGAUUGUUCAUAUUCAACACCGUGUCGAUUUCCAUUUCCAAUUUAAGGACCUACCCAAGGUAGUCCAGCUUGUGCCGCCUAAGUGCCUGUGGUAGCCCAACAUCCCUACUCUUGGAAUGUGUCUGUCCCACUCGACCCCGUAGGCUUCUCAAUACCGCACGAGCGAACAUAGGUCGCGUAGGCUAACUCCGGAGUGCCGGCUUGUAGGGAGCGACCCUCACAAGCAUGUGCGAAUGAGCACAAAUGGCAAACAAGCGUAGUCGAUGGCUCAAGUAUCCAACCCUCAUGUCUCUAACAUGGUAUAGCCACUAGCAUCUCGAAGAUCUAGUUCUAAGUCACAAGUGAAGUCCCAACCUUCUCUAGGUCUAGUGCCCCUUUAUGACACUUAGACAUUUAAUAAUUAAGCAUGUUUCACAUUCCUCAAUGGCCCUAUCCACUAGGUUCACACAUGUCCCGAGCUCAAUGCCGCUUGAUGACAUUAGCUCUCUAGUUCACAUACAUUCUAGUUCAAUACCUCUAUAUGGCAAUUUGUCAUCUUUCAUGUCUCAAAUAAACUUAAGUUUAAAUGCAUGGAUCAAAGCUCAUUUACACUAUAGAAGCAUGAAACCAAGUCUCAAAUUGAACGCUAAAUGCAACCAUAGGCCUACCAAGUUACUCUCUACUCCAUAGAGGUCCAAAAUUUCAUUAUAUACAACAUAGGCCUUUUAAGCAUUCUAAAAUUCACAAUGAAUACAUACAAUAAGAAUAUGCAUGCUUUUCCAUUUAACGAUACUUAAUUAAGCACAAAUGAGAAUUUCUCAUUGUGUGGCUAGGUCAAACCCACCGAACCGUCGCGUAGGGUCUCGAUUCGCCGAACAAAGUUGUCCCCGAGUCUCAAAAUACCCUAAAAGUAAUCAGUGAAGAGAUACGAGGGCAUUACGACCAACCAUAAGAUCAAACAUUAACCUAGAAGCAAAAGGGCCAAAACUCACCUCAAGAGAAGAAAUCUCUUCCAAAGCUCCAAAAGAGAGCUAGAACCCUUCCAAUCCAAGCCCAAGGAAGGUUCUAAACCAAUUAAUCUAGCCUCAAAAGCCUUAGAUCAAAAAGCCCCAAAAUCAACCCUAAAUCUCAUUUCUAGGGUUUCAUUUCCCAAAAAUCACCAAAACAAGAAUCUAGAGGAGGGAAACAUAAUACUAACCCUUUGGAAGCUUCAAUCCAAGCUCAAAAUGCCCUAGGGUUGAAGUUUGAUCCACCGCCAAACCCUACAAGCAAGCUCCAAGCCUUACAAAGGUGGGAAAGAGAGAAAGGGGUGGAGCUCCAAGCUCCCUCAAGCUAGCUCCUCUUCUUCUUCUCCUCCCUUCUUCUUCUUCUCUCUCUAGAAAGUGUGGGGAGAGGGUGAGAAUGAGAAAAUGAGAGAGGGAAGAAGAGGAAAUGGCUAAUAAGCCUAUCUAGUGUAACAAAAUCUGGAGAGGCCCCUCAAAAAUUCAAUAUUGCAACAGCCCGGACUGGGCAGUUUUCGCCCAGAGGGACCGGUCUCUCCCCAGCAGGGACCGGUCUCUCGCUGCGAACCCGAAAAACCAUCGUUCGGGAACCGGUCUCUCCCUGCGAAGACGCGUUCGGGGAUCGGUCUCGCCUGUCAGGGACCGGUUGCCUCAGGCUGCCUCAACACUGCUCACUGGGGGACCGGUCUCUCCUUCCAGGGACCGGUCCCCGAGAGUAAAAACUCUCAGGACUUGUCCAGAAUUCCAGUUCUCGAACUUUUUAGGUCGGAAAACAUUCUACAACCCUCCACCAAGUGUGGAAAAGCUCGAAAUACAUCCAAACACUCGAACCUCGCAAUUUACAAAGGUCCAGUGCGUCACACUCAAUCUUUCUAGGAUUUACGGCUAUACCCAAUCCCGAAAUCAAAUGCCCCAAAAAGACCACAUCUCGAAGCCAAAACUCACAUUUCUGCAAUUUGGAGAAGAGCUUCUUUUCCCGAAGCAUUUGAAGUACAAGUCUUAAAUGCUCUUCAUGAUCCUUGUCACUUCGGGAAUAAACUAGACUAUCGUCAAUGAACACCACAACGAACCUGUCAAGAUAAGGCUUAAAAACACGGUUCAUUAGAUCCAUAAAUGCUGCCAGGGCAUUUGUAAGCCCAAACAGUAUAACAGUAAACUCAUAAUGUUCAUAUCGUGUUCUAAAAGCCGUCUUCGAAACAUCCUCAAGCUUAAUCUUUAAGUGGUGGUAUCCCGACUGUAAGUCGAUCUUGGAAUACACACUUGAUCCUUGAAGCUGAUCAAAUAGAUCAUCGAUCCUUGGCAACGAAUACUUGUUCUUGAUCGUGACUUUAUUAAGUUCACGAUAAUACACGCACAAGCGAAGUGAUCCAUCAUUCUUCUUAACAAAUAAAAUCGGUCCUCCCCAAGGUGAAACACUUGGUUGAAUGAAACCUUUGUCUAAUAAAUCUUGCAGUUGUGCCCUCAGCUCUUUCAAUUUAGCCGGCGCCAUCCUAUAUGGUGCUUUUGAGAUUGGGGUAGUCCCAGGGACGAGAUCUACUACAAACUCAAUCUCCCUAUCAGGUGGCAUACCUGGUAGCUCUGCUGAAAACACAUCACAAAACUCCCGGACCACCGGGAUAUUCUCGAUCCUAGGGAUAUCAUCAUCACUCCUCAAUGCCACACUAGCCAAGUAGGCUAUGCAAUCCCUGCUGAUCAACUGCCUAGCUCGAGACGAACUGAUCGUCAUCGCAAACUGUGAACUCUGACAUCCCCUGAACACCACUUCCUUCUGCCUCGGUUCUCUAAAAGUCACCGUUCGAUUCUUGCAAUCGAUAGUGGCAUGAUUUCUUUGUCAACCAAUCCAUGUCCAAAACCACAUCAAACUCUCCAAAUUUAUGCAAAGCUAGCAAAUCUACGGGCAUAAUCCAAUCCCCUACCCGAACAGGGCAACUGGGGCAAAACUCCCGAAUAUCCAAAGAGUGGUCGGGGACAACAACACGUCCCGGAUGCGGCAAAGAAACUAGUGGAAUGCCAUGCAACUCGGCAAAUAGCCGAACUAUGAAUGAAUGCGAUGCACCGGUAUCAAAUAAAGCUCGAACUCGAAUGCCAUAUAAUAAAAUGAUACCUGCCACCACAUCCUCGGCUGCUGCCGCCUCCUCAGUCUGGGCUGCAUACAUGCGCCCGCUCAGGGCCUAUCGUGACCCCUCAAUCUGUCGCUGGACGGGUGGCCGCCCAGCCUGGUAGUGUGCCAAAGGAGCACGCUUGCCAGUAGCUGGUAAUGCCGGUGCCGAUGCAGAGGAUGGUGCCGGUGACGAACCCCUCGGGCACUUGGUCCGGAAGUGGCCCUCCCGGCCACAAAGAAAGCACCUGCCUCCUCGCUGCGGACACUGCGGUGGAAUAUGAGGACCACCACAGAUCACACACUGGGGAUGUCGGCGUCAAUCAGAACCUCCUCUCUGAGCAGAUAAGCCACGCCCUCUCAACUGGCUCCUAGGGUGUCUCAGCGGCCUCCUAGAGUGCGACUGACUCGCAUCCUCAGCCGCGAGCCUUUUGCCCUUACCCUUGUCCAAGCCUUCCCGAACAUCCGCCGCGCCCCUCUCCAUGAUGAGAGCACGGUUCACCACUUCCCGGUAGGUCUGCAGAUUUGACGAUUGCAUAAAUCGGAAGAUCGACGGUCGCAGUCCACUCUAAAAAAUGCGGGCCUUGUCCUCGUCGUCUCGCACGACGAAAGGCACGCAAUGCAGAAGUCGAGAGAACUCCCUUUCGUACUCGGCUACCGUCCGCUCCCCCUGGCGCAAGCCGCACAAAUCCUUUACCAUUUGCCUCUUGACGUUGUUGGGGAAGUAGUGCUCCAACAGAAGCUCCUUGAACUUCUUCCAUGUAAUCACUGAAAGAUCAGUGUUGAGGUUGUCUUGGAUAUCCAACCACUAACGGUAGGCCUCGCUGUCCAAGUGAUGAGUGGCGAGCCAAACUCGGUCUCUCUCCUCCACAAAGGUGUCGCGGAAGAGCUUCUCCGUAUGCAUCAAUCACUUCUCUACAAUCCAGUGGUCGGCCUUCUCUCCAUCAAAAAUCCUAGGAUUGCACCUCUUGAACUCAUUGAGGCGAUCCAUAAGCCGGUCUCGCUCCUCUCUAGCAACCAUCACGGGAAAAACAGCCCCCGCCGGAGGCACCUGAAUCGGUAGUGCCAUAACAUCCUCCUCCCGAGGCGCGACCACGGGCGCCGCACACAAAGAGCCAGGCGCGAGAGACGGCGCCCUCGGUGUAAUACCCUCCGUCGGCGCGGGUGGUGCCGGGUCUUGAGCCUCCCUCGCAGCCACUUGCUGCAGAAGCAAAUCCUCCAGUCGCUUCAUCCUCGUCUCCUGCCGGUGCGCUACGUCGGCCUGUCGCUGAGCCGCCAUCGCCUGCUGAGCCACCAAGUCAGUGAGGACCGUGAGCUGGGUCCUCAAGUUACAGACCUCGCUAAAUCCGGAAGUAGCGGAGGUCUCCACCUCCUCAAGGUUUGCCGCGUUCUCCGCCCAAACAGAUUUAGAGCGAGUAGUCGGCAUAGUCACUACAAUAUCAUAAAAGCGCAAGUUAGAAAAACCCACGCUAUCGCAACCCCACUCAAGCAACCAAUACCCCAAAUCUUGCAAAAGUAAUGAAGUAUCCUUUACUACUAACUCCCGAUGUUACGUUAUCGGCCACCAAAGUAACCCUCCGCGAAGUUAGGAGCUAUACACUUCGAUUUAACUCCAACAUUUUAGAGUUUAUAUAAUACCCAAUCAUGAUACUUUCGCUUGCAUGUUAAAUAGACCCCGUCUCUCACGAGCCUAUUUUCUAUAGUCCAAUCGGCCUAAGGUUUGCUAGGUCCACUAAGAUUCAACACUAGGCUCUGAUACCAAAAUAAUCUGUCACACCCUGGGACCCGGCGGAAGCCCGCCAGGUGCAUGUCUAGACCUACCAUAUGCCUACAUAUAUAAGGCAUUUACAACAAUAGUAAAUGGAAGCAAGGAAAUAAAGCAUCUAGAGAUAUCAAAGCAUGAUUAAACUAGUUUCUAAUAACAAGUAAAAGCAAUAAAAAUUAUCAAUUAUCAUAAUCCAAAGGUAGAUAGGUACAUCAAGAGAUCCACAAGGUACAAUAAAUACAAAAUGGUGGUCUCUACAUAAGGUACAAAACUCUCAUCCUCUGCAACAAUACAAAAGGAGAAAAUGAACCACCUAAACCAAGACUCUCUGCUAUUUAGCUCGAAGCGAUGCCUUUCCCGCAAUCCCGAGCCUCUCCCGGGGUGGAAGGCUCUGUAACAACAAUAAAACAAAGGGCGUGAGAACUAUUAAUCAAUAGUUUCCAGCGGGCAAGCCGCUGACCUCAGCGAAAUACACCACUAGGCGAAAGAGGCAAAAGUAGUUAAUUCUAACAUUUAAAUGAAAUGUACAACAUGUAGUUAAGCAUGAAAUAAACUUACUAAACUACAAUGCCUCUACUUAGCAUGAAUUUCCACAAGUAGAAUGCUAUUCUAACAUGAAUAUGCACAUGUAUAAAUGACAUGAUGUCCACAAGCACCACUAGUAAAAUGUCAUUAUUUACUAACUUGUCUAAUAUCCACUUUACAUUUUAGUUCAAGUUUGAUUCAAACAUACAGGACCUACACAAGGGUAGUCCGGCUUGCGCCGUGCCUAAUGGCUCCGUAGUAGUCAACAUUCCCAACCUAGGAAUGAGCUUCCCCCACGGUAUCCCAUUUUAGCGCCCAAUCCCGCAUGGGCGAGUAUAUGUCGUGAUGGCUAUCUCCGGAGUGCCGGCUUGUGGGGAGCGACCCUCACAAGCGUGUGCGAAUGAGCACAAUGGCAAGCAAGCGUAAUCUUCCGUCUCAAGCCCAAUGUCAUUAUGUCUAAAACAUGGAAUAAAGGCUAAUGUCCCAAUGACCUAUCACUAGGUAAACAUAUAGAAGUUUAAUCAUUCACUAGGGUGAAUGCCUCUUUAUGAUAUUUUUGUCCACUAUUGUCAAACAUGAGUUUUAUGUCCAAGAGCAUAUAUUAUUCUAGUCAUUUUCAUUGCACGAAACAUGACCCCAACUCACAUAAAAGAAUACUAUUCACAUGCAUGAGUAAUAUACACAUAUCUCUCUACUACAUAGAGUUAAUUUUUCAUGAAACAUAGCACAUGCAUUUUAAGCAUUCUAAAAUUCACAUAUGCUCUAUCAAGCAUGAAUAUGCAUGAAUUUCUAUUUUUACAAUAAGUAAAACAAUGUAGGGGGAGUUUACCCAUUUCGGUGAGGUCAAACCCACCAAAAACUCCUUGUAACCUUUUUGUUUGCGCAAAAGAAGAUGUCCACUGGCCUCCUAGCUCCCUAAAGAAAAUUCUACAAGGGUUAGACGCAACGAACUUACACCCCAAGAGUCAAACAUUAACCAACCAAAGAAAUGGCAAAAACUCACCUUGAGUGGUGAAAAUCUCUCUCAAUCUCCAAACGAGAGCAAGAACCCUUCAAAACCAACUUAAAGGAAAGUUCUAAAUCAAUCAAUUAAGCUCUAAAAGCUACAAAUAAAAAAUCCCCAAAUAAAUCCUAGAUUUCUCAUUUCUAGGUUUAUAAGCAAAAACUCUACCACAACAUGAUCCAAAGGAGAGAUCAUACAUACUAACCUCUCUAGAAGCUCUAAACCAAGCUAGAAGUAAGCUAGGGUUAGCAAUCCCUCCUCCAACAAGCUCCACUCCAAGCUCCAAGGCUUCUCCCAUGGUGGAAAAGUCACCAAAAAGCCAAAGAGAAGCAAAAGAGCUUAUUAAUUCUCUAAAAAUUCAAGAAAAGGGAAAGAAAUUCAAAGAGGAGGUGAGGAGGGCUUCCCUACCUGGUUCUCCUCUGUUCCAAGCUCAAGUAACACAAGAGGGGGCGUGAGGCAUUUGUAGUGUUGUUACAAUAACAAAAACACCCCUCAAAAACUGCCAAACUGCGGUCUGCACUGCGUACCGGUACGCGGGAAGGAGUACCGGUACAAAACAGAAGUCUGCACAAACCGAGCCUCUGCAAGGUGGGAAAAUGCACUGGGUACCGGUACUUCGCCGAUGCAGUACCGGUACUCAACCCUGCAGAGUCAAACCCGAGAGUAAUCCAAAAUCUGCACUUUUGAGGUUUUGGUGCUAAGUUUUAAUCCUCAAUUUUCGGGAUGCGAGUCAUAGGUCGCAACAUCAUCUACGACCCUCCAGAAUACCUGGAAAAACUCGGAACACAGAUCAAACACUCGAACCUUGCAAUUUGCUAAAGCUCAGUGUGUUACAUCACAAUUUUCGGAUGUAACGACCUAGCUCACUAACAACAAUAACUCGUUGGGCCCAACCACCGGCCCAAAAUGCUUAAGCCCAGUUAUUAUUACUAGUAUCUAAGUCUCUUAUUGUAACAUAACGAACCUCUAAAACCUUGAAGUUACGGUGUACAUUUGAUUGGAAAGCUAUUUGAACUGUCUUGGUGAAGUUCGGUGAAGUUUGGGAGCUUUCGGGCGUUUCGGUGCGCGUAGGCGCGAAAACGGAACCCGAAAAGCUAUGUUGGGCCGUGAGCUAAAUUCGGCAUUAGCAAGAAUGAAAAGAUGAUGAAAACACGCUCGUAAACAUGUUUGGAGAGUCUCAGUUCGAUUUGAAAUGAAUCGGAGGUCAAACGAGCGAAAAUAGAGCAAAUACGGACGAGAAGCUGAAAAUUUGGCUAAGUCCUGAAAAAUGGCCGUGUACCGGUGACACCCUUGGUGUGUACCGGUACGCAGUGUAAAAUCCGAGAAGAUGGCUCUCGGGUUUGGCUGUUACGCAGGUCGUGUACCGGUGACACCAACCCGUGUACCGGUACGCUGUGGUAGAACAGCACAGAAUUGGUCUGCUGUAAUUAUGAGUGUUUCGGGGGUUUAUUAGCAAUUGUUGCAACAUAUUAGAACACCCCAAACCCUCCCUUCACAGCAGCUCUCUUUCUCUCCCUCUCUCCCAACCGUGAGGAGGAAAAGAGAAAGAAAGGAGAAGAGAAAAAAAAAAAAGGAGAAGGAAAAGAGAAAGAAGAAGAAAAAAAGAAGAAGAAGGAAAAACAAAUUGAGAGUUUCCCUCCAUCAUCUUUUUCCUUGUGCUUGGAGCAAACCUAGAGAGCUAAGCUUCUAGGGCUUUAAUGAUAACUUCUUAGGGUUUGAUUUGUAUACUCUAAGAAUGGUUUAGAUGGAAUCCUAGGAUGCUAAAUAGAUGGUUAUUGCAUGAUUCAUGAAGUUAAAUGAUGGAUUUUGCUAAACUUGCAUCUAGGGCUCCAAUUUGGGUUUUUUUGUAAAUAGUAGGGUUUGAUCUCAUUUGACCCUCCGUAAACCUAAUUGCUAGGUAAACGAACGCGUGGGCGAAGUCGGUUCGGCGAUUCGUCGAGCCGUUGUAAAGAUAUUAAAGAAACGGACGUUUAGGCUUCGUUUCCGCCUGGAGGGCCGAGGCGACAUCGUAAAAUCAUGAAAACGGAGUUGAAGCAUCGUGGCACAUAACCGAAGACCUUUAAUUUUCGGAUCAUGAAUUGGAGGCCGUUCAGGUGGUCGCGUGAGAGAUCGGGCCAAACCGGGUGCCGGGUGCCGCGGGAGGCAGAUUGCAAGUGUCGACAAGCAAUCGGAAUGCGAAAUGAGGUGGGUUGUGCUCACUGAAGCGACUAGGUUGCCUAUAUGUCUAAGAGUAAUGGUUUUCUAAUUGAUGCAUAUAGUUGUGUUAGUAGGCUUACAUAAUGAUAUGAAUGCUUGAAACAUACCAUGUAGUUGAGAUUACCUACCAAUGAGAUGAGAUGCAUAAUGAAUUAAAUGCUAAAAGAAUGCAUGAGAUGCUAAGUAUGGAUUAUUUUGGAUAAUGACUAUAUGUAUGUUGACAUAUCAUGUGAUGCUAGUGGUAUAUGUGCAUGAUGAUAUAUUAUGAAUUUACAUAUUGUGGAUUAUGUUAAAUAGAAAAACAUACUUGAUGACAUAUUGCCAUGUUGUGGAACAGUAGUAGAAUGAGAAAUGUAUGCAUGUUGAUAUACCUUGAGAUAUGAGUUGAUAUAUAUGCAUGUUGAUGUAUUGUGACUAUGUUAAAUAAAUAUGCAUGUUGAACUUGGGUCUAUACCUCUUGGAUGGUUAGAAAACUCGA
rnacentral:lncRNA from 1 species